UAUGUGCUAUCAACUAGAUGCCACUCGUCAUAGGUUAACAUUAACUAGAUGCCACUCGUCAUAGGUUAACAUUAACUAGAUGCCACUCGUCCUUUACAAGUUUCCAAGACUCUAGUUCACACUUUACUAGGUUCUUCGUUCACACAACACAAACACUAGGUUAUCAUUUGCCUAGGUUCCAAUCCGUCACAUAUCAUCUCAUAUAGGGUUAAGGUGCACAUACUAACUUCAUGCAUACUAGAUUCAAGUGUUAUAUCUACCAAGCUACAUUAACACUAGCAUGCAAAUAUAGAUACAAGUUUCUAAACACCCUAUAUGCAACACCAUAAUAUGCAACUUGAUCAAUGACAGUUUAGAGUUUCCAAUGCAAUAGCCAAUACAUUACUAAGUUCUCAUCCACACCUAUCAUCUCAUUAUAGGGUUUCACAUCACAUAUAUAAACCUCAAGCAUGCUAGAUAUAAGCACUAAGCCAAAUACAUUACUCUUUCAAGAAGCAUGCAAUAUAUAUAUAUAUAUAACCAACCAUCAACUAUCACCCUAUAAUGCAUCAUGCUCAAUAUGCAUAAUUGAUCAACAUAGAAAUACUUAGACAUAAGGAGAAGCCCGAUUGCUUCGGGAUGGCACUCCCCCACCUUUUACCGCGUUCCGAUUGCUCGUCGUCACUUGCAAUCGGCCUCCCGCGGCGCACGCCGCUCGGCUCGACCCAAUCCGUGCGCGACCACCAAACGACCUCCGAUUCGCGAUCUGGAAAUUAUAGGUCUUCGGUUUCUCGCUACGGUGCUUCAAAUCCGUUUCCACGAUUUUCCGACGUCGCCUCGGCCCUCCAGGCGGAAACGAAGCCUAAACGUCCGUUUCUUUAAUAACUUUGUAACGGCUCGUCGGAUUGCCGAACCGUCUUCGCCAACGUGUUUCGUUACCUAUCAAUUAGGUUUAUAUACAACCAAUUUAGAUCAAACCCAUCUAUUUGCAAAAAUAGCAUUUUAGAGCCCUAGGUUACAACUAGGCAAUAAAUCAUUAAAUCGAUCUAUGAUUCAAGCAUCAAUCGUCUAUUUAGCAUGCUAGAAUAACUCUAAAUCCAUUUCUAGAGAUCAAAACCCCAUAUCUAGAGAUCUACCAUUAAAGGGUAGCAAAAGCUUACCUUCAAACCUUGCUCCAAUGGAGAGGAAGAAGUUGGAGAAGAUAAAAAUCCUCCUUGAGCAUCAACCUCCACCAAAAUCCUCUCUCUUCGGGAGAAAUCUAGAGAGAGAAAGAGAUUUCUCUCUUUUCCCUUCCAUGCGUGUGUGGGUGUGCGUUUGUGUGUGUGUGGCUCGGUUUGGGGCAGCCACGGUUGAGGAAGAAAGGGAUUUAAUCCCUUUUUACGAGUUAGCCCCUCAACUAUUCAAUCUUUCAAUUCAGUCCCUAAAUCUGAUAAGUUUCGUUGGAGCCCUUCUGAAUGUCCGAUUGAGCUCAAAUUUGACAGGCAGGCUCAGUUUAACGUACUGAGUAAGAAUAUAUCUUAAGUUUUCAGUUUCGACCCCGUUUGGUCAUUGAAAACUGUGCCGAACUGCAAUCUUUAUCAGAUAGCCUUCGGAUUUUAUUUCUCACUCUACGGGUGUCAGAAAAAUAUGAAACCUUAAAUCUAGCCUCAUAAAAAUAUUUCUGACUUAUCCUCCAAUUUUCAUAAUUUUCUGAGACUGUGCAUUUUCUGCUAAUUUAUCUGCCCCGUCUCUCACAGAAAAUUCUAAAUCUUCUGUUUUCAUUCCGAUUUCAGCACAAGUCAUUUCUAACUCAUAUUUCACUUCUCCAAAUCCAAUAAAAAUAGUAUCUCAUACUAUUUUUAUUUAUUUUUAUUUUUAUAUUUAAAUCCGGUAUAUUACAGUUGCAUUAAGAAAAUGGUUGUAACUUGGAGAUUAAAAAAGCAGUAUUUUAUAGUAUGUAGCUUGCUUUAUGUGUCUACUAUGUUAUGGAGAUCGAUGAUUGUACAAGUAGUAACUCACUGCUUCAUGCCGGCAGGGGAGGCUCUAACUAUGCGGCGGUUCUAACACGGCCGAGGCAAAGGGGAAUUCCACUGCCUAAGCUGGGGUGUGACGUAAUAUAUGAUAUCAUAGAAAUAUGAAAUUUAGACAUAUACCUAGAAAAUUUAACAACACAACUUAAAAAUUCAAGGUCUUCCAAAAAGAUUACAAAUAAUAGGCUAUUCAAAUUAGUGGAAGUUACUUCUCAAAUACUACUCAAGUUGUAGUUACACCCAACAUUCAAAUAGUAUAAUGAGUCCUAGUGUUUUUUAGUUUUCAAAAUAUAUAUCCCCAAAAUACCUUUAUUUAGGACAUUACUACUAACAACUCGAGGACUCACCUGCUCACUCCUUAUUUACCGAAAAUUAGUAAAUAAUGAGUGAGAAAACAUACUGCCUAAAAGUGGCAAGCUCCCCAACUAGGACUAAGAAUGAUAACGAAAAUAAUGUACAAUUAGUAUCAAUUUAUAAUCUCUACACAGUAUAUUCCAAGAGUUUGGGCUUUAUAUUGAGAUCCAAGAAUAAUCCAUGUAACUUACAAUUCAUAUCACUAGGGUAGCAACUAUCCAAAAUAUACACCUAUCAAAAUGUAUUAAUACAUGAAUGCAGUUGUUUCAAUUAUCAAGCUAUUGUGCGGGCAGCCACCAUCCCAAACAUAAUAAUAUGACAUAAUUAGAUGCAUAUGAAUGUUCCUAUCAUCAUUAUAAUGCAGACAGGCGGUUACUAUCCAAGUAUUAUUUUUAUGCAAUAUAAAUCGAAUCACACUUUGACACUUAGGUCACGAGUCUAUACUUGCUUCGUAUAGCCUAACCGGGUGGCCACCGGUGACUUCUCCAAAGAAGGCACUUUUUACUAAGUUGUGAUCCUUGUUAGAGGCAGUAGCGUGCAGUAUCUAUAAGCGCAAGCGACCAUCAUGUAAAAUAUUAUUGCUUCAAGAUUAUUAUAUAGUCUAUUUGACAUUGCACGGUCCACCAAUUACUAGGUGCCAAACAAGAAUAUGCGAUCAUAAUUAGAAUUAGGUUAGAAUACUAUUAAUAGCACCAAGUCAUUUGUGCUAUUAAGUUUUUGGCCCUUGGAUAAAGAGAUGUGUGGUUAGGAUGAUAGUUGUCACGACCCGCGACCACCCGCCUAUUUGGCCGAGUUCGCGGCGCCGCCGACAGACCGCCAAACGGACAGAAUCUCCCCUGUACAUCCUAGGCGUCGCAAUCAAUACAAGUACAAGAAGUUCCAACCAGGAACGGUAUUCAAGCAAGAUUGCAUAAGGAAGGUAUCAAACAACAUAACACAUCCUAUGUUAUUACAAGCAUUCCCAUUAGAUUCAUUUUUACAUCACAUUAGCAUUAUUACAUUACAUUUUCUUCCAAAUACAAUUAAUAAUCGCAAUAUUAUUACAAGUUUGCUCUUUUUCUUUUCCCUCUACCCCUAGGCUAUGCCGAUUCGGGGUACCUCUAUCUCUGGUCUCUGGGGUAGGGCGCUCUAUGGAGCUACGCCCUCGCCUUGCCCCGCCGCGCCGCUCACGUGCGAACCUGUAACACCCCAAAACAACGUGGGGUGAGAACCAACUCCAUGGUUCCCAGUGGGUACGGCCACCCAAGGGAAAAGCUCGACCAAUAGGUCUAAGGAGGCCCUGCAACAUGUUAGUCCAACAGAUAUCCAACAGAUAUAUAUAUUCAAGUAUUGAAAUACAUGUUGUGCCUCACAAUAUGCAAUAUGAAAUUCAUGCAGUUUAUGCAACCAUGCAACCAACUAGUAGUUCAAUCGAUACUACUUUUAUUCCUGUUAUUCACAGUUCAACCAAUUGACUUCUAAGUUUUCCUCUAUCUUAGAUUCUUGUCAAUUACAAUUCUGCUCAUAAGGUUUAACCUGCUUUCAUAAGCUAUCCACUCGACCCGGUCUUGAGUCAAUCAUACGCGGAAUACCGCACAAAGCCAGGCUCAAGGUGAAGGAUGUCUCACAUGCACCUCAGCCCUAAAUCCACUCAACUGGGAUGCAACUAAAACUCAUACCAUGCAUCAAAUAGUAAAGGUUUACUAUCAUGCUAACGAAUUCGAUCCAUGUUCGAAUAAUAAUGUUCAAUGACAUUGUUCACUGUUCUUUUACCCAAUCUGUAGCGAAGCCCUAGGGUUCGCCAAUAACUCACCUUUCAAUCCCAAAGUGGGGAGGGAGCUCCAAGUGCACCCAAGCCCGGGACCGUCUGCGGACCUCCAUGUGGUCCGGACCUCCAAGUGGUCCUAGUCGCACGACACUCCGGAGUACUCGACGACAAUCCCCUCCAUGUGGGGAUUGGAUGGCUAUACCAUCCCAAACGCAGACUGUGAGCUAGAUCUAUCCUCUCCAAGUGAGGAUACUCUACAACUAGGGUCCACAACCCAAUCAAAUCCUCUCCAAGUGAGGAUGCCCUACAACUAGGGUCAAUAUCUCAAUAACUCAUCGACAACCUCUCCAUGUGAGGGUACUUAGGUUUACUAAGUUCUUUAUCCACAAGGUAUUUUCUAAGAGAUUCACCUAUCCCUAGGUUCACAAACCUCUAGUAUCAAAUACACUACAUUAAUGCCACUCGAUAUAUUCUUAUUUUCCAAAGUCAAUUUCUCUAAUCGACCAAGUUCAACAUGCAUAAUUCAUCUACUAUAUUCCGCAAUAUGGAAAUAUGCAUAAUUCUUCUAUCAUAUGUAAUAUAUGUCAUCAUGUAUAUGUUUCUAUUUAACAUAAUCCACAAUAUGUUAAUUCACAACAUGUCAUCAUGCACAUAUAUUACUAGCAUCACAUGAUAUGUCAACAUAUAUAUAAUCAUCAUUCAAAGUAGUCUAUACUUAGCAUCUCAUACAUUCUUUUAGCAUUUAAUUCAUUAUACAUUUCAUCUCAUUGGUAGGUAAUAUCAACUACAUAAUGUGUUUCAAGUAUUCAUAUUAUCAUGUAAGCCUACCAAUACAACUAUAUGCAUCAAUGUGAAUUCAUAUAUUUCUUAAACAUAAAGGGCGACCUAAUCGCUUCGGUAAGCACAACCCACCUCAUUUCGCAUUCCGAUUGCUUGUCGACACUUGCAAUCGGCCUCCCGCGGCAUCCGGUGCUCAGUUCCGCCGGAACUUGCAAUUGCGCACCAACCGCGCAUCGCUUCGCAGCCUUGGGCAAAAAGGGUCUUCGUUUUGUUGUUACGGUGCCUCAAAUCCGAUUCCAUGAUUUUACGACGUCGCCUCGGCCCUCCAGGCGGAAAUGAAGACUAACGUCCGUUUCUUUAAUAACUUCACAACGGCUCGACGAAUCGUCGAACCGACUUCGCCAACGCGUUCGUUUACCUAGCAAUUAGGUUUACGGAGGGUCAAAUUAGAUCAAACCCUUAUAUUUUACAAAACUCCAUUCGGAGCCCUAAUAUGCAAUUAACCUCCAAAUAAUCCAAAUUAAAUAGAUCAACAUGCUAACAAAGCUCAUUAGAGGCUAUUAGAACACUUAAAGCUAAGGAUUAAUCCAAAUCCCAAAAGGUUACCAUAAUAUGAAUACCGCAACGAAAACAUGCCGCUCCAACGGGCGCACGAAAGCUCGAUCCGUCGCCUCCAACGCGUUCGCAAGCAUCUUCUCCACCAACGCCGCGAAUUUGAGCGAGAGAUUUGGAGAGAUAAGAGAGAUCUUUAGAGAGAGAAAGGAGAGUUUCUCUCUCCCUUCCCAUGCGUGCAUGUGUCGCCAUGGUGGGCUGAGGGGAAGAAGAAGCAAUGGCUUCUUUAUACAUUAACACCCCAAAACACUAUUUAUUUCCGGCUAGUUUAGCAGUUCGAAACAGUUGGAGCACUUCUGAAUAUCCGUUUGGGUUCAAAUUUGACAGGCAGGCUCGGUUUAAUGUACUGAGUAAGAAUAUAUCUUAAGUUUUCAAUUUCGACCUUAUUUGGUCACUAAAAACUGUACCGAACUGUAAUCUUUAUUAGAUAACUGUCAGAUUUUAUUUUCCACCUUCCGGGUGUCAAAAUGACAUGAAACUUUAAAUCUAGCCUCAUAAAAAUAAUUCUGACUUAUCCUCCAGUUUUCAUAAUUUUCUGACACUGUGCAUUUUCUGCUAAUUUAUCUGUCUCGUUUCUAACAGAAAAUUCUAGAUCUUCUGUUUUCAUUCCGAUUUCAGCACAAGUCACUUCUGACUUAUGUUUUACUCCUCUAAAUCCAAUAAAAAUAAUAUUUCAUACUAUUUUUAUUUAUUUUUAUUUUUAUAUUUAAAAUCCGGUAUAUUACAUUCUACCGCAACCUUACCGGAACCAUUCAAAUGGCUUUCCAACCAAAUGUACACCGUAACUUCAUAAUUUUAGAAGUCCGGUACCUUACAAUACUAGUCCCCUAGGGUUGAAUAGCUGGUUUGUUGAAUAUUAUUGUCACGCCCCGAGACCGCUACCAAUUUGGUCCGGUUCGGGCGCGUCGAACAGAUGCCGAACGGACAGCACCUCCCCUGUCCGCCCAAGGCGAAACAACCAGAUCAUGUACAGUUAAGCGCCCAGGGAAUGCUUAAUUAACAUACACGAUCGAACACGAUGCACACAGGUGCAAUACAUCUAAGAGCAAGAACCACAAGUAAUAUACAAGUGUAUAAAGAGAGAUAGCCUAACUAUUACAACCAUUCAACAUUUACGUCAUUUGAGUAUUUUACNCUCGGGAGACCGGUUCCUCCCCAAGAGACCGGUUCCCGAGAACUGGAAUCUCAGGACUUAGCCAAUUUUUGGCUUUUCUCGCUGGGUUCGCGUUCGGGAACCGGUCCCUCCCUGCCAGGGACCGGUUGCCUCAAGCAACCCCGCGACACCAGCUGAUGAGACCGGUCCCUCCCUGCCAGGGACCGGUCCCCGAGAGCAAUUUUGCUCCAGUGCAAGUUUUGCACUAUUUGCUCUCGUGGACUCAUUUCCAAUGCACCUUUUGGUGAUUUUAACAUCUUUGGCUUUUCCAAAGCUUACCAACACGACCCUUGGUCGGUUUUACAUGAAGUCUAACUCUCGUAUUUCGAGAAUUCACUUCCUCACAACUAUGAUCUAAUGUGUAGAAAUGAUCCGGGUGAUAGAUCUAACGGCAUAAAACUUAGUAGCACCAAGUGCUAGAUGUUAUCGAUAGCAUUGUAGCCAAACUCUUAUAAUUAUUUGUAAAAAGUAUGCUACUAAUCAAGAUAAAAAUCAUGUACUAACAAUGCAUAAAAGAAGUUGCACUUACUAUCAUUAUGAUGCAAUCAACUACAUGUAUGUAAUGGUGUCAAUUUCCAAAAUGAUCAAGGUUACAUCAUAAUUAGUAUUAGUACUGUGUGAACUAUAACACAUCUCAAACAACUUCUACAGACGCCCUACACCUUUUAGAUCCUACACCUUUAGAACCUACUCGAAUUUAAAAUUUUCUGUCCGGAAUUAACUUUUCAAAAAACAUACUCAUCAUGAUAGAUUUCUAUCUGAUAGAAAUAUUUUUAUUUAGUACAUGUCUUAAAAUAUACAGAAAUAUAUUAUGCCUGCUUUAGUUCAACAUAAAAAUUACCGAACUAUAUCAACAAAUUACCAUAAUACCUUUUUUUUAUAGAGACUGAUAUUAUAUAUAAUUUUACACUAAAUUAAUCAUAUAAAAUUAUUAACAAUUUGAAUAUAAAAUCUAUUUAAAUAUUCUUAAAUUGAACUUUUUUUUAUCUGUUUACUCAAUUUAAAUUUUUGGAAUUGAUAUAGAUGUUGCAAAAUAAUAUUUCAGUCCUUAAAAAAUUUUCUUUGAAAAAGAAAUUUACCAAUGGAGGAGGUGGGUUUUUAAAUCCAAUGUUUUGAGAGAAUGUAAAAUUCCACAAAACUUUUAAACUUUUGCGAUGUCAGAUUCCUGCUAUAAAAUAAACAUGGGAUUUCACAAUUUUGAUGUCUCAAUUUCAUGUAUCUUAAGGAUAUAAAAUCCUUAAGAAUAUGUCUAGCGUUAGCUGAAAUAUAUCCUCUACUAUUCACAAAAUCACAUUCAUGACAGUAUCAAGGACCAAGGCUGCACUUAAAGCUUAUUCUGGGGUUUCUUUCCCGGGGUGCGGGAUAGACGGAGGAAACAGUUGUGGGAUAGAUGGAGGAAACAGGCAAUGGAGAAUUAGAGGAGGAAAGCCAGGAGUCUUAAAUAAUCAGUGAUGUGGAAAGGAUAGUUGACACUAAAUAAUCUAAUAUUUGGAAGAACAAGACUUUGGUUGUUUAAUAAAUAGGAUUGCUGUAGACUCUCCGGCGUAGAAGAUUGCAUGGUCAAUUUAAUUGCUUUUAAAACAUGAUUCGCAGUCCUGUAGCGUCCGAAUAACAGGAGCAAGGAAGCCAGGUUGGUGUUCCCGUAUUAAAGCUAGGUUGGCGUUCCCGUAUUAAUAAAAUCUUGCUAACCCUUCGUAAGAAAAAGAUAAAUAUUUUGAUUGCCGAUUCCCAUUGCAAACAAGCAGCUUUGGUAAACGCUUUCUAAAUGGAAAGAAAAUAAGGCUUCUGCACGCUUGCCAUGAGAAGUAAAUUAAGGCUUGCUGCAGGUAGAAACGAAUGCUUUUCCCUCUUUGGUGACUAUUCUGGGGUAGACCACCAGACUUAAAUACGGGACGUCCAGCCCAAGGGCUGCAGUGUGGACUGUUCUGACUGGAUUUGUAAAACGUAGAAAAUCAAUUGAUUUUCACUAAUUAUUCUAAGAAUGGCUCAAAUUUUGGCCGCUGAAAUUUAACGAUUUCGACUCCUUGCCCAGUGUAUUUCUUUUUUCACUUUUUUUUUUUUCUGUUUUCCCCUCGAUUUUACUUACUUAUUUUCGAAUGUUUUUUUUUAUCCAUCAGUUCACUUCUGGAAGAAUAAAAAAUAUAUAUAAAAAUAAAGAAAUAAAAAAUAUAUAUAAAAAUAAAGAAAUAAAAAAAACAAAAUAUUUUCGAUUCCCUUUAGCCCCAUAUUAUUAAGUCUCGCAUAAAAUUGGAAUACAACGUCAACAUUUCCACACAACUGAAAUUAACUCUUAGGACUAAAUAUAAAAACCGGAAGAUCAGAUGAAAAUAAAAUUCGAAGUUUGGGGACUAUUGUUAUAACAAAAUUAAAUCCUGAGUCAUACUCCAGCACAAAAUUUGCAGCUGACACUUGCGGUAAUGCAGUCAACAGUAGAGUUAAGACAACAAUUAGUAAAAAAGCAAGAUAAAAAAAAGAUAGUUACACAAACUAGUAAAUAUUUCCCCGAAUUACAGAGAAAUUCAUGGCUUGCUGAAAAGCUGCUGCAUAUUCUGAAAGUUGAAAAUUAAUGCAUUUUAGAUAUUGUAAACUGCGUGACAGCUACGCAUCUCUUACUAUGUUCAGAAUGUCAUGAACAUCUUCAAGCCUCGCGGAAAAACCUGCAAAAUUAUAACGAGGUGAUGACCUUGUGAUACACCGUACAAAAACCAAUAUUGUCAAGGCCCGACCAGAUCAGCCGAUUGAAAUGCACUCUAACCCUGCACCUUCAUUAUCAGCUCAGUUUAUAUCGAGCCCGCGAAUUCUCCAGUUCAUAUAGAACCCAACAAUUUCCUGAAAACCCACUGAACCAAACAGUUCAAUCAUUAAAGCCAGUCGACAAACUGUUUGGUUAUAUUGAACCGACCAGGCUUUUAGGAACAAAUAUUUUUGUUCUUGAAUAUAAUAAUAAAGUAAAUUUCUGAACGAAAUUUCUUUAAGAGCAGCGAAUCUCCACGCUCAAUAUUGUGAUUUUCUAUGUACUUCUUUAACCAGUACAAUUUUUUUCUUUCUUAUUUCUAAGAAUUUACUGUACUAAAUAAAACACUUGUUUCUAUAUAGAAAAAUAUAUUUUGGAUACUACAGAAACAGUUAAGAGUACUGCGAUUACCAUCGUCGUGCACUGCAUGUGGAUCUUCAGUUGGACCAUACAACAUUCUGACCCUAUGAUGUUCCAAGCUUUCCCUCUUCUUGUUCAGUUCUGAUAUUUUACAAUGCAGCACUGGAAGAGCUCUCGCUAUAUCUGAGCAAAAACACAAUGCCAUAGGAAAAAAAAAAAAAAAUAGAUCAGCUUUUAUUUCCAUAAUUAAACAAGAUAACACGUAUGAAAAAUGACCAGACUAUAUUAAUAUAAAUAAGAGAAUUUACUUGCUCAAUAUUAUAUGUUAUUUGAUGCUCACAGAAGUUGCUCUAUAACCAGAUCCCAAACAGUCAAGUAACAUUAUACAGUUUCUAUGAAGUCACGUGGAACUUUUAGCCACUUGUUCACUUCUAUAGUCUCCCCAUAUAUCUAAAAGUUAAGCCUCAGUGAUACUGAGAGUGACAUUAUUGGAAUUCAAUGCCCGACGACCUAACAUAAAUAAUGCUGGGAAAGAAUUGACAUAAAAAGUACAUACUUUUGUGAAAAUGGCAGGUAAACCAGCAGACUUUUGAUUUUAAAGAACUAACUGCAAAUUUAUAAAGAGAUAAAAGGUAGAAUAUAAAAAUCAGAAAAGCUAAAAUAAAGCCAUUUCCACGCAUGUUUGACAUCCACAUGCAUAAAUGGAUGCAUGUAAAAUUUGAGUAGCCUUUUACUGUUUUAUUUUGAUGAAACAUGCACUUAAUGCACUAGAGAAAUAUAUGGAGCAAAAAAACAUGUAAGCUUCCUUCAUUUUGAAAUGAUUGACUCAGUCAAGCACGAUCUUACAAAUUACAAGCUUCUGUAAACAAACUAAAGGGAAUAUAUUGGCAUGUAUUUCAUGUCCACUACAAAAUAGCCACCCAUAAAGUAAAAACGAGAUGUGUGGCAAUUGUAUGAUGAAAACCCUCCAAAAAGAGAGAGUACCUUAAUGUCGAGGAUUCCUUGCAAGUUACUAUUUCAGGCAAUGCAUCAAUAUAGCAUGGCACUAAUGCUAGAGGGAAAAUUCAGAGUUCUAGCGCCUCCUGAGCACAUAAUCAGCUUUGAUAAGGUCUAUAAAGCAACAAUUUGCUUAAGUAUAUGUGUUAUUUAUAAAAUUUUCUCGCCAAUAACACAGUUUUCUCGACAUAGAACUGUGCUACAGCAAAUCCAAAAAUUAUUUCAGGAAAAUUUGAGGUACAAAUAAAACUAGGAUCAAGAUAAAAGAUAAAAGGAAAAAACUUUAAAUAGAAAUGUCAAUCCUAAAUAGUCCCACAUUGGGAAAUGAUGGGAAACUAUAAUGGUAUUUAGGAAACUAUAAUGGUAUUUAGGUGCUUUUGUAUUAGUAUGAAACUACGAAUAAAAUUGGACAUAAGCAUUGGCCCAUCAGUCGAGUCAACCAUUUACUAUACUAGAAAGCUAGCAAUGGUUUGUGAUAUAAGAACUUCAGCUGAACUUGGUUUGGUUGAAUAAAACUAAAGGAUCUCUCAAAGGCAAUAUAAUGACCGUACACAUAAUCUUUCAAAUAGUUCACUGACAUGAAAAUAUGAAGAAUGGAGAUAAAGAUGCCAACAGGAAGGAUAUAGUUGGCGUUGCAUAGUCAUUAUUCUAAACCUCUAGCACAAGCCCAUUAACCAGAGGUAUGAAAUAAAUUGUCGAAUUCACUGGGUUACCUUGAAACAUCUCUUGCACAGUGCUCUCCUCAAAUAUUUGCUGCGCCUCAGCAACAGUUGCGUCAUAAUUGGUGCAGAAAUGGGACUGCUUUUCCAAUAAGAAGAUCUCGUUUUGUAGUUCUCCAGAUUCCUUUCCAAUCUGCAGAUACAAUGCAUGCAAUUACUUUGAGAUUUAAACAGCUCUUAGUAAUUAUUGUUGAUAUAUGUCUCUAUCCCAAACUAUUAUCUAUUUACAUACACCCCUGUAAAAUCUGAAUUACUACGUGCUUUGGAAACUUGAUUUUUUACAUAAGUAUCUUUCUAGCUACAAAACUGCCCACCCCUCUACCAGUGAAUUGAAUGGCCCCCAACCUAUUCUCAAGGUUAUUCAUACAAUACACUAUUUGACAAUCCUACAUGCCACGUAGUGUCCUCUCAUUCCAUAACUCUUCACUUUUCGAAACGUCACUUUCUCUCUCCCAAUUCGACUCUUCACCUCCUGAAAGGUCUCUCUCCCUAAGCAUCUCUCUCUCUCUACUCUCUCUACAUAGCCCUCUCUUUCUCCAUCUGGUGGCUUGGGCGGCGACAGCGAUGGCCACGGCGGCAGCGACGGCUUGGGCAGCGUCAGCAGCAAUCACAGUGACGACGGCGACUUGGGCGGCGUUAGCGGCGGACACAACGGCGGCAACUUCGGACAAAAAAAAAAUAUACAGCUCUAUCUCUCUUUCUUUUCUUUUUCUUCUUUUUUUGUACUCUUCUCCUCUUUUUUUUCUUCUCUCAUUUUCUUUUCUUUUAUUUUAUUUUACUUCUUGUCUGAUGACAGCGGUGGCAGCUUGGGCGGUGCUGGCGACAGCGGCGACUUAGGCGGCAUCGGCAGUGGACACUUCAGAGGCUUGGGCAGCGACGGCGGCUUGGGUGGCAUCAGCGGCGAUCACGACAACAACGACAACUUGGGCGGCGUUAGUGGUGGACACGACGGCGGCAACGUUAGACAAAAAGAAAAUCCAAAGCUCCUACCUCCUUUUCUUUUUUUUUUUCUUCUUUUUCUUCUCUGUACCCUUCUAUUUUUUUUUAACUUCUCUUACCUGGGUAUGUGGAUCCGUAUGUGAACUGGGGGGGACUGGGAGAGGCAAUAGGAGAGGAGGCAUUCUUAAUCGCGGUGGCACAGCUCAGCGACGUCAAUUUGACCUCAAGAAAGGUCGACAAAGCACGCAGCACGACUCAGCGACGUCGAUUUGGCCUCGAGGAAGGCCAACGAAGGGGGUGAGUUGAGAUUUUUUAUUUUUUUUCGCAAGCUUUCGGCGUCAAAUCAGAUUUUUUUCAUUGUUCUUUGAGACUUUGCAUGAUUUUUAAAAUUUUUGAUUUUAGGUAAAAAAUUAGCAAUAAUAUGUUAAAUUUAAAUGCCUAUCAAAAAUUAACAAAUUUUUUAUAUAAAUUAUCCACCUUUCUUCUCAAUUUUUCAAUAUAAAGUAUUUGAGAACUAUGCCACACUUUGGAAAAAGUAUUUACGAAAAUCAUUCUAAAGAAAAUAAAAUUUUCACUACAAGAAUUUCAUGGUUUGAUGAUUUUUCUGUUUGAGAGCUAUGUUUAAUGGCUUGAUGAUUUUUUCCUAAAGAAAACUAUAUUGUAUGGUUUUACGUCGAACCAAAUACCUCCUUAGGUAUUAUUUCUUUAAAAAUUGGUUAUUCUUUUUCACAUGUUUAUUUUUAUUUUUACUUAAUUAGUUCUCUGAAAACAUUACAUUUAUAUUUUAAUGAAUAAAUAAUAUUUAUAUUUAAAUACAAAAUUUUUUUUUUUUUAUGUCAACCCGCUGCGAAGAGCAGGCUCCUUCACUAGUAUAUAUGAAGUUUCAGAUUUUCCAAGGGUACACAUGUAUAAGCCCCUUUUAUUUUAGUUAAGUAGCAGGCUGCUUACUGUUGAAAGUUUCUCCCUCAUGGAAUCUAACCAAGCAUCAGGUUCUGCAUCAGAGAGCUCUUCUUCAAGCAGAACAUCUUUAGUGGAUAAAUUAUUCUGAAUAAGAAAAAAGAAAAAGGACAAUAUUUUAGCCAUUGUGCAUGACAAUAAAAUAUCAUAUUCAAUGUGAGGAAAUAUGAGAAAAAGGAAAUAACGUAGCCAAACUAUUGACCGCACUAAAGCAUUUUUUUGCACGUAGUUUUCCCUGGGAUGCAUUUGAACGUACUGGGAAUCAAAUAAGCUUAUUAGGAGGAGCCUUCUGAGAUAUAUUAUUCCAGAUAUUUAAAUAGAAUAUAUUCAAGCAAUUACAAAUAUAUAACAAAGUAGAAGAUCAAAUUAAGGGAACCCAAUUAAUUAGAACAAUUCUGCCUCUAGUCCAGCAUAAAAUGAUUCAACAUGCAAAGUCUGUUAUAAGAUGCAUUCCUAACGCAUAUUAGGCCUUUUGAGCAAUUUUUCCUAAAUGAACAAUGUGUAUAGACUAAUUAGCCAGAGACUGAAAGUAAAUCAACAUGUAUAGUCUGUCAUAAGAUGUAUUCCUAAUGCAUAUUAGGCUUUCUUAGCAAUUUUUCUUAAAUGAACCAUGUGCAUAGACUAAUUAAAUUUAUUUAAAUGGCGGCCCUAGAUCAAGUAGGUGAAAAAUUGAUAACAACAGAUAAAUGUAAGAAAAAUAGUGGUGAAAAUUUUAACUCGAACAUGUAAACAAACUAAGUCUUUGCAAGAAAAGACCUACAGCUUUAGGCAACGCAAACCCCUCAGGAACAGUAAAACAAUGCCUAAGGCAAUAUUUCUCCCAACUGUCCAUUCGCUUAUCCAAAAUAGUUUUUGCCAAGUGACGAAGGGCAUAAACACCCUACAAACAAAAAUUGAUGAGAAGUUAGUACAGAUCAGCAUCAACAUCAUUUUAUAAGAAACCAUAUUACUACUACAUAAUAGUAUUCUGCCAACAAGCAUCAUUAUUUGAAGCAGGAUUAAAAUUAAGCUGGUUAACAGAAGGUGAAAAAUAUCAGGUGGACUUGCUUAAUUAACUACUUAAGGGAAAGCAGUCCAUAGACUUCAGGCCUCCUUCGGCGUUGUUGCUAGUUUAUUUUUUUCGCCCCUUAACACUAAUUCUAUAUAAUUUGAUAUACCGGCAAUAGGACUUUCCUCUUGUUGUCAUGGUUUGUAAGCUUGCAAUACCACCCAGCCAGUGAUGACUGAUGAUGACUUCUUUAAAGACAGCCCAAGAAGCAGAAAAGAAAAAAAGUUGUUCCAAAGUUUUUGUUCCACCAUCCUCUCCUACACUGUUUCAUGAUUCUAUAUACUUUUUUCUUGUUGUCAUAAUUGAUUAGAUUGCAAUAUACCCCCGCCAAGUGAUGGACGACAACUUUAAACAAAAAAGAAAGGAGGGGGGGGGGCGGAGGAAUUCCUAGAAGCAAAAGGCAAGUUGCUUCCAAGGUUUUGAAUUACUUGCCAAACAAACAUCUUGGAUGCAAUUGUCCCUUCCUACCACUCAUAGACUAAACAAGCGCGACUUAGGCGUGCUCCUAGGCACUAGGCUCAAUGGCCAGCGCCUAGGCAGCACCUAGGUGGGUACCAUUGCCUAGGUGCGCACCUAGGGCAAGGGGCAAGGCGCAAGGCGCAACGAAGGCACGCCUAAUUCAUAUUCGAUCCUAACGGGUUUGGAUCUAGAAAUAUAUGCUCUAAUGGGUUUGGAUCCUAUAUUUAUUGGUCUAAUGGGUUUAAAACAUCUAAAAUAAACCCUCUGGAUCUAGAAAUAUAUGCUCUAAUGGGUUUGGAUCCUAUAUUUAUUGGUCUAAUGGGUUUAAAACAUCUAAAAUAAACCCAAAACCAACCUACUAUCCGCUCCAUUCCCUCUCUCCGUUUAGUUCGCUCCCUUUCCGGUCCCUCCCCCUCACUCCUCUCAGACCGGUCUCUCUCCCUUUCUCAACUCGUAACACUCAUCCCUCUCUCCCGCUCGUCCAUCACCUCCGAUUGCCUCCGGUUCUCUCUCUCUGCUUAUUCAACUCGACUCGCCUCUCCCUCUAUGGUGUUCAUCUUUCUCUCCUUUCCUCUCUCUCUAGUUUCUCUCUUGUGUAUAUGUCUUUGUUUUUUUUAAGCAGUGUUUUGUCUUUUUUUUUAGGCAGUGGUUUUCUUUGUUUUAUUUUUAAAAAAAAACAGUAUUUUACUUUGAUAAAAUGAACUUUUUAAAGUUUAAAAAAGUUUUUGAAAGUUGAAAAUAAAAAAUGAUCUUAUAUAUUCACCGAAUUGGAGUUUAAUUUAUUGAAUGGAUUCGAAAGCAACCGAUAGAGAUCCUGCAUGGAAGUAUGUACAUUUAGCAAAUUUGAAAGUAAAAAAUGAUCUUACAUAUAAUUUUUUGCGGAAAAGUGACAAGAGAAGGGAUAUACCGAGCAAAGCAGUAUAUUGUUGGAGGUUUCCAAAAUGCAAAAGCAUCCACGAAAUGUCCGCUGCAUGUGAGGGAGGAAAUAAAAGAUUUUAUGAUAAAGAAAGUGACAGAGAAGGAACAAAAUGAGUUCAUGCCGGAUUUUGAAUAUGCAUAUCACUUCAAUGACAAUGAAGAGGGAGAUGAUGUUGCGGAAUCGAACUCUGAAAGAAAAAAAGUUCAAAGCAAAAGUAGCGGAUGCAGUAUUGGUAGUAGAAGUGCACCCAAAAAACCAAGGCAAAAGGAACCAAUGGAUUUGUAUUUCACUCCCAAUGCAGAGAAGAUAUUUCAAGACAGAAAAGAUGGAAAAAUGAAACAAACUACGAUUAAUGAAGUUUGUAGGAAAGAGUUGAGAGAAAAUUGGUGUAGAGAACUAGCUAGAUGGUUUUAUAAUGCAAGAAUACCUUUCAAUGCUACUAGUUGUGAUAGCUUUCAUGCGGCACUCGAACCUGUUGGACAAUACGGCAUUGGUUUUAAACCACUUUCUAUUUACAAGUUACGAAUUCCUUUUGUUCAAAAGAAGGCUCAACAACCGAAGAAUUCAAUGAAUGGCCAUAUGGAGGAAUGGGCAAAGACUAGAUGUAGUAUAAUGUGCGAUGGAUAGAUGGACAAGAGACAAAGGGCCCUUAUAAACUUUCUUGCGAAUUCUCCAAUGGGAAUUGUGUUUAUCGAAUCUAUUGAUGCCUCCAAUUACUCUAAAACUGGAGAAGAUGUUUAAGUUAUUGGAUAAUAUGGUGGAGAAUAUUAGGGAGGCAAAUGUCGUUCAAAUUGUGACUGAUAGUGUAUCGAACAAUGUGUUGACUGGUAAAAAAUUUUGUAUAAAAAGUAAAUUAAUUUUGUUUCAGUAUAUACUUCAAUUUUACGUUAUUAUAUGAAAUAUAUGUGAAAUUUUAAUAGAAAAAUUAUUGGAAGCAAAACGACCAAAUUUAUAUUGGUCACCUUCUGCAGCCCAUUGUAUUGAUUUGAUGCUUGAGGACAUUAGAAAGAUACUCGAGGUGUAUAGAAUAGUGAAAAGGGCAACAACAUUGAGUGGUUAUGUUUAUGCCCGCACGGGCAUGGUCAACAUGAUGAGACGUUUCACAGCCCAAAGAGAGUUGCUUAGGCCUGUUGUAACAAGAUUUGCAACAGCCUUUCUUACCCUUCAACGGUUACAUAAGCAAAAGAGCAGCUUUAGAAAGAUGUUCACAUCGGAUGAUUGGACCAAAAGUAAAUGGGCAAAACUACAAGCGGGUAAAAAUGCAACUAUCAUUGUAUUGAUGCCCACAUUUUGGACUAGCAUUGUUUAUAUUCUUAAAAUUUUUGGUCCUCUUGUUCGUCGUAUACUUCAACUAGUUGACGGUGAAAAAAGGCCAGCAAUGGGUCAUAUUUACGAGGCUAUGGGCAGAGCAAAGGAAGCAAUUGAAAGUCUUUUAAGGGGAGGGAGGAGAAAUAUAGUGAAGUAUUCAAGAUUAUUGAUAAUAGAUGGCAAUGCCAGCUUCAUCGCCCUUUGCAUGUCGCUGGUCAUUUCUUAAACACUGAAUUUUUUUAUUCAAAUUCAAAAAUUUGUAGAGAUGAGGAGAUUAUGUUGGGUUUAUAUCAAGCUUUACAAAGAUUAGUUGCAAAAGCUGAAGAACAAGAUAAAGUAUGCGAUCAACUAAGUGUAUAUCGUGAAGCACAUGGCCUUUUCAGAACUAAUAUGGCAAUUCGACAAAGAAAAAUAAAGUCACCAGGUAUGUUAGUUCUAUACUACUUGCUAAUAGUAUAGUACUAUUAUAAAUCUAUGCAUUAUACAUUUUAAUAGUUAUUACUAAUUUGUAGUAAGAUUAGAUAAGAAACAAAUGCACCCAUUUACAUACAUUAUUAAUUUAUAGUUAAUAUAACAUUUAUAUGAACAGCUGAGUAGUGGAAAUUGUUUGGGUCAUCAACACCAGACUUGCAAAAAGUUGCGAUUAGGGCUCUUAGCCUCACUUGUAGUGCUUCCAAUUGUGAGCGAAAUUGGAGGGUAUUUGAACAUGCAAGUUAUCUAUAUUAAAUCAUCUUCUACUGUAGUUAACUAGUUAUAGUAUUUCAGUAUUUGAUAGUUUUGAGUUCGUAAUUUAAUACUUGAAAUUUCAUAUUAUCUUUAUUAUCAUAAAGUUGUUUGUUUUUUUGUAGCUUCAUAGUAAGAAAAGAAAUAGACUCACGCAAAAACGCUUGAAUGAUUUAGUGUAUGUAGGGUACAAUAGAGUAUUGAGGUGGCGAUAUAAAUUGCGUCACACCAUAGAUCCUAUCUCAAUGAAUGAAAUUGAUGAGAGUAAUGCUAUGUUGCACAGAUACGGAUACGGGGAUACGGAUACGAUACGAUACGAAUACGGUGAUACGGCAAUUUCUAAAACUUCUAAGAUACGAUACGCGGGAUAUACUUAAAUAAAAUAUUAUUUUAAAUAUAUUUAAAUGUAUGUUGAUUAUAUGUAAUGAUAUAUUGAGAACAAUUAGAAUAUCUAGACUAUAUUAAGGAAUAUAUUCUAAUAUGCAUUAACUUGUAUAAUUAUUCUACAUAUGUUCAUAAAAAAAGAUAAUCAAUCAUAUAAAAUAAUAAUUCAAAAAGUAUCAAACCAACUAUCAUUCAACUUGAUCAAAUGAUAACAAUAAAUAUAUAGUCGCACAAACUAGAUAAUUAGCCAUUCAAUAUAUAUGUCUGAUUUGUUAGUUCUAUUAUUAAAAUAGUAAUAAAAAAAUAUGCUAACAAUUUAAUAGAGAAGGAAAAAAAAAUCAUAUUUUCUAUAGCCUUUGUUGCUUAAUAAUAGGUUGACAAAUUAGAUGGAAGAGAGUAAAUACUGUGUGAAGAGAGAACGAAAGGGAGCGCCUUCUACCAUUCAAGAACAAAAAGAUAGAUGAAAUGAUGAAUUGAACAGAUAUUGGUGUUUUUCUCACUCUUUUCCUUCUUUCCAAUAGGUUUGGACGUGAGCUUUUAAAAAAAUUUUAAGUUUCAAUCAUUUUAGACCAAAAAAGAGCGGGGUCGUGUCCCCCCCCGUAUCCCCCAAUAUCCCUCACAUAUCCGAGCCAUAUCCGAUAUUUUUUUAUUUUUUAAAAAUGUCAGAUACUUCAUUCCCGUAUCGGGCGCGUAUCGGGCGCGUAUUGGGCGCGUAUCGGUAUCCGAUACGUAUCCGAUACGGAUACGGCAUGAAAUUUGAAGUAUCCGUGCUUCAUAGUAGUAAUGAAUGGUUGAUUAGAAGAAUGGAUGAAAACAACGAUGAUGAGAGGGAAGAUAAGGAUAAUGUUUGGAAAGAUGACACAUUGACAUGGAGUAUAGUGGCUAAAGCAGCAGGGGUGAAUCAGCCUACCCAUCAUACUAAAUCACGUAGUUCCACCAAGCGUAGUGGUAAAAGAAAGGCAAAAGCUUCAUCUUCUCAAUCUCGGAAUAUUAGUAACUUUAUAAAUGAUGAAGAGCCUAAUUUUGAUGAGACUCGAGACAUAGAGGAUGAAGAAGAAGAAGACAUUGGAGAUGACAAAUCUAACGAGGGAGAGGAGUAUUCUUUAUCAAGUGAUGAAAAUGAUGAUUGAUGAUUGAGAGGAGUGGGGAGAGAGAACUAAUCAACAUUUCUAAUAUGACGUAUUUUGGCUUGGAGCCUUAAACACUUAGCUUUCAUGUGAUCAUGAUGCCCUUUUAAUUAUUUUUGGCUUGAAACUUUAAAAUUUUAUACAUGUUACUUUUUAUAAUCAUGUGCUUAUAAUUAUAUGUUUUUGACAUCAAAGUUUUCUACAUGUUUGUGAAUUACUAGUUACCUUUAUGUUGGUCUUAUCUGGAGACAAAAAGGUACUUUGUUCUUUCCUGUUAUUUUGUUUUUAAAAUUACCACUUGGCUUCUUUUCUUUUCUUCGUUUGUUUUUGUCCAAAAACAUGAUUAUUGGAUAGUUACAGAAUAUUUAUUGUAAUAUGAUUUUAAAGUGUAUAUUUAGUACUACUUAAUAAUUAUUAGAAAGUAUAGUACAGAAUUUCUUGAUUAUUUCAAAAUUUUAUAAAAGUGUGCGCCUUACCUCUCUAGGGCGCGCGCCUUGUCUUUCUCCAGACCUUUUAUUAAUUGCCUUUAAAAACAUAGGACGUCCUCCGUGACGAUCAUAAAAAUCAUUAGUAGCCACUUUUGAGGAUCACCCCAACCAUCACAAACAAUAUUUAUACCUUUCGCACUCCAUGUUUCCUUAAUCAAUUCUAACAAAAUUUCUACACAGACUCCUACCUUUGAAGUAGUUUUUAGCAUAUUAACACCAAGAAGAACAUAGUCACUAACAUAUGAUUGGUCGCAUAUGUGUAUAAACUAAUAUAGUGAGGGCUUCUAGAGAUUAAAUAACAAGCCGCUGGUGUGACGAACUUAAAAAUUUAGAGUUGAUUGUUUCGGCAAAGAUAGUUGGUAAUAGUGGAAGGCUAGAUUGAAAGGGAUUAUAGGAUACAAAAAAAUGAGAGAGAAGGUAAGAUACAAGAAGUGCACCAGUCAUGCGAUUGCGAGGGAUCCACAAUUAACGAGGCGGUGACAAUACCACAGGCAGAACUUCAGCGGCGGGGAAGAAAAAGAGGCAAGGAUCCGAGAAAAGAGGGGUAGAAGCAGAAGCCGAUAUAAUCACAAGGAAGGAAGAGACAACAAUCAAAUUGAAGAAGAAGAUUACCUCCGCGCGAAGGAGCAUUGACGAUCACACCGGGAAGGGUUUUUGACCUAGUUUUGGAUAUGGACUGACUCACAAAAUGUUAGGCAGCUAAUAAUUGUGAGAGCGGAGUUAUGACCUUUCAUUAACCUCGACAAAAGAAGCUUGUGUACCGAGGAUGUAAAAGCUCGCUCUUUGCAAUUACGGUAUCCACAUCGCGUGCGAAAAAAUUGAUUAAUAGUGGUUGUGUUGCCUACUUAGCAACGGUGGUGAAGAUCGAAAGGAGGUUUCUGUGCUCGAGAAUGUUCCUAUAGUACGAGAGUUCCCAGAUGUCUUUCCGAUAGAGUUACCCGGGAUACCACCAGACCAAGAGAUCAAAUUCGUCAUAGGCCUGAUACCCGGGAUCGCCGAUUUCAAAGGCAGCCUAUCGAAUGACACCGACUGAGUGGAAAGAGUUGAAAAAUCAACUGCAGGAUCUAUUGGAUAAUGGCUUCAUUAAAUUGAGUGUAUCGCCUUGGGGAGCCACGGUGCUAUUCGUAAAAAAGGAAGAUGGUUCGCUACAGUUGCGUGUAGACUACCAUGACAAAGUCACCAUCAAAAAUAAAUACCCGUUGCCCAAUAUCAAUGACUUAUGUGAUCAACAUCAAUAAUCUCAGUGUAUUCUAAGAUCAUUUGCAAUCCGAACAUCACCAACUAAAGGUUAAGCCGGAGGAUGUGCAUAAGACUGCGUUUCGGACGCGGUAUGGGCACUAUGAAUUCAAGGUAAUAUCAUUUGGGCUUAUUAAUGCCCCGACAGCAUUCAUGAAUUUAACGAACCAUGUAUUCAAGUCCUUGUUGGACCGGUUUGUCGAAGAGUUCAUACACGACAUCUGGGCCUACUUCCGAAGUAAUGAGGAACAAGAAAAGCAUCUUCGAUUAGUAUUGCAAGUUCUUUGGAAGAAUAAGGUAUAUGCCAAGCUGAAGAAGUGCGACCUUUGGAUUCGUAAGGUCGCCUUUCUGGGUAACGUGAUUUCAAAAAGUGGAUUUUUUAGGAUUUUCUGAGAAUUUUUCUGAUAGAGCUAGAAAAAGCUUAAUUAGCGUAGCUAAGUAAAAAAUAGUGCGCUUAAUUAGCGUAUAUGAUGUUAUCUGGAAAGCCUAACAGAAUUAAGGUAAAAAUAAAGGUUGUUAAAUGAAAAGGUUGUUCCCUAAACCCUAAACCCUAAACCCUAAACCCUAAAACUCUGAUACCAAGAGGGGGGAAAGAGGGGCUAGAGAGUUUAGGCUUGGCUAGUUCCAAGUUUAAGCUUUAGGGUUUAGGGUUUAGGGUUUAGAAGAAGGUGCGGAAAUGAUUUUUAAACACAAACUACAAGUCUGUUGUUAUAAAAAACCCUUAAGAUAAAAACCCUAGGAUUUAUGGAGAAAACCCUAGUCUAUUUAUAAAAACCCUAAGAUAGUAGGAAAAACAAACCUUUGAAAGAAGCAAAAACCUAAAAAGGAUUUUUAAAAUAUUUUUUGGAUUUUUUAGGAUUUUUAGGGAAAUGCGGAAAUAGUAGAGUUGGGUCAGAUUAUGUAAUAUAUUAAAAAUUAAGUAUUAGAAUAUACCGGUUAAAAAGGAUAAGUNCCGAGUUUUAGGAAAAUUGCAUCAUCGAAAAUUUAAUGAGAUAAAGAGUUUUAGAAAUAUAAAAAACAUCUGAAAAAUUUUUAUCUUGAUUUCUAGAAGGGAGUACCAGACGGGACCUACUUUAAAAAAGAUUUGGAAACUUAGUUUAUUUUCUAAAAACGGAAAUUUUAAAUUUGCACUUCAUCCUAUUUUUAUUCAUCCUACAAAUAUCAUUCAAGACAUAUAUUAUUUUCUUUCCGUUCCUCUUUUACUGUGAACUAUUUAUCAAACAAUUUCAUCUAAACAUCCACCUAUCCAUCCCAAUUAAAUUAAUAUCAGUGGACCCAAAGAAAGUUGAAGCGAUAAAGGAUUGUCCCUGAUCAACAAAUGUAAUCGAGAUUUGUGGUUUUCUCGGUCUUGCCGGGUAUUAUCGACGAUUCAUGGAGAGGUUUUCUAUGAUCUUCGGUCCACUGAUGCGCCUUACUUCAUUUGGAGCGAGGAUUGGGAUCAAAGCUUCAAAGAGUUAAAGGUAAGUUGACCACAACUCCAAUUCUUGCCCUGCCAGUUGCAGAGAAGGACUUCGUGGUAUAUAGUGACGCGUCGCGAAACAGUCUUUGGUGCGUGCUGAUGCAACGUGGGCAAGUCAUAGCAUAUGCCUCCCGCCAAUUGAAAAAUUAUAAACAAAAUUAUCCCACUCAUGACUUAAAGCUAGCGGCAGUGGCCUUCGCACUCAAGCUAUUAAGAUACUAUUUGUACGGAGAAUGUUACAAGGUUUACACAGACCAUAAGAGCUUCAAUAUUUAUUCACUCAGAAAGAGUUAAACUUAAGACAACGUAGGUGGUGAGAACUGCUAAAAGAUUAUGACAUAACCAUCUUAUACCAUCCAAAAAAAGCCAAUGCAGUAGCCGAUGCGCUCAACAAAAAGUUCGUGGAAAACCUCAUGAUGAUAAUCAUGAUUCAGCCACGGUUGCUUACGGGAAUAAGGCGAUUCGACAUGGAAGUUGUAAUUCCGGGUGCCCCCACAACACAUGACUUUAAUAAUUCAACCGACCUUGUAGGAGAGAAUAUAAGGGAAAGUCUUUGGACUUGGAACUCUAAAAGGUGCGAGGCGAUAAAAAGUGUAGGUAAGCCAAUGUGUUUGGUAUGAGUUCGGAAGGGACUCUUCGAAUCCGCGAUCGGUUAUGUGCGUCCAAGGACGAGAAAAUUCAUGAAAAAAAAUACUUAGAGAAGCCAUCGAUCUCACUAUACUACUUACCCGGGCAGCACCAAAAUGUACAAAGACUUGAAAAUGCAUUAUUGGCCAAAUAUGAAAAAAGAUAUAGGGUGUUUUAUGGCACAAUGUUUAGUGUACCAACAAGCAUAAGCGAAACAUUGUCUCCCAAUGAGAAAGAUUCAAAAUUUGUUGAAUUCUCAUGUGGAAAUAGGAGAAUAUUUCAAUGGAUUUCAUUGUAGGAUUGCCUCGAUCACGAGAAGGCCAUGAUGCAAUAUGGGUGGUAGUAGACUGCUUGACGAAAUCGGCUCAUUUCUUGCCAAUCCACACCACGUGGUAGAGGGACACGUUGAGGGACACGUUGCCGUGAGUUUAUCUGGAUGACAUUGUGAAUCUGUAUGGGGUUCUAGCAUCCAUAGUAUUGGAUCGAGAUUCCCAGUUUGCAUCACACUUCCGAAUUCCCAGUUUGCAUCGCAAUUUUGGAAGAGCUACAUGAUGCUCUAGGCACUCGGCUCAAUUUUAGCACUCUUCAUCCCCAGACGGACAAUCAGUCAGAAAGGACGAUCCAAAUUUGAGAGGACAUGCUUUGAGCGUGUGUUCUUGAUUUUAGGGUGCAUUACACACUUUCUUGCCUAUGGCAAAAUUCGCUCGAAACAAUGUUCGGGAACUAGUGGAAUGCCCUAAGCAACAAAACAUAAUUGGUACCAAAUGGAUAUUUAAGAACAAGAAAAAUGAAGAUGGUAUCAUAAUACAGAACAAAGCAAGACUUGUUACUCAAGGAUAUUCACCAAUAGAAAGGAUUGAUUUGAAAAAACUUUCACCCCUGCUGCAAAACUUUCGCCCCUGUUGCCCGUCUUGAAUUAUCUAUAUUUUGUUCGCUAUUGCUUGUCAUUUUAAAAUUAAACAUUUUCAAAUGGACAAAAAAAGCGAUUUUCUAAACGAAUUUUUAAAAGAGUACGUUUAUGUUGAACAACCAAAAAGUUUUAUAGAUCCUAACCAUCCAGAUCAUGUAUACUGUUUGAAAAAGACUCUUUACAGUCUCAAACAAGCCCCGCGAGCAUGGUAUGAAAGAUUGAAAAUAUUUAUUGGAAAAGUGCUAUAUCCUAGAGGGAGCAAAUAGAACUCUAUUUGUGAAUAUCGGAACAAUUUUAUUAUGGCACAAAUAUAUGUUGACAAUAUAGUCUUCGGAGCCACAAGAGAUAAAGAUGCCACAAAGUUUGCCGAGAUAAUGAAAAGUGAAUUGAGAUGUCAAUCAUGGGCGAACUUAAUUAUUUUCUCGGGCUGCAAGUCAAACAAUCAAAAGAUGGAAUUCAUUUAUGUCAAUCCAAAUACACGAAGGAUCUGGUCAAGAAAUUUGGGUUGGAGAAUUCUAAAGACUUUCCUACUCCUAUAGGUACAAUUAACAAAGGACUUGGAGUUAGUAUCCUAUGUAAAACUGUUGAUAAAAAACUUUACAGGAGUAUGAUUGGAAGUCUUUUAUGCUUGAUGGCGAGAAAAGCUAAUAUCUCCUUCAGCGUUGGUGUUUGCAUCAAAAUAUCAAGUCAAUCCGAAAGAAAUCCAUCUUAAAGCGAUGAAACGAAUCAUUUGAUAUAUCAAAGGCACCGUAAAUUAUGGUAUUUGGUAACCUAUGGGGACAUCGCUUGAUCUUAUAGGAUACUAAGAUGCCGAUUGGGCUGGUUCGGUUGAUGACAAAAAGUGUACCAGCGGCGCUUGUUUCUAAAGGUCAUUGUCUUGUAGCAUGGCAUAAUAAGAAAUAAAAUUGCAGUCAUAUCAACUGCUGAAGCUAAAGUACAUCUCUGCUGGAAGAUGCUCUACACAAUUCUUGUGGAUGAAAAGCUUAUUGAGCGACUAUCGGAUCCCCUCCAAUACGGUGACACAAUUCUUUGUGACAAUACCAUUGCCAUAAAUAUUUUUAAAAAACCAUGUUUUGCAUUCUCGUACUAAACACAUAAAACUUCAAUAUCACAUUUUACGAGAACUAGUUGAAUCAAAUAUUAUUGAACUUGACUAUAUUGAUGAUCAAUUAGCUGAUAUUUUGACAAAGCCUCUAGAUCAAAAACAUCUUAUACAUCUUCGGAAGGCAAUUGAUAUGAACCCCUCCAUCUAUAGAGAGAGUUCUUUGGGCCUUAGUAAUGCAUGAAUUGGUAUUUAGUGCAUAAUUGUUUGAUUUUAUUACAUUACUUUGAUAAUUAAUUUUGAAUUUAGGUUUGAGUCCGUGAAUUUGUAAAUCACCUUGUACCCUAAAGUUUUCUUAGUGGAUUUUUCAUGUGAUCAAUCCCGUGAGUUUUUUUUCUCAUGGUUGGAGUUUUCCACGUAAAAUUCUCGAUUUGUCCGUUUUAUUUUCUGUUUUAUAUUUAAUACGCGGAGUUAAUUGUGUUUUACGAUCUUUCAUCAUCGCCUGUCACACCAUUGUUGUUAUUCAAAAUUUUAAAUGGGUUAUCGCUGAAUUUUAUUUUAUAGCGAUGGUCUCUAAAAGUUCAUUUAAAUAGGCCUCACGGUAUUGAGAUUUAUAACACAAGUUUGCAUCUGUUCUUUAAUUUGCCUUUUCUGCUGCACUGCUGCACUGCUGCAGUACCACGCUACAUUAUUGUACUAUAUAACUAUUCGUUGCAUAGGCUAGCCUUGAAAUCCUAUCCUUAAAAAUGAAAAAUAUUUGUGUUAUUCUCUGUGAAAUUCCAAUUAGACUAUAAUUAAGCCAAAAUUAAUCUGAAUCUAACCCAAAUUGACUAUGACUAAACCCAAAUUAAGUCCAACACAUGAAAUUAACUUAAAUAAGAAAGUUAAUUUCUAAUCAACUAAUAAGCCUAGGCUACUGCAUAAACAGAAUUCCUCUAUUUCAUGUGAAUAUCAUCAACCUUAUAGCAUGCAUUGUGUGAGAACCCUAUUUCAACAGAACACUCAGGCUGAGCCCAACUGAAACGAACCUUCAGAUGACAAAGAUACAACCCCAAAAAUUCAAACUACAAGAAAUGUCAAAACCAAUGGUUAACUUGCUUGAAAAGCCUUCACAUAAUAUGUUUUGCUGAUGGGAAAAUAACCUGUGCACAAAUAUAUAUCUUGUCUAAUUUGCAUUUGUCAGCAAUGUUGAAAAAAAAAAGAAUUAAUGACUACUAUCUAAUUUCAGAAUAUUGCAAAGAUCAUUUCAUAAUGAAGACAUCAUAGUAAAAGAGAAGGUUCAUCAAAAACCAUACAUGCCAUUAACUGCUUCCACAUAAACAGUUCAACCUUUUAAGAGCAUGUUGCAGAUGUGAGAAUAGCAACGGAGCAUAAUUUCAAAAAUCCAAAUGUGCAAAAUUACUCACCGCAGCAAUUUAUGUCAGCAACAUCCAAGAUGUAUACUUUGGUUUGAUAUAUAUUUAAAUGAUAAUCUCCCCAAAAUUAGUACCUCUCAGCCAUCAAAGUAUCUAACUAUUUGCAUGCAUUCAAGCACAUCGAACCUACGCAUCCUCUGAGGUGCGAUAGUUAAGUAAUUAAUGUCUAAUUCAACAGUUUUAACUGGAUGCGAACACUUUAAUAUAAGCUAAAACAGAUGCAUUUCAUGCCUCCUACAUACUUGCGUAAUUAUUUAGAAUAAAAAGGACUUGACAUUCAAAGAGGAUCAUUUUGAAAACACGUAAUCUCAUACCUUGGGCAACUCUUUGGCCUUUUCGGCAUGACCAACACCAGCAACCACCGGCAUCCGCCUGCAAAAACACAUAAACAAGUUGUCAAAAUAAACAUGCAAAUGGAACCAAGAGAGGAGUAAAAAGAGUUUAGACAGCGGAACUGGAGGCAGAAAUCAAAGGCUCCUUCAACCAUGUCGUCAACGGUGUUAAGUAUUUCAUUGAUGAAGAGCUGUGGGUUGAGGCCUAAGACAUCGAAGAUCGCCUCGCUCUCCCUCACCUUCAUUCCUUAAUGCUGCCAAAAGUGCCUUCAAGAUCCUAAAUCAGAAAGUUUAAACAGUAAACAAGAUAAAGCUUGCACUCUGCAUAGUGCAUACUAACAUAUCUAAAGUCUAAACAGUAAACAAAUAAAAGAUAAUUAACCCCACUCCAUUGGUUCUGAGUCUUCAGACAGCAGCAAACAAAUUAAUGGAUGUAAGUAUGUAACAACAACAUAAUUAGGACUAAUAUGGAAAUCUGGAGUUUAUAGGAAGAGAAGGUUUUUUUGAGUGAAAGAAAAACACAACAGCAACAAUAUCAACCAUAUAAAUAAGAGAAAACUGUCACAAUAGAAAUCAAAGUUAACUAGGGAGAAACAAACAAUAUUGCAAGGAUUUUAAAGAUUUGGCACAUAACAUGCAGAUAAUAGCAAAUAUUAACUCCACUCGUAGUCAUGGAAAAUAUGAAUUUGUAGUUUUGUACCAGAUGAAGUGGGCAUGCGGCGGCGGAACAGCGGAACUCGGAACCAGAUUGCGAGUGGUGCGCGGCCACGCGGGGGGUUCCGAUGGCGAGCGGCGCGCGGUCGGGAUGGUUCAAAACUUCCGAUGGUGAGCAGCGCUCGGCCUCGCGGGGGGUUCCAGUGGCGAGCGGCGCGCGGCCGUGGUGGUUCCGAACUUCCGAUGCUCGGCCUCGCGGGGGGUUCCGAUGGCGAGCGGUGCGCUGCAGGGGUGGUUCCGAACUUCCGAUGCUCGGCCUCGUGGGGCGUUCCGAUGGCGAGCGGUGCGCGGCCCGGGGCGAGUUGGGUUCUAAAGAACCCGAUCUUCGAUGUCGAGCGGUGCGCGGCCCGGGGCGAGUUGGGUUCUAAAAAACCCGAUCUUCGAUGUCGAGCGGCGAGUGGCGCUGCAGGGACUGCCGAUGGCGAUCGGCGAGCGACCGGAAGGGAAGGGGAGGGGAGGGGAUGGGGGCGGAGGCAGGAGCAAGAAGAUAGGGCGAAAAGUUUUGAGCGACUAGGUUUUUUUAUGUUUUUUUUUUCUUUUUUUCCCCGUUUUGAGCGAGAGUGGGAAGAGGAGCAUCACGAACUCAGCGUUUUCGUUCGCAGUGUCCCUGCUGCACCCACUUUUUUUCACAAAAAUGGACGAGUCUUUGCUGCACCCACUUUUUUUCACAAAAAUGGACGAGUCUUUGUCUCGAUUGCUAAUCCGAACCUUCGCUUUCUAUAAAUAAAUAUAUAAAAAAAAAUAAGAAAAAAAAUAUAGACUUUCUCAAAAAACUAAGUAUUAUACUACUUAGAAAAAAAAAAUUAUAGCAUACAAACACACUUUCUUGUGUAUUUUGGCCUUAGCCAAAUUUUACUAUUUCUAAUGAUACAUAGAACCUAGUUACAUAACUCACCUACUAACCUAUUUAUAAUGAGCACUCAUAAUAGCCAAAAGCACAAGAGUCACACCAUAACUCAUGGCUGUUUUGCAACCCUUGAGUUUUCUACAGCGGGUUGGAUUUGGAUCUUCUUGACAACCCGAUUCAACCUGUUUUCGCUAGCAGAGUCGGGCCGGAAACCGGACUGCAAUAGAAUUUUUCUAAAUCCCUGACAGUACGGACACCCCGGGAUAAGCCACGAUUUUCUGAUAUAUAACUUUUAGAUAAAAAUUAUAUUGUUUUUAGGAAUAAGAUAAAUAGUAAUUAGAUUGUUAGAUUGGAACAGAGAAAAUAAGAGUUAUAAUUUUAAAUUAAAAUUAUUUUUUUCUAAUUAAUUAACAUCAAAAUAUUACUUAAAAAAUAAAAUAAUAUUAAUAAUUAUAAAUAUUGUAAUUUUAAAUUACAAAUAUUUUAUCUAAUUAAUUAACAUCAAAAUAUUAAUUAAAAAUAAUUCAAUAAAUUAAUAAAUUUAUUAGCUAUUAAUAUAACAGUAAACUAAUAAAUAUUAUUUAAUUAAUUAGUUAAUUAAUAUAUUAAUUAAUUAGUUAAUUAUAAAAUUAACUUAACUUUUUAAUUAGUUUGUAAAUUAUUUUAGUUAGAUAAUUAGUUAAAAAUUAAAUUGAUUAGUCAUAAUAUUAAUGAUUGAUCAAUAUUAUUGAAUAAAUUCAUUAAAAUAUUAAUAAGUAAUAUAUUAAUUAAUUAGUUAAUUAAUAUAUUAAUUAAUUAGUUAAUUAUAAAAUUAACUUAACUUUUUAAUUAGUUUGUAAAUUAUUUUAGUUAGAUAAUUAGUUAAAAAUUAAAUAGAUUAGUCAUAAUAUUAAUGAUUGAUCAAUAUUAUUGAAUAAAUUCAUUAAAAUAUUAAUUUUUAAUUAGUUAAUUAAUUAUAAAUAAUAAAUUAAUUAAUUAUCUUACUAUUAAAGCAAUAGGUGUUACGCCCCGCGACCGCCAAUUUGGUCGGUUCGGGUACAUCUACAGACGCCGAACGGACAGAACCUCUCCUGUCCGCCCAAGGCUCCACACAACAUCAAUAUGUAUAACAAUUUGCGCAAGUAGAAUUUGGAUAUAUAUGCCUUGCACGAGAGCAAGCAACAACCAAGUAAGUGAAAGUACUUCUACUAUCUUGAUUACAUUUAACCAAAUACGAGUUUGCCAUAUAUAUUACAUUCACUUUUUCUUCCAAAUACAUAACAUGUUCAUUUACGUCACACUUUUCAUCAUAUACAAAAGAUGAAGAAAAUAGGGUAUAAGCUAUACUCGACGGUAGCCUGCUACCUAGGGCGCGAUGCCCUUACCGCGAUCCUCGACCGCCCCGCUCGCGCUAGGAUCUGCAAGGUUAGUGAUGUGAGAACUAAUGAAAAUUUUCAGUGGGUUCGGCCGCCGACCCCGCCGACUCACCCACUAAGUCUACUCAGACAUAUAUAGAAAAAGAAGAGAUAGAUAGCAAACCAUACUAAUGCUAUUACAAUAUCUAUACAAAAACUGAUCAACAAGUAAUAUGCUCAUGAUGCAUAUAUUUCACUUUUACCUUUGCUUUUACCCAAUUCUCAUGGUUAACUUAUGGUUAAUCCCAACUCACCAACCAAAUCCUUUUCUGUCGGGAAAAAUUUCGUUACAAUCCGACGGGACCGUCUACUAGGGAGAAUGCUGCUACAACCCAAUUGGUGACCACUCCGAAGCUCAACGCUUGAGGUAGAACGAUCACCCUCAAGCAUAUUAGACCAACUGUGAGUAUAAUCCCAAUGGGUUAGAGUAAUUUUGUGUUUGGUUGAGUAAUUCCUAGGGAGGGGUAGGGUUAAGGGUGGGGUUAGCUAGGGUUAGCUAACCCCACCACAGUUUGCGGUCGGGACACCCCCCCCCAAUUCUUGUUUGGGGUUAAGAGGGGGAUAACCUUGUUAUCCCCUCCUUCAACCCCGAACCAAACGGUGUGAAAAGGUUUUACCUUGUCUAGCACACCAUGUAUUUAGGUGCUAUUCAUUCCCUGUAGUCACAAUGUCACCUUAUUUAUUAUUGUCAUAGUCCAACACUCAAUUCAUAAAUUUAUAGGGUUUCUAUAUGCAUGGUCCAUUAUCAUUUCGUAUGUACUUUACAUUGAAAGCAUACAAGAGAUCCCAUAUCUUAACCACAUAUCACAAUAACCCUACCAUGCAUGAAUGCCACAUGUGUACAUAUAUGCUCAAAAAGGUGAUAUAGAUAUAAUGAGAAAUUCGAUGAUUUCGGAUAGCACCACCCACCUCGUAGUGAUGCCGAAGGGCUAAAACCCAAGCUUCACGAUUUAUGGUCGCCGAUUUUCCUUAACCCUCGACAAACGAAGCUGAAAUGAGGUUUUUACCUCAAUAACUCGACGUAGACUCAUCGGAAUUCCAAGCCAAGUCUUCUAACACAUCAGUUUAUACUCCAAUUAAGGCUACAAGAGAUCAAAUCUGUGUUAGAUCUCAUACUUUGUAAAACCCUAUUUUUAACCUUGGGUUUUCAUCAUCAUCAAAUACCCAAUAUUUUUGGGGGAUUCGUGAGAUAAUCUAACUUAGCAUCUUCUAAGAACAUCAACUAGAAGAGAGUUAACCAAACCAUAGCUCACAAUUACACAAACUCACCUCAACUUCUAGCUUCUUCCUCCACUCAAGCACAAGAGCAUAGCUUCACCCCCAAGCCUGCUUUCUUCUCCACCAAGCUCCACUAUUGGAGCAAACCCUAGAGAGAGAAAGGGAGAAAGGGAGAAAGUAGAAAGUGAGAGAAAGUUCUAGAGAGAGAAAGAGAGCUUUUCCUCUUUGGUCUCAUAUGAGGGAAAUGAGGGCUAGGAUAUAGAACCCAUAUAUUAACCCUCCCAAAUGACACUUGCACCAAGGCCCCUCACAAAAUUAAUAUUUUGGACCAACCAAAAUUUUUGCGUGUUCAGGGUCGGGACCUUGCACUCAAGGUAUGAACCACGAGAGCAAUUUUUCACUGUCUCACAACCAGGGUUCUGACCUUACUGCCAGGGCCCGGACCCCGAGAGCAAAAGCGUGCUCAAUCGACUCGAAACUUCCCAAUUUGCUCUCCAAGGUCCCAAACACCUAUCCAAACCCUUAUGAAGCAUUCGGAAUAUCUCACAGACCUCACCAUCUUGUCCAUCACCAGACUUUGGUCAAUUUGACUGAAGUUCGGUACAUCCUAUCAGGGAUUUGGUAUAUCACAUGCUCCACCCCUUAAACAUAGUUUCGUCCACGAAACUCAAAUUUCAUACCUUAGCUCAUCUACUCAAAUAGAUGAUGAUAGGUUUCUCGCAUCGUCUCCUCGAGAUCCUAAGUGGCUUCAUGCCUUGCAUGAUUGCUCCACUGAACCUUUACAUACGGAAUUGUACGAUCCGCAAUUCCCUCACCUCUCGAGCAAGGAUGCACACCGAAAAUUCUUCAUAGGUCACAUCCUCGUGCAACUCCACCGGUUCAUAUUCCAAGACAUGAGAGGAAUUAUGGGCAUACUUACGGAGAUUGGAUAUAUGGAACACAUUGUGAACUCCCGCAAGCCUCGGUGGUGAUGCAAGUUUAUAUGCCACCGCACCUACAUGCUCUAGAACCUCAUAUGGUCCAAUGUAUCGGAGGCUAAGCUUUCCCCGAAUACCAAACCGCUUCACACCACGCAUGGGUGAUACUUUCAGGAAAACGCGGUCUCCCACCGUGAACUCGAGAUCUUUUCGGCGUUUAUUAGCACAACUCUGCUGUCGAGUUUGUGCUGUCAAAAGCCGCUGGCGAGUAAGGCGAACUUUCUCUUCCGCCUCCCACAACACAUCCGAACUAAGGGUGGCCUUUUCACCCACUUCGAUCUAAUGAAUAGAGGAGUGACACUUUCUUCCAUAAAGAGCCUCGAAUGGCGCUGUGAGGUGCUGGCUCCUCGGCCUAUGGUGCCACUUUUGGUCAAAGUGACCGAAGCAUGGCGAGAGGAACCGUUGGACAUAAUUUGUAUGUCGUCCCGAAAGCCUCGAAAUUAUUAGAGGUGAGUUUCGGAAGUAUUUAAGUGGUUUUGACAUUGAUUGGGGCGAAAUUGGACUUAAACUGUAGCACACUGAACUUUAGCAAAUUGCAAGUGUCACGCCCCGAGACCGCUACCAAUUUGGUACGGUCCGGGCGCGUCGAACAGACGCCGAACAGACAGGACCUCCCCUGUCCACCGAAGGCCAAGCAACUGAUCAUGUAUAAGAAUUUACCCAGGAGUCAAUUCAUAAAUACACGAUCGCAAGGAGCACCACCAGUGCUAACAAACAAGAGCAAGAUACAAGUAUGAGACAUACAAGUAAAUAAAGAGAGAAGGUUCUAUCUAUUACAUUCAUUCCACUUAAUACAUCGAUUUGCUUUUGUCACGCCCCGGGACCCAGCGGAAGCCGGCCCGGCACGUGCCCAGACCCGCCAUAUGUCUAAAACAUAUAAGGCGUCUAAAAACAACAAUAGUAAAAGCAGUAGUAAAAGGCAUCUAGGAGUAUCAGAGCAUAAUAAAUGUCUAAAUGCUACAACAAAGGAUAAGGAUAAAACUGUAAAUCCACUAAAACAUAAAGUGAUACAAGGAAAAGCCCAGAUAUAAGUGCUAAAAGUAGAUACAUAGGUGGUCUCUAUACAUGGAUACAAAAUCUCUCACUCUCUCUCAACUACAAAAGAAAGAGCAAGCCACCUAGGCAAAGUACCGCUCCUCGCUAGCUAGCUAAGCGAUUCCCUUGCCGCGAUCCCGUGCCUCCGCCGGUGCCGAAGGCUCUGAAAAGUAAACCAUAAAACAGGGGCAUGAGAACUAUUAAAAAUAGUUCCCAGUGGGCAAUUACUGACUUCAGUGAAUGCACCACAGGGCCCAAAGCUACAAAGGGUGUCAGUGACUAUAAAUGCAGAAAAGCGAAAGGUAAGUAAAAAUUUAACUUACUACAAUAUGAUAUCUCUACUUAGCAUAAAUAGCACAAGUAUGAAGCAACUAUGCAUGAAGUAAAAGUCUCUAACUAUCAUAAUGUUCACAAUGCGAAAUAGUAAAGUUCCGUUGUUUACUAUUCUAGUCAAUGUCCAAGUAGUACACUAAGUCAUCAUCUGUCCACAUGUCAUGACGAAUACUCGAAGUCAAAUCUGAAGAGACCCACCCGAAGGCUGUCUAUGGCCCUGAGACCCACCCGUAGGCUGUCUGGCCGGUGCCGAGCCUAAUGGCCCCGUGGUAGUCAUCAUCCCCACCCUAGGAAUGAGCCUGUCCCACGGCAAUCCACUUCGGCGCCCAAUCCCGCACGGCGAAUAUGAAUCGCGAUGGCUAUCUCCGGAGUGCCGGCUUGUAGGGAGCGACCCUCACAAGCAUGUGCGAAUGAGCACAAUGGCAAGUAGUCAAACGAUCUGUCGCAAGUACCAAGUCCUCAUGUCUAAUAACAUGGAAUGUAUCGAAUGUCCCAAAGGCCUAUCUCUAUGUCAUCAUGUCUCUAACAUGGAAUAUAUAGCAGAUGUACAAUGGCCUAUCAUCAUGUCUCUAAGUUGCAUUUUCAUAGUUUACUAAUUCCAAGUGCCCCUUUAUGACACUUUUGUUCAACGAGUCCCAAGCAUGGCAUUAAUAUGUUCAUGAUGCAUAGUUCACUCAAUUCUAGCAUGGAGACAUGUUCUCAACUUGCAAAACCAAGCACUAUCCACAAUGCAUGCAAUCUACACAUAUAGCUCUACUAUAUGGAGUACAAAUUUUACGAUACAUGAGGCAUGCAUGUUAAGUGUUCUAAAAUUCAUAUAAAUCAUGUUUAGCAUGAAUUUGCAUUCAAAAAUACUUUACAAAAAGUUUGGAAGGCAUAGGGGUCAUUUUGCCCCAUUUUCAUGAAGUCAAACCCACCAAAAUCGACUUCUUCGUUUCGCCGAACGAAGGUAUCCACAAGCUUCCUAGUACCCUCAAGUGAAAACCCUCUCUUAAUCUUCAAAUGGAAGGUAGGGGUCUUCCAAUCUAACCUCAAGAGGAGCUCCAAUCCAAGCACUUCAACCAAGUAGGGUUGAAGUUCGAUCCUCCACAAAGCUCCAAUCGCAAGUUCAAAGCCACCAAGGUGAGAAAUGGGGAAGAAGAUGAUGCUCCAAGGCCUCUAAGCAAGCUCCUUCUCCUCUUCUCCUUCUUCUUCUCCCUCUCUUCUUCUCUCUCUAAAAUGCAAAGGGUUGAGAGAAAUAAGGGAAAGAGAGAGAGGAAAGNGAAGACGCGUUCGGGAACCGGUCUCGCCUGCCAGGGACCGGUUGCCUCAGGCUGUCUCAACCCUGCUCACUGGGGGGACCGGUCUCUCCUUCCAGGGACCGGUCCCCGAGAGUAAAACUCUCAGGACUUGUCCAGAAUUCCAGUUUUCGAACUUUUUAGGUCGGAAUACAUUCUACAACCCUCCACUAAGUGUGGAAAAGCUCGAAAUACAUCCAAACACUCGAACCUCGCAAUUUGCAAAGGUCCAGUGUGUUAUACAGACCUUCUCUUCCACCUCUCGCAACACAUCGGGGCCGAAUUCCGUGCGCUCGCCCACAUCGCUCCAAUAAAUGGGAGAUUGGCACUUCCGCCCAUAAAGGGCCUCGAACGGUGCCAUCUCCACACUAGCGUGAUAACUAUUGUUGUAGGCGAACUCGGCCAUUGGCAAAUAUUUGCACCAGCCUCCUUUGUAGUCGAUGACACAAGAUCGCAACAUAUCCUCCAGAGUCUGAAUAGUCCUUUCAAUUUGUCCAUCCGUCUGGGGUUGAAAUGCAGUGCUGAAGUCGAGCCGUGUGCCAAGGGCCUCCUGCAGGCUUUCCUAGAAAUGUGAAGUGAACUUGGGGUCUCUAUCCGACACAAUUGACUUCGGUACCCCGUGUAACCUCACUACCUCAUCAAGAUAUAUCUGCGCCAACUUAUCUCCCGCCCAGGUGGUGUGGACCGGCAAAAAGUGCGCUGACUUCGUCAAGCAGUCCACAAUCACUCAUAUUGCGUCGUGGCCCCCUGUCGAGCGAGGCAAUCCAAUAAUGAAAUCCAUAGAUAUAUCCUCCCAUUUCCAGACGGGGAUAGGUAGGCUUUAAAGCUUUUCCGCUGGAAACCGGCGCUCCGCUUUCACUUGCUGACAAGUCAAACACUUCGCCACGAAGCGCCCAAUAUCAACUUUCAUCCCCGGCCACCAAUAGAGUGCUCUCAACUCAUGAUACAUCUUGGUGCCGCUCGGGUGAUCAGUGUAUGAAGACCGGUGGGCUUCUUGCAAGAUCAACUCGCGAAGCUCUUCAUUCUCGGGCACGCACCACCGGUUUCGAAACCGGAGCGCGCCACCGGCGUCCACACUAAAAUCGCCGCCUCGACCUUUCUCGAUGUUGCGUCGCACCUUUUGGAGACUCGGAUCUGCAGGUUGCAAAUUCUUGAUCCUCUCCAAUAAGGUCGGUUGAACAACGAGUGCCAUCAACUGAGUCGGAACCUCGGGAGCGACCACUUCGAGGUCCAGUCGCUCCAUCUCCAGCCCUAGGGGUGUUUGCCGGGUAACAUCAAAAGCGAGGUUCUUCACCGACUUUCUACUAAACGCAUCCGCGACCACAUUUGCUUUGCCGGGGUGGUAGAGAAUGUCAACAUCAUAAUCUUUUAAUAGCUUUAGCCACCGCCUUUGUCGUAUAUUUAGCUCCUUCUGGGUAAAUAAAUACUUCAGACUUUUGUGGUCGGUGUAGAUCUCGCAGUGUGCACCAUAUAGGUAGUGCCUCCACAACUUCAGCGCAAAGAUCACCGCCGCCAACUUCAAGUCAUGAAUGGGAUAAUUCUUCUCCUGGCCUUUUAACUGACGGGAUGCAUAAGCUAUCACUCUCCCGCCUUGCAUCAGGACACACCCUAGACCCAGAUAAGAUGCGUCACUAUAGACCGCAAAGUCCUCGCCCUGCACUGGUAAGGCAAGUAUCGGAGCCGACGUUAACCUUUUCUUCAACUCGUUGAAGCUUUGGUCACAUUCGUCGCUCCAAAUAAACUUGACGCCCUUCUAAGCGGAGUCACAAUCUUCGAAAAACCCUCCACAAACCGUCGAUAGUAGCCCGCUAAGCCUAUAAAGCUUCGGACCUCCGUGACGUUCGUUGGACGCGGCCAAUUCUCGACUUCUUCGACUUUCCUCGGGUCAACCGAAACACCACCCUCGGAAAUCACGUGCCCCAGGAAGGCGACCUCUCGAAGCCAGAAGUCACAUUUCUUUAACUUUGCGAAUAGCUUCUCCUCCCAAAGGAUUUGAAGCACUAUCCGCAAAUGCUCCGCAUGCUCCUCAUCGCUUCGCGAAUAGACCAAGAUGUCGUCUAUGAAGACCACGACAAAUCGGCCCAAGCACGCUUUGAACACAUGGUUCAUUAGAUCCAUGAAUGCUGCUGGGGCAUUAGUCAGCCCGAAAGGCAUAACUGUGUACUCAUAGUGUCCAUGCCGCGUACGAAACGCGGUCUUCUGAACAUCCUCCGACUUAAUCUUUAACUGAUGAUAGCCAGACUGUAGGUCUAUCUUCGAGUACACUUGUGACCCCUGUAACUGAUCAAAUAAGUCAUCAAUUCGGGGCAACGGGUACUUAUUCUUUAUCGUGACCUUAUUCAACUCUCGAUAAUCUACGCAGAGUCGAAACGAGCCAUCCUUCUUGCGCACGAACAACACCGGGGCUCCCCACGGCGAUACACUUGGCCUGAUAAACCCCUUAUCGAGGAGAUCUUGUAGCUGGUCCCUCAGUUCUCUUAACUUUGCCGGUGCCAUGCGGUAUGGGGCCUUUGAGAUCGGCGUCGUCCCGGGAGCCAAGUCUAUAAUGAACUUGAUCGCCCGAUCCGGCGGCAUCCCCGGUAACUGCGCAGGAAAUACAUCUGGAAAUUCCCGCACCAUUGAUAAUUCCUCUAAAUUCGGAGCCACUCGGUCCACCUCCACGAUGGUCGCCAAAAAUGCUAUGCAGCCGCCAUUGACAAACUUUCUAGCUCUCGUCGCUGAUACCGUCGCGAUGAAGCAAGAGCUUCGACAAGCUCGAUAAACGAACUCCUUCUGUCAUGGCUCCCAAAAGGUGAUCAAUUUAUUCUUACAAUUGAUCGUGGCGUAAUACUUCGAGAGCUAGUCCAUGCCCAAAAUGACGUCAUACGCCUCCAGUUUAUUGAGUUCCAAUAUCCGGAUGGGCAUUAUCCACUCGUCUACUUGUACUGGGCACGACGAGCACUCCGUGUAGGUAUUGAAUGACGACUCAGGGCCUUCAACUCGCCACUUGCCACUUGCUUCUAUAUGUAUGUCGUGCAUGCGUGCAAAUGCUCUACUAAUGAACGAAUGCGUGGCACGUGUAUCAAACAUAGCCCUGGAGCGAACUCUGUUAAUCAAAACCAUACCUGCCACAACGUUAGGCUCCUCGGCUUGGGUAGACUCCUCGGCUUGGGCCUGAGCGGCGAAUACCCGUCCGCUCGGCGCUGAUCGAGUCACCUCCGGCUCACGCGGCAUCAGGGCGCGUCCCGCUGAUACGGGAAUAUAUGAGGCCCCUCCAUGAUGAGGCGGGGGUGCUGGAGUCGACGCGGCUGACGGAGUAGACGAGGCCCUUGUUGGACAGUCGCGGCUUAUGUGCCCUUCCUGUCCGCAGUCGUAGCAUUUACCUUGACGUUGCCUACACUGCGGCGCUCGAUGACCCUGGCCUCCACAGAUAAUGCAUUGCUGCGGCCCACGGCCCCAUGACUGCGACCGCGGAUACUUCGGGGGCCUCCUGGAACUAGAUUGUCCUCCCGAAUCGCCGCCCGAUCGCUUCCUCCCUUUGUCUUGAAGUCCCGCCAGCAGCUCACAUUCCUCCCGCACAUGGGCAUCUCCAUGCUCUGCCCACAGCGCCCGGUCAAAAACUUCGGCGAAAGUCGUGAGCUUGAACAACUGCACUGCCCGAUAUAUCCACGGCCGAAGUCCCCGCAAGAACCAUUCGGCCCUGUCCCCGUCAUCUUUAACCACAUCUGGGACACAGUCUAUAAUAUGGGAGAACUCCUGCUCGUAAUCUGCCACUGAACGGUCCCCCUGUCUCAAUUUGCAAAACUUCUCCUUCAACUUCCGCUUCUUGGUGUCGAGGAAGUAAUUUCCAAAUAUUGCCCCCUUAAACUCCUCCCAGAGCAUUGGUGGAAGGUCAGAGGGCCGAUCCCGCUUCAACCGCUUUCACCACACUUUUGCAGCCUUCUCGAGGCAAUGGGUGGCGAGGGUACCUUGUCCUUCUCCGAGGUAUAUAGGUCCUCGAAGAGGGUCUCCAUAGAGUCAAUCCAGGACUCCACCACUGACGGCUCCACCUUCCCCCCUUCAAAGGCUGGUGGCUUAAACUUCAUGAAUUUAAUUAGAGCCGUCAGCGCAGGCUCCCGCUCCACUUCCUCAGUCGUCGUAUCAAGUGUCGCCGAACCCGAAGCUGUCGGAGGUGCACUUGCCGGCGGGGGACAGGCAGCCACCGGAACCGCUGCUAUGCCCUCACCCUCGGCCGCUAUCGGCGCGCGCGCCGAAGGUGUGGGUGGAUUGCGACCCUCUGUCGCUGUCGCGGUCGCCGCCGCCGCUCCACGAAUCCCUGAGCUGCUCAAACCGAGCCUCUUGGCACUGCAUCGCGUCCAACAUCGCAGCGACCUGCUCACGCAGUUCCUGUACUUCCUCCGAUCUUGGCUACUCGGGAACCGCAGAAGGCGGUACCGAAACAGACAUACGUACAUAACGUCUUGGGGACAUUUGCUCCUGAAAAGCAACAACUUGGUUAGUUAUCUUAAUCCGAUAACUUCCUAGCGUUCGCGAAAUAAACGACUCGGCAAUGAAAUUGGGAGGAAGUACACAAGUGUUCUAGUUCUGGACUCUUAGCGUCGCGUCGUCGGCCGCCGACACAACCACUACGAGCCAAGAAACUAGUGUCACUUGGAUCCGUCUCUAUUCACAGCUAGAGACAUAACUUCAACUCCGACCUAAUCGAUUAACCUCCGCCACCGUCAUGGGUUCACGUUCACUCACGCCCCUAUAAUCUUAAAGUUUACCAACCUAGGGUCUCCUAGGUCAUCCUAGACUCUCUCUUUACUUGCUCUUAACGCUUUGAUACCAUUUUUAUUUGUCAUGCCCCGAGACCGCUACCAAUUUGGUACGGUCCGGGCGCGUCGAACAGACGCUGAACGGACAGGACCUCCCCUGUCUGCCCAAGGCCAAGCAACUGAUCAUGUAUAAAAAUUUACCCAGGAGUCAAUUCAUAAAUACACGAUCGCAAGAAGCACCACCAGUGCUAACAAACAAGAGCAAGAUACAAGUAUGAGACAUACAAGUAAAUAAAGAGAGAAGGUUCUAUCUAUUACAUUCAUUCCACUUAAUACAUCGAUUUGCUUUCAAAACAUAAACAUAAAUAUACCAUGCUUUUACAUCUUCCAAAAUAACCUCACACCUAUACAUCAUCUACUCUCAAAUACAAAAGGGGACGGCUAAUGCAAAAGGAAGUAAAGCUAGCUACGUACAUAUACCACUAGGGCGCUAUGCCCUUGCCACGAUCCUCGUGCUCGCCGGGGACACUCGAACUCAGACCUGUAAAGAGUGGGGUGAGAACUAUCUUCCAUAGUUCCUAGUGGGUUCGGCCGCCGACUCCGCCGGUCUUCCCACUAGGUCCAAGUGGGCACAAGUAGAUAAACAGAUAGAUAGAUAUGAAAAGCUGUGAAACAGAAUAGUAAAGCUACACUACUGUGCCCGAAUCAUGAAUAUGGAGAGUGCAUGCACAAUGAAGUAGAUAAUCAACUAGCUUAUCAUAUGUCCAAGAAGUAAGGCUAUUUACUUGUCCAUUAAUCUCAUGGCUCACUCAAGGAUUCGCCUACUACUCACAUAGCCAUCUCGACGCAUAGGGAGACUAGACUCAAACUACGAAUCCGAGACCGUCUGCGGGACCCCACAUAGGCCAUCCCUCGUAGGGAUGCAAACGGGGCGGAUCUGGGGGCGGGAGAGUUCCCCCACCUCCCGCUCCAUUUCUUAUCUAGGCGGGACGGAUUCGGGGCGGGUUACUUUUCAUUUUAUUUUUGGCUCCCACUUACCGCUCCAUUCGGGGCGGAUCGGUGCGGGAGCGGGGCGGGAGCGGAGUUUUAACGGAUCGGGGUAGAUUGAAGGAAGAAAAGAGUCUCCCGCCUCCCGCUCCAUUUACUUGGCGGAUCGGGGCGGAUUCGGGGCGGGUUAUAUUUUUCUAUAUUUUUUGUCCCCACUUACCACCCCAUUCGGGGCGGAUUGGGGCGGAGCUACACCAACCCGGAUCCAUUUGCAUCCCUAAUCCCUCGCGACCCCAAAUAGACCUUCCCUAUCCCAUGGGACCCCAAAUAGGCUAUCCCACGUGACCAACUUCCACGCUUCACCCAUGGAGAAAAGUGCACCAAGAGGGAAAAGAGAGAGAUCAACACAUAAAUCCCAAGCUAAAAAUGAGAUCAAAACCAAAGAGAAGCAUGGAGGAGCUCCCCUUACCUUCUCCCUACUAUGGCAAGCUCAAAGAGCAGCCCUAGGGGCGUGGGUGCUGUUAUAGAGAAGCCACAUUGCAAAAACACCCCUGCAGUUUCGAUCAUUCAAAAACUGUCACUGCGUACCGGUACACGGGCCCACGUACCGGUACACAUCCUACAAAAUAGCCAAACCCGAGCCUCGGGUUGGCUGAGAAGCAGCCAAUGUUGAUGGCUGUACCGGUACAGCCAUCACCCCGUACCAGUACACAGCCCUCUGAAGGCUACCCGAGAGCUAACCAAAAAUCCGAUUUUUCGGGUUUUGGUGCUAGGCUUUAAACCUCACUUCUCGAGGUUCGAACCAUAGGUCUGAACACUAUCAACGACCCACCAGAAAGUCUGGAAAAGCUCAGGAUACAUCCAAUCACUCGAAUCUCGUAAUUUGCAAAGGUCCAGUGUGCUACAUUCACCCCUCCUAAAAAGGAGUUUCCUCCGCAAAACUCAAAAGUAAAGUACCUCAAGCCUCCAUCUGAAAAAAAUGGGGAUAGCGUUCCCGCAGUGCGCUCUCCAACUCCUAAGUGGCCUCGUGCUCGUCGUGGUUGCUCCAAAGCACCCUCACGUAGGGAAUCUCACAGUUCCAAAGCACCAUCACAUUCCAAGAGUAGGAAUGUUGGGCUACCACAGGCACUUAGGCGGCGCAAGCUGGACUACCUUGGGUAGGUCCUUAAUUGGAAAUGGAAAUCGACACAGUAUUGAGUGUGUUAUAAUCACUACUAGAUAGAGAGUAGUAGUUGGAUUACUUGGAUUUGCUUCUAGCAUAGUGUUGGACACUUGAGUAUACAUACAUACAUGUAGCAUGCUAGGAGAUGUUGUUCAUUGCAUUCACGUAAACAUUGUUUACUAUAGUAAAGCAUGAUCUUCAUAAAUUCAUAAAACAAAUUAUGAUUGUUACUUGUGGUCAUGUAGGGACAUACUUGUUCAUUAUGAAUUAAAGGUGCAUCUUAAUUAAGACAAUGUAGUAUCUUAGCAUUUUAAUUAUGCCUUCUUAAAUGCAAACCAUUCAUGAUUAUUAUUGCUCUUUUUUUUAACUUACCCUUUCUUUGGGGCCUAGUGGUGCAUUGAGCUGAGGUCAGUAAUUGCCCACUAGGAACUAUAAAUUAUAGUUCUCACGCCCUCUGCUUUCUGUUUUCUGUCAGAGCCUUCCACGCCAGGAGAGGCUAGGGACCGCGGGAAGGGCGUUGCUUCGAGCUAGCUCUUCUGUGAGGGACGACUUGAUAGGUGGUUUACCUCUCGAGGUUUUUAUUUUGGAAAGGUUGAGAGUUGUACCAGUGUACUAGAGACCACUCUUUUGUGUACCUUUUUGGACAGAUAUUGUAUAACUAUAUGUUUCACUUUUAUUGCUUUAGCAUUUCUCUUUUACCUUGUUGUAGAUGAUAGCUCUAUUUGUGCUCUGAUAUCUCUAGAUGUUAUUGAUUUUUUUAGCUUUAUUUUUUCGCUGUUGUUUAGAUGCCUUAUAUGUGUUGACAUAUGGCGGGUCUGGGCACGCUACCGGGAGGGAUUCUGCCGGUCCCGGGGCGUGACAGAUUAGUUUGGUAUCAGAGCCUAUGGUUGAGUCUUAGUGGACCUAGUAAACCUUAGGCCGGUUGGACUAUAGGAAAUAGGCUCGUGAGAGACGAGGUCUAAUCUAAUUGUUAGUGAAAGUAUUUCGAUUGGGUUUGAUGAUAACUCUAAAAAGUUAGAGUUUGAUCGGAGUGUAUGGCUUCUAACUUCGCGGAGGGUUACGUUGGCGACCGACAACGUAACAUCGGGAGUUAGUAGUGAAGGACACUUUCUUACUUUCGCAUGAUUUGGGUACUUAUCUAUUUGAGCGGGGUUGCGAUAGCGUGGGUUUUACUAACUUGCGCUUUUAUGAUGUUAUAGUGACAAUGCCGACGACUCGCUCUAUGUCUAUCGGAGCGGACAAUGCGACGAACUUUGAGGAGGUGGAGACCUCCGCUACCUCCGGAUCCGGCGAGGUCCGUGAGUUGAGGAGCCGGCUGGCGGCCCUCACUGAUUUGGUCGCGCAGCAGGCAGGGGCAGCACGACAGCAGGCGGAUGCGGCGCGCCGACAGGAGGAGCGGAUGGAGCGACUGGAGGAUUUGCUUAGGCUGGUGGCUGCCAGGGAGGCAUAGGUGUCCACACCCCCACCAGCACCGGCAGUGAUAGCGACACCGAGGGCGCCGUCUCCAGGGCCCGGUACUCCGCGGACAUCAUCGGAUAUUGCACCUCGGGGAGAGGAGUUCGUGGCACCACCGGCGCGAGCAUCUGUAGCGGGGGCGGUUUUUCCCGUGAUGGUUGAGGGAGCUGAGCGGGAUCAGCUCAUGGAGCGCCUUAGUGAGUUCAGGCGAUGCAGUCCACGGGAUGGGGAGAACGUGGACCACUGGAUAGUGGAGAAGUGGCUCAUGCAUAUGGAGAAGCUAUUUCGAGAUACCUUUGUGGAGCAGAGGGACAGAGUGUGGCUCGCCACUCACUUUUUGGAUAGCGAGGCCUACCGUUGGUAGUUGGAUAUCCUGGACAAUCCCAACACAGACUUGGCAGCGAUCUCUUGAGCGAGGUUCAAGGAGCUGCUUUUGGCGCACUACUUUCCUACGAGCGCGAAGAGGAAGAUGGAGCAAGACUUGCGCAGCUUGCGCCAGGAGGAGCGGUCAGUGGCCAAGUACGAGAGGGAGUUUUCUCAGCUACUCCACUGUGUACCAUUUGUGGUGCGGGAUGACGAGGACAAGGCCCGCAUUUUUGAGCGUGGGUUGCGGCCAUCGAUCUUCCGGUUGGUACAGUCCUCUAACCUCCAAACCUACCGGGAGGUUGUGGACCGUGCACUCAUUGUGCAGGCUGGAGCGGCAGACCUUCAGGAGCGACGCGAGGCCCUAGACAAGGGCAAGGGCAAGAAGACAGCGGCUGAGGGUGCGAGUCAUACGCACUCACGGAGGCCGCCGAGGCAUCCCAGGAGUCGGAGCCAGUCGCGAGGAUGUGGCCAGUCUACUCAGCGAGGAGGACCUGAUCGAUGCCAGGCUCCGCGCUGUGUGAUCUGCGGUGGUCCCCAUUUUCCACGGCAGUGUUCACGCAGUCGGGGCAGGUGCUUUCUGUGUGGCCAGGAGGGCCACUUCCAGUCGGACUGCACGAGGGGUUCAGCGUCAGCGCCAUCAUCGGCAUCAGCGCCAACUUCACCGGGUCCCAGCCAGGGGACACUUCCUGCACCUUACUAGGCCGGGCGGCCACCUGUCCAGCGGCAGAUGGAGGGGUCACGACAGGCCCCGAGCGGGCCCAUGUACGCGGCUCAGACUGAGGAUGCGGCAGCAGCCGAGAAUGUGGUCGCAGGUAUCAUUUUACUUUAUGGUAUUCGAGUACGAGCAUUGUUUGAUACUAGUGCAUCGCAUUCAUUCAUAGACCGGCUGUUUGCCGAGUUGCAUGGCAUCCCACUGACAUCUUUGUUGCAUCCUGGACGAGUUGUUGUACCCGAUCAUUCUUUAGAUAUUCGGGAGUACUGUCCCAGUUACCCUGUUCGGGUUGGAGAUUGGAUUAUGCCCGUAGACCUUUUAGCUUUGCGUAAACUUGGAGAGUUUGAUGUUGUCUUGGGCACGGAUUGGUUGACUAAGUACUACGCCACUAUCGAUUGCAAGGAUCGAACUGUGACAUUUAGAGAGCUGGGGCAGGCGGAGGUUGUGUACCGUGGAUGCCAGAGUUCGCUAUUUGCGAUGACGAUUAGCUCCUCGCGAGCUAGACAGUUGAUUAGUAGAGGUUGUGUGGCCUACUAGGCUACUGUUGUGUUGAGGGGUGAUGACGAUGCCCUCAGGAUUGAGGAUAUCCCCGUAGUGCGUGAGUUUGGAGAUGUGUUUCUUGCUGAGCUUCCAGGCAUGUCACCUGAUAGGGAGAUUGAGUUUGUGGUAGAUCUCGUCCCCGGGACUACUCCAAUCUCAAAGGCGCCCUAUAGGAUGGCACCAGCAGAAUUGAGAGAGCUGAAGGCACAGUUGCAGGAUCUUUUGGAUAAGGAUUUUGUGCGACCGAGUGUGUAACCUUGGGGAGCACUGGUCCUGUUUGUUAAGAAAAAGGAUGGAUCACUUCGCUUAUGCGUGGACUAUCGUGAACUUAACUGUAGCACACUGGACCAUUGCAAAUUACGAGGUUCGAGUGUCCGAGCUGUGUUCUGAGUUUUUCCAGAUUUUCUGGGGGGUCGUUGACUGUGUUCCGACCUAUGGUUCGUGUCUCGAGAUUUGCGGUUUAAAGCCUUGCACCAAAACCCGAAAAAAAGGGAUUUGGCCAACUCUUGGGUAGCCAUCUGGAGGUCUUGUACCGGUACAAGGUUGAUGGUUGUACCGGUACAAGGUUGAUGAUUAUACCGGUACAGCCACCGGGCUUGUACCGGUACAGAGCCGCUGAGCCCCCCCAACCCGAGCCUCGGGUUGAGAUUUUUCGUGGGGCUUGUACCGGUACAAGGGCCCGUGUACCGGUACAAGGGGACAUUUUUCGUGCAGUCUGGACUGCAGGGGUGUUUUUGCUUUUGUAGCUCUUCUAUUAGAGCCCCCACGCCCCCUAGGGCUCCUCCUGAGCUUGGAACAGCAAGAGAGAAGGUAGGAGAGCCAUCCUCUUCAUCUCUUUCAUUUCCUUGAUUUUGGUUUGGGUUUUUGGUGAUUAAACCCCCUCUUUUGCUCUUUUUUGCUUCUUUGGAGGCUUCUUCACCAUUGGAGCUUGGACUUGAGGCUUGGUGAGGGUUGAUCCUUGAAGUUUGAGAACUUUGAGCUUGGAUUGAAGCUUCUUAGAGGUUGGUAGCCCUCUCUCUCCAUCUAGACUUUGGAUUUCAGGUUUUCUUUGAGUUGAAACCCUAGAUUGUAAACUUAGGGUUGUUUUUGGGCGUUUUUGAUUUAGGGCUUUUGAGGCUCAAUCUUUUGGAUUAGAACCUUCCUCUAGGUUGGUUUGGGAGGGUUCUAGCUCUCAUUUGGGGCUUGAGAAGAGAUUGUUGCUCUUGAGGUGAGUUGGCCCCCUUUUGCUAGAUGGUUAAUGAUUGAGCUAUAGGCUCUUCAUUUCGUUUGGGUAACCCUACUUUUGAUGCUUCUAGGGUACUAGAAAGCUCGUGGACCACUUCGUUCGGCAAAACGAAGAAGUCGAUUUUGGUGGGUUUGACUUCGUGGAAACGUGGCAAAAUGGCCCUAAACUCUCUAUACUUGUUGUAAAGAAUUUUUAAAUGCAUUUCUAUGCUAAAUAAAAUUUAUGUGAAUUUUAGAACACUUAAAAUGCAUGUCUUAUGUGUAAAUUAAAUUUCGCUCUAUAUAGUAGAGCAAUCAGGGUUAUCUUCAUGCAUGUGAGGAGUGUUCGUGUGGACGAAUGAGAUUCUCGUCGAGUAUGCUAAAUUAGCUCACAUUUGUAUAAUUGGAAACAUUAUACUAAACUUUGACUUAGUAGCAUAAAGUGUCAUCAAGGGGCCCUUGGGAACUAGUAAACUAUGAAACUGCAACAUAGAGACAUAAUGUUAGUUCAUCGUACAUCUGCUAUAUAUUCCAUGUUAGAGACAUGAUGACAUAAAGAUAGGCCAUUUGGACAAUCGAUACAUUCCAUGUUUUAGACAUGAGGACUUGGUACUUGUGACGGACGCCUGACUACUUGCCAUUGUGCUCAUUCGCACAUGCUUGUGAGGGUCGCUCCCUACAAGCCGGCACUCCGGAGAUAGCCAUCGCGAUUCGUAUUCGCCGUGCGGGAUUGGGCGCCGAAGUGGAUUGCCGUGGGCCAGGCUCAUUCCUAGGGUGGGGAUGAUGACUACCACGGGGCCAUUAGGCUCGGCAUCGGCCAAACAGCCUACGGGUGGGUCUCAGGGCCAUAGACAGCCUUCGGGUGGGUCUCUCCAGAAUUGACUUUGAGUAUUCACUACGACAUGUGGACGGAUGAUGACUUAGUAUAUUGACUAGAAUAGUAAACAAUGACAUCUUUACUAUUUGCUUGAGGACAUCGUAUUGGUUGCAUACUUAUGCUUAUUCAUGUCAUACACAUCCAUAUACAUUCAUGUUAUAGUUGCUUUAUUACUUACGCAAAUCACGCUAAGAAGAGACAUUAUGCUAUAGUGAGUUACAUUUUACUUACCUUUUACUUUACUACAUUUUUGUCACUGACCUCCUCUUUGUAGCUUUUGGGCCUUGUGGCGCAGUUCACUGAAGUCAGUAAUUGCCCACUGGAAACUAUUUUUAAUAGUUCUCACGCCCUCUUUUUCGUGGUUUCUUUCAGAGCCUUCGGCACCGGCGGAGGCACGGGAUCGUAGCAAGGGGAUCGCAUAGCUAGCUAGCGAGGAGCGGUUCUUUGCCUAGGUGGUUUACUCUUUCUUUUUGUAGUUGAGAGAGUGAGAGAUUUUGUACCCAUGUAUAGAGACCACCUAUGUAUUUACUUUCAGCACUUAUUUUUGGGAUUCCUUUGUACUACUUUAUGUUUUUACUAGUGGAUUUCAGCUUUAUGUUCCUUUCUCUAUUGUAGGACUUAGUCUUAUAGCAUGUUCUGAUACUCCUAGAUAUAUUUUAUUAUUGCUUAUUUCAUCGUUGUUUUUAGACGCCUUAUAUGUUUUAGACGUAUGGUGGGUCUGGGCACGUGCCGGGCGGGCUUCCGCUGGGUCCCGGGGCAUGACAGAUUAAUUUGGUAUUAGAGCCUAGGGUUGAGUCUUAGGGGACCUAGCAAACCUUAGGCCGGUUGGACUAUAGGAAAUAGGCUCAUGAGAGACGAGGUCUAUUUGGCUGUAAGCGAAAGUAUUAUAAUUGGGUAUCUUGGAUAACUCUAAAAAGUUAGAGUUCGAUUGAAGGGUAUGGCUUCUAACUUCGCGGAGAGUUACGUUGGCGGCCGACAACGUAACAUCGGGAGUUAGUAGCGCAGAACACUUCUUCACUUUCGCAUGAUUGGGUUUUAUCUUUUGAGCGGGGAUACGAUAGCAUGAGUCUUUCUAACUUGCGCUUUUAUGAUGUUGUAGGGACGAUGCCGAUUACUCGCUCCCAAUUUGCCGGGGAGGACAAUGCGGCGAACUUUGAGGAGGUCGAGACCUCCGCUACCUCCGGAUCCAGCGAGGUCCGUGAGUUGAGGGGCCAGCUUGCGGCCCUCAUCAAUUUAGUCACUCAGCACGCGGAGGCGGCUCGACAGCAGACUGAGGCGGCGCGCCGACAGGAGGCGCGUAUGAAGCGCCUGGAGGACUUACUCCUGCAGCAGGCAGCAGCUUUUAGGGAGACGUAGGCCCCUACACCGCCAGCACCCGUUGUGGACGUCGCACCGAGGGCGCCGUCCCCCGCGCCCAGUUCUUCUCGUGCGGCGCCUGCGGCCGCGCCCCGGGAGGAGGUUUUGGCGGCACCACCUGUGCAGAGGCCCCCGGUUGGAGCUGCAUUCCCUACCUUGGUUGAGGGGGCGGAGCAAAACAGACUGAUGGAGCGCCUCAAUGAGUUCAAGAGGUGCAGUUCCCGAGUCUUCGACGGCGAGAAGGUCGACCACUGGAUCGUGGAGAAGUGGUUGAUGCAUAUGGAGAAGCUCUUCCGCAACACCUUCAUGGAGGAGAGGGAUCGAGUUUGGCUCGCCACUCACCACUUGGACGGCGAGGCCUACCGCUGGUGGUUGGAUCUCCAGGAGCACCCCAGCACUGACUUGGCAUCUAUCACUUGGACGAGGUUCAAGGAGCUUCUUUUGGUCCAUUACUUCCCGACCAGCGUCAAGCGGAAGAUGGAGCAGGACCUGCGCAACUUGCGCCACGGCGACCGGACUGUGGCCGAGUACGAGCGGGAGUUUUCUCGGCUUUUGCAUUGCGUGCCUUUCGUCGUGCGGGACGACGAGGACAAGGCCCGCAUUUUCGAGCGAGGAUUGAGGCCGUCCAUCUUUCGGUUCGUGCAAUCCUCUAACCUCCAAACCUACCGGGAGGUGGUGGAUCGCGCGCUUAUUGUGGAGAGCGGCGCAGCGGAUGUCCAGGAGCAGCGAGAGGCUAGGGACACGGGUAAGGCCAAGAGGCCUGCGGCUGAGGGUGCGAGCCAGACGCACUCUAGAAGGCCGCUGAAACAUCCGAGGAGCCAGCAGCGUGGACGCGGCUCAGCAGCGCAUCGAGGAGGAUCCGAUCGUCGCCGGUCUUCCCCGUGUGUGAUCUGCGGUGGUCCUCAUUACCCACCGCAGUGUCCACAGAGGGCGGGCAGGUGCUUCCAGUGUGGCCAGGAGGGCCACGUCCGUACUGAGUGCCCAAGAGGUUCUUCACCAGCACCGUCGACUGCAUCGGCACCGGCUCUACCAACCACCAGCCAGGGGACUCCCUCGGCAUAGUAUCAGCUUGGGCGGCCAUCUGUCCAGCGCCAGAGUGAGGGAUCCCGACAGGUCCCGAGUGGGCGCAUGUACGCCGCUCAGACCGAGGAGGCGGCAACAGCCGAGGAUGUGGUUGUAGGUUUCAUUUUACUUGAUGGCAUUAGAGUUCGUGCUUUAUUUGAUACCGGUGCAUCAUAUUCAUUUAUAGAUCGGCUGUUUGCCGAGUUGCAUGGCAUCCUAUUGGUUUCUUUACUGCAUCUGGGACAUGUUGUAGUACCCAACCAUAUUUUGGAUAUUAGAGAGUAUAGCCCCAGUUGCCCUGUUCGGGUAGGAGAUUGGAUCAUGCCGAUAGAUUUGCUAGCUUUGCGCAAGCUGGGGGAUUUUGACGUGGUCUUGGGCAUGGAUUGGUUGACUAAAUAUUAUGCCACGAUUGAUUGCAAGAAUCGCACUGUUACUUUUAGAGAACCGGGGCAGGCUGAGGUGGUAUUUAGUGGAUGCCAGAGUUCGCUGUUUGCGAUGACGAUCAGUCGAGCUAGGCAGCUGAUUAGUAGAGGUUGUAUAGCCUAUUUGGCUAGUGUUGUACUGAGGGGCGAGGAUGACACUCUCAGGAUUGAGGAUAUCCCGGUGGUGCGGGAGUUUCAGGAUGUAUUUCCAGCUGAGCUUCCGGGUAUGCCUCAUGAUAGGGAGAUUGAGUUCGUGGUAGAUCUCGUUCCAGGGACUGCCCCAAUCUCAAACGCACCCUAUAGGAUGGCACCGGCAGAGCUGAGGGAGCUGAGGGCACAGCUACAGGAUUUGUUGGAUAAAGGCUUUAUUCGACCAAGUGUCUCGCCUUGGGGAGCACAAGUUUUGUUCGUCAAGAAGAAGGACGGAUCACUUCGCCUUUGCAUAGAUUAUCGUGAACUCAAUAAGGUCACGAUCAAGAACAAGUAUCCGUUGCCAAGGAUCGACGACUUGUUUGAUCAGCUUCAGGGAUCGUGUGUGUAUUUCAAGAUAGACUUGCAGUCGGAAUACCACCAAUUGAGAAUCAAGCCUGAGGAUGUAUCGAAGACGGCUUUUAGAAAACGGUAUGGACAUUACGAGUUCACAGUUAUGCCGUUUGGGCUGACUAAUGCCCCGGCAGCUUUUAUGGAUCUAAUGAACCGUGUUUUCAAGCCUUAUCUAGACAGGUUCGUCGUGGUGUUCAUCGAUAACAUUUUGGUCUACUCCCGAAGCGAUAUGGAUCACGAGGAACACUUGAGGAUUGUACUCCAAGUACUUCAAAAAAAGGAGCUUUAUGCUAAGUUGAAGAAAUGUGAAUUUUGGCUUCGGAAGGUAGCUUUUCUUGGACACUUGAUUUCAGGAUCAGGUAUAGCUGUGGAUCCUAAGAAAAUUGAAGCAUUCAAGGAUUGGCCGAGACCGACGAGCGUCACGGAGAUACGGAGUUUUCUGGGAUUGGCCGGUUACUACCGGAGAUUUGUUGAGGGAUUUGCUAAGUUAUCUACUCCCCUCACGAGGCUUACGCAUAAAGGAGUCAAGUUCAUUUGGAAUGAUGCAUGCGAGAAAAGCUUCCUAGAGUUGAAGCAACGAUUAACUACCGCCCCGAUCCUGACCCUACCGGUAGCUGGAUUAGGGUAUGUGGUAUAUAGUGAUGCUUCACUUAAUGGUUUGGGCUGUGUGUUGAUACAGGAUCGCAAGGUGAUCGCGUAUGCUUCUCGCCAACUGAAGGAUUAUGAAAAAGAACUACCCGACACAUGAUUUGGAGUUAGCGGCCGUAGUAUUCGCAUUGAAGCUAUGGCGCCACUAUAUUUAUGGCAAGCGGUGUGAAGUAUACACGGAUCACAAGAGCUUAAAGUACCUGUUUACUCAGAAGGAGUUGAACUUGAGGCAGCGCAGAUGGUUGGAGCUACUCAAGGAUUAUGAUCUUACUAUUCUCUACUACCCGGGCAAGGCUAACGUGAUGGCGGAUGUGCUAAGUAGGAAAUCGAUGAAAAACUUAGCGAUGCAUUUGGUUACCCAACCGCAGUUGAUCGAGCAGAUGAAGCGGUUAGUGUUGGAGGUGGUGACUCCUGACACACCCUUGAGGUUGAUGACCUUGGUAGUGCAACCUACUCUUUUGGACAGAAUCAAAGAAAAGCAAGUUUCCGAUUUGGAAUUGCUCAAGAUUAGAGGUAAAAUGGUUGAAGGUUGCUGUAAUACACUGAACUUUCGCAAAUUGCAGAGUUCGAGUGUGUGGAAUGAUAUGUGGAUUUAUUCUACAUGUUCUAUAUGGCUUGGACAAGUUUUUGAAUAAGUUAGAGAGUGAUUGGAGGGUUAAAAGCGAGAAAGUGCAUUGAACUGGCAAAAUUGAGCCUUUUCUGCUUGCUGUACCGGUACAGCCACUAUGGUGUACCGGUACACAAUGGCAAAACGUGGCAGCAAGGCUAAUUUGGUAAUUUCACCUCUUGUCCCUAUCUACUUGACCCCAGCACGACCCCUGGGACUUGCUGGAGUGUGCUGGAGCUCAGAGGAAGAUUCCUCCAUAUUCUUCUUCUCUCUCUCUAAGAUUUUUCUCUCUCUCUACAAAGAAGUCGCCGUUUUGCACCGUUGUCGUCGCCGAGCUUGCUCUUCUCUGUUGGGGAGUGUCGCUGAGCCUUGGUGGACGUGUGAGGGAGUGUUUUGGAGAGCUUUUCGCAGCCCUGGACCAGUAACUCACUGGUUGCAAGCUUGAGAAGGUAAUCGGCUCACUUUUUCAAUUUUCGGCAAUCUAUUGGACGAGUUAUGUAUAGUUUCGGGAUUGUUGCUUCUAGUUGCCGAAAUCUAAGAAUUUCAGUUUCUAGCUGAAAUUCUGCAUUACACUCCUAGGUCAUAAUAAAAAUCGAAAGUAUCACCUACUAAACAACUCCGAGGUCCCCAAUUAGGCCAAUGUUGAAUUAGGAAGCCUGCGCGACAGAAGUAAUUUCCAAAACCCGCAUCAAAUGCCCGAGUUAAACUUCGUAUAUUCCUACUAGCUUCACAUAGCUAAAUAUUUUCAUUAAAGUUUUCAAAGUAGCUUACCCUGUCUAAGCGUUAAUCUCAGCUAAUUAAUCCAACUUUAAUUGCUGAAAUUCACAACAUUCAGNNNNNNNNNNNNNNNNNNNNNNNNNNNNNNNNNNNNNNNNNNNNNNNNNNNNNNNNNNNNNNNNNNNNNNNNNNNNNNNNNNNNNNNNNNNNNNNNNNNNNNNNNNNNNNNNNNNNNNNNNNNNNNNNNNNNNNNNNNNNNNNNNNNNNNNNNNNNNNNNNNNNNNNNNNNNNNNNNNNNNNNNNNNNNNNNNNNNNNNNNNNNNNNNNNNNNNNNNNNNNNNNNNNNNNNNNNNNNNNNNNNNNNNNNNNNNNNNNNNNNNNNNNNNNNNNNNNNNNNNNNNNNNNNNNNNNNNNNNNNNNNNNNNNNNNNNNNNNNNNNNNNNNNNNNNNNNNNNNNNNNNNNNNNNNNNNNNNNNNNNNNNNNNNNNNNNNNNNNNNNNNNNNNNNNNNNNNNNNNNUACCAUAGAUGUCAGUGAACUAUAAAUGUAGGAAAGCAAAGGUAAGUAAAAAUUUAACUUACUACAAAUGAUAUCUCUACUUACGCAUAAAAUACAUGAGUAUGGAAACAAACUAUUAGCCAUGAAGAAAAGUCUCCAACUAUCAUGCAUGAUGUUCACAAUGUGAAAUAGUAAAGUCCGUUGUCUACUAUUCUAGUUCAAAGUCCAGUAAUACUCUAAGUCCGUAUCUGUCCACAUGUCAUGAUGAAAAUGCUUCAAGUAAAUCUGAAGAGACCCACCCAAGGCUGUCUAUGGCCCUGGACCACCGAAGGCGUCUGCGCCGGGUGCCAGAUCUAAUGGCCCCGUGGGUAGUCAACCAUCCCACCCUAGAAAUGAGCUGGCCCUACCUGGCCAAUCCAUUCGGCGCCCAAUCCGCAGCGCGAAUUAUGAAUCGCGAAUGGCCAUUCUCGGAGUAGUGCGGCUUGUUUUAUUAGGGACGCGACCCUCACAAGAUCGUGCGAAUUGAGCACAAUGGCAAGUAAUCAAACUGAUCAGUGCAUGUACAAAUCCUCUGUUCAGACAUGGUGUUAUAGCAAAUGUCCUCGUGCAAGUCACUAUUUCAUCAUAUCUCAAUAUGGGAAUAUAGUUGUUGUCAAUUGUGCCAUUAUCAAGUAUCUAUGUUGCAGUUUAAUAAUUUCUAGGGCCAAGUGCCUCUUUAUGACCUAUGCGCCUCAUUUUGUUCCCCAACAUGGAUCCUAACAAGUCAAGACUUAUAAUUUCUAAUCAAAAUCGCAAGCAUUGAAACUUAUUUCCUUUCAUCUAUAGAAUAUUGUGCGAUGAUUAUUAACAAGCACAUAUUGUCUCUCUACUAAUAAGUAACUUUCUUAAUUGCAUAACAUAUGAGUUCCAAGCAUUCAAAAUUCGUCAUAAUGCUACAAAAUGAAUAUGCAUGAUUUGAAGAAAUGAAAGCAUUUAACCACUUAGGAGGAAUUUUCCUCAAUUACAGGAAGCCAAACCACCAGUCGUCAACGAAGGCUCUCGUUUGUCACGACGAAGGCGUCCACCACACUCCUAGUACACCUAAAGUUACGAGAACAAGUAGUCAUCUAGUCGAAACGUAAGCGACGCUAGUUUCAAUCAUUGAAGCAUUAUAGGGCUAGGGCGGUUUGAACGAAAAGCUCACCAGAUUUGCGAAAGAAGCUUCACAAUCUCAAAUGGGGCUAAGAGUCCUUCCAAUCGUAACCUUAAACAAAGGUUCUAAACCAUUAAUUUGGUACAUAUCUCUCCUUGUAGCUUUGGGCCUUGUGGUGCAUUCACUGAAGUCAGUAAUUGCCCACUGGGAACUAUUCUUAAUAGUUCUCACGCCCCUGUUUCUAUGUUUCCUUUUCAGAGCCUUCGGCACCGGCGGAGGCACGGGAUCGCGGCAAGGGUGUCGCGUAGCUAGCUCGCGGAGAGUUCUUUUGCCUAGGUGGUUUACUCCUCCAUUUUAUAUUUUGAGAGAGUGUGAGGCUUUUGUACCCUGUAUAGAGAGACCACCGUGUACUCCUUUUAGCACUUGUUAUGGGAUCCCUAUUGUACUUACUUUAUGUUUUAUUUAGUGGAUUUACAGUUUUAACUUUAUCCCUUGUUGUAGCAUUUAGACAUUUAUUAAGCUCUGAUACUCCUAGAUGUCUUCUAUUAAUGCUUUUAUUAUUGUUGUUUUUAGACGCCUUAUAUGUUGUAGACAUAUGGCGGGUCUGGGCACGCGCCGGGCAGGCUUCCGCUGGGUCCCGGGGCGUGACAUGGUUGUACCGGUAUAAGGUUGAUGGUUAUAUCGGUACAGCCACUGGGCUUGUACCGGUACAGAGCCGCUGAGCCCCCCGAACUCGAACCUCGGGUUGAGAUUUUUCGUGGGGCUUGUACCAGUAUAAGGGCCCGUGUACCGGUACAAGGGGGCAUUUUUCGUGCAGUCUGGACUGCAGGGGUGUUUUUGCUUUUGUAGCUCUUCUAUUAGAGCCCCUACGCCCCCUAGGGCUCCUCCUGAGCUUGGAACAACAAGAGAGAAGGUAGGAGAGCCCUCCUCUUCAUCUCUUUCAUUUCCUUGAUUUUGGUUUGGGUUUUUGGUGAUUAAACCCCCUCUUUUGCUCUCUUUUGCUUCUUUUGCUUCUUUGGAGGCUUCUUCACCAAUGGAGCUUGAACUUGAGGCUUGGUGAGGGUUGAUCCUUGAAGUUUGAGAACUUUGAGCUUGGAUUGAAGCUUUUUAGAGGUUGGUAGCCCUCUCUCUCCAUUUAGACUUUGGAUUUGAGGUUUUCUUUGAGUUGAAACCCUAGAUUGUAAACUUAGGGUUAUUUUUCGGCGUUUUUGAUUUAGGGCUUUUGAGGCUCAAUCUCUUAGAUUAGAACCUUCCUCUAGGUUGGUUUGGGAGGGUUUUAGCUCUUAUUUGGGGCUUGAGAAGAGAUUGUUGCUCUUGAGGUGAGUUGGCCCCUUUUUGCUAGAUGGUUAAUGAUUGAGCUAUAGGCUCUUCGUUUCGUUUGGGUAACCCUACUUUUGAUGCUUCUAGGGUACUAGGAAGCUCGUGGACAACUUCGUUCGGCAUAAUGAAGAAGUGGAUUUUGGUGGGUUUGACUUCGUGGAAACGGGGCAAAAUGGCCCUAUACUCUCUAUACUUGUUAUAAAGUAUUUUUAAAUGCAUUUCUAUGCUAAAUGAAAUUUAUGUGAAUUUUAGAACACUUAAAAUGCACGCCUUAUGUGUAAAUUAAAUUUCGCUCUAUAUAGUAGAGCAAUCAGGGUUAUCUUCAUGCAUGUGAGGAGUGUUCGUGUAGACGAAUGGGAUUCUCGUUGAGUAUACUAAAUUAGCUCACAUUUGUAUAAUUGGAAACAUUAUACUAAACUUUGACUUGGUAGCAUAAAGUGUCAUCAAGGGGCCCUUGGGAACUAAUAAACUAUGAAACUGCAACAUAGAGACAUAAUGUUAGGCCAUCGUACAUCUGCUAUAUAUUUCAUGUUAGAGACAUGAUGACAUAAAGAUAGGCCAUUGGGACAAUCGAUACAUUCCAUGUUUUAGACAUGAGGACUUAGUACUUGUGACAGGACAUAUGACUACUUGCCAUUGUGCUCAUUCGCACAUACUUGUGAGGGUCGCUCCCUACAAGCCGGCACUCCGGAGAUAGCCAUCGCGAUUCGUAUUCGCCGUGCGGGAUUGGGCGCCGAAGUGGAUUGCCGUGGGCCAGGCUCAUUCCUAGGGUGGGGAUGAUGACUACCACGGGGCCAUUAGGCUCGGCAUCGGCCAGACAGCCUACGGGUGGGUCUCAGGGCCAUAGACAGCCUUCGGGUGGGUCUCUCCAGAAUUGACUUUGAGUAUUCACUACGACAUGUGGACAGAUGAUGACUUAGUAUAUUGACUAGAAUAGUAAACAAUGACAUCUUUACUAUUUGCUUGAGGACAUCGUAUUGGUUGCAUACUUAUGCUUAUUUAUGUCAUACACAUCCAUGUACAUUCAUGUUAUAGUCGCUUUAUUACUUAUGCAAAUCACGCUAAGAAGAGACAUUAUGCUAUAGUGAGUUACAUUUUACUUACCUUUUACUUUACUACAUUUUUGUCACUGACCUCCUCUUUGUAGCUUUUGGGCCUUGUGGCGCAGUUCACUGAAGUCAGUAAUUGCCCACUGGGAACUAUUUUUAAUAGUUCUCACGCCCUCUUUUUCGUGGUUUCUUUCAGAGCCUUCGGCACCGGCGAAGGCAUAGGAUCGUGGCAAGGGGAUCGCAUAGCUAGCUAGCGAGCAGCGGUUUUUUGCUUAGGUGAUUUACUCUUUCUUUUUGUAGUUUAGAGAGUGAGAGAUUUUGUACCCAUGUAUAGAGACCACCUAUGUAUUUACUUUCAACACUUGUUUUUGGGAUUCCUUUGUACUACUUUAUGUUUUUACUAGUGGAUUUCAGCUUUAUGUUCCUUUCUCUAUUGUAGGACUUAGUCUUAUAGCAUGCUCUGAUACUCCUAGAUAUCUUUUAUUAUUGCUUAUUUCAUUGUUGUUUUUAGACGCCUUAUAUGUUUUAGACGUAUGGCGGGUCUGGGCACGUGCCGAGCGGGCUUCCGCUGGGUCCCGGGGCGUGACAUUAAUAAAGUCACGAUUAAGAAUAAGUAUCCGUUGCCGAGGAUCGACGAUCUAUUUGAUCAGUUACAGGGAUCCAGUGUGUAUUCCAAAAUCGACUUGCAGUCGGGAUAUCACCAGCUAAAGAUCAAGCCUGAGGAUGUAUCAAAGACGGCUUUUAAAACACGGUAUGGACAUUAUGAGUUUACUGUGAUGCCGUUCGGGCUUACUAAUGCCCCGGUAGCUUUUAUGGAUCUAAUGAACCGUAUUUUCAAGCCUUAUCUAGACAGGUUUGUCGUGGUGUUCAUCGACGACAUCUUAGUUUAUUCCCGGAGUGAUGCGGAUCACGAGGAACACUUGAGACUUGUACUUCAAGUGCUUCGGAAAAGGAAGCUCUAUGGUAAGUUGAAGAAGUGUGAAUUUUGGCUUAGAGAGGUGGCGUUUUUAGGCCAUGUGAUUUCAGGAUUAGGCGUAGCCGUGGACCUGAGAAAAAUUGAAGCUAUUAAGGAUUGGCCAAGGCCGACGAGUGUCACGGAGAUUCGGAACUUUAUUGGUUUGGCCAGCUACUACCGACGGUUUGUUGAGGGAUUCGCGAGAUUAUCUACUCCCCUCACGAGGCUCACACAUAAGGGCACCAAGUUUAUUUGGAAUGAUGCGUGUGAAAGGAGCUUCCAAGAGUUGAAGCAGAGAUUGACUACCGCCCCGAUCCUAACCUUGCCAAUUACUGGAGCAGGGUACGUGAUUUAUAGCGAUGCUUCCUUUAAUAGAUUGGGAUGUGUUUUGAUGCAGGACGGGAAGGUGAUCGCGUAUGCUUCUCGCCAACUAAAGGAUUAUGAGAGGAACUAUCCUACUCACGACUUGGAAUUGGCGGCCGUAGUCUUUGCAUUGAAGCUAUGGCGCCACUACUUGUAUGGCGAGCGUUGUGAAGUGUAUACGGAUCACAAGAGCUUAAAGUAUUUAUUCACUCAGAAGGAGUUGAACAUGAGGCAGCGCAGAUGGUUGGAGCUGCUCAAGGAUUAUGACUUGACUAUUCUUUACCACCCAGGCAAGGCUAACGUGGUGGCAGAUGCGCUAAGUAGGAAAUCGACAGAAAACUUAGCGAUGCUUGUGGUUACUCAAUCGCCGUUGAUCGAACAGAUGAAGCGGUUGGAGUUGGAGGUGGUAGCUCCUAAUACACCUUUGAGAUUGAUGACUUUGGUGGUGCAACCUACACUUGUGGAAAGGAUUAAAGAAAAGCAAGUCUCCGACGUGGAGUUGCAAAGUAUUCAAACUAAGAUGAUUGAUGGUUGCAUCAGUGACUUCGCUAUGGACGGUGUGGGAGUGAUGCAUUUCCGCGGACGGAUCUGUGUACCGGCGGAUUUGGAGAUUAAAGAAGACAUUCUUCAAGAAGCACACCGAGCACCGUAUGCUAUACAUCCGGGAGGCACCAAGAUGUACAAGGACUUGAAGUUGAUUUAUUGGUGGCCCGGGAUGAAGAAAGACGUUGGUGAGUUUGUUGCUAGAUGUUUAACUUGCCAACAGGUUAAAGCUGAGCACCGGGUCCCCGCAGGGAAAUUAUAGAGCUUACCGAUUCCGGUGUGGAAAUGGGAGAAGAUCACCAUGGACUUUGUGAUGGGAUUGCCCCGCUCGCAGGCCGGGCAUGAUGCUAUUUGGGUGAUCGUGGAUAGAUUGACGAAAUCGGCACAUUUCAUACCUAUCCACACUACUUGGACUGGUGAGAGACUCGCACAGGUAUAUUUAGAUGAGAUUGUGCGAUUGCACGGGGUACCUACUUCUAUAGUAUCAGAUCGAGACCCCCGUUUGGUAUCUCACUUUUGGAGGAGUUUACAGGAUGCCUUGGGCACGCGCUUGGACUUCAGUAUAGCUUUCCACCCUCAGAGUGAUGGGCAGUCAGAGCGCACUAUACAGACACUUGAGGACAUGCUUCGAGCCUAUGUGAUCGACUUCCAGGGAGGAUGGUUGCAGCAUCUACCAAUGGCAGAGUUUGCUUAUAACAACAGUUAUCAAGCAAGCAUCAAGAUGGCGCCAUUCGAGGCACUUUAUGGACGGAAGUGUAGAUCGCCACUUCAUUGGAGUGAAGUUGGCAAGAGAUUGGCUUUAGGCCCCGAUGUGCUCCAGGAAGUAGAGGACAAGGUUCGCAUUGCUAGUGAGCGACUGUUGACAGCCCAGAGUAGGCAAAAGAGUUAUGCUGAUAGGCGUUGACGAGACUUGGAGUUUCUGAUAGGAGAUCAUGUCUUCUUGAAAGUCUCGCCGACCAGAGGGAUUAGGAGAUUUGAAAUUCGGGGCAAGUUGAGCCCCCGAUUCAUUGGACCGCAUAUGCUAUGCUUGUGGUUUAUUAUGUUUCAUUAUGCUUGUAAUAUACCGAAAAUUCGGAAAAUAAAUGUCGAACUUUAGUCAAAUUGACCAAAGUGCGUGGAUGGUACACUUCGGAAAGUCUGAAGGUGUUACAAUGAGUAAAAGUGCGUUGUGGAAGGUUUUCGAGAGCUAAGAAUAAAAAAUUCUGCAAACUGUAGAUUUUCAGCUCUCGGGGACCGGUCCCCGGUGGGAGAGACCGGUCUCCGAACGCGUGAGAAAUGAGACAGCCGAAAAAUCGGUUAAGUCCCUGAGAAACAGCUCUCGGGAACCGGUCCCUCCCCGAGAGACCGGUCCCCCAGAGAGACUAGUUCCCCCUGAGAGAGACCGGUCGCAUUCCGCGCAACAGCUCUGGCUGCACUGGGAGAGCUCUCUGGGACCGGUCCCUAGUCGGGGAGACCGGUCCCCGAGCCCGAAAUCUACCCAGUCUAGGCAGUGUAAUAAAGUGAAAGUUGAGGGGUUUAAUUGCAUUUUUGCAACCCAUUGAGCUAUUUAUGAGGGCAAAUGAAAUAUUUCUCUCAUUCCACUCCCUCUCACACUCUCAUCUCUCUUUCUCUCUCUAGAAGACAAGAAGGAGAAGAAGAAGAGAAGGAAAAUGAAGGAAAAGGAGAAGAAGAAAGUGGAGAAGAAGAAGGAGUGAAGAAGCUCCCUCUCCCUCAUCUCUAGCUUGAAAAAGGAAAGCUUACAAGGUAAGCUUUGAACCCUAAUCAUGGUAGAACCUAAUCUAGGGUUUAGACUAAGCUAAGAAUGGUUUUUAUAGAAGCUAUUGAGUGUUUGGAGCUCUCUUUUGCUCCCUUUUGAGAUCAACACCAUGAAAUGGUGUGGAGGGAGAAGCUUGAAGGAGAGCUUCAACCUCUCUCAUGGUAGAAUCCAAACUACGGUUUGGAUUGAGUUAAAGAUGGUUUUAAUGGACUUCCUAGAGUAGCAUGAAGCUACUUUUGCUUCCCAAUGAGAUCAAACCUUAGAUUUGAUGUAUGUUAUGGAGCUAGGGAACCCAAAUUGGGGCUUUUGCUCAUGAGGAUUUCUACGUAAAAUUGACCCUCUGGAAACCUAAUUGGGGGUGUUUCCGACGCGUUGGUGUGUUCGGAUUAGCAUUACGAAAGGCCAAUGUAAAGAUAUGAGCAAAGUGGCCUAAUAGGGCUUCGUUUUGCCGCAGGUAAAGAACGAAAGGUCUAGAAAUCCCAAGAAAAUCAUCGGAGCACCUUUGAAAGCCUACGAGGUGGGUAGUGCUUUUCAAACUCGUUGAACUUCCCUCUAUACCUAAUGUGUCAUUCAAUUGAGCAUAUGUUUAUACAUUGUUGCAUGCAUUUUAGGGUAAAGUAAUGAUAAUAAUGUGAUGUUGCAUGAUUAUGAGUACAACUUGCAUAAUGUGAUGGUUGAGAACCUUAAAAAUGUCAAAACCCUAUAUGUGUGCAUGAGGUGAAAUGUGAGAACCAAAGUGAGGUAAAAGAACAGAGUGACACAAUGACAUAGAUCGAGUGGCAUUCGAUAGUGCAAAGUAAAGUGACACUAGAGUUAGUGUGAGGCAAAGAAUCAAUGUGAUGUAAAGAAUAAAGCUAAUGACUAAAGUGAAAACAAAGUGGGGCGUAAAGAACAAAGAUUGCUAGAGUUAGCAAAAGUAAAGAAAUGUAAAGAAUAUGAUUGCUAGAGUUAGCAAGAGUAAUGAAUGGUAAAGAACAAUGAUUGCCAGAGUAGCAACAUAAAGUGAUGUAGAGAACACUAGAGUUAGUGUAAAGUCAAGAUUGAACAUACAAUCCUUUGAGUUAAGGAUUCGAUCAUACUUGCUAUGAGUUCCGUGCUCGAGGGCGGUCGCUCCCCCUCGGGCGAUGCGCUCCGGAGUUUUUGCAUCACGGGUUGGAGUAAACCCGAAGGACGGUCUUAGCGGGAGGAAGCUGAGGGCCCGCGAUGAUGGACUUAAUGUGAAGCAAGUUAAUGUGGCGAAACCCCCGGGUUAGCCUUGAGAUUAAAGAAUAAAGAACAAAGAGUAAAGCAUAAAGAACAAAGACAAAGUGUAAUGUGUAAAGAACCAAAGAACUUGCAUAAUCUGCAAACGGGGGCAUAUUUCCUGCUUUUGUUCAGGCAUAUUAGCAUCAUAAUAUAGAUUGGUUACUAUAUUCAGCUUAUCCGUUCUAUUAUGCCUGAGUUAGUCCUAGUGGGAAAGUCGGUGAUGUUGAGGCCGAACCCACUGGGAACUUUGUUGUAGUUCUCACCCCACUAUUUUUACAGAGCCGGGACCGAGCGAGCCGGCGAGCGACCGAGGUAAAGGUAUCGCGCCUUAGUAAGAGGCCACCAGAGUUGGGUUUACAUUUUGUUAGUAGCUACCCUUUUAUCAUCUUUUGUACUUGAUGACUAGUGAUGUAAAGAAAGAAUGUAAUGUGUAUUUUAAGGUAAAUGUGAUGUAAGAAAGACAUGAUAUAAUGAAUGUAAGAAAUCGAUAAUGUACAAGUUGGAUGCAAUGUAUAUGAUCAAAAAUGAAUCAUAGUACAAGUGAAUGUUUAGUUUCCUUUUUCUUUCACUCGUGGCUAUUGCUUACCCUCGUGUAAGCCGUAAUUGUAUGUUUCCGCUAGUGCACUUCAUUGUUUGAAAAUGUACAUAUGAUGAGCCUUGGACGGACAGGGAAACUCUGUCCGUUCGGCGUCUGUUUGACGUGCUCUGGCCGGCCCAAAUUGAUAUCGGUCUCGGGGCGUGACAAUGCUAUACUAUGUGAACCUCGUUUACAUUUUGAUUUUUGCCUACAUGGUUGCUUACUUUUUUAUUGUGAUAUAUGCUAUGCCUAUGAUUGUGUUAUAUGCUUGUUAAUUAUAUGCAUAUAUUUAGGGGGAGCAUUCUACUCUUUUGCUCUCUACUCAUUUGAUAUUAUAUCACAUUAUUUGUCAUCAUCAAAAAGGGGGAGAUUGUUGGCCUAGUGGCCCUAAUCUUCUAUUAGAUUUUGAUGAUAACAAAUAAUUACGAUUAUUGGACUAAUCUUUUAUCUUGAGUUUUGUGUUUUAGAUCUCUCUAUAUUCAAAAAAGAUUCAAGAUGAGCAAUAUUCUAGCACCAAUCUUCACCUGUAACAUACCACAUCCAUCGUAAAUCAUGCCGAGUUUCGUCGAAAUGAGCGGAACACGGAGUUGAGUGAGUUAAAAUGGACCUUAAACGCAUUAGAGUCCAUAAGUGAAGCUAAAAGGGACCCGAGAGAGAAAAUCAGAAAAUCUGGCUAAGUCCCAGAUUUUGUGCUCUCGGGGACCGGUCCGUGAAGGAGAGACCGGUCCCCGUACGCGUAGCCUGCCAGGAAACCCCGAGGCAUCCGGUCCCUGGUGGUGAGACCGGUCCUUGGGAGACCGAUCCCUGGGGGAGAGACCGGUCCCUCGCUGCGCAGCCAGCCAAAAACCCGAAAAUUUGGUUAAGUCCUGGAAAACCCUCGUUCGGGAACCGGUCCCUGGUCGGGAAGACCGGUCCCCGAAGCCAAAAAAUGCCCAAUCUGGGCAGAUCAAUGGGAAAUAAGUGGAGGGGCUUAAGUUCAAUUAUUACAACACUAUAUAUGGCCCAUUCCCUCUCUUCCACAACCAUUUCUCUCAUCUUCUCUCAUUUCCCCUCUUUCUCUCUCUAGAACUCCCCUAGAACUUGGAGAAGAGGAGGAAGAACUUGGAGAAGAAGGUGGAUUUGGUGCUUUGGAGGUUCUAGGAGCUCUCCAACAAGAAGAACCUUGGUGGAGCUUGGACUAGAGGUAAGUUUUGUGAGGUUUUCCUCUAGGGUUUGGGUUUUGGUUUGGAGAAUUGGAGCUAUGUGCUCCUUAGGGGCUUUAGAGGCUCUUUUGAGCCAUGAAUGCCAUGGUACCCAUGAGAGCUCAAGGUGCUCUCAUGGUGAACCCUUGGAAGUUGUGUUAGGAGCCCUAGGGUUGGUUCCAAAGGUCUAGAAACCUUACUAGGAUGCUCUUUAGAUGAUUCUAAGCUAUUAUUCGCUUAGGGUUGAGAUCGAUUCAUGGGGAAACCCUAAAUGACAUUGUUAAGGCUUGAAAAUUGGGACUUUUGCCCUUAGAUUUUUCGGAGACAAAUUGACCUCGUAGAAACCUAAUUGGGGGUGUCCUAAACGCAUGGGACAACUUCGUUUAGCAUUACGAAAAUGUUUGGGAGUAGUUCAUAUGUAAAGGGCCUAAUUUGGCACCAUUUUGGGUUGCAGAACGCAGAGCCGGCGUUCGUAGCGCUCGGUAGUCACUACAUUCCACACCCACACGAUCAUUAGAGGUGGGGGGUGCACGCCGGAAUCGUUGGAUUCCUUUCUACGUCUAUUUCUCUAUUCUUGAGCAUAUGGUUGUUUAUUCCUUCAUACAUAUUAGGGUUAAUGCACAUGUGAACUUUAGUUGUUUUUAUUAUGUUAUCGCAAGGGUAUUUGAAAAUAGAGAGAAAUGGAACCAUGAUGGACAUGUGUUGUGGAACCCUAGGUAUUGCAUGAUAGUGGGACUUGGACUUAGCACAAGUAAACAAUGGGGACAAUGACAAUAGAGAGAUAGAUUGGCUUAGACAAAUCGAUGUUAAACAUAGAUUUAACUAUAGUGACAUUACGAUGAGAUCGACUAGAAAGUGGCAUGAAAACAUAGGUAGAAAACCUAUCACAAAAGUGGCAAUGUGACAUGUGGCUAAAUAUCCUCAACUUGGGGAUUUGAUCGACACUCAUAAUAAGUCUUGGCUUGAGGGAGGUCGCUCCUUCUCAAGCGGUGUGUUUCCGGAAAUCGACACCACAGGAAGCGAGGUCCCUGAAGACGGUCCCUCGGGUCGGUAGUGCUUGGAGCCUCCCCGGUAAAGAAAGGGAUUUCGGGUUAUGAGUUUUUGGGGUUAACGAGGUUAACCGGUAAGAUUGGGUAAGAGCCAGAGCUUAAUUAUGAUUUGAGCAUGCAUGCAUAUUUCAGUAUGGCAUCGAGUAUAUGUAUCCACUGAUAUUCUUCUGCAGGCAUGGUAUUAGAUGCAUUAAUAAUGGUUAGUUUUCAUUCCUUCAAAUACUUAUGCCUGGAUAGACCUAGUGGGUAAGUCGGCAAGGUCGGAUGCCGAACCCACUGGGAACUUCGUUGUAGUUCUCACACCACUAACCCUACAGGUCCUAGCACGAGCAAGGCGGCGGAGGACCGAGGCAAGGGUAUCGCGCCGUAGAUAGCGGCCACCGGGACUUUAUACAUUUUGUAGUCAUUCCCCUUUUUCUUUUGGUGUACAUGUAUCAACUUCUUUGAUUGAUUUAGAAAUGUAAAGUUGUAGAUAAUUAUGUAAUUUUGGGUGGAUGGCUAAAUGUAAAAAAGAAAUGAUGGUUGAAUGGAAAUGCAAUAGUUUUAUUUACUUGUAUUUGGGUCAAAUGCAAUCAAGUAUCUUGUAUGUUAUAUGAUGUAGCUUAGAGCUUUCGCUUCCGUUGUUGCUUGCCCUCGUGCAAGCCUUGUAUUAUAUAUGCAAAUCUCUUGUUGAUUGCCUAUUUAUACAUGUUGUUAGAGCCUUGGGCGGACAGGGGAGGCCCUGUCCGUUCGGCGUCUGUUGAUGUGACCCGAUCCCGACCAAGUUGGCGGGGAUUGGGGCGUGACAGAUAUAAUGGUAUCAGAGCGAAGUGGAAAGUAAAAGUCUAGGAAUGACCUAGAAACCUUAGGAUGGAGACCAUAGGGACUUAGGAAAACGCUUGACGUGGACUUGGUUUAUGCGAAAGUGAGUGAUUGGGUUAAUGGUAACACUUCUUUAGAAGAAAGUAGAGAUGGACUAGAAGGCGUACUUGUUGUCUACUUAAGGGACUUUGUGGGGCGGCCGACCACAUGACACCAAGAGUGGGAACGAUUAUGCUUGUUGCUUUCGCUUAAUUGGGUAGUUACUUGGAACGCGUGAGAGUCACGUGCCUUGAGUGCUAAUGUGUGUGUGCAUUGCAUUUCAGGACGCGAUGGCACCGCCAAGGAGAGUUACGAGGUCCACACCGGCGGAGCCUCGGGAGGAGCCCGGGCAGUCGGGGUCGGACGAAGUGCGCAAGUUGCGAGCCCAAGUAGCGGCCUUGGCCGGGGCUAUGCGGCUUCGAGGGGAGCAUAUUAGGCAGCUCCACGAGAUGAUGGCGCGACAGGCAGCGGCGGCAUCAGUGCCAAGGGAUCCACCCCCACCGGCUGCUCUUGUAGCACCACCUCCUCCGGUGGCGCAUCGCCAGUGACGGCUAUUCCUGCGACGGCAUCGGGUUCAUCGGCUCCUAUUUUCGAUGUACUUGAGGAUGAGCAGGAGCGUACGUUGGCGGCGCUGACGGCAUUUAAACGAUUCAACCCUUCGACCUUCAACGGUGACGUGAAGGACCCUUGGACGACGGAGAAUUAGCUAGCCGUGAUGGAGGCCUUGUUCGAGGAUAUCUAUACCCUCGAGAAGGAUAAAGUUCAUUUGGCGGCUCAUUGUUUUGAUGGGUCGGCCCGGUUGUGGUGGAAUCAAGCGAGGAAAAAUCGCUCGCUAGGGCACCCUUUUCUUACUUGGGAAGCGUUCCGAGAGAUGCUGCUUAUGGAGUAUUUCCUCGAGAGCAACAAAAGAAAAAUCAAGGAGGAUUUUCGGAAGUUAAGACAAGGAAGCCGAUCAGUGCGGGAGUACGAGAGGGAGUUCACGCACAUGAUUAACUGCGUACCGAACUUGGUUCACGGUGAUAGGGAUCGAGCGGAGGUAUUUGAGCGCGGGUUGCGACCCGAAAUUUUCAAGGUUAUUCAUGCAUUUCGCUUGAAGACCUAUGAGGAAGUGCUUGAUCGCAUGCUUUGGGUAGAGCGCGGGAAUGCCAUCGCGCGUGACGAGCACGAGACUUUUGAGAGAGACAGGGAAAGAGAUAAGACCAAGAAGCGACCGGCUGGUGGAUCUGCGGGGCAAUCAAGUUCUAAGCGACCCCCGCGACCUCCGCGAUCACAGUGGCGGGGAGGUAGGAGUCAGACCCAGAGCCGUGUCGCCUAUCCAUGUGUGAUCUGCGGUGAAGACCACCGGGUUACCUCUUGCGCACAGCGAGAGGGGCGAUGCUAUCGGUGUGGCCAGGCAGGCCACAUUGGCCGAGAGUGCCCGGGCGGCCCGUCCCCAGCCCCGUCAUCAGCUUCAGUUCAAUACACUCAGCGACAGCUGGUGGGACUGCCACCCGCAACAUCGGCUGGUCGAUCGCCGGCGCUUCGUCAGCCGGAGGCUUCUCGAGCACCUAGUGGGCGAAUUUUUACCACUCAGGUGGAGGAGCAGCCGAUCAUUGUUCCCGACGACGUUGUAGCAGGUAUUAUUCUGAUCAGAGGCACUAGAGCUAGAGCUAUAUUUGAUACUGGUGUAUCUCAUUCCUUCAUAUUAGCAUCAUUUGCACAAGCUCAUGACAUAGAGGUCACGCAUAGCGAAGAGUAUUGAUCGGUGAACACUCCCGAGCACUCUUUCGACGUUCACGACGAGUGCUUGGACUGCCUAGUGCAAAUAGGUGAUUGGAUCAUGCCGAUCAACCUUCUAGUGUUAAAGGAAAUGUGGGGCUUCGAGGUAAUCUUGGGGAUCAAUUGGCUCUCUAAGUAUUACGCAGUUAUGGAUUGCGAAAGGAGGGUGAUCACGUUCCAUGAACCCAACCAAGAGGAGUUUGUCUAUCGGGCGUGUAAAGGUAAACGCUUCGCAACCACUAUAUCAACGGUGAGGGUGAAAAGGAUGAUCAAGGGUGGUUGUAAGGCCUACUUGGCGACCAUCGUAGACCCUUGACAGGAGUACCCGAAACUAGAGAGUAUUCGAGUUGUGCGGGAGUAUCCGGAUGUAUUCCCAGCGGAGUUACCGGGAUUGCCUCCGGAUCGGGAAGUCGAGUUUGUCAUUGACUUGAUUCCCGGAGCGGCGCCAAUUUCGAAGGCUCCGUAUAGAAUGGCACCGAUGGAGCUAAAAGAGUUAAAAGCUCAAUUACAAGAUUUGCUCGAUAAAGGCUUCGUGCGCCCGAGCGUGUCCCCAUGGGGAGCUCCAGUGCUAUUUGUAAAGAAGAAAGACGGCACACUUCGACUCUGUGUCGAUUAUCGCGAAUUGAAUAGAGUGACAAUCAAGAACAAAUACCCAUUGCCAAGAAUUGAUGACCUGUUCGAUCAGUUGCAAGGGUCAAGGGUAUAUUCAAAGAUUGAUCUGCAGUCGGGGUAUCAUCAACUGAAGAUACAUCCCAAAGAUGUGCACAAGACAGCGUACCGUAUGCGGUAUGGCCACUAUGAGUUUACGGUCAUGCCAUUCGGGCUCACUAAUGCCCCGGUGGCAUUUAUGGACCUAAUGAAUCGCAAUCUUCCGUUCGCUAUUGGACUGGUGCGUCGUGGUCUUCAUUGACGACGUAUUGGUAUAUUCUCGGACCAAAGAAGAACACGAGGAGCAUCUAAGACUCGUGUUGGAGAUACUCCGGAAGGAAAAGCUUUAUGCAAAACUAAAGAAAUGCGAGUUUUGGCUUUCGGAGGUUACCUUCUUGUCACAUUGUAUCCAGAGAUGGCAUCUCGGUGGACCCAAAGAAAGUUGAGGCGAUUAAAGAUUGGCUUCGCACGACAAGUGUAGCGGAGAUUCGUAGCUUCCUUGGACUUGCGGGCUAUUACCGGCAGUUCGUGGAGGGGUUUGCUAGGAUAACAACUCCACUGACGCGCCUUACGCACAAAGGGGUAAAGUAUGUUUGGAGCCCCGAGUAUGAGCGGAGCUUUGAGGAGCUAAAGAAUAGACUGAUAUCUACUACGGUGCUUGCUUUACCGACGCCGGGAGAGAGUUAUGUCGUAUACAGUGAUGCUUCAUACGUCGGUCUCAGGUGUGUGUUAAUGCAAAACAGCCGAGUCAUAGCUUAUGCUUCGCGCCAGUUGAAUAGUUAUGAAAAGAACUACCCGACUCACGACCUUGAGCUAGCGGCGGUUAUAUUUGCGCUAAAACUGUGGAGGCAUUACCUGUAUGGGGAACAUUGUGAGAUCUACACCGAUCAUAAAAGUCUCAAAUACUUGUUCACCCAGAAGGAGCUGAACUUGCGACAGCGGCGGUGGUUAGAGUUACUUAAAGAUUAUGACGUCACGAUUCUCUACCACCCCGGGAAAGCGAACGUUGUAGCUGAUGCCUUAAGUAGGAAGUCGGCGGAAAAUUUGGCGACGGAGAUUACACCUCAACCGGCUUUGCAAAAGGAGAUGCAGCCGUUUGGACUAGAAGUUGUGGCGCCGGGAGUGCCGGCAACACUCGCCACCUUAGUUGUGCAGCCAACCUUGUUGGAGAAAAUUAAAGAAUUACAAGCGUCGGAUGAAUUUCUCCAAAAGGUGCGGGGCAAAGUUGAGAGCGGUAGUGCCGAUGAUUUUGGCAUUGGAACCGACGGCGCACUACGAUAUCGAGAUCGUUGGUGCGUGCCCAAGGACGACGACCUUCGGAGGGCGAUUAUGCAAGAAGCGCAUCAAUCUCCCUAUAGCAUUCACCCGGGCGGCACCAAAAUGUAUCGAGAUUUGAAAUUGCAUUAUUGGUGGCCGGGCAUGAAGAAAGAUAUAGAAAAGUUCGUGGCGCAAUGUCCACGUGCCAACAAGUGAAGGCGAAGCGUCGAUUUCCGGCGAAAAAUUGCGAAGUCUACCUAUACCUGUGUGGAAAUGGGAAAACAUCGCGAUGGACUUUGUGACAAGUUUGCCAAGGUCACAAGGUGGACAUGACGCGAUUUGGGUAGUUGUGGACCGGUUUACAAAAUCGGCGCAUUUUUUGCCGAUCCACGCUACUUGGUCGGGAGACAAGUUAGCUCAAGUCUAUAUUGACGAGGUGGUGAGACUCCAUGGGGUUCCGGUAUCUAUUGUGUCGGAUCGGGACCCUAGGUUCACAUCUCAUUUUGAAGAGCUUACAAGAUGCAUUAGGCACGCGGCUCGACUUUAGUACGGCAUUCCAUCCUCAAAGUGACGGUCAAUCGGAGAGGACGAUUCAAAUACUUGAGGACAUGCUUCGAGCGUGUGUACUUGAUUGUAAGGGCGGAUGGCACAAUCACUUACCGAUGGCGGAAUUCGCAUACAACAAUAGCUAUCAAGAGAGCAUUGCGAUGGCGCCAUUCGAGGCCCUGUAUGGAAGAAAAUGUCGCUCGCCGAUACAUUGGAGCGAUGUGGGCGAGAAGAUGGUUCUUGGCCCGAAAGUGGUGCGGGAGGCGGAAGAGAAAGUCCGCCUGGCCCGACAAAGAUUGGUGACGGCGCAAUCAAGGCACAAAAGUUAUGCCGACAAGCGGCGAAAGGAUAUUGAGUUCGCGGUAGGAGACCGCGUAUUUCUAAAAGUAUCGCCGAUGUGAGGAGUUAAGCGAUUCGGUGUUCGCGGGAAGCUAAGCCCCGCUACAUCGGACCCUUCGAGAUUCUAGAACGAGUUGGCGUGGUGGCCUAUAAGUUGGCAUUACCACCGAGGCUCGCGGGAGUACAUGAUGUAUUCUAUGUAUCCCAACUUCGCAAAUAUGUGUAUGAUCCAGAUCAUGUUCUCUCGUAUAUACUGAUAGAACUUCAAGAGGAUAUGACAUAUGAGGAGUUCCCGACGCACAUUGUGGAUCGGGAAGUAAGAAAACUACGGAACCGCGAAAUCCCGUAUGUUAAAGUUCAUUGGUGCGAACAUGAUGACCGGGAAGAAACGUGGGAGCUCGAAAGCGAAAUGAGGGAGCGUCAUCUUCACAUUUUCGAGGAUCUAAAGUGAGGUACGGAAUUUAAAUUUCAAACUUAAUAGUUUCGAGGACGAAACUAAAUUUUAGGGGUGGAGAAUGUAACAUACCACAUCCCUCGUAAAUCGUGCCGAGUUCGGUCGAAACGAGCGGAACACGUAGUUGAGUGAGUUAGAAUGGACCCUAAGCGCAUUAGAGUCCAUAAGUGAAGCUAAAAGGGAUCCGAGAGAGAAAAUCAGAAAAUCUGGCUAAGUCCCAGAUUUUGUGCUCUCGGAGACCGAUCCCUGAAGGAGAGACCGGUCCCUGUACGCGUAGCCUGCCAAGAAACCCCGAGGCAUCCGGUCCCUGGUGGUGAGACCGGUCCCUGGGGGAGAGACCGGUCCCUCGCUGUGCAGCCAGCCAAAAAUCCGAAAAUUUGGCUAAGUCCUGGAAAACCCCCGUUCGGGAACCGGUCCCUGGUCGGGGAGACCGGUCCCCGAAGCCAAAAAAUAAGUGGAGGGGCUUAAGUGCAAUUAUUACAACACUAUAUAUGGCCCAUCCCCUCUCUUCAGAUCAAUGGGAAAUAAGUGGAGGGGCUUAAGUGCAAUUAUUACAACACUAUAUAUGGCCCAUCCCCUCUCUUCCACAGCCAUUUCUCUCAUCCUCUCUCAUUUCCCCUCUUUUUCUCUCUAGAACUUCCCUAGAACUUGGAGAAGAAGAGAAAGAACUUGGAGAAGAAGGUGGAUUUGGUGCUUUAGAGGUUCUAGGAGCUCUCCAACAAGAAGAAUCUUGGUGGAGCUUGGACUAGAGGUAAGUUUUGUGAGGUUUUCCUUUAGGCUUUGGGUUUUGGUUUGGAGAAUUGGAGCUAUGUGCUCCUUAGGGGCUUUAGAGGCUCUUUUGAGCCAUGAAUGCCAUGGUACCCAUGAGAGCUCAAGGUGCUCUCAUGGUGAACCCUUGGAAGUUGUGUUAGGAGCCCUAGGGUUGGUUCCAAAGGUCUAGAAAUCUUACUAGGAUGCUCCUUAGAUGAUUCUAAACUAUUAUUCGCUUAGGGUUGAGAUCGAUUCAUGGGGAAACCCUAAAUGACAUUGUUAGGGCUUGAAAAUUGGGAUUUUUGCCCUAGGAUUUUUCGGGGACAAAUUGACCUCGUAGAAAUCUAAUUGGGGGUGUCCUAAACGCGUGAGACAACUCCGUUUAACAUUACGAAAAUGUUUGGGAGUAGUUCAUAUGUAAAGGGCCUAAUUACCAUUUUGGGUUGUAGGACGCGGAGCCGGCGUUCGUAGCGCUUGGGAGUCACCACAUUCUACACCCACACGAUCAUUAGAGUUGGGGGGUGCACGCCGGAAUCGUUGGAUUCCCUUCUAUGUCUAUUUCUCUAUUCUUGAGCAUAUGGUUGUUUAUUCCUUCAUGCAUAUUAGGGUUAAUGCACAUGUGAACUUUGAUUGUUUUCAUUAUGUUAUCGCAAGGGUAUUUGAAAAUAGAGAGAAAUGGAACCAUGAUGGACAUGUGUUGUGGAACCCUAGGUAUUGCAUGAUAGUGGGACUUGGACUUAGCACAAGUAAACAAUGGUGACAAUGACAAUAGAGAAAUAGAUUGGCUUGGACAAAUGGAUGUUAAACAUAGAUUUAACUAUAGUGACAUUACGAUGAGAUCGACUAGAAAGUGGCAUGAAAACACAGGUAGAAAACCUAUCACAAAAGUGGAAAUGUGACAUGUGGCUAAAUAUCCUCAACUUGGGGAUUUGAUCGACACUCAUAAUAAGUCUUUGCUUGAGGGAGGUCGCUCCUCCUCAAGCGGUGUGUUUCCGGAAAUCGACACCACAGGGAGCGAGGUCCCUGAAGACGGUCCCUCGGGUCGGUAGUGCUUGGAGCCUCCCCGGUAAAGAAAGGGAUUUUGGGUUAUGAGUUUUUGGGGUUAAUGAGGUUAACCAGUAAGAUUGAGUAAGAGCCAGCGCUUAAUUAUGAUUUGAGCAUGCAUGCAUAUUUCAUUAUGGCAUCGAGUAUAUGUACCCACUGAUAUUCUUCUACAGGCAUGGUAUUAGAUGCAUUAGUAAUGGUUACUUUUGCUUCCUUGAAAUACUUAUGCCUGGAUAGACCUAGUGGGUAAGUCGGCAAGGUCGGAUGCCGAAUCCACUGGGAACUUCGUUGUAGUUCUCACACCACUAACCCUACAGGUCCUAGCACGAGCGGGGCGGCGGAGGACCGAGGCAAGGCUAUAAUGCCGUAGAUAGGGUCCACCGGGACUUUAUACAUUUUGUAGUCAUUUUCCUUUUUCUUUUGGUGUACAUGUAUCAACUUCUUUGGUUGAUUUAGAAAUGUAAAGUUGUAGACAAUCAUGUAAUUUUGGGUGGAUGGCUAAAUGUAAAAAGAAAAUGAUGGUUGAAUGGAAAUGUAAUAGUUUUAUUUACUUGUAUUUGGUUCAAAUUCAAUCAAGUAUCUUGUAUGUUAUAUGAUGUAGCUUAGAGCUUUCGCUUCCGUUGUUGCUUGCCCUCGUGCAAGCCUUGUAUUAUAUAUGCAAAUCUCUUGUUGAUUGCCUAUUUAUACAUGUUGUUAGAGCCUUGAGCGGACAGGGGAGGCCCUGUCCGUUCGACGUCUGUUGACGUGACCCGAACCCGACCAAAUUUGCGGGGAUUGGGGCGUGACAGACACUUGAAGCUGUGUUUGCAUCCUUUGUCAAAUAGACAAACCAUUCUUAAUUUGAUUAAUAUUUUGCCUUAUGAUUAGAGUGAGAAAUUUUGAGCUAAGUUUAAACUAUUCAUUUUAUCACCUUAUAGAUCACUUAAACAAAUUUCUAAAUUUAUGAUUAGGUGAAAAGGACUUUUAAAUAUUCAAAAAUUGCUCAAAUUCUGUGUUCUGUCAAGUUGAAAUUUCUGGACCCUAUUCUGGGCGCCCUAAAGUGGAUCCGAAUCUUUUGAGACUUUUUGGAUCUUGCCUGUUUGCUGUUCGGGUGAUCCAAAAACUUCUGGGCACCAUUACUUCAAAUUAGGGCAACCAAGGUUAUUUGACUUGACAGGUUGCAUAUCAGCCCAAAAAUUCUGACAGCAGGCGGCGCGCAAUACUGGGCGCCCAGAUUUUAUGGAAGCCCAUAAAUGAUCUUGGUAAGCGGCGCACGCAAUCUGGGCUGUCUGGCAAGAAAGUCAGCACGAUUUUCUGGGCGCCCACAACUUUUGACGGCUCGAAUCCAGAAAAACGGCGCAUGUCAGAAAAGUUGUCCCUCGAGAUCUGGGUGCCCAUAAUUUCUGAUGGCCCAAAUCCAGAGGUGGCGGCGCGUGUCAGAAAAGCUGUUCCUCGUGUUCUGUGCGCCCACAACUUUUGACGGCCCGAACAUACAAAGUCAAGAAAAGCGGCGCACGUGGUCCGACAGGCAGCUGGCGUGCACAACUUCUGGGCGCUCGGAAACAGGUUUAGGGCGCCUGAAAGUACAACCGAUAGAAGCUGCCCGAGGCUGUAAAUAGAUGGUAUUGAGGCCUCUCUCUGCAGCAACUUAGUAAUUCAUUUGAGCUUAAAAAUUUUAGUGAUCUUUAUACUCUUAGCUCUCAAUUCUUUCUCUAAACUUGAGUGAAAUUGGUAGUGAGAUUUAAUCUUGUAAAAAGUGAGAAAAUCAAAGUCUUGAAGCUUGAGAAGAAGGAGUUGAUGUGAAGGCUUGGUGCUUGCCCGCAAAAGCAUCAUCUAGUGGAGAUCCAACAUUCUCGAGUGAUUGAGAAGUUGGCGGGGACGUAGGCAAAGUGCCGAACCUCGAAACAAAUUGAUCGUGUGCUUUUCGAGUUUGCAUUUCUUUUAUUUGCAUCGGUUUUUAAUUUGCUUGAUUAUUUGGAUUUUUAUUUUAGAAACCUAAUUCACCCCCCCUCUUAGGUUGCCAUUUUGAUCCUCAAGUGUUAGACCACCCAUAUGUUUGAGCCCUAGCGUGAUAGGAAGGCUCAUCAUUUAAUUUGAAAUAAAAGUAUUAACUGAAAAGUUGCCCCAGCUAAAGAACAAUUAGUGUCUCUUGUUAUGGCUACAAGUUUAGAUUUUUUGUUCCUAGUUUGACUCCUCCAUUAUCUGGCGUUACGUAAGCUGAGAUACAAAAGAACAUUUAGCUCAUAGUCUUAAAAAUUCAUUGAUCAUGGAUCUAAUAAGAAGGAUGAAGUUUCAAAUCAGAUCAAUAUCUAGAUUCUUAACAUUAUAAGAGAAUUCAAUUUUGUUAAGUAUUUGUAUCGGUAAUAACAACUAUCACUACUCUUGACAUUUUAUAUUUUCCUCUUUCUGUUGUCAAUAGACCUAAAAUUUUGCUCAUUAACUAUUUUAUCUGGUGUUUCCUGGUAGAUUAGAUUCUUUCUUUUGCUAGUACUCAUCAGAAUUCUAUUCCACUUAAACCUGAGCUGGAUUAGAGAAUGAAUUACACUACCCAGCUUAAUAGAACAAGCCAUCAACAAAGAUUGUUCAUCAAUAUAAUGCCUAUAUACUAUGACUGAUCAGAUUUUGAAAAACUACGGUUAUUUACCUGCCCUAAAGUACGCAGCACAUUACACCAAUAAUGAUGAGGAACUUCUUUUCUUAUAAAAAGAAUUUCAGAUUUGAUUGAUUAAGAUAAGAGAUUUGUAAAUCAUUCUAAACUACAUAGAAAAUAAAUUAGGCGUGAGAGAUCCUUACAAGGCCCAUGACAGCAGAAACCACAAUCGCAGCCAAGGCACACUAAUACAGAGAAAAGCAAAUCAACAGUGAGUAGAUAUGUUUCAUGAUUGUGAAAGCAUAUAGGAAAGAGAUUACAUGGAAAAAACAAAAGAAGUAGUAAUAUUUAAUUAGUUCUUCGCUGCUACAAUUUCACAAUUAGUUCCUGCUAUGAAAUGAUGUUAACAGAGGAAUUCAAUUAGAUGUGACGAGGUAAACUAGCAACAUUGAACUAUGAAUUUGAGUAAAGAUAGCGGUAUUACUAAUCAAUCAUAUUAUUGCUUAUUCAAUAGAGAAAUAUUGUUAUUGAAAAUAUGGCCUCAAUAUGAUAGUAAUAGUAUGCAUGAAAAGUUCAUAACUAAUACUAUUGGAUAUGCAGUUUUAAAAGUUAUACCUAAGGUAUGUCACUAAAUAAUGGUGUCAUAAACAUAAGGGCACAACCAAUUAUAAUGCCCAUAGUGAUUCCAGAUAAUCCAGUCUAUGCGCCACUCUCAUGAUUUACAGCUGACCUGGAAAAUGAACCUGCAUAAAAAAUAGUGAGACUCCAUCUCACUAACUCACGCUAGCUCAAACCUAGGCUUAACUAUUUUUAUCUGGAAAUGCAAAGAAUAAAAAGUAAACAUUAGUCAGACCUUGUAAUAUACACAGGAUGAGUAUCUUACCAUUCAAACACAUAGAUUCGUGUAGAGGAACAAUCACAGGUACCAAACAAUAUCAUCAUCGCGCAUGAAUGACUUGACAAAAAAAUUAUUCUUCAACUAGCUUAACAUUACUAAAUGAAUGAUUCAAUCCUCAUGGUCUCACAGGUUACAAUGUCAAGAAAUUUCAGAAGUAGCAAUAAAUCAUUAAGCGAUAAUUUCACAAACAAUUAUUCAAAAUAUAAAUUUGCAAAACAAAUAGCUUUUUCUAAAUGUGUCAUAAUUGAGAUAAGUACCACGAAUUUUCAGCAAAAUAAUUCAAAAAUUAAUUCCAAACCCAUUCAAAAACCGAACAAAAAAUCUAAAAAAACCAAUAGAAUCGGCAAAGGAGCAAAGGGCCUUAUCCUCCCACGCCGCAAUGAAAGCUGUAGUAGCAGACAACGAUGAGGUGAAUAUUCCGGCGAGCGACAGUGAAGGCGGAUGUAACACACUGGACCUGUGCAAAUUGCGAGGUUCGAGUGAUUGGAUGUGUUUUGAGCUUUUCCACGCUUUGUGGAGGAUCAUAGAAGGUGUUCCGACCUAAAAAGUUUGAAUCUUGGAAUUUCUGCUAAGUCCUGAGAGUUUUACUCUCGGGGACCGAUCCCUGCAGGGAAAGACCGGUCCCCCGGCGAGGCAACCGGUCCCUGGCGGAUGAGACUAGUCCCCGAGCGCGUUUUCGCGGGGAGAGACCGGUUCCAUGCGGGGAGAGACCGGUUCCCGAGAACAAGUUUUGUGGGAUGGACCUGAGAGAUCGGUCCCAAGCAGGGAGAGACCGGUCCCUCUGGGCGAAAUCUGCCCAGUCCGGGCUUUGCACAGGUUGCAAAGUUGAGGACUUUUCUGGAUUUUGUUACACUAGAGGGCCUAUAUGGCCAUUUCACUUCCCUUUCUCCCUUAUUUCACCCUCCCACUUGCUUUUAGAGAGAGAAGGAGAAGAAGGAGGAGAAGGAAGGAGAAGGAGAGCUUGUUUGAGGACUUGGAGCUUCACCCUCACCCUCUUUUCUUCCAUUUGAUGGUUUGGAGCUUGCUUUUGGAGCUUCGUGGUGGAUCAAUUUUCAACACUAGAGGAUUUUGAGCUUGGUUUGGAGCUUCCUAGAGGUUAGUUGCUUGUUCCUCCCUUCUAGACCUAGUUUUGGUGGAUUUUGGAAGAUGAAACCCUAGAAUGGAAAACCUAGGUUUUAUUUGGGGCUUUUUGAUUAGAGGCUUUUUGAGCUAAUCUAAUUGGAUUAGAACCUUAGUUUAGGUUGCUUUGGAAGGGAUCUAGCUUUCAUUUGAGCUUUGGAAAGGAAUUUCUACACUAUAGGUGAGAUUUGGCCCUUUUGCUUAGUAGGUUAAUGUUUGAGCUUGUAGUUGAUCGGAAGGUUCGUUUAACCUUUGUUCUUGUGCCUCUAGGGUACUAAGAGGCUAGCGGACACCUUCGUCGGAGCUUACGAAGGGUUGCGCAAGUUUCGGUGGGUUUGACCUAGCUUACAAUAUGAGAGAUGCUCAUAUUUUGUGAUUUAUGCUUCGUAAAGUAGAAAUUCAUGCAUUUUCAUACUAAAUGUAUUUAUUGUGAAUUUUAGAAUGCUUAACAUCCCUAUGUCAUGUAUAAUAAAUUUUCGGACCUCUAUGUAGUAGAGAGUUGCAUGUGAGGCUUAUACUAGCAUUUGGCAUUCUAAUGUUGGACUUGGGACCAUGUUUCUUACAAUGAAAAUGAGUAUUGUUUAGUACUCUUAAACCUAUACAUUUUAGAGACAUGAGAGAUAGCUAAUGCCAUAAAGAGGCAUCGGACUAGACCGUUAUGGAAAAAUUUGGAGCUAAUGUCAUAAAGUGGCAUUGAGCUCGGGUUAUGUGUGAACCUAGUACUAGUGUCAUGAUUGGAACAUAGAAUAUGAAAUGUGCUUAACUUAUAGCAAUGCUUAAGUGUCAUAAAGAGGCACUACGCAAGGUGAGUGUUGGGACAUCAUAUUGGAACAUAGAACUAGACCGUUGGGUGACUAGUGACUAUUACCAAGUUAGAGACAUGAUGAUUGAUUACUUGAGACGAUGACUUUGCUUGCUUGCCAUUUGUGCUCAUUCGCACAUACUUGUCGCUCCCUACAAGCCGGCACUCCGGAAUUGGCCUACGCGACUUAUGUUCGCUCGUGCGGUAUCAAGAAACCUACGGGGUCGGGAGGGAUAGACUCAUUUUCAGAGUGAAAAUGCUGGAGCUACCACCGACACUUAGGCGGCGCAAGCCGGACUACACUCGUGUAGCUCCUAAAACAAGAUUGAGCUUGGACAUAAACUCUUAAACAUAAAUCACUACUAGAUGAAUCAUAGUAGUUGGAUUACUUGGCAUAUUUAUAGUGUGGCUUUGAGAUUUUGGGACAUGUAGUAUACUUGAUAGAAUUGCUUUGCAUCUUAGUAUACUUGGCAGUUAUGAUGAACAUUUCCCCUUGUAUUGGCAUAUUCAAUCAUGAUAGCAUUGAUACACAUCAUUUUUACAUGUAGCAUAGUAGCAUAGCAUUUCAUACAUGCUUUCAAUUCAGCAGCUUAUUAUUGUCUAAUACUAUCGUUACUUACCCCUUUUCUUUGGGCCUAGUAGUGCAUUGUGCUGAGGUCAGUAAUUGCCCACUGGGAACUAUAAAUUAUAGUUCUCACGCCCUUUGUUUCUUGCUUUUAUUUCAGAGCCUUCUACUCCGGGCGAGGCUAGGGACCGAGGAAAGGGAAUCGCCACGAGCUAGCUUGUGAGCGAGGGACGUUCGAUAGGUGGUCCACCUCUUCUUUGUUUUCUUUUUGGGAGAGGAUGAGAGUUGUAUCUUGUAUAGAGACCACCCUUUUUGUAGUGCUUUUGUGACGACUCUUGUACUGACUUUAUCUUUUUCUUUAGCAGUUUACUUUCCCCUUUCUCUACUUGUUGUUAGUUGUUAGCUGUUAGUAGCUCUGAUAUCUCUAGUAACUUUAUUUCUUCUUGCUUCCAUAUCUCUUUUGUUGUAGAUGCCUUAUAUGUGCAGGCAUAUGGCGGGUCUGGGCAUGCACCGGGCGGGCCUAUGCCGGGUCCCGGGGCGUGACAGAUUAAUUUGGUAUCAGAGUCUAGGGUUGAGUCUUAGAGGACCUACUAAACCUUAGGCCGGUUGGACUAUAGGAAAUAGGCUCGUGAGAGACGAGGUCUAUUUGACUUGUAAGCGAAAGUAUUUCAAUUGGGUUUUAUGAUAACUCUAAAAAGUUAGAGUUGAUUGGAGUGUAUGACUUCUAACUUCGCGGAGGGUUACGUUGGCGGCCGACAACGUAAUAUCGGGACUUAGUGGUGAAGAACACUCCUUACUUUCGCAAGAUUUGGGUUUUGUCUACUUUGAGCGGGGAUGCGAUAGCGUGGGUUUUACUAACUUGCACUUUUAUGUUUGUAGUGGCGAUGCCGAUUACACGCUCCCAAUCUACCGGAGCGGAUGAUGCGGCACACCUCGAGGAGGUUGAGACCUCCGCUACUUCCGGAUCUAGCGAGGUCCGCGACUUGAGGUCCCAGCUUGCGGUCCUCACUGAUCUUGUAGCGCAGCAGGCGGCGGCGGCGUAACGACAGGCCGAGGUGGCACAGCGGCAGGAGGCGCGAAUGAAUCACCUGGAGGAUCUCUUGCUACAGCAGGCGGCAGCUUCUAGGGAGACUCAGGUUUCCACACCACCAGCGCCCGUUGUGAACGUUGCGCCGAGGGCGCAAUCCCCCGCGCCCAGUUCUUCGUGUGCCGCGGCCGAGACCGAACCUCGGGAGGAAGUGGUCACAGCACCACCGGUUCAGAUACCUGCGGCGAGGGCAGCUUUCCCUGUGAUAGCUGAGGGAGCCGAGCUGGAUCGGCUCAUGGAUCGCCUCAGUGAGUUCAGGAGGUGCGGUCCGAGGAUCUUUGACGGCGAGAAGGUCGACCACUAGAUUGUUGAGAAGUGGUUGAUGCAUAUGGAGAAGCUUUUUCGAGAUACCUUUGUUGAGGAAAGGGAUAGAGUUUGGCUCGCCACACAUCACUUGGACGGCGAGGCCUAUUGUUGGUGGUUGAAUAUCUAGGACAACCCUAACACUGAUUUGGUAGCAAUUUCUUGGACGAGCUUCAAGGAGCUUCUUCUGGCGCACUACUUCUCUACCAGCGUCAAGAGGAAGAUGGAGAAGGACUUGCGCAGCUUACGCCAGGAGGAGCGGACAGUGGCCGAGUACGAGAGGGAGUUUUCUUGGCUACUCCACUGUGUACCCUUCGUAGUGCGGGACGACGAGGACAAGGUUUGCAUUUUCGAGCAUGGAUUGCGGCCUUCGAUCUUUCGGUUGGUGCAGUCCUCCAACUUCCAAACCUACCGGGAGGUUGUGAACCGCGCCCUCAUCAUGGAGAGCAGCGCGGUGGAGCUUCAGGAGCAUCGCGAGGGCUUGGAGAAGGGGAAGGGCAAGAGGCCUGCGGCUGAGGGUGCGAGCCAGACGCAAUCGCAGAGGCCGCGGAGGCAUCCCAGGAGCCGGAGCUAGUCGCGAGGACGUGGCCAGUCUACUCAGCGAGGAGGACCCGAUCGUCGCCAGGCUCCGUGCUGCGUGAUUUGUGGUGGUCUUCAUUACCUACGACAGUGUUCACGCAGUCGGGGCAGGUGCUACCUGUGUGGCCAGGAGGGCCACUUCCAGUCGGACUGUCCGAGGGGUCCAUCGCCAGCGCCAUCGUCGGCAUCUGCACCAGCUUCACCGGGUCUCAGCCAGGGGACACCUUCUGUACACCAGCAGGCUUGGCGGCCACCUGUGCAGUGGCAGUUGGAGGAGUCACGGCAGCCCCGAGCGGGCGCAUGUACGUGGCCCGGACGGAGGAGGCGGCAGCGGCUGAGAAUGUGGUUGCGGGUAUCAUUUUACUUUAUGGUAUUCGAGUACGUGCAUUAUUUGAUACCUGUGCAUGGCAUUCAUUCUUAGACCGGCUAUUUGCCGAGUUGCAUGGCAUCCCACUCGUUUCUUUGUUGCACCCGGGACGUGUAGUUGUUCCUGACCACUCCUUAAAUAUUAGAGAGAUUUAACCCAGUUGCCCUGUUCAGGUCGGAGAUUGGAUCAUACCCGCGGAUCUAUUUGCAUUGCGCAAACUAGAAGAGUUUGACGUGGUUUUGGGCAUGGAUUGGCUAAUCAAGUACUACGCCACUAUCGAUUGCAUGAAUCGAAUGGUGACGUUCAAAGAGCCGGGGCAGGCAGAGGUUGUGUAUUGAGGAUGCCGGAGUUCGCUGUUUGCGAUGACUAUUAGCUCCUCUCGAGUUAGGCAGUUGAUUAGCAGAGGCUGCAUAGCCUAUUUGGCUGCCAUUGCGUUGCAGGGCGAAGUCGACGCCCCUAGGAUUGAGGACAUCCCCGUCGUGCGGGAGUUUGGAGAUGUGUUUCCAGCAGAGCUACCAGGCAUGCCACUGGAUAGGGAGAUUGAGUUUGUGGUGGAUCUCGUCCCUAGGACUACUCUAAUCUCAAAGGCGCCCUAUAGGAUGACAUCGGCGGAAUUAAAGGAGCUGAAGGCACAGUUGCAAGAUCUUUUGGAUAAGGAUUUUGUGUGUGUCACCUUGGGGAGCACCGGUCUUGUUUGUCAGGAAGAAGGACGGGUCACUUCGCUUGUGUGUGGACUAUCAUGAACUUAAUAAAGUCACGAUCAAGAACAAGUACCCGUUACCGAGGAUCGACGAUCUGUUUGAUCAGCUUCAGGGAUCGAGUGUGUACUCUAAGAUCGACUUGCAGUCGGGGUACCACCAGUUGAAGAUUGCACCCGAUGAUGUAUCGAAGACGGCUUUUAGAACACGGUAUGGACAUUACUAGUUUACGAUUAUGCCGUUUGACCUCACUAACGCUCCGGCAGCUUUUAUGGAUUUAAUGAACCGUGUGUUUAAGCCUUAUUUAGACAGGUUCAUCGUAGUGUUCAUCGACGACAUUUUGGUCUGUCUCGAAGUGAUGCAGAUCAUGAGGAACACUUGAGACUUGUAUUUCAAGUGCUUCGGAAAAAAAACAUUUUGCCAAACUGAAGAAGUGUGAAUUUUAGCUUAGAGAGAUGGCGUUUUUGGGCCAUUUGAUUUUCGGAUCGGGUAUAGCCGUGGAUCCGAGGAAGAUUGAGGCUAUCAGGGAUUGGCUGAGGCUGACGAGUGUUACCGAGAUACGGAGUUUUAUUGGCUUUGGUCGGCUACUACCGACGGUUUGUCGAGGGAUUUGCAAAGCUAUCUACUCCCCUCACGAGGCUCAUGCAUAAAGGCACCAAGUUCAUUUGGAAUGAUGUGUGUGAGAAAAGCUUACAAGAGCUGAAGCGGAGAUUGACUACCACCCCGAUUCUAACCUUACCGAUUGCUGGAGCAUGGUAUGUGAUUUAUAGUAAUACUUCUUUUAAUGGAUUGGGCUGUGUUUUGAUGCAGGACGGGAAAGUGAUCGCGUAUGCAUCUCGCAAACUGAAGGAUUAUGAAAGGAAUUACCCUACUCACGACUUGGAGUUGGCGGCCGUGGUCUUCGCCUUGAAACUAUGGCGCCAUUAUUUGUACGGCGAGCGAUGCGAAGUAUAUCCAGAUCACAAGAACUUAAAGUAUCUAUUCACUCAAAAGGAGUUGAAUUUGAGGCAGCGCAGAUGGUUGGAGCUCCUCAAGAAUUAUGAUUUGACAAUCCUUUACCACCCGGGCAAGGUAACGUGGUGGCGGAUGCGCUAAGUAGGAAAUCGACGGAAAACUUAGCGAUGCUUGUUGCUACUCAACAGCUGUUGAUGGAGCAGAUGAAGCGGUUGGAGUUGGAGGUAGUGGCUCCUGAUACACCUUUGGGUUGAUGACUCUGCGGUGCAACCUACACUUUCGAAAAGGAUUAAAGAAAAACAAACUCACGAUGCGGAGUUGCAGAAGAUUAGAGAUAAAAUGAUUGGAGGUUGCACCGGUGAUUUCACUGAGGACGGUGAUGGAUUGAUGCAUUUUCGCGGACGGAUUUGUGUACCGACAGAAUCGGCACUUAGAGAAGAAAUUCUACAAUAAGCGCACCGAGUGCCGUAUGCUAUACAUCUAGGAGGCACCAAGAUGUAUAAGGACUUAAAGUUGCUCUAUUGGUGGCCCGGGAUGAAAAAGAAUGUUGGCGAGUUUGUUACUAGAUGUCUAACUUGCCAACAGGUUAAAGCUGAGCACCGAGUUCCCGCGGGAAAGUUGCAGAGCUUACCGAUUCCAGUGUGGAAAUGGGAGAAGAUCACCAUGGACUUCGUGACAGGAUUGCCCCGCUCACAGGCUGGGCAUGAUGCUAUUUGGGUGAUCGUGGAUAGGUUAAGGAAGUCGGCGCACUUCAUACCUAUUCAUACUAUUUGGAUCGGGGAGAAGCUCGCACAUGUGUACCCUGAUGAGAUUGUGCGACUUCACAGAGUGCCUACGUCGAUAGUAUCUGAUUGAGACACCCGGUUUGUGUCUCACUUUUGGAGAAGUCUACAAGACGCCCUAGGCACUCGACUGGAUUUCAGUACAGCUUUCCACCCUCAGAGUGACGAGCAGUCAGAGCGCACUAUACAGACUUUAGAGGAUAUAUUCCGGGCAUGUGUGAUAGACUUCCAGGGAGGAUGGUCGCAGCAUCUUCCGAUGGCAGAGUUUGCUUAUAACAACAGUUAUCAAGCAAGCAUCAAGAUGGCACCUUUCGAGACACUCUAUGGACGGAAGUGUAGAUCACCACUUCAUUGGAGUGAAGUUGGCGAGAGAUUGGCUUUAGGCCCAGAUGUGCUCCAGGAAGCUGAGGACAAGGUUCGAAUUGCUCGGGAGCGAUUUUUGAUGGCACAGAGUAGACAAAGGAGCUACGCCGAUUGACGACGGCGAGACUUGGAGUUCCAAGUUGGAGACCAUGUAUUCUUGAAGGUCUCGCCAACUAGACGGAUCAAGAGAUUUGGGAUUCGGGAAAAGUUGAGCCCCUGUUUUAUUGGACCGUAUGAGAUCUUGGAACGUAUAGGUCCGGUAGCAUAUCGACUUGCUCUACCACCGAACCUAUCGGGCGUGCACAACGUCUUUCACGUAUCGGUCCUUCGGAAGUAUGUCUUCGACCCGACUCAUGUGUUGGAUGCUACCCCGUUGGAGUUGCGGGACAAUUUGAGCUUCGAGGAGCAACCCAUGGAGAUCUUGGCUAGCAAGGUGAAGAAACUACGGAAUCGGGACAUUCCGUAUGUAAAGGUGCUUUGGAGAAACCACGGGGAACGGGAGGCCACGUGGGAGCUAGAGAGCGUGCUGCAGGAGCGCUAUCCCCAUCUUUUUCAGAUAGAGUCUUGAGGUAUGCAGUUGCUUUGAGUAUCGCGGACGAAACUCCUUUUUUAGGAGGGGUGAAUAUAACACACUGGACCGUGCAAAUUGUGAGGUCAGAGUGUAUAACACACUGGACCUUUGCAAUUUGCAAGGUUCGAGUGUUUGGACGGUGCCCUGAGUUUUUCCAGACUUUCUGGUGGGUCGUAGACAGUGUCCGACCUAAGGCUCGUGUCCCGAGAAUGGAGGUUUGAAGCUUAGCACCAAAACCCAAAAAAUCGGAUUUUUGGUUAGCUCUCGAGUAGCCUUCAUUGGGCUGUGUACCGGUACAGGGUUGAUGGCUGUACCGGUACAGGGUUGAUGGUUGUACCGGUACAGGAUCGUGUACCGGUACACAGGCAGCUUCCCAGCCAACCCGAGGCUCGGGUUUGGCUAUUUCGUGGGAUGUGUACUGGUACGUGGGCCCGUGUACCGGUACGCAGUGCAGAUUUCUGAGCAGUUCGAACUGCAGGGGUGUUUUUGCAUUGUGGCUUCUCUAUAUUACACCCACGCCCCUUGGAGUGUUCCCUAAGCUAGGGCACAGCCGGAAUAAGGUGAGGAGCCCUCUCCUUCCCCUCUCUUUUGUAUUCUUGCUUUUGGAUUAGAUUUUUUUGAGGGUUAAAUCCUUUCUUUCUCCCUCUUUUUGUUUCUUGGUGGUUUCUCCACCAUGGUUGAAGGUUGAGCUCGGGAUUGGAGCUUGUUGGAGGUGAGAUCUUGUUAUUUAGAGGACUUAGAGCUUGGAUUGAAGCUUCUAAAAGGUAAGCCACUUACUCUUUUCCUUAGAUUUGGUUUUUGUCGAUCUCUAUGAGAUGAAACCCUAGAUUGUGGAUUUAGGGUUUAUUUUUGGGGGUUUUGGACUUGGGGCUUUUUGAUCUAAAUCGAUGGGUUUUGAACUUUGGUUUAGGUUGGAUUUGAAGGGUUAUUACUCUCAUUUGGAGAUUGAGAGAGGAUUUCACCUCACAAUGUGAGUUUUGCCCCUUUUCUUGUAUUGGUUAAUGUUUAACCUAGGAGUUGUUCGUUCGGUUUGUGUGACUCUUCGUUUUGUACCCUUAGGGUCCUAGAAGAGUAGUGGAUACCUUCGUUGGAGCUUACGAAGGAUUUCGUGACGCCGUGGUGGGUUUGGCUUCUUUGAAAUGGGAGGAAAUUCCUCCUAUGUGGUUAAAUGCUUUCAUUUAUUAUAAAUUCAUGCAUAUUCAUGUUUAGUAGCAUUUAUGAGAAUUUUUGAAUGCUUAGAACUCAUAUGUUAUGCAUCAAAAAAAUUUACUCCAUAUAGUAGAGAGAUAUAUAUGCUUUGUUAAUAUGCAUGCGGUGAACAUUCUGUGAGAUGAUAUGAAAUCAAAUUUCUUGCUUCGAAUAUGACUAGAAUUACAAGUUCUUGAACUUAGUAUCCAUGUUGGGACAUAAUGAGCCAUAGUGUCAUGAAGAGGCACUUGGACUAGAAAAUUGUUAAACUGCAAUAUAGAGACUUGAUGAUAGGCCAUUUUGACAUCGACUAUAUUCCAUAUUUUAGAUAUGAUGAAAUAGUGACUUAGCCACGAUGACAUUAGCUACUUUCCAUGUAAGAGACAUGACGAUAUAGUAGCAGGCCUUUGGGGACAUGAGCUAUAUUCCGGGUUUUAGAUCUGAUGAAAUAGUAAUGACCUAUUGGGACCUGGGACACGACGGUUGAGGCAGGCCUUUGGGACAUGUGCUGUAUUCCGGGUUUUAGAUCCGACGCAACAGUGAUGGACCACUGGGACUUGAGGCAGACUUAUUCGCUUGCAUGCCACUGUGCUCUUUCGCACAUACUUGUGAGGGUCGCUCCCCAUAAGUCGACACUCCGGAGAUAGCCAUCGCGACACAAGCUCGCUCGUGCAGGAUUGGGCGCCAAAAUGAGUUGCCGUGGGGGAGGCUCAUUCCUAGGCUAGGGAUGUCGACUACCACAGGGCCAUUGUUGGCACGACGCAGGCCGGACUACCUACGGGUAGCUUCCACAGGGUUGGGUUACUAGUGACCAAUUAUACCUUUGGACAUUGACUAGAAUAGUAAACGUUGACACUUUACUGUUUAGCUUGUGGAUAUUAUGUUGGACUUACUCUCUAAAAUUAUGUCAUAGUAACUUCAUUACUUAUGCCAAGGUAUGCUAAGUAGAAUACAUGAGAUGGUUGCUUAUUACUUGUGCAAUUUCAUGCAAAGUAGAGAUCAUGUGAUAGGUUAUUACUUGUGCAAUUUCAUGCAAAAUAGAGAUCAUGUGAUAGGUUAUUACUUGUGCAAUUUCAUGCAAAGUAGAGAUCAUGUGAUAGAUGUGAUAGGUUAUUACUUGUGCAAUUUCAUGCAAAGUAGAGAUCAUGUGAUGGGUUAUUGUUUACGCUAUUUACAUACUUAUUGUAAUUAUCGUGUAUCUACUUACCCUUUUCACGCUUGGGCCUAGUGGCGCAUUUCACUGAAGUCAGUAAUUGCCCACUGGGAACUAUUAUUUAAUAGUUCUCACGCCCCCUGUUUUAUGGUUUUAUUUCAGAGCCUUCAGCACCGGUGGAGGCACGGGAUCGCGGCAAGAGGAUCGCCUAGCUAGCUAGUGGAGCCAGUUUUGCUCCUAGGUGGUCAUUCUCUCUUUUGGUUUUUGGUGAGAGAGAGUUUGUUACCAUGUAUAGAGACCACCAUUGUACUCCUCUUUGUACUUGUAUUUUGGGUUUCCUUUGUAUUAAGCUAUGUUUUAUUUUAGUAGAUUUCUAGCACUCUUUUACUAUUCCUUGUUGUAGAACCUAGUUACUUUUGCUCUGAUAUCGCUAGAGUUCUUUGUGGCAUAGUUGUAUUUAUUAAAAUUUUGGUAGACGCCUUAUAUGUUUUAGACGUAUGGCGGGUCUGGACACGUGCCGGGUAGGCUUCCGCUGAGCCCUGGGGCGUGAUAGAGUAAUUGGCUGUGUUCCGAGCUUUUUCACGCUUUGUGGAGGGUCGUAGAAGGUGUUCCAACCUAAAAAGUUCGAAUCCUGGAAUUUCUGCUAAGUCCUGAGAGUUUUACUCUCGGGGACCGGUCUCUGCGGGGAGAGACCGGUCCCUGGCGGAUGAGACCGGUCCUCGAGCGCAUUUUCGCGGGGAGAGACCGGUCCCAUGCGGGGAGAGAUCGGUUCUCGAGGGCAAGUUUUGCGGGAUGGACCUGAGAGACCGGUCCUAAGCAGGGAGAUACCGGUCCCUCUGGGCGAAAUUUGCCCAGUCCUGGCUUUGCAUAGGUUGCAAAGUUGAGGGACUUUUUUGAAUUUUGUUACACUAGAGGGCCUAUAUGGCCAUUUCACUACCCUUUCUCCCUCAUUUCACCCUCCCACUUGCUUUUAGAGAGAGAAGGAGAAGAAGAAGGAGCAGGAAGGAGAAGGAGAGCUUGUUUGAGGACUUGGAGCUUCACCCUCACCCUCUCUUCAUCCAUUUGGUGGUUUGGAGCUUGCUUUUGGAGCUUGGUGGUGGAUCAAUCUUCAAUACUAAAGGAUUUUGAGCUUGGUUUGGAGCUUCUUAGAGGUUAGUUGCUUGUUUCUCCCCUCUAUACCUAGUUUUGGUGGAUUUUGAGAGAUAAAAUCCUAGACUGGGAAACCUAGAGUUUAUUUGGAGCUUUUUGAUUAGAGACUUUUUGAGCUAAUCUAAUUAGAUUAGAAUCUUGAUUUAGGUUGCUUUGGAAGGGAUCUAGCUUCCAUUUGAGCUUUGGAAAGGGAUUUCUACACUAUAGGUGAGAUUUUGGUCCUUUUGCUUAGUAGGUUAAUGUUUGAGCUUGUAGUUGAUCGUAAGAUUCGUUUAACCUUUGUUCUUGUGCCUCUAGGGUACUAAUAGGCUAGCGGGCACAUUCGUCGGAGCUUACGAAGGGUUGCACAAGUUUCGGUGGGUUUGACCUAGCCUACAAUAUGAGAAAUGCUCAUAUUUGGUGAUUUAUGAUUCGUAAAGUGGAAAUUCAUGCAUUUUCAUACUAAAUGUAUUUAUUGUGAAUUUUAGAAUGCUUAACAUCCCUAUGUCAUGUAUAAUGAAUUUUCGGACCUCUAUGUAGUAGAGAGUUGCAUGUGAGGCUUAUACUAGCAUUUGGCAUUCUUAUGUUGGACUUGGGACCAUGUUUCUUACAAUAAAAAUGAGCAUUGUUUAGUACUCUUAAACCUAUGCAUUUUAGAGACAUGAGAGAUAGCUAAUGCCAUAAAGAGGCAUCGGACUAGACCGUUAUGGAAAAAUUUGGAGCUAAUGUCAUAAAGCGGCAUUGAGCUCGGGUUAUAUGUGAACUUAGUACUAGUGUCAUGAUUGGAAUAUAGAAUAUGAAAUGUGCUUAACUUAUAGCAAUGCUUAGCAAUUCGCGAAGGUCCAGUGUGUCACACCGUCCUUCGGGGCCACUAUCCCCGUGGUGACCUACUCCGGAGCGCACCGCUUGAGGGGGAGCUACCGCCCUCAAGCCAAGACUUAUCGUGAGUAUUGAUCCGAUUCCCAACUUGGGAACGUAUAGCCACUAGUCAUAAUGCCACUAUCAUAAUCGAUUUUCUACCUAUUUAUUCAUGCCACUUAUGGUUAAACUAUGUUUAACAAUCACUAUCUCAAUGCCAAUCUUGUCUCUAUAGUCAAUGUCACCCUUGUUUACAAAGAUCAAGGUCCAAGUCUCCUAUUCAUACAUCUCUAGGGUUCUAGCAUACAUGUCCAUUAUGGUUCUAUCAUUCUUUAUGUCCAACUACAUUAUAAGCACAUAAAUAAAGUUACACCAAAGUUCACAUGUAAGCAACCAUAAUAUGCAUGAACGACUAUAUACAAUAUGCUCAAAUGAAAAGUGACAUAGAUAUAGAAGGGAAUCCAACGAUUUCAGAAUGCACCCCCGACCACGCGUGGUCGUGUAGGUGUAGAAUGUGACGACUCCCGAACUUUAUGAAAGCCGAUUUCGCACCCUAUAACCAAAAUAGUGCUAUAUUAGGCCUUUUGUACAUGAACUAUACUCAAACAUUUUCGUAACUUCUAACGGAGUUGUCCAACGCGUUUGUUUGACCCCCAAUUAGAUUUCUACGAGGUCAAUUCGCCCUCGAAAAAUUUUAGGGCAAAAGUCCCAAAUUUGAGCCCUAACAAUGCCUUCUAGGGUUUCCUCUUAGAUUGACCUUGUUGCUAAGCAAAAGGUAGCUUAGAAUCAUCUAGGAAAUAUUCUAAUAAAGUUUCUAAGCUUUUAGAACAAUCCCUAGGGUAUCUACCAUGAGCCAUAGUGAUCCACCAUGAGAGCUCCCCAAGAAAACCAUGGAUUUCAUGGUUUCAGGUCAAUAGAGGGUUUCUAGGUUAAUUAGAGGAUCAAAACUCUAAAUCCCAAGGUUUAAAACCAAACCCUAGAGUUUUACAUACUAGAAAACUCACCUUAGCCCAAGUUCCACCAAGCUCCUCCUUGUUGGAGAGCUCCUAGACCCACUAAACCCACCAAAAAUUCACUUCCCAAGCUUCUCCUUCUUCUUCUCCAAGCUCUAGGGCUAGAUUUCUAGAGAGAGAAAGAGAGGAAAAUGAGAGAGAGAGGUGAAGAUGGCUGUGGGAGUGAAGGGCUAGGGCAUAUAUCAUGUUGUAACAUUUGCAACUAGGCCCUCCCAACUUCAAAAUUCUGUGUCAGCCCUUACUGGGCAAUUUUCGCAGUCGGGGACCAGUCUCCGCGACCAGGGACCGGUUCCCGAACGUUUGAUUUCAAGGACUUAGCCGAUUUUUGGGUUUUCUGGCUGGUUGCACAGCGAGGGGCCGGUCUGUCCUUCAGGGACCAGUUCCUCAUGGACCGGUCUCACUGCCAGGGACCGGUUGCCUCAAGGUUCCUGGCAGGCUACCCGUAUGGGGACCGGUCUCUCCUUCAGGGACCGGUCCCCGAGAGCACAAAAUCUGGGACUUAGCCAGAUUUUGGAAUUUCACUCUCUCGGGUCCCUAUAUAACACAUAUAUAGGCUCUAAUGCACUUAGGGCCUAUACAUACUCGUCCCACUCCGCGUUCCUGUAGUAUACUGAACUUUAGCAAAUUGCGAAGUUCGAGUAUGGGGAUGACAUUUAGAAUUACCCUACAUGUUCUAAAAGGUUUAGAGAUGUUUGUGGACGAGUUGGAGAGUCAUCGAACCCUCGGAAGUGAGAAAGUGCUUUGAAAUUGCGAAUUGUGCAUUUUUGCAUUGGUGUACCGGUACAACCCUCAGGCUGUACCGAUACAGAAAGCAGCAGAGGCAGCAGGUGCGUGGCAGUUUGGCUAUUUUGGUCUUUUUGCUGCUUGACCUUAUCUCUACAGGCCAGCUCGACCUCCAGCAGCUGGUUAGGGAUAUUUGAGCUUAGAGAUAAGGAUUUACACCUAUUUUUCACUUUCUCUCUCUAAAUUCUUCUAUUGAAGUGAUAAACUAGUACCUUAGACCUAGUUUCAUUUUCCCUUUUGAUGUUAGCAAGCUGGGAGGGCUUUGGACCUGUGGUAGAGGGAAGGAAAAGGUGUUCUGGAGAAUGCUUUGCAGCCUGAGCACAACCGUGACUGGUUUGAUACAUCAGAAAGGUGAGCUAAUUAACUCUUCAUUGGAUUAAGGCUCUAAGAGGAAAGUUGAGCUUGAUUGUGGAACUUUUUGUUCUCAGCUGGUUGAGGAAGGAAAUUGGUAGUUGUAGCAGGGUAUUUAUGAUACCCUUAAUCAGUUGGAGCUAAGCUAUUAACCUUAGAAGGUAAUUAUCCAAUUCCUUUCUUGUUUGGACAAGUUAGUAGGGUUACUAAUGCAGUUUUGGAAGCUGUUUAGCAGCAGAGUUGCCGCAGGAACCUUAACUCCUGCACUUGAAUUUUGAGGGUUCUUGUAAUACACUGACUCUAGCAAAUUGCGGAGUCCGAGUGUGUGGAAUGAGUUGUGGAACUAUCCUACAUGUUCUAAAUGACUUGGACAAGUUUUUGAACAAGUUUGAGAGUGAUUGGAGGGUUAAAUGUGAGAAAUUGCAUCAACUGGCGAAAAUCAGCCUUUUUCUGCUUGCUGUACCGGUACAGCCAUCACCUUGUACCGGUACANAUGGCAGAGUUUGCUUAUAACAGCAGUUAUCAAGCAAGCAUCAAGAUUGCACCGUUCGAGGCACUCUAUGGACGCAAGUGUUGAUCGCCACUUCAUUGGAGUGAAGUUGGCGAGAGAUUGGCUUUAGGUCCUGAUGUGCUCCAUGAAGCUGAGGACAAGGUUCGCAUCGCUCGGGAGCGGUUAUUGACGGCCCAGAGUAGGCAGAGGAGUUAUGCUGACAGGCGGCGACGAGACUUGGAGUUUCAGGUUGGAGAUCACGUCUUCUUGAAAGUCUCGCUGACUCGAGGAAUUAGACGAUUUGGAAUCCGGGGCAAGUUGAGCCGCCGAUUCAUUGGACCGUUUGAGGUUUUGGAGCGGAUAGGCCCGGUAGCGUAUAGACUUACCCUACCGCCGAACCUAUCGGGUGUGCACAAUGUAUUCCAUGUAUCGGUCCUUCGGAAGUACAUCCACGACCCGGCUAAUGUAUUGGAUGCUACACCUAUGGAGCUGCAGGAGGAUUUGAGCUUUGAGGAGCAACCCUUGAGAAUUUUGGCUCGCGAGGUGAAAAGAUUGCGGAACCGGAAAAUUCCCUACGUGAAGGUGCUUUGGAGCAACCACGACGAGCGCGAGGCCACUUGGGAGUUAGAGAGCGCACUGCGGGAGCGCUAUCCCCAUCUUUUUCAGAUGGAGGCUUGAGGUACUUUGUUUGUUUUGAGUUUCGCGGACGAAACUCCUUUUUAGGAGGGGUGAAUGUAACACACUGGACCUUUGCAAAUUGCGAGGUUCAAGUGUUUGGCUGUGUUCUGAGUUUUUCCAAACUUUCUGGUGGGUCGUUGACUAUGUUCCGACCUAUGGCACGUGUCCUGAGACUUGUGGUACAAAGCCUUGCACCAAAACCCGAAAAAACGGAAUUUAGCUGACUCUCGGAUUGAGUUCUGGCAAGCUUGUACCGGUACAAGGCUGUGCUUGUACCGGUACAAGGUUGAUGGUUGUAUCGGUACAGCCAUCGGAGCUUGUACCGAUACAGAGCCGCAGAACCCAGCAACCCGAGCCUCGGGUUUGGAUUUCGUGGACCUUGUACCGGUACAAGGGCCCGUGUACCGGUACAAGGCGGCAGAUUUUGUGCAGUUCGAAACUGCAAGGGCUUUUUCGCGAUUGUAGCCUCUCUAUAACAGCACCCUCGCCCCUUAAGGCUUUUCUUGUGCUGGAACCACAGGGAAACAAGGUAAGGAGCCCAUCCAUUCCCUCAUUUUGAUUUUCCUUGGUUAUAUUGGAGAUUUUUGAGGAUUAAUGCCUCAUUUUGCUUCUUGUUGCAUUUUGGAGGCUUUUUCCCACCAUUGGAGAGGACUUGGAGCUUUGUUGGAGGCUUGUUGGAGGAAAGAUCUUCCACCCUAUUUGAUUUGGAGCCCAAGUUGAGACUUCUAGAGAGGUUAACAACAUGAUUUGAGCUUUUGAUCCAUGUUUUGCUAAGUUUUUGAGAUGAAAUCCUAGAUUUGAUACUUAGGGCUUAUUUUGGGUAUUUUGAUUCUAGGGCUUUUGGGGCUAAAUUAGUUGGUUUAGAACCUUCCUUGGGCUUGGAUUGGAAGGGCUUUAGCUCUCUUUUGGAGCUUAGGAGAGGAUUUCUACUCUUGAGGUGAGUUUUGGCCCUUUUUGCUUCUAGGUUAAUGUUUGAUAUUUUAAGAUGAUCGUAAUGCCCGUGUAUCUUGUCGCUCAAUACUUUUAGGGUAUUUUGAGACUCGGGGACAACUUUGUUCGGCGAAACGAGGCCCUACGCGACGGUUCCGUAGGUUUGACCUAGGCUACCUAUGAGAAAUCCUCAUAUAUGGUUAUAAAUGUUCCGUAAAUUGGAAAAGCAUGCAUAUUCAUCCUAAUUGUAUUUAUUAUGAUUUUUAGAAUGCUUAAAAUGCAUAUGUUAUAUAUGAUGAAAUUUUGGACUUCUAUGUAGUAGAGAGUUGCUUGGGAGAUCUUUGGUUGCAUUUAGCAUUCGUUAUGAGACUUGGUUUCAUGCUUCUAUAGUAUAAAUGAGUUCGGAUUCAUGCGUUCAAACUUGAGUUUACUUGUGACAUGAAAGAUGACAAGAUUGCUAAUUAGAAGGUAUGUGAACUAGAGAGCUAAUGUCAUCAAGCGGCAUUGAGCUCGGGACAUGUGAGAACCUAGUGGAUAGGGCCAUCGAGGAACAUGCUUAAACAUUAAAUGUCUAAGUGUCAUAAAGGGGCACUAGACCUAGAGAAUGUUGGAACUUCAUUUGUGACUUAGAACUAGAUCUUCGAGAUGCUAGUGACUAUACCAUGUUAGAGACAUGAGGGUUGGAUACUUGAGNNNNNNNNNNNNNNNNNNNNNNNNNNNNNNNNNNNNNNNNNNNNNNNNNNNNNNNNNNNNNNNNNNNNNNNNNNNNNNNNNNNNNNNNNNNNNNNNNNNNNNNNNNNNNNNNNNNNNNNNNNNNNNNNNNNNNNNNNNNNNNNNNNNNNNNNNNNNNNNNNNNNNNNNNNNNNNNNNNNNNNNNNNNNNNNNNNNNNNNNNNNNNNNNNNNNNNNNNNNNNNNNNNNNNNNNNNNNNNNNNNNNNNNNNNNNNNNNNNNNNNNNNNNNNNNNNNNNNNNNNNNNNNNNNNNNNNNNNNNNNNNNNNNNNNNNNNNNNNNNNNNNNNNNNNNNNNNNNNNNNNNNNNNNNNNNNNNNNNNNNNNNNNNNNNNNNNNNNNNNNNNNNNNNNNNNNNNNNNNNNNNNNNNNNNNNNNNNNNNNNNNNNNNNNNNNNNNNNNNNNNNNNNNNNNNNNNNNNNNNNNNNNNNNNNNNNNNNNNNNNNNNNNNNNNNNNNNNNNNNNNNNNNNNNNNNNNNNNNNNNNNNNNNNNNNNNNNNNNNNNNNNNNNNNNNNNNNNNNNNNNNNNNNNNNNNNNNNNNNNNNNNNNNNNNNNNNNNNNNNNNNNNNNNNNNNNNNNNNNNNNNNNNNNNNNNNNNNNNNNNNNNNNNNNNNNNNNNNNNNNNNNNNNNNNNNNNNNNNNNNNNNNNNNNNNNNNNNNNNNNNNNNNNNNNNNNNNNNNNNNNNNNNNNNNNNNNNNNNNNNNNNNNNNNNNNNNNNNNNNNNNNNNNNNNNNNNNNNNNNNNNNNNNNNNNNNNNNNNNNNNNNNNNNNNNNNNNNNNNNNNNNNNNNNNNNNNNNNNNNNNNNNNNNNNNNNNNNNNNNNNNNNNNNNNNNNNNNNNNNNNNNNNNNNNNNNNNNNNNNNNNNNNNNNNNNNNNNNNNNNNNNNNNNNNNNNNNNNNNNNNNNNNNNNNNNNNNNNNNNNNNNNNNNNNNNNNNNNNNNNNNNNNNNNNNNNNNNNNNNNNNNNNNNNNNNNNNNNNNNNNNNNNNNNNNNNNNNNNNNNNNNNNNNNNNNNNNNNNNNNNNNNNNNNNNNNNNNNNNNNNNNNNNNNNNNNNNNNNNNNNNNNNNNNNNNNNNNNNNNNNNNNNNNNNNNNNNNNNNNNNNNNNNNNNNNNNNNNNNNNNNNNNNNNNNNNNNNNNNNNNNNNNNNNNNNNNNNNNNNNNNNNNNNNNNNNNNNNNNNNNNNNNNNNNNNNNNNNNNNNNNNNNNNNNNNNNNNNNNNNNNNNNNNNNNNNNNNNNNNNNNNNNNNNNNNNNNNNNNNNNNNNNNNNNNNNNNNNNNNNNNNNNNNNNNNNNNNNNNNNNNNNNNNNNNNNNNNNNNNNNNNNNNNNNNNNNNNNNNNNNNNNNNNNNNNNNNNNNNNNNNNNNNNNNNNNNNNNNNNNNNNNNNNNNNNNNNNNNNNNNNNNNNNNNNNNNNNNNNNNNNNNNNNNNNNNNNNNNNNNNNNNNNNNNNNNNNNNNNNNNNNNNNNNNNNNNNNNNNNNNNNNNNNNNNNNNNNNNNNNNNNNNNNNNNNNNNNNNNNNNNNNNNNNNNNNNNNNNNNNNNNNNNNNNNNNNNNNNNNNNNNNNNNNNNNNNNNNNNNNNNNNNNNNNNNNNNNNNNNNNNNNNNNNNNNNNNNNNNNNNNNNNNNNNNNNNNNNNNNNNNNNNNNNNNNNNNNNNNNNNNNNGCACCGGCGGAGGCACGGGAUCGCGGCAAGGGGAUCGCUUAGCUAGCUAGCGAGGAGCGGUUCUUUGCCUAGGUGGUUUGCUCUUUCUUUUUGUAGUUGGGAGAGUAAGAGAUUUCUGUAUACAUGUAUAGAGACCACCUAUAUACCUACUUUUAGCACUUGCAAUUGGGAUUUCCUAUUGUAUUUACUUUAUGCCUUAUUUAGUGGAUUUACAGUUUAUCCUUAUCCUUGGUUGUAGCAUUUAGACAUUUAUUAUGCUCUGAUACUUCUAGAUGUCUUUUAUUAUUGCUUUCAUUAUUGUUGUUUUAGACGCCUUAUACGUUUUAGACGUAUGGCGGGUCUGGGCACGUGUCGGGCAGGCUUCCGCUGGGUCCCGGGGCGUGACAGUCGCAUUGCGCGCAGCAGCUCUGGCUGCGCUGGGAGAGCUCUCGGAGACUGGUCCCUAGUCGGGGAGACCGGUCCCCGAGCCCGAAAUCUGCCCAGUCCAGGCAGUUGAAUAAGAUGAAAGUUGAGGGGUUUAUUUGCAUUUUGGCAACCCAAUAGUUAUGUAUUGGGGCCUAAUGAGAUUUUCUCUCAUUUUUACCCUCUCAUCCCCUCUCAUCUCUCUUUCUCUCUCUAGAAGGCAAAGAAGGAGAAGAAGAAGAGAAGGAAAAGAAGGAAAAGAAGAGGAAGAAAAUAGAGAAGAAGAAUAGGAAGUGAAGAAACUCCCUCUCCCUCAUCUCUAGCUUGGAAAGAGAAAGCUUACAAGGUAAGCUUUGAACCCUAAUCAUGCUAAAACCCUAAACUGGGGGCUAUGUGACCUAGAAAUGGUUUUUAUAGAGCAUUUUGAGUUUUUGAAACUUUUCUUUUGCUUCUUUAGAGGUCAAAACCAUGAAAUGGGGGUAAUGGGUAAAGCUUGAAGGUGAGCUUGACCCCUCUCAUGGUAGAAUCCAAACUAUGGUUUGGAUUGAAUUAAAGAUGGUUUAGAUGGACUAUUUAGAGUAUAAUGAAGCUACUUUUGCUUCCCAAUGAGAUCAAACCCUAGGUUUGAUGUAUGCUAUGGAGCUAGAGCACCCAAAUUGGAGCUUUUGCUCAUGAGGGUUCCUAAGUGAAAUUGACCCUCUAAAAACCUAAUUGGGGGUAUUUCCGACUUGUUGAUGCGCUCGGAAUAGCAUUACGAAAAGUGUAUGUAAAGUUAUGGCCAAAUAAGCCUAAUUUGGCUUCGUUAUACCGCAGGUAGUGAACCGGGUAUCUAAAAAUCCCAAGAAAAUCGUCGGAGCACCUUUGGAAGCCUACGAGGUGGGUGGUGCUUCUCAAACUCCUUGAACUUCUCUCUAUGCCUAAUGUGUCAUUCAUUUGAGCAUAUGUAUAUACAUNUUCGAGACAGAUAUUGUACUACUUAUGACUCCUUUUAUUGUCUAGCUUUACUUCUUUACUUUGGUGUAGAUGUUAGAACUAUACUCGCUCUGAUAUCAUUAGUUGCUAGUUAUUUCACUUCUGCUAUUUGUCCUACUACUUGCUUUUACUUCCGCUUUUAGUAUAGACGCCUUAUAUGUGUAGACAUAUGGCGGGUCUGGGCACGCUACCAGGAGGGCCUCCGCCGGUCCCGGGGCGUGACACCGGGUAUGCUUCCACCGAUACCCGGGCGUGACAGAUUAUAGUGGUAUCAGAGCCUAGAGUUAAGUCUUAUUGGACCUAGCGAACCUUAGGCUGGUUGGACUAUAAGAAUAGGCUCGUGAGAGACGAGGUCUAGUUUAGUUUUUAGCGAAAGUACUUUGAUUGGGUAAUUUAUAAACUCCGAAUGGUAGGAGUUGAUUGAAAUAUGCAAUUUCUAACUUUGCGGAGAGCCACGUUGGCGGCCGACAAUGUGACAUCGGAAGUUAGUAUGUUUUACAUUUCAUUACUUUCGCUUGAUUGGGUGGUUAAUAUAAUGAGUAGGGGUUCAAUAGUGUAAGUUCUAUUAAUUUAUGUUUAUUUUUGCUGCAGCUUAAGAUGCCUACUACUCGUUCUAUGGCUACUGGAGCAGCCAAGGCAGCUGAUGCAGAGGAAGUGGAGACCUCCGUUACUUCCGGAUCUAGUGAGGUCCGUGAGUUGCAGGAUCAGCUUGCAGUAUUGACGGAUCUAGUGACACAGCAGGCUGCAGCAGCUCGACAACAGAUGGAUGCCGCGCGCCGACAGGAGGAAAGAAUGAAGAGGUUAGAGGAUUUGCUACUGCGACAGACAACUGAUAGAGAGGGCCCGAGUUCGGUGCCAACAGUACCUGAGAGGGACACGAUUGCGAGGGUACAGUCACCAGCACCAGAUACUUCACCGGCAGCCCCGCGCGCUGAGCACCAACCGGGGACCGUAGUACCACCCCUAGUGCCUGUGGCUGCGACAGGGACAGUGUUACCAGAGAUGGUAGGGGCUGAGGAGUAAGAGCAGAUGAUGGAGCGAUUGAAUGAAUUUCGCCGUUGCAAUCCUCGUGUAUUCGACGGCGAAAAAGGUGAUCAUUGGGUAGUUGAGAAGUGGCUAAUGCACAUGGAAAAGUUAUUUUACGAUACCUUUGUAGAGGAGCGAGACCGAGUCUGGUUUGCGACACACCAUAUGGAUGGCGAGGCCUAUAGGUGGUGGUUAGACAUUCGUGAGGAUCCCUGUACUGAUCUAUCUGCGAUCACUUGAAGAGAUUUAAGGAAUUAUUGUUGACAACCUACUUCCCGCAAAGUGUAAAGAGACAAAUGGAGAGGGAUCUGAGAAAUUUGAGGCAGGAGGAUAGGACAGUGGUUGAGUAUGAGCGAGAGUUUUCUCGACUACUAUAUUGUGUUCCUUUCGUGGUCAAGGAUGACGAGGAUAAGGCCCGUAUCUUUGAGGUGGGUUUGCGACCUGCGAUUUUCAGGUUGGUCCAGGCGUCAAACCUAUCGACUUACAAGGAGGUAGUAAAUCGGGCACUGAUUGUUGAGAAGGGGGCAGAGAUUGUGAAGGAAAGGAAAAUUGUGGAUCGAAAUAAAGGAAAGAGGCCAGGGGUGGAGAGUCGUGGUCAGCAAUCGUUCAGGGGACCGCCAAAGUAUCCGAGAGGCCAGCCAAGUCAGUCGAGGGGACGAGGUUCUUUUGCACCCCGUAGAGCACCUAAGCGUCAUCGACAGUCGCGUUGUGUGAUUUGUAGUGGUCCUCAUUUUCCACCGCAAUGCCCACAACAUGGGGGCAAGUGCUUUCUUUGUGGUCAGGAGGGCCACUUUCGGUCUGAGUGCCCGAGGGCUUCGUCACACGCACCAUCGUCAGCAUCAGCACCUGCAUCUUCAGCUCCGAGUCAGGGGACUCCGUCAGCACAGUACCAAUCGAGACGACCACCCGAACAGCGGCAGUCAGAGAGUUCUCGACAGGGUUCAAGUGGGCAUAUGUAUGCCGCCCAGACUGAGGAGGCCGCGGCAGCAGAAGAGGUUGUAGCAAGUGUUAUUUUGAUUCGUGAUGUUCAUGUUCGUGCAUUAUUCGAUACUGGCGCAUCGCAUUCUUUUAUCGAUCGGCUAUUUGCCGAGUUGCAUAGCAUUUAGUUAGUACCUACUUUGCAUCCGAGACGAGUAAUCAUGCCCGACCAUACCCUGGAUAUUCAUGAGUAUUGCCCUCGCUGCCCAGUUCGGGUAGGUGAUUGGAUUAUGCCAGUGAACUUAUUAGCACUACACAAACUAGGUGAGUUUGAUGUAGUUUUAGGUAUGGACUGGUUGACACAAUACUAUGCUAUUAUAGAUUGCACAAAUCGAACGUUGACCUUUAAGGAACCAUGUCAGCAGGAAGUGGUGUACAGGGGAUGCCAGAGUUCAUUGUUCGCAAUGACAAUUAGUUCUUCGCGAGCACGACAAUUGAUACGGAGGGGUUGCGUGGCCUAUUUGGCUAAUAUCUCUGUCAGUAACGGAGGAGUUACUAGUAUUGAUGAUAUCUCGGUAGUACGGGAAUUUCGUGAUGUGUUUCCAGCUGAAUUACCUGGAAUGCCGCCUAAUAGGGAAGUUGAGUUUGUGAUAGAUCUUGUUCCUGGGACUGCCCCAAUCUCAAAAGCACCCUAUAGGAUGGCACCUGUUGAGUUGAAAGAGCUGAAGGCACAGUUACAGGAUCUUUUGGAUAAAGGUUUUAUUCGACUGAGUGUAUCACCCUGGGGAGCACCGGUGUUAUUCGUUAAGAAGAAAGAUGGAUCCUUUCAAUUGUGCAUGGAUUAUCGGGAAAUUAACAAAGUCACAACCAAGAAUAAGUAUCUACUACCACGAAUUGACGAUUUAUUUGACCAGCUCCAAGGAUCGCAAGUGUACUCCAAGAUUGAUUUACAAUUUGGAUAUCAUCAGUUGAAGAUCAAGCCCAAAGAUGUAUCUAAGACUGCUUUCAGAACAUGGUAUGGUCAUUAUGAAUUCACAGUUAUGCCAUUUGGAUUGACUAAUGCCCCGGCAGCUUUUAUGAAUUUAAUGAAAUGUGUUUUAAGCCCUAUUUGGACAAGUUUGUGGUCGUAUUCAUCGACGAUAUCUUGAUCUAUUCCCAAAGUGACGAGGAGCAUGAAAACCAUUUAAGACUGGUGUUGCAAAUACUUCGAGAAAAGAAACUAUUUGCAAUGUUAACAAAAAAAAAAAGCAAAUUUUGGCUUCGAGAAGUAGCAUUUCUGGGACAUGUAAUUUCAGAAGUCGGGAUAGCUGUGGAUCCAAAGAAGAUUGAAGCAAUUAAGAAUUGGCCUAGGCCGACCAGCAUUACAGAGAUUCGGAGUUACCUUGGUUUGACAGGAUACUACCGAAAGUUUGUAGAAGGAUUUGCGAAGAUGUCAACUCGUCUCACUCGACUCACACAUAAAGGGGCGAAGUUUAUAUGGAAUGAGGUCUGUGAAAUUCGACCUCUUAGAAAUGUUAAUGUGAUAGAAUUACGUAGGAUUUGAAGUGGAGUGCUCCUAGCUAAUCAUGUAUUGAUUACUAGGGCUUUCGGAGAAUUGUGAAGAUCCAUACCCAUAGGUCGAACGUGAAUCGUCGGUUAAUAGGUGGGUUUGACCUCACCAGAGUAAGUGAAUUCCCCUAUGUUCUAUAUGUUACUAUAGGACUAUUAAUUAUAUGCAAUUGAAUUACUUUGGCGGUUUUAUUUGAAGGCAUUGACAAUCAACUCAACUUAAUAUUUAACAGUGAGUGAUUUUGUUAUGUUUUAAUAAAGUAGAGAACAAAUUAUUCGAUUGUGACCUGACCAGUGUUGUAUUAUUAAAAGACAAGUUUACCUUGCGAAUAACACAUGUAAAUUAGCAUCUUUAUUAUGUGGUUAUUGAUCUAGUGGAUACUAGCAUUUCUUAUUGUACAGAGAAUCCGACCUAUUGGCCGAGAGUAAAAAACUUACAUACUUGAUAUAUGAUGAUUGAAGCGGUUGGACUAUGAUUUAUGCUUGCUUGCCAUUGUGCUCAUUCGCACAAGCUUGUGAGGGUCGCGCCUUACAAGCCAACACUCCGGAGUUGGCCUACGCGACAGACUGCUUGCCCAUGCGGGAUUGGGUGCCGAAGUCGAUUGCCGUGGGGAGUGCAUACUACCACGGGGCCAUUAGGCGCGGCGCAAGCUGGACUACCUGGUGUAGGUCCUUAUGAAUUGAACCAAGUUACUAAAAGAUAGUAAUAAAUAAUUACUAUUAUACAGUGUACAGCUACCUUUAAUACGACAUGUUCAAGCUUUAAGUAAUUACUUUACUUGUUUCUACUUGUUUGACAUAGUUGAUAGCAUCAUACAUGUUCAUCGUUAUUUGUUGUUGAAUUAUCUCGCACACAAUAAAUGUUUUUACAUUUAUAAUAGUACAUCAUGAGCCUAGUGGUGUAACUCGCCAAGGCUGGCGGCUUACCCACUGGGAACUAUUGUUUAAUAGUUCUCACGCCCUUUUUAUUAUUGUUUUUACAGAGCCACCUACUACAGGAGAGGCUAGGGAUCGUGGCAAGGGAGUCGCGUCUAGCUAGAUAUAGCUUGGAGCUUGACUAGAUGAUCAUCUUGCUACUCGGGCUACGACCGAGGGUUAUGUACCCGUGUACAGAAAAACUACCAUUGUACAUAUAUUUUGAGUGACCUUGUGAUGUAUUUACGGUUUGUACCUGGGAUGACAGUUUUGGUGUUUCUCUGUGGAAUAGAAGAAUUCGGGACUGUACAGACUUGCACUUUCUUCUGAUAGUGGUAUUAUUGAUUUGUACUUUGCUCUGAUCAUCUUCACUUGUUUAAUAUGAUUUUAUAAACGUCUUAUAUACUACAGGUAUAUGACGGGUCUAUACAUGUACCAGGUAUGCUUCCGCUGAUACCCGGACGUGACAGUUCCGCUCAUUCCGACGGAACUCGGCACGAUUUACGCGGAAUGUGGUAUGUUACAUUCUCCACCCCCUAAAUUUAGUUUCGUCCGCGAAACUACUUAUCUACUAAUCGAGAUUCACCUCAACGCAGUUCCUCGAAGAGAUCAGGGUAACGCUCCUUCAUCACGUCCUCAAGCUCCCAAGUCUCUUCUCGGUCGCCGUGCUCGCACCAAUGAAUUUUAACAUACGGGAUUUCGCGGUUCCGUAGUUUCCUCACUUCUCGAUCGACGAUAUAAGCCAGGGACUCCUCAUAAGUCAUGUCCUCUUGAAGCUCCAUCGGUACAUAUGCGAGAACAUGCUCGGGGUCGUAAACAUACUUGCGGAGUUGAGAUACAUAGAAUACAUCGUGCACUCCCGCAAGCCUCGGUGGUAAUGCUAACUUAUAAGCCAUCGCGCCAAUCCGUUCUAGAAUCUCAAAGGAUCCGAUAUAGCGGGGACUUAGCUUCCCUCGAACACAGAAUCGCUUGACUCCUCGCAUAGGCGUCACCUUUAGAAAUACGCGGUCUCCAACAGUGAACUCGAUAUCUUUCCUUCGCUUGUUGGCAUAACUUUUGUGCCUCGAUUGCGCCGUUGCUAACCUUUGUCGGGCAAGGCGAACUUUCUCCUCCGCCUCACGCACAACAUCUGGGCCAAGAACAGUCCUCUCGCCCACAUUGCUCCAAUGAAUCAGCGAGCGACACUUUCUUCCAUAGAGGGCCUCGAAUGACGCCAUCGCAAUACUUUCUUGAUAGCUAUUGUUGUAUGCGAAUUCCGCCAUUGGUGAAUGAUCGUGCUAUUCGCCCUUAUAGUCAAGUACACACGCCCGAAGCAUAUCCUCAAGUAUUUGAAUAGUUCUCUCUGAUUGACAGUCACUUUGAGGAUGAAAUGCCGUGCUAAAGUCGAGCCGUGUGCCUAACACGUCUUGCAAGCUCCUUCAAAAAUGAGAUGUAAACCGCGGAUCCCGAUCCGACACAAUGGAUACCAGUACCCCGUGUAAUCUCACCACCUCGUCAAUAUAAACUUGAGCGAGCUUGUCUCCCGUCCAGGUAGUGUGGAUCGGCAAAAAGUGUACCGAUUUUGUCAACCGGUCCACAACUACCCAAAUCGCGUCAUGUCCACCUUGUGAUCUAGGCAAACCUGUCACAAAGUCCAUUGCGAUGUUUUUCCACUUCCACAAGAGUAUAGGUAGACUUUGCAACUUCCCCGCCGGAAAUCGACAUUCUGCCUUAACUAGUUGGCACGUGAGACAUUGCGCCACAAACUCUCCUAUAUCUUUCUUCAUGCCCGGCUAUCAAUAAUGUAGCUUCAAAUCUCGAUACAUUUUAGUGCCGCCCGGGUGAAUACUAUAAGGAGAUUGAUGAGCUUCUUGCAUAACCACCCUUCUAAGUUCGUCGUUCUUGGGCACACACCAACGGUUUCGAAAUAGUAGUGUGCCAUCGGUUCCAAUGCUAAACUCAUUAGUAUUACCAUUCUCAACUUUGCUCCACACUUUUUGGAGAAAUUCAUCAGACGCUUGCAAUUCUUUAAUCUUCUCCAAUAAGGUUGGUUGCACUAUCAAUGUGGCUAACGUUGCCGGCACACCCGGCGCCACAACCUCAAGACCAAACCGAUGCAUUUCUUUUUGCAAAGCCGAUUGAGGUGUAUCGGCCGUCGCCAAAUUUUUCGCCGACUUUCUACUUAAAGCAUCGGCUACGACAUUUGCCUUCCCGGGGUGGUCUAGGAUAGUGACGUCAUAGUCUUUAAGCAACUCCAACCAUCGCCGCUGUCGCAAAUUCAGUUCCUUCUGGGUGAACAGGUAUUUGAGACUCUUAUGAUCGGUGUAGAUCUCGCAAUGCUCACCAUACAAGUAAUGCCUCCACAAUUUUAGCGCGAAGACAACCGCCGCUAGCUCAAGAUCGUGGGUCGGGUAGUUCUUUUCAUAUGUCUUCAACUAGCGUGAAGCAUAUGCUAUAACUCGGCCCUUUUGCAUCAAGACACACACGAGACCAAUGUACGAAGCAUCACUAUAUACGACAUAACUCUCCCCCAGUGUCGGCAAGGCAAGCACCAGAGUAGAUGUCAACCUAUUCUUUAGCUCCUCAAAGCUUAGCUCACACUCGGGGCUCCAAACAUACUUCACCCCUUUGUGCGUAAGGCGUGUUAGUGGAGUUGUUAUCCUAGCAAACCCUUCCACGAACCGCCGGUAGUAGCCCGCAAGUCCAAGGAAGCUAUGAAUUUCCACCACACUUGUCGGGCGAGGCCAAUCUUUAAUCGCCUCAACUUUCUUUGGGUCCACCGAGAUGCCUUCACUGGAUAUAACGUGACCCAAGAAGGUAAUCUCCGAAAGCCAAAACUCACACUUCUUGAGUUUUGCAUACAGCUUUUCCUUCCGGAGUAUAUCCAACACAAGCCUUAAAUGCUCAUCGUGUUCUUCCUUCGUCCGAGAAUAUACCAAUACGUCGUCAAUGAAAACCACGACGUACCAGUCCAAUAGCGGACGGAAGACUCGAUUCAUCAAGUCCAUAAAGGCUGCCGGGGCAUUGGUAAGCCCAAACGACAUCACCAUGAACUCAUAGUGGCCAUAUCGCGUACGGUACGCUGUUUUGUGCACAUCCUUGGGCCGUAUCUUCAAUUGAUGAUACCCCGACUGAAGAUCAUUCUUAGAAUAUACCCUUGACCCUUGCAACUGAUCGAAUAGAUCGUCAAUCCUUGACAAUGGGUAUUUAUUCUUAAUCGUCACCUUGUUCAACUCACGAUAAUCAACGCAAAGUCAAAGAGUGCCGUCUUUCUUCUUCACAAAUAGCACCGGAGCUCCCCACGGAGACACACUCGGCCGCACGAAGCCUUUAUCGAGCAAGUCUUAUAACUGGGCUUUUAGCUCCUUUAACUCUACCGAUGCCAUUCUAUACGGAGCCUUCGAAACCGGCGCCGCCCCAGGAAUCAAGUCAAUGACAAAUUCGACUUCCCGGUCCGGUGGCAAUCCCGGUAACUCCACCGGAAAUACAUCCGGAUACUCGCAUACCACCCGAGUACUUUCCAACUCCGGGUGCUCCUUUUGAGGGUCCACGAUAGUCGCCAAGUAGGCCUUGCAACCACCCUUAAUCAUUUUCUUUGCCCUCACCAAUGAUAUGGUCGCCGCAAAAUGCGCACCAUUACACGCCUUAUAAACCAUCUCCUCUUGGUUAGGCUCACGGAAAGUGAUCACCUUCCUUUUGCAAUUGAUAACCGCGUAAUACUUGGAGAGCCAGUUGGUAACCAAGAUUACGUCAAACCCCACAGAUGCUUCAACACUAAUAGGUUGAUCGACAUGACCCAAUCGCCUAUCUGCACUGGGCAGUCCAAAUACUCGUCAUGCACAUGAAACGUAAGUCCAGGUGCUGUCACCGUCCAAUAAUCCUCAUAAUGCGUGACCUCUAUGUCAUGAGCUAGUGCAAAUGAUGCUGUUAUGAAUGAUUGAGNCUCCAACCCUAGCUUGAGGAGCUUAAUGAUUGAGCUAUUUGCUCUUCGUUUCGUUUGGGUGACCCUAUUUUUGAUGUUUCUAGGGUACCAGGGAGCUUGUGGAUACCUUCGUUCGGCGAAACGAAGAAGUUGAUUUUGGUGGGUUUGACUUCAUGAAAAUGGGGCAAAAUGGCUCCUAUGCCUUCUAACCCUUUUGUAAAGUAUUUUUGAAUGCAAAUUUAUGCUAAACAUGAUUUAUAUGAAUUUUAGAACACUUAACAUGCAUGCCUCAGGUAUCGUAAAAUUUGUACUCCAUAUAGUAGAGCUAUAUGUGUAGAUUGCAUGCAUUGUGGAUAGUGCUUGGUUUCGCAAGUUGAGAACAUGUCUCCAUGCUAGAAUUGAGUGAACUAUGCAUCAUGAACAUAUUAAUGCCAUGCUUGGGACUCGUUGAACAAAAGUGUCAUAAAGGGGCACUUAGGAUUAGUAAACUAUGAAACUGCAACAUAGAGACAUAUCGAUAGGCCACUAUUUAUCCGCUACAUUCCAUGUUAGAGACAUGAUGACAUAGGGAUAGGUCAUUGGGAUACUUGACACAUUCCAUGCUAUUAGACAUGAGGAUUUGAUACUUGCGAUAGAUCGUUUGACUACUUGCCAUUGUGCUUAUUCGCACAUGCUUGUGAGGGUCGCUCCCUACAAGCCGGCACUCCGGAGAUAGCCAUCGCGAUUCGUAUUCACCGUGCGGGAUUGGGCGCCGAAAUGGAUCGCCGUGGGACAGGCUCAUUUCUAGGGUGGGAAUGAUGACUACCACGGGGCCAUUAGGCUCGGCACUGGCCAGACAGCCUACGGGUGGGUCUCAGGGCCAUAGACAGCCUUCGGGUGGGUCUCUUCAGAUUUGACUUUGAGUAUUCAUUAUGACAUGUGGACAGAUGAUGACUUAGUGUACUACUUGGACAUUGGCUAGAAUAGUAAACAACGGAGCUUCACUAUUCGCAUUGUGAACAUUAUGAUAGUUAGAGACUUUUACUUCAUGCAUAGUUGCUUCAUACUUAUGCUAUUUAUGCUAAGUAGAGAUAUCAUGUUGUAGUAAGUUACAUUUUACUUACCUUUCGCUUUUCUACAUUUAUAGUUACUGACAUCUUUUGUAGCUUUGGGCCUUGUGGUGCAAUCACUGAAGUCAGUAAUUGCCCACUGGGAACUAUUUUUAAUAGUUCUCACGCCCCUGUUUUAUGGUUUNGCGUAAGGCGUGUUAGUGGAGUUGUUAUCCUAGCAAACCCUUCCACGAACCGCCGGUAGUAGCCCGCAAGUCCAAGGAAGCUAUGAAUUUCCACCACACUUGUCGGGCGAGGCCAAUCUUUAAUCGCCUCAACUUUCUUUGGGUCCACCGAGAUGCCUUCACUGGAUAUAACGUGACCCAAGAAGGUAAUCUCCGAAAGCCAAAACUCACACUUCUUGAGUUUUGCAUACAGCUUUUCCUUCCGGAGUAUAUCCAACACAAGCCUUAAAUGCUCAUCGUGUUCUUCCUUCGUCCGAGAAUAUACCAAUACGUCGUCAAUGAAAACCACGACGUACCAGUCCAAUAGCGGACGGAAGACUCGAUUCAUCAAGUCCAUAAAGGCUGCCGGGGCAUUGGUAAGCCCAAACGACAUCACCAUGAACUCAUAGUGGCCAUAUCGCGUACGGUACGCUGUUUUGUGCACAUCCUUGGGCCGUAUCUUCAAUUGAUGAUACCCCGACUGAAGAUCAUUCUUAGAAUAUACCCUUGACCCUUGCAACUGAUCGAAUAGAUCGUCAAUCCUUGACAAUGGGUAUUUAUUCUUAAUCGUCACCUUGUUCAACUCGCGAUAAUCAACGCAAAGUUGAAGAGUGUCGUCUUUCUUCUUCACAAAUAGCACCGGAGCUCCCCACGGAGACACACUCGGCCGCACGAAGCCUUUAUCGAGCAAGUCUUGCAACUGGGCUUUUAGCUCCUUUAACUCUACCGAUGCCAUUCUAUACGGAGCCUUCGAAACCGGCGCCGCCCCAGGAAUCAAGUCAAUGACAAAUUCGACUUCCCGGUCCGGUGGCAAUCCCGGUAACUCCACCGGAAAUACAUCCGGAUACUCGCAUACCACCCGAGUACUUUCCAAUUCCGGGUGCUCCUUUUGAGGGUCCACGAUAGUCGCCAAGUAGGCCUUGCAACCACCCUUAAUCAUUUUCUUUGCCCUCACCAAUGAUAUGGUCGCCGCAAAAUGCGCACCAUUACACGCCUUAUAAACCAUCUCCUCUUGGUUAGGCUCACGGAAAGUGAUCACCUUCCUUUUGCAAUUGAUAACCGCGUAAUACUUGGAGAGCCAGUUGGUAACCAAGAUUACGUCAAACCCCACAGAUGCUUCAACACUAAUAGGUUGAUCGACAUGACCCAAUCGCCUAUCUGCACUGGGCAGUCCAAAUACUCGUCAUGCACAUGAAACGUAAGUCCAGGUGCUGUCACCGUCCAAUAAUCCUCAUAAUGCGUGACCUCUAUGUCAUGAGCUAGUGCAAAUGAUGCUGUUAUGAAUGAUUGAGAUGCACCUGUGUCAAAUAUGGCUCUAGCCCUAGUGCCUCUGAUAAGGAUAAUACCUGCCACGACGUCGUCGAGAACGGUAAUCGGCGGCUCCUCCACCUGAGUGGCAAAUACCCGCCCACUAGGUGCUCGAGAGGCCUCCGGCUGACGAGGCACCGACGAUCGUCCAGCAGACGUAGCGGGUGGUAGUCCCGCCAGCUGUCGCUGAGUGUACUAAACUAAAGCUGAUGACGGAGCUGGAGAUGCGCCGCCCGGGCACUCUCGGCCUAUAUGUCCCGGUUGGCCGCAUCGGUAACACCGCCCCUCCCGCUGUAGGCAAGUAGUAACUCGGUGGUCUCCGCCACAUAUCACGCACGGGUAGGUAGUCUGGCUCUGAGACUGAUUCCUGCCUCCCCGCCACUACGAUCACUGUUGCCACAGGGGUCGCUUAGAACUCGACUGCCCCGGAGAUCCACUAGACGUCCGCUUCUUGGACUUGUCCUUUUUCCUAUCCUUCUCAAAUGCCUCGCGCUCGUCUCACGCAAUGGCAUUGCCGCACUCCACCCAAAAUGCGCGAUCAAGCACUUCCUCGUAGGUCUUUAACCGGAAGGCGUGAAUGACCUUGAAAAUCUCGGGUCGCUACCCGCGCUCGAAUGCCUCCGCCCGGUCCCUAUCGCCAUAAACCAAGCUCGACACGCAAUUGACGAGGUGCGUGAACUCCCGUUCAUACUCCCGCACCAUGCGACUUCCUUGCCUUAGCUUCCGAAAAUCCUCCUUGAUUUUUCUUUUGUCACUCUCGAAAAAAUACUCCAUAAGUAGCAUCUCCCGAAACGUCUCCCAAGUAAUAGAAGUGUGCUCCAACGAAUGAUUCUUCUUUGCCCGAGUCCACCACAACGGUGCAGACUCGUCGAAACAAUGAGCCACAAGGUGAACUUUAUCCUUCUCGAGGGUGUAGAUAUCCUCGAACAAGGCCUCCAUCGCGGCUAGCCAACUCUCCGUCACCCACAGGUCCUUCACAUCGCCGUUGAAGGUCAGAGGGUUGAAUCGCUUGAAUGCCGUCAACGCCGCCAACAUGCGCUCCUGCUCGGCCUCAAGUACAUCAGGAAUAGAAGCCGAUGAACCCGAUGCCGUCGGAGGAAUAGCCGUCACCGGUGCUGCCGCCACCGCAGGAGGUGGUGCUACAGGAGCAGCAGGUGCGGGCGGAUCCCUCGGCACAAAUACCGCCGCUGCCGCCUGUCGCGCCAUCAUCUCGUGGAGCUGUCCAAUCUGCUCCCCUUGUAGCUGCAUAGCCCCGGCCAAUGCCGCUACUUGGGCUCGGAGCUCGCGCACUUCAUCCGAUCCCGUCUGCUCGGGCACUUCAUCAAGCAGUGUCGAAGCGACUCUAUGUGUGUAGCGUCUGAAACGCAGCACACGCAUUAGUACUCAACACACGUGAUUCUUACACGUUCCAAAUAACUACCCAAUUAAGCGAAAGCAACCAAACAUAAUUAUUUCCAACUCUCGGUGUUAUGUGGUCGGCCUCCCCACAAAGUCCCUUAAGUAGACAACAAUUAAGCCUUCUAAUCUAUCUCUACUUCCUUCUAGAGAAGUGUUAUCGUUAACCCAAUCAUUCGCUUUCGCAUAAGCCAAAUCCACGUUAAACGUUUCCUAACCUCCUAAGGUCUCCAAUUCCUAGGGUUCCUAGGUCAUUCCUAUACGUUUGCUUUCAACUUUGCUCUGAUACCAUUAUAUCUGUCACGCCCCAAUCCCCGCCAAUUUGAUCAGGUUCGGGUCACGUCAAAAGACGCCAAAUGGACAGAGCCUCCCCUGUCCGCCCAAGGCUCAAAACAUGUAUAAUAAAGCAAUCAAACAAUGAGAUUAACAUUUAUACAAGGCUUGCACGAGGGCAAGCAACAACGAAAGCAAAAGCUCUAAGCUAAUAUAUUCAACCAUACAUAAUACUUGAUUACAUUUGAACCAAAUAAAAAUAAAUUGAACUAUCACAUUUCUUUCGCAAUCUUUCAUGAUUCUUUACAUUUAGCCAUUCACCAAAAUUACAUAUUUGAUAUCAACUUUACAACUUUCUAAAUCAACAAAAGAAGUUGAUACAUGUAAACCAAAAGGGGAAUGACUACAAAAUAUGAAAUAGUCCCGGUGGCCGCUAUCUACGGCGCUAGACCCUUGCCUCGGUCCUCCGCCGCCCCGCUCGUGCUAGGACCUGUAGGGUUAGUAGUGUGAAAACUACAACUAAGUUCCCAGUGAGUUCAACAACCGACCUCGCCGACUUACCCACUAGGUCUAUUUCAGGCAUAAGUAUUUCAACGGAAAGGAAAUAGUAGCUAAACUAAUGCUAAUACUAUGCCUGGAAGAAAGAGGUCAGUGGAUAUAGAUAUGAAAGCAAUAAAUAUGCAUGCUUGCUUGAUCGAUACUUUUCUUUGGCUUUUACCAAUCUUACCAGUUAACUUUGUUAACACCAAUGACUUACAACCCAAAAUCUCUUUUGAUCGAGGAGGCUUCGAGCACUUCCACUCGAGGGACCGUCCUUCGGGGCCACUAUCCCCGUGGUGACCUACUCCGAAGCGCACCGCUUGAAGGGGAGCUACCGCCCUCAAGCCAAGACUUAUCGUGAAUAUUAAUCCGAUUCCCAACUUGGGAACGUAUAGCCACUAGUCACAAUGCCACUAUCAUAAUCGAUUUUCUACCUAUUUAUUCAUGCCACUCAUGGUUAAACUAUGUUUAACAAUCACUAUCUCAAUGCCAAUCUUGUCUCUAUAGUCAAUGUCACCUUGUUUACAAAGAUCAAGGUCCAAGUCUCAUAUUCAUACAUCUCUAGGGUUCUAGCAUACAUGUCCAUUAUGGUUCUAUCAUUCUUUAUAUCCAACUACAUUAUAAGCACAUAAAUAAAAUUACACCAAAGUUCACAUGUAAGCAACCCUAAUAUGCAUGAACGACUAUAUACAAUAUGCUCAAAUAAAAAGUGACAUAGACAUAGAAGGGAAUCCAACGAUUCCGGAAUGCACCCCCCACCUCGCGUGGUUGUGUAGGUGUAGAAUGUGACGACUCCCGAACUUUAUGAAAGCCGAUUUCGCGCCCUAUAACCAAAAUAGUGUCAUAAUAGGCCUUUUGUACAUGAACUAUACUCAAACAUUUUCGUAACGUCCAACGGAGUUGUCCAACGCGUUUAUUUGACCCCCAAUUAGGUUUCUACGAGGUCAAUUCGCCCUCGAAAAAUUCUAGGGCAAAAGCCCCAAAUUUGAGCCCUAACAAUGCCUUCUAGGGUUUCCUCUUAGAUUGAUCUUGUUGCUAAGCAAAAGGUAGCUUAGAAUCAUUUAGGAAGCAUUCUAAUAAAGUUUCUAAGCUUUUAGAACUAGGGCAUCUACCAUGAGCCCUAGUGAUCCACCAUGAGAGCUCCCCAAGAAAACCAUGGAUUUCAUGGUUUCAAGGUCAAUAGAGGGUUUCUAGGUUAAUUAGAGGAUCAAAACUCUAAAUCCCAAGGUUUAAAAUCAAACCCUAGAGUUCUACAUGCUAGAAAACUCACCUUAACCCAAGUUCCACCAAGCUCCUCCUUGUUGGAGAGCUCCUAGACCCACUAAACCCACCAAAAAUCCACUUCCCAAGCUUCUCCUUCUUCUUCUCCAAGCUCUAGGGCUAAGUUUCUAGAGAGAGAAAGAGAGGAAAAUGAGAGAGAGAGGUGAAGAUGGUUGUGGGAGUGAAGGGCUAGGGCAUAUAUCAUGUUGUAACAUUUGCAACUAGGCCCUCCCAACUUCAAAAUUCUGUAUCUACCCUUACUGGGCAAUUUUCGCAGUCGGGGAUCGAUCUCCCCGACCAGGGACGGGUUCCCAAACGUUUAAUUUCCAAGACUUAGCCGAUUUUUGGGUUUUCUGGCUGGCUGCACAGCGAGGGACCGGUCUGUCCUUCAGGGACCGGUUCCUUAGGGACCAGUCUCACUGCCAGGGACUGGUUCCUCAAGGUUCCUGGCAAGCUACGCGUACGGGGACCGGUCUCUCCUUCAGGGACCGGUCCCUCACAAAAUCUGGGACUUAACCUUCCCUAUAUAACACAUAUAUAGGCUCUAAGGCACUUAGGGCCUAUACAUACUCAUCCCACUCUGCGUUCCGCUCAUUCCGACAGAACUCGACACGAUUUACGGAGAAUGUGGUAUGUUACAGAAUCCACCUAUCCCUAAGUUCACAAUCCACUAGUGUCACUUUACACUAAGUUAUAUGCCACUCGUUCUGUUCAUUUAUCAAUCAUGUGCCCCUCAUUAUGUCACGAGGUAACCAUCGAGUCCAUCUCUUUUCCUCAGCACUAUAGAAUUCAAUGUCAAGACCCAAUCCUCAUCUAUCCAUUAUACCAAGCAUUCAACUCACACUAUGAUGUCAAUUAGAAAGCAUAAGGAAUGGAAAACAAUGCAAUCAUACAAUACAACAUGCAAGAGAUGCAAAAUCAUAGUGUGCUAAGACAUAGAGAGGAAUCUGGUUGCUUCGGGAUGACACCACCCACCUUUCGACGAUGUAGGGGUUCUAAGAACGUGUUUCGGCACUUGUUACGACGUUGUCUCGGCCUCCGAGGCGGAAACGAAGCCCAACCGGUCUUGUUUUGCCGAUUUCUUUUCAACGACUCGACGAAAUGUCAAUCCAUCUUCGCCAACGCGUUUAGACACCUAGCAAUUAGGUUUAGAUGCUAUCAAUUGAGAUCAAACCUUAUUAUUAAGCAAAGCCCCAAUUUGGAGCCCUAGGUUUGCAUCUAUGCAAAAAUGCCCCAACAAAUCUCUAGCUUUAAGCAUUAAACAUCUAUUAAGCAUGCUAGAGUUCUAAUCAAACCAUUUCUAGAGCAAGAAAUCUAAGCCCUAAGAGUCUACCAUUGUUGAGCUCAAAAGCUUACCUCCAAGCUUGCUCCAAUGGUGAGGAGAGGAAGAAGAAGGUGACAAAAGCCCUUCUCUAGCUUGCUUCUCCUUCUUCCUCUUCUUCUUCUCCUUCAUUUCCUCCUUCUCCUUCUUCACUUCAAGAAAGAGGGAGAGAGUGUUUAGAGAGAGAGAGAGAGAGAGAGAGAGUGUUGGGUGUGAAAAUGAGAGAGGGAGAGAAUGAUCUCCCCUCUAUACCCCCAACUAAUGCAACAAUUGCAUAAUAGCCCCUCCACUUUGCUUCUCUCACACUGCCCAGACUGAGCAGUUUUCAUGCUCGGGGACCAGUCUAUCCCUAAAGGGACCGGUCCUCGAGAGCAACCCUUGCGGGUAGAGGCUCUCAGCCAGCUUCUACGCGUACGUGGACCAGUCCUCGCCUGAGGGACCAGACCUUCAAGGAUCGGUCCCCUCUCGAGGGACCGGACCCCAAGAGCAAACAUCGCGCGCAAAAUUUUUCUGCCGCACAUUCAGCUUACGGGGACCGGUCUCUCCCACCAGGGACCGGUCCCUGAGAGCAAAAUCUGCAAAGUUGUAGAUUUCCAUUAUUUUGCUCUCCGAGGCCCUCGCCAAUGCACUUUUUGGAUUUUUGACUCCUUCGGCCUUUUCAAAGCGUACCGACUCGACAAUUAGUCGAUUCUGAACUAAGUCCAACUCUCGGAUUUCGAGAAUUCACUUCCUUACACCAGGUGCCGCCGCCGCCACUUGCUGCGCUACCAACUCCUGCAGCCUUCCAAUUUGAUCCUCUUGGCGCUGCACCACACCGACUAGUGCAGCCACUUGCGCUCGCAGCUCCUGCACCUCAUCAAAUCCAGAAUGCUCGGGCACCUCAGAAAGUGGGGCCGGAGCGGAUCUCGUCAUGGGGCAUCUCGUCUGUAGUGUACCAAGUCCUUGGUGCGCUAAACCGAACUUGUCAAAUUGACCAAAGUGAGGUAAUGGACGCUUUAGAGAGGUCCGUUGAGUGUUCCGAGUGAUCAGAAUGACUUAUAAGGAUAUAAGGGACCAAAAGGGACCUUGGAGAGCAAGAUUGGAAAAAUUCAAAAAUUUUUGUAUUUGGAGUGCUCUCAGGGUCCCGACCCUGCAUAUAGGGUUCAGACCCCGUACACAAGAAAACGUGAAGUUGAGCAAAAACACCUAUUUGUGUGAGGAGCUAUGUGCAAUUGUGCUGGGGAGUGUAUAUAUGAGGGAACUUAGCUAUUUUCCCUCAUUUCCCCUAACACUCUCAACCAAAGAGAGUUUCUCUCUCUCUUUAAAUCUCUCUCUCUCUCUCCUAGGGUUUGCUUCAAUAGUGGAAAAAAUGGUGAGCUUGCUUAGUGGUGAAGCAACCUCAUGUGCAAGCUUGGCUUGGGAGAGAGCUUGGAUUAGAGGUAAGCAUCAUGAGGUUUGAGGGUUUUUGGUUAGGGUUUUGUGUAGAAACCUUAGAAAUGUGAUAAAUUGGAACCCUAGAUGAUUCUAAUCUAUGUUAUUGCAAGAAUCAUGAUGAGAUUUGGAUUAUAAGCAAUAUAUGGAUUUUUAGGGUUUCAAAUGAGGGUUUUUACUCAUGAUGAGUUUUGAUCUUAAUUAGUCCCUUAAUUCCGCAAUUGAAGGUAAAGCUGACGCAGUGGACUACUUAGAUUGAGGUUUCGUUGAGCCGAGGUUGGUCGAUUUGGAGAAAUUGCCGUUUUGGCUUCGUUUGCUGCAGUCGGGAGAAAUCGACGAUGAUAAAUUACGCAGCUUGGCUUUCCCGCUUCGUGGCAUCGACACGAGGUGGGGGGUGCUAUCCGAAAUAGCCAGAUUUCAUUCUAUGUCUAAGUUCUACAUUUUGAUCAUAUAACAUCAUGCAUUUAUGUGAGAAACCUAUGAGUCCUUGGUAAAUUCAUGCUUAGUGUGAGGGAUGAUGAUCCAUGUUGCAUGAUACUUGUAGGUGUAUAAUUUCCAUGAUAUUGAGGUAGAUGGAUAUAUGUGUAUGCAUGAGAUGCUAGUGGACAUAUACAUGUGAACAUGUAGUGAGAACAUGUUAGAUAUGUUGCAUGAGAACCAUAUAUGCUCUUAUUGUAUAAUGCCAAGAUAGUUGUAUAUAUGCAUGUUGCAUGAAUUGCUAGUGGACAUAUAUGUAUGUGGACAUAUUGUGAGAAUAUGCUAGAUUCAUGUGAAUUAGAGAUGUGUACAUGAUGUGAGAAUAUACUAGAUAUGUGUGUGAGAUGCUAGAGGGCAUAUGUAUGUGGACCUAUUAUGAUAAUUGGAAGACAUUGCAUAUGUAGCAUAUCCUCACUCGUGAGAAUUGUGAACUUGGCAUUAUGAGAAUUAGGAUGUAGGAUUCCCGAGGCUCUCGGACAAGAGGACUUGAGCAUAAUGCAUAUGUGGCCGAUUGUGAGCAUUGCAUGCCUUGUGAUGGAUAGGGAUGUGGGAUUCCCGCAGUCCUCGGGCAGGAGGACUAUGAUCAUACUCGCGUCGUCUGUUGUGUUAGCGGAUACUCGCUUAGACGUCUAUUGUGUUACUAGAGGUCGCAUCUCCCAUUCUUGUGAGCUCCGGAGUUGUAUCACGGUGAGAUAGAGACGAAGGGGGUAAGGCACCGAGGGUGUGCCCCCGGCAGACGGUCAUGGUUGCGUGACAUUUGCGUGGCGAGUUGUGGUUCGACCUUCGGGCGAAUCAAUUUGAUUAGAUUCAAGGCAUGGUUAUGGCAUUUCAUAUAGAUGCAUACAUAGUAGAACAUUGAUAGAUGACAUUGUUCAUGACAUAGUAGAACUUAUUCUUGUUGACAUGAUUGGUAAAGGUAUAUAUAGCUACACAUUUGAAGCAUGAUAUAGAUGUAUAUGAGCAGGUUAGGCUUAUUGUUUAUCUAUUAUCUCUUUGACAUAUUAUCCUAUCUAUUGUUUCUAUGCCAUCUUAGACCUAGUGGAAAAAUCGGCGGGGUCGGCGGCCGAACCCACUGGGAGCUUUGUUUAGUUCUCACACCCUGUUUUUACAGAGCCAAACGUGAGCGCAUUCGUCGAGGACGCGGCUUGGGCAUCGAGCCCUAGAUAGUGUGGACCACCAGCAUUAGCUCACUACCCUCAAAUAUAUAAAGGAAAAGAAAAAGAAAUGUAUAACGCUUUGGAAAGAAAUGUAUAACGCUUCGGCCGCCAACAUAACCUCCUCGAGUUGAGAACAAAUAUUACUUGAAUACGUCUCUAUCAACCAUUAGAGACAUACUAGCACUACACUUAAUUGGCUUAACCUCCGCCACAAAUCGUAGAUCCGCGUCACUCACGCACCUAUGUCCUUAGGGUCACCGUCCUAGGAUCUCCUAAGUCCAUCCUAAACUUCUCUCUUUUACAUGAUCUGAUACCACGCUCUGUCACGCCCCACGCCCCGGGACCGCCAAUUUGGUCAGUUCGGGCGCACGGGCGGACCGCCGAACGGACAAGAUUUCCCCUAUCCGCCUAAGACUCAACAAAAAUCAUGUAUAUCUAGUUUGCCCAGGUAAAACAUAAUCAACAUACAUGAAUUGCGCGAGGGUAACAUAAACAAGAGUAAGAGAGAAAUACUAGCUAUUACAUUCCACAUUUGAAUAUUUACAUUCAACCACCAAAAUACAUUUGGUUUACACAAUUUGUUCCAUAAUACAUGUACAUCAUCCAAAAGUAACCUCUCCCAAAAUACAUCAUGUCCCUCGAUAUAAUACAUGGUACUCUAAUGCAAAGGAGGCUAUUAUCUAGGACGCUAUGCCCUUACCGUGAUUCUCGACCACUCCGUUCGUGCUAGGCUCUGCAAUAAAGUAGGAUGAGAACAAACAAAAGUUUCCAGUGGGUUCGGCCGCCGACCGCGGUGAUUUUCCCACUAUGUCUAAGCAGGCAUAAGUAGAAAGGUUAGCACAUAAUAAAAAACUAGUAUGCUACUAUACCUCAACAAUAUGAUACAAUAAACAGGUACAAUAAACAGGUACGUACUAGCAACUAAUUUUCAUUAAAUUAUGCAAGGGCUUUUUUUUGCAUAAAUUAAAUUAAAAAUAUUAAUUUAUGCAAGGAUUUUUUUGCAAAUGGCCUCCUGAAAAAUAUUUAUUUUAAAAUUAGCCCUGUCAAAAUUUAAUUUGCAAAAAUGGCCCUGGCCCUGCCGCGCAGGCGCCACAUCAGCGCCACGCGGGCAGGGCUGGGGCCAAUGUGUUAAGUUUGAACACGGUGAACCAUUCACCGUGUUCAAACACGGUGAAUGAUUCACCGUGUUUCAUAUUUAUGUUUCUUUUCUUCUUUUUUAGGGAUGUCAACGGGUCGGGUUUGGAUCGGGUUUUAAAAAAUCUGAAUCCGAAUCCGAAAAUCAAAUUAAAAUCCAAACCCAAAUACGAACCCGGCGGUAGGGGUGGAACUGGGCCGGGUUUGGGUCGGGUAAUACUAUGCCCAAGCCCAGUCCAAAUGAAAAUGUUGGGCUUCGGGUCGGGCUUUUACCCAAUUUUUUUUUGAAAAUAAAGGCCCGGCCCAAGCCCAAGCCCAAUGCCCAAUACCCAUUGCGCUUUGUGGAGGCCCAUUUUAUGCAUUUGUCAUAGAAUACAUAAAUACUUUUAUUUGUAUAAAAUUAAAAUAAAAUACCUAGUUUUAGUUAGAUCACAUCAAAGAAAUUAAUAUCUAACAACAAAUAUAUCCUAAUAUAGAACUAAAUAUUUUGUUAAUAUAUAAUAUAUCCUCAUAUAUAUAAGUACAUAUCAUUAAUAACNAUUAAUAUCUAACAACAAAUAUAUCCUAAUAUAGAACUAAAUAUUUUGUUAAUAUAUAAUAUAUCCUCAUAUAUAUAAGUACAUAUCAUUAAUAACAAUAUAUACUAUAUAUGAUAUACUAUAUUAUUUAUUUCUUUUAAUAGAUAAAUAAUAUAUAUAUAAUUAAAUAUUUUAUUUUGAUAAUUAAUAUAUCAAGCUUUUGGGCCGGGCUCGGGCCGGGCUUGGACAUGCCCAAAUAGGCCCAAAAUUUUUUGGGGCUAAAAUUUUUAAGCCCGGCCCGAACCCAAAGUUAUAUUUUUAAUAACCAAAGCCCGGCCGAAACAUGGCCCAUCGGGCCGGGCCUUGUUUAGGCCCGGGCCCGGUUCCACCCCUACCCGGCGGGCUUUUAAAAAUCCAUACCCAUAUAAAACCCAUACCUAUAUAACUUUAAUAUAUGGAUAUGGGUAUGGAUUUUUAAAAACCCGCCGGGCUCGGAUUCGUGUUCGGGUUUUAAUUUGAUUUUUGGAUUCGAUUUCGGUUUUUAAAAACAUGAUCUAAACCCGAUCCGUUGACAUCCCAAAAGAGAAGAAAAGGAAUAUAAAUAUGAAACACGGUGAAUCAUUCACCGUGUUCGAACACGGUGAAUGGUUCACCGUGUUCAACUUAACAUACUGGCCCCAGCCCUGCCUGCGUGGCGCUGACGUGGCGCCUGCGUGGCAGGGCCAGGACCAUUUUUGCAAAUUAAAUUUUGACAGGACUAUUUUUAAAAUAAAAAUUUGUCAGAGGGCUAAAUUGGAAAAAAGCCCUUUUCCACUUGGAAAAUGCUAACUGGACAACAGGGUUGGGUUGUAGAUCCUACAACUCAAAGAUCCAACGGUUGAUAUUAAUCACUUUGCACAGUAGGUUAUAAACUCACCCUCUUUUUUUUUUCACCUACUACUACACCCACAGUUGUCGCCUUCUCUCUCUCUCGCUCUCUCGGUCUCUCCACCAUCUCUCUCUCUCGCUCUCUCUCUCUGUUUCUCGCUCUGUCCUGCACACCUCUCGCCACUCUCUUCCGCACAGGUCUCACCAUCUCUGAGUUUCUUCCUCUCGCUCUCAUCUCUCUCUCUCUCUCUCUCUCUCUCUCUCUCUCUCUCUCUCUUGCUCCUCGCUCGCUCACAGAUCACUCCAUCGAGCGCUGUUCGGCAGGAAAGGCGGUAGGUAGAAGCUCGUGUCCGAAGCUGUCUCGAAGGUGUCUCUCGCCCUCACCUCUCUUCAAUGGUAGGAGGUCGCGUCUCAACUGCUCCACUGUUCAUCCCAGUACCUGUGACGCAUUCCUUCAGUCGUGGGCGUCCAAAAUUGGGAACGAUUUCGGAGCUAAUUCGGCCACAACCGAACAGAGGAUUCAACUCAAAUAGGGGAUAUUUUUGAAUUUCUAUAAUUUUUUAUUUCUAAUUUUAAAUUUAAUAUAAAAUUUAUAUUUUGAGGGUUUAGGGUUGCAACUUGGGUUCGUCUGUGCAUGCUCCGGAUUUCGUCAUAAGGUUUACUCAGCUGGUAUAUUAUAUUAUUUGUUGCAUUUGUAAAAAUAAAGCAUUUAUGAUUUUAGUGUUUAGAAGAUGCGCCCACAGUAACAUACAUAUAUUUCAUGUAUUUCAUAAAUUUUGCUUAGUUUAUGAUAGAAAACAUGUUUAUGGUUACCAGUAUGUAGAAAGGUAUAGAAAAUAUGUUUGGGGUUACUAGUAUAUUCUCUUAUUCAUACUUCUAUACUUGUAUUAAUAAUUAAUUUGUUUGUAUUCGUAUAUGUAUAGUUGGCUAGGAAUAUGUAUGCAUUGCAAUCUGUCACUCUUAUGCCAUAAAGGGUUUACUCUUAGAGCUUAUAAGAACACUCUUAGUAGAACACUCUUAUAGAAUUUGUGUUUGCGAAUAUAUAUGCUUGACAAUCUAACACUCUUAUGCCAUAAAAGAACACUCUUACAGCUUAAUGUCUGCUACCAUGAAUGACGCACCUCGCACGGUCGAUGGAUUUUGGCCGUGGGGUAGUAUUCAUAAUUCAGAUGAGUAUUUAUAUGUAUGUGUAGGUAUCAGGUAUUGCGAGUCCAUGGCUUCCAAUAGAUGCAAGCAUCUACUGUUAAUUACCCCCUUGAGAUUGGGGCACCUUCGAUUAAGAGACCUUUAUAUCUUGGAUGAGAUGGAUCGUAUCUCGGUUUAUUGAAUCCUAAGUAUAUGUAUUAGGAUUCAGUUGGAUUUGAGGUUGAUUAGGCCCUAAGUAUAUGUGUUAAGACCUAAUCGAUAUUAAACUCUAUGUAUUAGAGUUUAAUUGGUUCAUGAGAUAUGGGUAUGAGAUCUGGGUAUUGGUUCAUGGGAUUUGGGUAUUGGUUUAUGAGAUUUGGGUAUUGGUUCAUGGGCUAUGGGUAUUGGUUUAUGAGAUUUGAAGAUGAUUUAGUUCAUGGCUCAUAGGAUUUGGCCUAUGGUUCAUGAGGUUGGGUAUAUGGUCCAUGGGAUUUGGUCCAUGAGAUUUCGUCUUCAUGGUUCACUCAUGAGAUUUGGCUCGCAUAGUUUCGUUGUUGUUCCAUACGGAUUUGGCCAUAGGUUUCGACUUAUCGGUUCAUAGUAUUCUGCGCCAUGCAUUUCGGCUUGGUUCAUGACGAUGCUCCACUGGAGAUUUGGUUUUUUGUUCCCCAUCGGGAUUUUGUCCUAUGACGGUUUGGUUAUUGGUUCAUGGAAUUGGUCCCAUGAGUUUGGUCUUGGUUCAUACGGAUUUUUGGCUCCAUCGAACCUGGUUUUGGCUCAUGAGAUUUUGUCCCAUGAGAUUUGUUUUGGUUUUUGUUCCCUGGGGAUUACUGGUCACAAUGAGGUUUGCGUUUGAGUUCCAUGUGGAUUUAGGUCCAUGACUUGUGUUUGGCUCAAUGGAUUUGCUCCCAUGGAGGAGUUGGGUUUGGUUCAUGGAAUUUGUCCAUAACUUGAGUUUGGCUCAUGGGCAUUUGUCCAUGAGUUUGGUUGUUGUUUCACAUAAGGGCAUUUUGGUCAUGAGAGUGUGUGUGAGAAUGGGAUUGCGGUCCAUGCAGGAAUUUGGUUUGGCUUCAUGGGAUUUGCUCCGAUCGAGGUUUGGUGAUUUGGCUCAUGGGAUCUUGCGUCCGAUCGAGAGUUUGGUUCUUGCGUUCAUGGGCGAUUGUGCUCAUGAACGCUUGGUUUGAACUCAUGGAUGUCUGUCCAUGACGAUUCUGGUUUGGUUCAUUCGGGAUAUUUGUCCUGAACUUGGUAUUUGGCAUCAUAGUGGAGAUUGAUCUCAUUCGAGUUUGGUCUGUGGUUCAUUGGGAUUUGGUACAUGCAACUUAUUUUUGGCUCAUGAGAUGUUGGUCCAUGAGGCUUUGGUUUUAUGGUUCAUGGGAUAUAUUGGUCCCAUGAAACUUGGUUUUGCUCAUGGAUUGGCAGUCCAUGCAGGAUUCUCGGUUUUGCUUCAUGGCGCAUGAUUGCUCCAAUAGAGGCGGCCGGCUUCUGGCUCAUGGGAUUUGGUCCAUCGAGGGUUUGCAUUUGGGUUCCAUAUAGGGUUGGCUCCAUGAACUUGGUUUUCCGGCCAUUCUUGAUUCUGGAAGGGUUUGGGCGUUCAUUUAUAGUGGCAACUUGGUUGGUUUCGGUUAUUUUUGGUUUUGGGUUGGAUGUUUAUUUGGCCAUGACACUUGGUGUUGGUUAGUUUGGGGGGCACGUUUGCUUCUUGUAAUGGUGACUUGUUUGGCUUUGGGCCUUUAUUUGGGUUUGGUUGGACUUUAUUUGGAACUUGGUUUGGUUUAGGUUUGGGCCAUUUGGCUUUGAGUGAUUGGUUUGAUUUGGGUUAUUCUGCUGUUUGGGUUAUGGUUUGGGUUUGCGGACAUAGAACUUGAUUUAUGGUGUAGGUGAACUGAUUUCGCAAUUUGGUUCCGAUAUUGAAAACUUAGAUUGCAAUUUGGGAUUCGCAUAUCACCUACGUUAAUUUCGCAUUAGUAAGCUUCUGCGUAGAUAAACUCAUGCAUUUCAAUUUGAUUUGCGGGUCGAAGAAAGUCCUUUUUGAUUUUGCACAUAGAUUUUGGGGAAUCCGAAGAAAGGUCCACUACUCUGAUUUUGCCAGAUUGCAAAUUUGGGUCGGUCCGAAAGAAAGAUCGCCCAUUGAUUUUGCAAUUGAACUUUGGCGUCCGAAGAAAUCGCCGCUUUGAUUGAAUAUGAAUUGGGGUCCGAAAAUCCCCAGGUUUCGAUUUUCCGAAUUCGAUUUUGGAUUUCGGAGUCCGAAGCAAAUCCCCCGUUGAUUUGCCAUUAGACUCUAGUGGGGUCCGCGAAGCAACGUCCCGUCUGAUUUGAAUUUGAAUUUGAUUCUUAAUAAUUGAUCUUGAUUUUGGGUCGACAGAAAAUCCCCGUUUGUUCAUGAAUUUGGGGUCCGAAGAAAUCCCCACUGUUGAUUCCCAAUAUCGGAGGUCCGAAGAAAUCCCCCGAUUUUAAUCUUUGAUUUUGGGGUCCGAAAGAAACAGGGGAAUCAUAAGAUUCCGCCCUUCCCACUUCUUCGCGAUCAAUUCAUUCCCAGCGAUUGUUAUAGUGUCGUCCGGAAGCUUGUGACUGGUGGACGGAUCUGUUCGGAAUCCGCAAUUUGAUUUUGACAUAUGUUGAAGAAUAUUGAAGGGCGUUCCGAAAGAAAAGCGGGCGAUCAAAGAUUCCCUCCCAUCUUCUUGUCCGAAAAGGUUAAAUAACGCCUGAAUUGUAGAUGUCGUCGCCGGAGUUGUUCAACGAGUGGCAGUGGAAUCUGUUCGGACCGGCCAAUUUGGUUUCGAUAUUUAUGAACGAAAUGUGAAGGGUCCGAAGAAACAGGGAAUCAAGAUCCCGCCUCCCCAACCGCUUGGACCUCCCUUUCUUCGCGAACGUCAUCAAACCGCGGUUCACGUUUGUCAGAUGAUGUCGACUCGAAGUUUGAUCGACGGUAGUGCGGAUACUUGUUGGGCCGUACGAUAUAAUGAUUGAGACAUUUUCAGAUCAGAAUCAUUGCAAGGGUCGCCACCAGAAACGGGGAAUCAAAAGAUGUUCCCCCUCCCGUCAAUCUCUUUUCUAUCAACUCGCCGUGCUCCGGUGUCGUCCGUAGCUGUGACGAUGGCGUGAUCUUUGUCCACCAUCAAAUUUGAUUUGAUAUUUUCGAAGAAAAUGUUGCAAGGUCCGACGAAACAGGGAAUCAAAAAUCCCUCCCCUAUUCUUCGAAGUAUCAAACCAUACGAUGUUAGGGUGGUCGCAGGCCAUGUUAGAGUCAUCAAUUCAUAUCAACCGGGCUAUCGACAUGGGUAAGUUGAGAGGUCCGAUGAAAUGGGGAAGUCGAAAGAUUCCAUCCACUCUCAACCACCCGAAGCCAUCUAGAUAUAUGGAUGGUAUACGAUCGCAGGCACAAAGAAAAAAGAAAAGGGGGGGGGAGAAAAGAGAUCUUUUUUUUUGACUUAUUUUCUUUCUUUUUUUCUUUCUUUUUUUUUAAUUAUGUUUUCUUUGUUUCUUCUUCAUUUUUCUUUCUCUUUCUUUUUUUUUUUUUUACCUGUUGAUCAAAUGAUGAAUUGGAUGAAGCAGCUCAACGAUUUCUCGUUCUUUCCGCGGCUCGGCGAUAUCUCCUCCUUUCAGCGGCUUGGCGAUAUCUCCUCCUUUCAGCAGCUCGGCGAUAUCUCCUCCUUUCAGCGACUCGGCGAUAUCUCCUCCUUUGAAUAUUUUGAACGUGGAAAUGUGUGUAGCAAUCUAUCUCUCUUUUUGUCUCUGUCCAAAAAAAAGUUCCCCGAAUUUGAUUUCGGUUCCCGUAUUUAUAAUGGGAGGGGAGGGGUUAGUUAAGAAUUCAAAAUUCGAAAUUCGAAUUUUGAAUUAUUUGUUGGAUGAUUGGAGGAUAUUUGGGGAGUGGUUGGGAAUUAAAUUUUGAAUGAGUUGUUGGAUAGUUGGGAGAUAUUGUGGGAGUUGGUUGAAGGUUCGAAAUUCGAAAUUCGAAUUUUGAACGGAUUCUCCAAAGUUGAGCAGGAUGCAAAAAAUUUUCUAAUUUCCCCACCUAUUACAAAGUUCGUCAAUCUGACUAUACAUGUAGUGAUUAGUUAACAUUAAAUAUCUUUGGCAAAAUAUUCUACCUUAACUUGACAGCAAUUCCUUUCUUUCGUAUUAUUAAUUAAAUUUUCUUUUUAUAGGGGACUCAUAUGGCAAGAUGAUACAAAAGGAUCAGAUUCGCCUUCUGUUAGCGGUCAAGUCCUCCUUGAUUACUUAUUUGGAGGCCCGACGCGCGACGAGGUUAGUGCUGCCACAGAUUAUGCAUUGUAGUUAGCGCUUGUAGCUUGUUUUAUACAUAUCUAAUUAUAUAUAUAUAUUAUUCUAAUUCUCUUUGUUUUGCUGACUUUCUUAUUUAGGUGAUUAAUGUAUAUUUCCAUAUAAUUGAUAAGCUCGAUUGUAUGGGUGUACAUAAAUUUAGUCAACUGGAUAUUUUCUUGCGAACUGAAGUUGCGGUGAGUUUGAUACUUUCACUAUUAAAUUAGUUGUUAUCUAUUUCUCUCUUGUUCUCUAUUUCUGUAAGCAAACUUAAAGAAAUAUAAAAGUGAGUUACAAUGGAAGAAAAAAUAUGUGUUGAAGUCCGAAUCCCAAUUUGUUGAAUAAUAUUGAUUAGCUCCUGUUCCAUAAUCUGUGAACAUAUGAAUUGUCCAAAUAAUAGCAUUUGAGUUUCCCACAAGGUUUCGUAAGGCAUCUUGCUAUCUUGAUUCCUAUAUCUAUGCAGAUGCACAUACUCAAUAAGAUGCAGGGAUUUGGAAAGGAUAAGACAGCAACAGCUGAUUUUUUGAGGGAUGUGGUAUUUGGAUCCACAUCUAUACGUCACUUUCUGGAUAAAAUAAAUACACAUACCUGCAGCACUUCUAGAUAUGUACUUAUUCCCUUACAUAGUAAUUGGCAUUGGCAUUGGCAUUUACUAUCAAUUGAUUUGAAGGAACGACGUUUUGAGAGUUGGAACUCUUUGUGGAGCCAUAGCGGGGCACAGGAUGCGGCACAGCUGCUGGUAUUAAUUUAUUCUUCUCAGUAGACAGAGUGUUUUAGUUAUUUAUUCACUCGGCAGUAACAUCUACUAUCCACUUGUUUUAAUUAAUUUACCUUUUUUUUCUCUUGGACAGGCGAAGUGGUUUGCGUCCUAUUUUGAGCACACCCUCCAAAUCCCCGUCGGCGCUCCUGACGUCAUAUUUCAUAAGGAAUGUCAACAACAGGGUUCCACGGAAGUCGAUUGUGGCAUGUACACAUGCCUUUUUGCCGANAUCCCCGUCGGCGCUCCUGACGUCAUAUUUCAUAAGGAAUGUCAACAACAGGGUUCCACGGAAGUCGAUUGUGGCAUGUACACAUGCCUUUUUGCCGAAAGAAUCGUAAGAAACGGCCCCCCGAUCUAUCAUUGUACGAUACUGACCGCCACUCCUUCCGUGCUCAUAUCGUCAGUGCCAUCUUAAAGGAUCCAUAUUGUGUGACCUAUGCUUCUAUGAUCGAGUCCACUGUCGCAAAAGAUGAUGUCUGAAUGUUAUAGGAUUUUGCAAUUGUGACUGGUGUUGUGCAGUUUGUUUAUAUAUUCUCUCAUAUGGCUUGCAUGGCAGUGCUCCUUAGCUUCUCUCUCUUUAGCUGGCUUGGUUCCCGACUAGCCCGUCUCUCUCCCAAGAGCAAGAAUACUGCUUGACUAUCUUAUGCAAUUGUGACUGAUACAGGACAUUUGUUUAUAUAUGAUUGUGAAUGUGCAAUUGUGCACAUUGUGAGUGGUACUGGGCAGAUUUUUUAUAUACGAUUGUGAAUGUGCAAUUGUGAAUUUGUGGCUGGUAUUGGGCAGUUUGUUUAUAUAUGAUUAUGAAUUUAUUUAUAUAUGACUGUGAAUUUGUUUAUAUAUGUGACUGUGCAAGUAUGCACAUUGUGACUGGUUCUGGGCAAUUUGUUUAUAUAUGAUUAUGAAUGUGCAAUUGUGCACAUUGUGAGUGGUACUGGGCAGAUUGUGUAUAUAUGAUUAUGAACUUAUUUAUAUAUGACUGUGAAUUUAUUUAUAUAUAUGACUGGUACUAGGCAGUUUGUUUAUAUAUGACUCUGAAUUUGUUUAUAUAUGAUUGUGAAUUUGCGACUGGUACCGGACAGUUUAUUUAUAUAUGAUUGUGAAUGUUUUAUGUUUUAUGUUUAUAUAUAAUUGUGAAUGUUUUAUGUUGUACAUGGCAGUUUUUUAUAGAAACACUGUCACGCCCCGGGGCUCAGCGGAAGCCUACCCGGCGCGUGUCUAGACCCGCCAUACGUCUAAAACAUAUAAGGCGUCUACAAAAUUUCGAUAGAUAAAACACUAAUACAAAGAGAUCUAGUGAUAUCAGAGCAUUGUACAACUAGUCCUAUAACGAGAAAAAGGACAUAAAGCUGAAAGUCCACUAAUAAAAGCAUAAAGUAAUACAAAGGAAAUCUCAAAUACAAGUGCUAAAAGUAGAUAUAUAGGUGGUCUCUAUACAUGGAUACAAAACCUCUCACUCUCUCAACUAUAAAAAGAAAGAGCGAACCACCUAGGUAAAGAACCGCUCCUCGCUAGCUAGCCAUGCGAUCCCCUUGCCGCGAUCCCGUGCCUCCGCCGGUGCAGAAGGCUCUGAAAAGUAAACCAUAAAACAGGGGCGUGAGAACUAUUAAAAAUAGUUCCCAGUGGGCAAUUACUGACUUCAGUGAAUGCACCACAAGGCCCAAGCUACAAGGAAAGGGUCAGUGUCUAAGAACGUAUGAAAGCGAAAGGUAAGUAGAAUGCAACUUACUACAACAUGAUAUUUCUACUUAGCAUGAAAGGCAUAAGUAUGAAAGCAACUAUGUAUGUAGUAAAAGUUUCCAACUAACAUGAUGUCCAUAAUGCAAAAUAGUAAAGUGCCAAUGUUUACUAUUCUAGUCAAAUUCCAGUCAGUACACUAAGUCAUCAUCUGUCCAUAUGUCAUAGUAAAUGCUCAAAGUCAAAUCUGAAGAGACCCACCCGAAGGCUGUCUAAGGCCCUGAGACCCACCCGUAGGCUGUCUGGCCGGUGCCGAGCCUAAUGGCCCCGUGGUAGUCAUCAUUCCCACCCUAGGAAUGAGCCUGACCACGGCAAUCCACUUUGGCGCCCAAUCCCGCACGGCGAAUAUGAAUCGCGAUGGCUAUCUCCGGAGUGCCGGCUUGUAGGGAGCGACCCUCACAAGCAUGUGCGAAUGAGCACAAUGGCAAGUAGUGAAACGAUCUGUCACAAGUACCAAGUCCUCAUGUCUAAUAACAUGGAAUAUAUCAAGUAUCUCAAUGGCCUAUCUCUAUGUCAUCAUGUCUCUAACAUGGAAUAUAGCAGAUAUGUAGUGGCCUAUCAAUAUGUGUAGCACACUGGACCUUUGCAAAUUGCGAGGUUCGAGUGUUCGAUUGGUAUUCCGAACUUUUCCACACUUGGUGGAGGGCCGUCGAUGGUAUACCGGCCUAAAAGUUCGAUCUCGAGAGUUUUGGCAGAGUCCUGAGAGUUUUUACUCUCGGGGACCGGUCCCUGAUAGGAGAGACCGGUCCCCCAGUGAACAGUGCCGCGCAGCAGGCGAGGCAACCGGUCCUUGGCAGUUGAGACCGGUCCCCGAGCCCGUCUGCGCGGGGAGAGACCGGUCCCGCGCAGGGAGAGACCGGUUCCCGAAUGCUGGUUUUUCGGGUUCGCAGCGAGAGACCGGUCCCUGCUGAGGAGAGACCGGUCCUCUGGGCGAAAACUGCCCAGUCGGGCUGAUGUAAUUGACGUUUUGAGGGGCCCUAUGUGAUUUUUUACUUUACGAGCUAUAGGCAGCCUUUCCUCACCCUCCCCUCCACGUCUCCAUUUUCUCCUCCCUCACACUCCUUCCUACACUUCUAGAGAGAGAAAGGGAGCGAGAAGAAGGAGAAUGAAGAGGAGAAGGAUCUUGCAGUUGAGGCUUGGGCAUCAUCUUCUUCCCCCUCAUUACUCUCGCCCCUUUGGAGGUUUGGAGCUUGCGUUUGGAGCCUUGCUGGAGGAUCUAACUCGCAACCCUACCUUGGUUUUGAGCUUGGAUUGGGGGCUUCUCUUGAGGUUGGUCAGCUUAUAAUCCCUAUUUGAUCUGAUACUUGUUUCCUAGGUUUUCCUAGAUGAACCCUAAAUUUUGGGAUUAGGGGUUUAUUUGGGUUUUUGGAUUUAGGGUUAUGAGACCUAAUUGAUGGGUUUGGACCUCUAUAUAGGUUAGAUUGGAAGACCUCCUACCUUCCCAGUUUGCUUUGAGGUUUAGAGAGGGUUUCCAGUUUAGGUGAGUUUUUCCCAACCCUAGCUUGCGCUUGGUUAAUGUUUGAGCUAUUCCGCAUGCCUUCGUUUCGUUUGGGUGCCCCUAUUUUUGAUGGUUCUAGGGUACUAGGGAGCUUGUGGAUAUUCUUCGUUCGGCGAAACGAAGAAGUCGAUCUUUUUUCGGUGGGUUUGGCUUCGUGAAAAGGGGCCGAAAUGGGCCCUAUUGCUCUUUCUAACCUGUUUGGUAAAUUAUUUUAGAAGUUCGAUUUCUAUGCAAAUGGAAUUUCAUAUGAAUUUUAGAGGCACUUAAGAUGCAUGCCUCGUGUAUCAUCCAGAAUUCACUAUAUACGGAGAGCUAUAGAGUAGAAUGCAGCAUACGGAAAAGUGUUUAUUGCAAGCGAAAAAUACAUCUCCGUGAGAAAAUUAUGACUUGGAAUAUGUACUUUUUCGGAAGCAUAGUUCCAUGUUUUGACAUAGAGAACCAGAGUUGUCAUGAAAGUGGGCCACUUUAAAACUAGUAAAACUAUGAAACCUGCAACCUAAUUAGAGACAUGAUGAAGGGCCUUUUGUACAUCUGGCUAUAUAAUCCAUGUUAGAGACAUGAUACAUAGGGAUACGCCUUUGGGACUUUCGAUCAUUCAUGUUAAUUAGACAUGGACUUGUACUUGCGACAAAUCGUUAAGACUACUUGCCAUUGUGCUCAUUCACGCCACAUGUCUGUGAGGGUCGCUCCCUACAAGCCGGCACUCCGGGAUGGCCAUCGCGAUACAUAUUCGCGCGUGACGGUAAUUGGGCGGCCCGAAGUGGAUUGCCGUGGGCCAGGCCCUCGCCUCCUAGGGGUCCGGUGUUGACUACCACCGGGCCCAUUAGGCUGCCGGCACGGGCCAGACAGCCUACAAGGUGGGUCUCAGUGCCAUAGACGGCUCUUCGGGUGGCUCUCCCUUCAGAUUUGACAGUUGAGUAUCAAUCAUGACAUGUGACAAUGAUGACCUGUAUGAGUAAAUUUUCGGACAUUGAACUAGAUAUACGUCACAACAACGGCGAAACUUUACUAUCUUCGCAUUGUUGAACAUUAUGUUUAGUUGGAGACUUUUACUUCAUGCAUAGUCUUUCAUAGCUUAUCCAUUUUAUGAAGUAGAGAAUCAUGUUGUAGUAAAAAAAAGUUACAUUUUACUUACCUUCGCUUUCCUAGCAUUUAUAGUCACUAACCCCGUCUUGGUAGUUUUGGCCUUGUGGUGCAUUCCUGAACGUCAGUAAUUGCCCCUGGGCAAUAUUUUUGAAUAGUCUCAAAAGCCGCCCCCUGUUUUAUGGUUUCCUUUUCAGAGCCUUCCCAACCGGCGGAGGCACGGGAUCGCGGCAAGGGGAACGCGUAGCCUAGCUAGCGAGGAGCCUUACUUGCGUAGGAUGGUUUACUCUUUCUUUGUGUAGCUGAGAGAGUGAGGUUUUGUUCGCAUGGUAAUAGGAGACCCCAACCUAUGUACUCUACUCUUAGCCACCUGUAACCUGGGAUUUACUUGUAUUAGCUUCAUGUUUUCAUUUAUGGAUUUACAGUUUUGUCCCGUAUAUCUGAUUACGUAAUUUAGACCCAUUUAUUAUGGCUCUGAUACUCGCUAGAUGCCGUUUUUAGUUAUAGCUUUUUAUUAUUAUUGGUUGUUAACGCCUUCAUGGCGUUAGACGCAGGCGGGUCUGGGCAGGGCGUGCCGGGCGGGCUUUCCGCUGGGUCACGGGGGCGGGGGGCGUGACAGAUUAAUCUUGUAUCAGAGCCUAGGGUUUGAGUCUUUGGGGACGCUAAGGCCAACCUUAGGCCAGUUGGACUAAUAGGCAUAGGCCUGCGUGAUAGACGAGGUUCUAUUCGACUUGUGAGCGAAUAAGUAUCAUCGAUUGGGUUAUCUAUGAAACUGCUACAAAAGUUAGAGUUGAUUGAGUGUUUGGCUCCUAACUUCGCGGAGGGUACGUUGGCCCGGCCGACACGUAACAAUCCGGGAAGUCUAUGUCAGUGGUAGAACACUUCUCUACUUUCGCAUGAUUUGGGGUUUUGUUUUGAGCGGGGAUGUCGAACGCGUGAGUAUCUUCUAAACUUGCGCUUUAUGUCCUUGUAGUGAGGGAAUGCCCGAUUACUCCUCCAAAUCUUGCCGGGGCGGACCAAUGGCCAAAUUUGAGGAGGUCGAGACUCCCGCUACCUCCUCCGUCCAGCGAGGUCCGUGAGUUGAGGGCGCCAGCUUGAGCCCUUACUGAUUUGGUUUACUGCCAGGCCAAGGGCGGUAGACCGGCCCGACAGAGACUGAGGCCCCGCCGCGCCGACAGGAGGCGGGUGAAGCCUCUGUGAGGAGCUUACUGUUCAGCAGACGGCAGGGCUUCUAGGAGACGCAGGGCCGCUACGCCGCCUGGCACCCAGUUUGUGGACGUUGCACCGACGCGAGCGCCGUCCCCGCGCCUAGAUUCUUGCGCGUGCGGUGCCUAGCGGCCGUACCCCCAGGAAGGAGGUUUUGGUAGCACCGCCUGUGCAGAGGCCCCCGGUUGGAGCAGCUUUCCGCUAUUUUGGUUGGGGGGUGGAGCGAGAUAGACUGAUGGAGCGCCCUCAAUGAGUUCAGGAGGUGCAGUCCCCCUGAGUCUUUGAUGGCGAGAAAGGUCGACCACCUGGAUGCGUGGAGAAGUUGAUGCAUAUGGAGGAAGCUCUUCGCGACACUUUCGUGGAGGAGAGGGACCAGAGUUUGCUCGCCACUCACCCUUGGACGGCGAGGCACCGCUGGUGGUUGGACUUUCAGGAGCACCCAGCACUGCUUGGCAUCGAUCACUUGGAGCGAGGUUCAAGGAGCCUUCUUCUAGCGGCACUACUUCCCGACCAGCGUCAAGAGGUAAGAUGGAGCAGAUCCUGGCGCAGCUGCGCGCAGGGUGACAGGACUGUAGCCGAGUACGAGAGAGAGUUUUCCUCGGCUUCCUGCAUUGCGUGCCUUCGUCGUGCCGGGUUGACGACGAAGGACAAGGCCCCGCACUUUGACGAGGAUUGAGACCGUCUAAUUUCUUCGGUUUGUGCAAUCCUCCUAACCUCCCAAACCUACCGGGAGUGGUGGAUCGCGCGCUAAAUCGUGGAGAGCCGGCGCGGGCAGAGGUCCUGAGCAAGCGAGAGGCUAAGGACAAGGGUAAGGCCAAGAGGCCUGCGGCGAGGGUGCGAGCCAGACGCACUCUAGGAGGCCGCCGAAAGCAUCCGAGGGAGGCCAGGCAGCGUGGACGCGGCCCCCUCAUAGCCGCAUCCCGAGGAGGAAUCCGAUCCGGCGCCGGCCUUCCCCGUGUGUGAUCUGCGGUGGUCCCCCACUACCCACCCGCAGUGUCGCACCAGCGGGCCGGGCAGGUUUUCCCAAGUGUGCCACAGAGGGCCAACCGUUGCGUAACCGAAGUCCGCGGAGGUUCUUCACCGCACCGUCGACUGCACGGCACCCGCUCUACCCCAGCGUCAGGGCCGACGGAUCCUCCGUCGACACCAGUACCAGCCCCUGCGGGCCCGGCCAACCCGUCCAGCGCCAGAGCGAGGGAACGGGCUCAGACCAGGCCCCGAGUGGGCGCAUUGUCUGCCGCUUCAGACCUGAGUGAGCCCCCAGGCAGCCGAGGAUUGUGGUUGGCAGGUAAUCCAUUUUACUUGAUGGCAUUAGAGUUCGUGCUUUAAUGUUGAUACUCGGUGCAUCGCAUUCAUUUUAAGAUAUGGUCUUUUGCCGAGUUGCAAGGCACCCUUUGGUUCCUUUGUCGCAUACGGGAGCAUGUCGUAUGUACCGACCACAUCUGUGGACAUUAGAGAGUAUAGCCCCAGUUGCCCUAAUUUCGGGCUAGGAGACUGGAUUUAUCGCCUAUAGAUUUGCCUAGGCUUGCGCAAGCUUGGGAAUUUUUGAUUGUGGUCUUGGGCAAUGGAUUGGUUGACCAAGUAGUUACUGCCACGAUUGAUUGCAAGAAUCGCGACCGGUUACUUUUAGAGAACCCUGGGGCCAGAGACCGAGGUGGUAUUUUGUGGAUGCCGAAGUUCGCUGUUUGCGAUGACGAUCAGCUCGUCUCGAGCUAGGCAGGCUGAUCAGUAGAGNNNNNNNNNNNNNNNNNNNNNNNNNNNNNNNNNNNNNNNNNNNNNNNNNNNNNNNNNNNNNNNNNNNNNNNNNNNNNNNNNNNNNNNNNNNNNNNNNNNNAACAGAAAGAGAAUAGAUAAGAGGGGCCGCGUGAGUACUAUCUAUUUAACUACCCCGCUUAUGUUCUUAUUGUGUGUGCAGUUGUUUACCUGCUUCAUGAAAUGCAUCGUUCACUAGGUCCGCACAUCGUAUAGAAUAAGUGGCUGUCAGUGGACAAUAUGAUCAAGCGAUACAUUGCGUCUGUAGUGUAAUAAGUAAACGGUUACUUCAUUAUAAUUGCGAUUACCGCCAUUCUCUGUAAUUUACAUACAGUAACGUGAAGCAACUAUGCACUUACUAUGAUCAUGAACACCCCACACAUGCAUAUAAAGGUCCAAACUUGCAUCGAUUGGUAACCUACCCUCAAAGUCACUCAACUCGUAAUUCCGUUAACGAUCAUCAUUUGUGUUACGCUCCAUUUAGUCUAAGCUCACUUUUUAAUACUUUACUCAUUUCAUGACAUGUUCUGCUUCACCACCGCCAAGCUUCGCAAUCAUUAUAAUACCCAUCCACCUCAGGCUGUGGUCUUUUCGCUGUUGUUGAUGCUCGCCGUGUAGUAACCAUCUCCACUCUAGGAUAGCUUCCCCACGCACUCCUACUUCGGUCAUCCCCCCCAACUUGCCGUGCCCGGCCCGACGCAAUUCAUGUCGUCCCUGUGAUUGGUCUAUCUUCGGAUGCGCUGUAGGGACUUGAUCUUUCCACUUAUAUCAUUUCGUGGCACCAUCAGCACAGGCACCUCAACCCCAACCACUUUGAUUCCGCCUCAGGAUUAUCAUAGUUCUUGCCUAUGUCUAUAUCAAUGCAUGGAAAUAUUAAUGAUAUUCUAAUGUCGUCUUUUUCUUAUUGUAUCAUGUUCUCUAACAUCUGGGAAGUGCAGAUAUUUUUACGUGGUCAUAUUCAACUUAUGUCUUUUAUCGUCAUUUUUUUAGUUUAUAGUUCAAUGAUUCUUUUGAUGACAUUCGUUCCUGUUUUUCUAUCGCUCAAUUGUAUUAUGGCCAACUAUAUUUUUCCAUAGUUAAAUGUUCAUCUAUUCAAUUCUCAUUUAAGAGUUCUACUUCACUGAUUUGCUUAAAGUAACACUGUUCUUCGUUUAUGGCAUGGCGUUCAUAGCUGGAUUUAUAUUCUCUACCUUAUAUUAGUGAAAAUUGUUGUUCAUAAUAUACAAGGCAUGAUUUUAAGGUGCUCUAUAUAAGUUUAUAUAAAUCUAUUUGUACAUAGCAUGAAACUCUUAAAAUAUUUUUAACAAAAGUAGAUAAGAGCAAUAGGGGGCCAUUUCGCGUUAGCCUCGCCAUUUCUACAAGCCAAAUCCUCACCUUGAUGAACGAAAACUCCGCGUGCUGUUUCGGCUCACCAUGAGGCCGUGUCCCUCUAGCUCGCUAGUACCUCUAGAGGUAUAUUUGAAACAGUUCAUAACGAGCAAACCUAUCAAACACCUACUCAAUCAUUAGUCUAAAUAAGCAAGGUUGAGGAAAACUCAUUUCCCGCUAAGCUUGGCAAAAAUCCUCUAUAAGCUUCCAAAAGGCUUGAGCCCUCGCAAUCCAGACUAAAGUAGCUCAAUCACUCAUAGAGCUUCAAAAACCCUAGAUUCAAAAUCUGCCAAUUUAAAGCCUAAAACCUCAUUCUAUGUUUCUAUCACAAGAGCUCAAUAUAAAUUAAUUUAGAUGAAAGAUUGAGCUACUGAACCUUUAAGAUGCUUCAAACAAGCUCAAAAUGCUUAAGUUCCAAAGAGCUGAGCUCAAUCGGCGCUCAAAAACCAAGCCUAGCUAAACAAUGGUGAGAGAGCCAUAAAAGGAGAAAAGGAAAGAUAAUCCUCUCAAAAAUCCAUCUAAAUGGAGAUAAUAUCCAAGCUGGAGCAAGGGGCUCUCACUUCUCGCUCUCUUGGUUCAACACAAAAAAGCGCCUAAGGGGAGGUGGGUUGCUGUAAAACAGCCAAAUGCGAAAACCCCUGCAUAUUGCUUUGGCAACUGCCCCUGGUACCGGACACGUGCUCCUGACGGUAGAACCCACAAUAUGCAAACCCGAGCUCGGUUCGCGGGCUGCGGUUCUGUAACCGUCAGCCCUGGCAUGUAACCUGGUACAACUAUUCAACUUGACCGUACAAGGACAUUCUUGUGUCGGAUCAAUCUUGGCUGGCACGGCUACAGAGUGACCAAAAAUUCAUUUGGGAUUGCGUCGAAGUUCAAUCCAACAUCCUCGGAUCGUGCCAGGGUUGGAACAAUCAAUCAACUACCUCCAAAAAACAGUGGCAAAGGUCCAAACACAGAUAAACAUCUUGAAUCUGGGCAUUUGCAAGAUCCAUGCAUUACAUUCGCUCUAAUAAAGGAUUCGUCCGCUGGAACUCAAAGUGCGACUGUACCUCAGACGGGGCCCGUGGAAAAAAGAUGGAUAGCGCUCUUGCAGUCGAACUCUCUAUCCCACGGUUGCCUCGCGCGUCCGCGUGUUGCCGUUCCAAAGAAGCCUUCAGAUAGGAGAAUAGGUCGCGAUUCGCAGGCUUCUUUACUUUCGCGAGCGUAAUAAGUUUUCCAGGUUGCUCCUCGAGUCAAUGGCCGCGGACUCCACGUGGUAUAUUCACAAGACGUGAAGUGAUCAUGAUUACUUACCGAAGGCACCCGAUACUAUAAAAGACUGUGCAGGCCGGAUAGGUUUCAGUGGGUAAGCAAGUCGAUAUCCUACCGACUAACAGCCCAACGAUCUCAUACGGUCCCGAAUAAACGGGGGCUGUCACUUUCCCCGUCCCAAUUCUUUGAUCUCUAUCCGAGACUUCAAAAAUGUCAACUUGAACCAAGCUCGCCGUGUCGUCGGCUGUCUGCUCCUUCUGUGCCUACUCUGGUCUGUCAAAAUCGGUACCCGAGCGAUUUCGAACCUUGUCCUCCAGCUUCGCUGGAUCUACAUUAGGGCCAAGAAGCAAGUCUUCCUCGACUUCAUCCAAUAGAAGUGGCGAAUCAUACAUUUCGGUCGUAAAGGGCUUCGAAGGGCGCGCCAUUUGAUUUGCUUAUUAACUGUUGUUAUAUACAAACCGAUUAUUGUAGAUGCUAGCGAUACAUGCCCUGGAAGUCUAAUGACCAGCUCGGAGCAUAUCCUCUAAGGGAAUAGUGCCUCCGACUGUCCAUCACUCUGCGGUGAAUGCUGGUACGAUCCAAUUCGGGUGCCUAAGCGUCCUGUAGGCUCCUCCAAAGUGAAGCACGAAGCGCGUGUGUCGAUCAGAUACAAUCGAUGUAGGCAUCCAUGAAAUGCGGCAAUCUCAUAAGGUAACCUGUGCGAAGCUCUCUCGCGGUCCAAUACAGGUUAUGAAUAGGUAAUGAAAGUGCGCCGACUUCGUACAUAUCAAGAUCACCGCAAAUACAUCGAUGCCCGACUGGAGGAGAAAUCCUGUACGAUUCCAUGUGAUUUCUCCACUUCACACUGGAAUUGGCCAAAUCUCUAAGCAUCCACCGCGAACCGUGCUGCUGCUUACUUUGUUGGCAAGUUAGACAACGAGCCACAAACUCGCAAACGUCCUUUUUAUCCGGCCCAAUAAGCAACUUUAGAUCCUUGUAAUCUGGGUCCCGGAUGUAUAGCUAGGGCGGCCCACGUGCGCCUUGUUGAAGAUAUCUUUUUAAUUCCGAAUCCCCGACACAUAGUCGUCUGAAAGCGAUCACCCUCGUCGUCACCAGGAAUCACACGGAUGCCACAUAAAACUCAUUUUUCUCUACAUCUUUUGGCAAUUCCAAUCAGAAACAUGCUAUCCUUGAUUCGUCCAACAAGGUAGGUAUUGCACUAACUAAUGUCAAUCACGCUCAAAGGGUGUAACAGAGGUCACUAUCUUCUCCAACACCAACCGCUUCAUCUGCUAUCAACUGCGGUUGAGUCACAACAUGCAUUCGUAAUUUUCCAGUCGAUUUUUACUAGGCAUGAUCCGCCACCCGCUCACUUACCUUGCCCGGGUGUAAAGAAUAGUCAGAUCAUCAUCCUUGAGUAGCUCCAACCACUGCGCUGCCUCAAGUUCAACUGAUACGAAUAUGAGGGAGACGCAACUAUUCUGAGUAAUCAGUAGGUACUGUUUUAGCUCUUGUGAUCCGUGUAUAAUUCGCGUCGCUCAUAAAGGUAGUGGCGCCAGCUUCAAUGCGAAACUAGGCCGCGCAACUUCCAAUCAUGCGUCGGGUAGUUCUUCUCAUAUUCCUUAGUUGGGAAAACCAUCGCGAUCACACUGCCAUCCUGCACUCAAUACACAGCCAGUUCGUAAGUGAAGCAUCACUAUAAACCAACAUACCCUGCUCACAGCUAUGGUAGGCAAGAUCGUGGCCAUCUCAGUCUCUGCUCUCAACUCUUGGAAGCUUCAUCUCGCAAGGCAUCAAUUCAAAUGAAACUUGACCUUUGUGGCUUGAAGCCCGUGGGGGAAUUAGAAUAACCUUGCACAUCUUCAACGAAUCUCCGAGAUAACCGGCAAUCCAAGGAAAGGAUCCGUAUCUCCGUGAGUCGCGUCCGCAAUCCUUGAAUUUCUGUCAUAUUUUCUGGGAUCCACUGCAUAAUCCUGAUCCUGAAAUCAAGUGUCCAAGGAAGACUUACUCUCGAUAGCCAAAAAUUACACAUUUCUUCAACUUGUAUAAACUCCUUUUCUCGAAGUACUUGUAGCAGAGGGUACAGAUCUCAAAUGCUCCUCGUGAUUCACAUCACAUUCGUGAGUAACCAAAUGUCGCGAUGAACACCUACAGAACCUGUCUAAUUAAGCUUAAAACACGUCAUCAGAUCCAUAAAAGCUGCCGGGGCAUUAGUGAGCCGAACGCAUACGUGAACUCGUAAUGUCAUACCUGUGUUCUGAAAGCGUCUUUGAUACUCUCGGCUGAUUUCAAGCUGGUGGAUCCGACUGCAAGUCGAUCUUGGAAUACACACAUGAUCCCUGAAGCUGAUCAAACAAGUCGUCGAUCCUUGGCAACGGAUACUUGUUCUUGAUCGUGACUUUGUUAAGUUCACGAUAAUCCACACAAAGGCGAAGUGACCCGUCCUUCUUCUUGACGAACAAAACGGGUGCUCCCUAAGGUGAAACGCUCGGUCGAAUGAAUCCUUUGUCCAACAAAUCCUGCAGCUGUGCCCUCAGCUCCCUCAGCUCUGCCGGUGCCAUCCUAUAGGGUGCUUUUGAGAUUCGGGUAGUCCCAGGGACGAGAUCUAUCACAAACUCAAUCUCCUUAUCAGGAGGCAUACCUGGUAGCUCGGCUGGAAACACAUCCUGAAACUUGAAGGCAUGCACCAAUCUGAAAACUCCGAGCCGUAGACCUCGAACAAAACAAUCCGCCCGGUCCUGCUCUGUCGCCGCCACGUCCGGGACGCAGCUCAGGAGAUGGGUGAACUCCCGCUCGUACUCCCGAACCGUGCGGUUGCCUUGCUUAAGCUUGCGAAAAUCUUCUCGCAUCUUCCUCUUAUCACUGUCGGGGAAGUACUCGGCGAACAUCAGUUUGCGGAACUCCGCCCAAUCGAUCGGGGGAAGCUCCGGGGAUCGGUCCUGCUUGACCCUCCUCCACCAAGUCCUGGCCCGCUUCUCGAAGCAAUGCGCGGCCAAGUUCACCUUGUCCUUUUCCAAGGUGAAGAUGUCCUCAAAUAGAGUCUCCAUAGCCGUCAGCCAAGACUCCACCGCAGCUGGGUCCACCACCUCUCCGUCGAAAGUAGGCGGGCGAAACUUCGUGAACCUCGUGAGCGCCACGUAGCCGCGCUCACGCUCCGCCUCCUCAGCCACUACCGCGGGUGUAGGAGAACUCGAACUCGCCGGAGGAAUAUCCACCGGUGGGGGUUGCGCCACCACCGGAACCGAUACGCCACCCACACCCUCGGCCGCAUCAGGAGCGCGAACCGAAGGCGCAGGCGAACAGCGGCCUGGAUCCGCUGCCGCAGCCGCCGCCGCAGCUUGCUGCUCCAGCAGCUCCUGAAUCCUAUCGAACCGUCCAGUGAGCGCUGCAACUUGCGCUCGCAACUCCUGCACCUCAGUAGGCUCAGCUGACACUGGCGUCACUGGAGGCACGGCUGGCUCGGGCACCUCUCGAGGUGGUGCCGGAGCGGUCCUACGCACGUAGCGUCUCUUUGGUGCCAUAGCUCCUGAAACGCAAACAGAUGGUCAAUUACUUAACCCAACAUCGUCGUCGUAAUUGCGAAACAUAACGAUUAAACAACAUCAAUCAGGCGGUAGCUUGCAAGUGUCUUAAUUCUCGACUUUCGGCAUCGUGUUGUCGGCCGCCAACACAAUCACCUCAAGCCAAAAAUUAAUACCACUUGAAUCAUCUCUAGUCAUAACUAGAGUAACAACUCCAACGCCAAACCCAAUCAAUUAGCUUCCGCCGCGUCAUAGGUUCACGUCGCACUCACGCACCUAUAACCUUAGGGUUGCCAACCUAGAGUCUCCUAGGUCAUCCUAGACUCUCUCUUUUGCUUGCUCUUAACUCGCUCUGAUACCACCAACUGUCACGCCCCAGACCGCACCACCCGAAAACGGUACCAAUUUGGUCCGGUUCGAGGGCGGCGGCGCGACCGCCGAACGAACGGAGUUUCCCCCGUCCGCCCAAGGCUAAGCAACAGAUUGUGUACAACAAGUCCACAGAAAAAAUAACUUGCACUCAUACACAAUCCGCAACGAAACGAGAGCACAAACAGUGCUACAACCAACUAGAGCAAGCGAUACAAGUAAAACCAUACAAGUAUACAAAAGAGAGAAACUUAGCUAAUUGAGACUUAAUUGAAAUAUUAAACCUCUUUCGAUAUCCUUUAAACUUUAAGCAUUUAAUACAACUUGCAUUCUUUUUCCAGAUGAAUAUACAUCAUAAACUCUCCAAAACCUCACCCUAUACAACAUCUACUCUCAUAAUGUAACAAAAGUACAGGGUAGAGCUAAUGCAAGUAGGAAAGGUAAAGCUAUCAACCAAACAGCUAGGGCGCUAAGCCCUUGCCGCGAUCCAUCGAUGAAGGCCCGCUGUCCUGUGUACCUGUACCCCCAAUACCACACGGGGGUGAGAACUACGAAUAGUUCCCAGUGGGUUCGGCCGCCGACUCCGCCGAUCUACCCACUAUUGCACUCAGCAGGCAUAGGAGAUAUAUAUUAUGGCUAAUAUUAAAUAUAAACUGCAGCUAACGGAAAGCAGGUAUGUAAACACACUAUAGUCAACUAUCGCCAUUGGAAUCAUGAAUGCAUAUAUAAAUAAGCUGGUAAGUAGCAACUAUCAUAGUAGUUUAUCUUGACAACAUGCUACUAGUAAGCAAAUCAGCUGAUAUGAAAAAAGAUGCUACUAUGAACUCAAUCAUGGGGUAAGACUCAAUAGGUAACAAUCUCGCAAGGAAGCACAAGGUCCAAGCAAGAUCACUAUGCAAUCUCCGAGGGUACUAGCUGGUCAAUGCCCCGAUACGCUGCGAUAACAAGCGGCUAUCCGAGGCAGCAGCAGGCUGGCCUGCUAGUGCAAACUCCGGAGCCGACAACUUGAGGGGAGCGACCCCACCAAGCGCAGACAGCAAGUGAGCAAGAUCAUCUCACGAGCACAACAACAACCCUUUGAGGGUAAUAUUCAUCAUGGAAGACGGUAUAACUUGUACCAAUCUCAUUAGUGUCUCAACGACACUAAUGUUCUAAUAUCAAGAUCAUCAAAACAUAGUCCACCCGUCAUAGUUUUCUAGUAGAUGCAACUCGUCAUUUGACUCAUUUUUCAACACUAGUAACAACUAUCCUUUUGCAACAUAAGUCAUUUGUCAAUCUCAUAUAGGUUAAGAUUUUCAUCAAGCAAUCAUCAUGCAUACUAGAUCAUAAACCAACCAAGCAAGAUAUAUUUAUUGAACUACUAGCAUGCAAGUAUAAGCAACAAUAAUCAUUUUCCUAACCCUAUAUGUACUAUGCAUAAUGAAUCAAUUUAACUUAGACAUAGAAGGUGGCCCGAUGACUUCGGGAUGGCACUCCCCCACCUUAGGUGAUGCCAACAACACUCCGAGACGUGUUCUCGUGCUAGUCUUGUCGCCGCUUAAUUUUCGUUGGGUUAACUUCAACCCUUUAGCGCAUCAAAUGGCGAUAUCUUCGUGCCCACUCGUCGGAUCGACGAACCGUCUUCGCCUACGCGUUUAUAAGCAUAGAAAUUAGGUUUCUAACCCCUCAAAAGAGAUCAAACCCUAAUAUUUGCAAAAUCCCCAAAAUCAAGCACUAGGUUGAGCAACAAUAGAGAAUUCAUGGUUUCAAGCUCCAAAUUUGGGAUUGAACCUUCUCUUAAGCUUCAAUGGUUUCCCUUUGAACCAUUCUUAAGCAACAAAACCCUUUUUAAAACCUAGGUUUAGCAACAAUGAGAAAAACCAUAGGUGCUAGCCUCAAUGUGAGCUAGAUCCGUCAUCUCUAAGCUCAUUAGGUUCCAUUUGAACCAAUAAAAGCAACAAAACCACCCAAACCCUAGAAAUCCAAAACUAGGGUUAGAGCUUACCUCUAGGGUUUGUUCCAAAAUAAGCUUUAGCUUGAUGGAGAGGAGGGAGAAGAGCUUCUUGAUCUUCUCCUUGAUCUUCUCCUUCCUUUCUCUCCUUCUCUUCUUCUUCUUUCUUCCUCUUUUCUUCUUCUCCUUCCUUUCUCCUUCAACCGGUUAGAGAGAGAGAGGGAGCUAGAGAGAGGGAGGGGCUGUGAGAGAGAGAGAGGAGAUAGCUGAGAGUGAGAGGGUUAAGUCCUCUAUUGUAACAAUAUGCUAAAAAGCCCUCCAUUUAUCAAAUUUUGCAACUUAACCCGCUGCCUGCGCGCCCUUGUACCGGUACACGGUUUUUUUGUACCGGUACAAGCCCUGCGCGAUGGCCAAAACCGAGCGCAAACCGAGCCUCGGGUUUCUCUGUUUCGUAGAGCUUGUACCGGUACAAGCGAGCCUUGUACCGGUACAGCGCCUGAAGCCUUCGAACCCGAGAGCUGCGCAGCCCGGCUGCGAUGGUUGUACCGGCACAGCCAUCACCCUUGUACCGGUACAACAGCCCCUGAAUGCUGUUUUUCGAUCUGUUUCGAUUCCUUUUCGCGUCCAACAACGCUAAAACUAUUCCAACAUCUUUGGAACUUAUUUUUACUCUUCCAAAUUUGUUGGAACACCGAAUGGAACUUGUUCCAACCGUGCAAUCACCUACUUUGGUCCAUUUGGCCAAAGUUAGCCAAUAUCGUCGAAAUUCGAUAUCUUACACCUCAACCAAAGUAGGAAAAGCGGCUCCAACCGGAGGCCUCUGCACAGGUGGUGCCGCCAAAACCUCCUCCUGGGGUACGGCUGCAGGCGCCGCACGCGAAGAACUGAGCGCGGGGGACGGCGCUCUCGGUGCAACGUCCACAACUGGUGAUGGCGGUGUAGGGGCCUGAGUCUCCCUGGAGGCUGCCGCCUGCUGCAAUAGUAGAUCCUCCAGACGCUUCAUCCGCGUCUCCUGUCGGCGCGCCGCCUCAGUCUGCUGUCGGGCCGCCUCCGCCUGCUGAGUGACCAAAUCACUGAGGGCCGCAAGCUGGCCCCUCAACUCACGGACCUCGCUGGAUCCGGAGGUAGCGGAGGUCUCAACCUCCUCGAAGUUUGCCGCAUCGUCCGCCCCGGCAGAUUGGGAGCGAAUAAUCGGCAUCGUCACUACAACACCAUAAAAGCGCAAGUUAGUAAGAACCCACGCUAUCGCAUCCCCGCUCAAAUAAACAAUACCCAAAUCAUGUGAAAGUAAAGAAGUGUUCUUCACUACUAACUCCCGAUGUUACGUUGUCGGCCGCCAACGUAACCCUCCGCGAAGUUAGGAGCCAAACACUCCAAUCAACUCUAACUUUUUAGAGUUAUCAUAAUACCCAAUCAUGAUACUUUCGCUCACAAGUCGAAUAGACCUCGUCUCUCACGAGCCUAUUUCCUAUAGUCCAACCGGCCUAAGGUUUGCUAGGUCCCCUAAGACUCAACCCUAGGCUCUGAUACCAAAUUAAUCUGUCACGCCCCGGGACCCAGCGGAAGCCCGCCCGGCACGUGCCCAGACCCGCCAUACGUCUAAAACAUAUAAGGCGUCUAAAAACAACAAUAAUAAAAGCAAUAAUAAAAGACAUCUAGGAGUAUCAGAGCAUAAUAAAUGUCUAAAAGCUACAACAAAGGAUAAAGAUAAAACUGUAAAUCCACUAAAUAAAACAUAAAGUGAUACAAGGAAAUCCCAGAUACAAGUGCUAUAGGUAGAUACAUAGGUGGUCUCUAUACAUGGAUACAAAAACCUCUCACUCUCUCAACUACAAAAAGAAAGAGUAAACCACCUAGGCAAAGUACCGCUCCUCGCUAGCUAGCUAAGCGAUCCCCUUGCCGCGAUCCCGUGCCUCCGCCGGUGCCGAAGGCUCUGAAAAGUAAACCAGAAAACAGGGGCGUGAGAACUAUUAAAAAUAGUUCCCAGUGGGCAAUUACUGACUUCAGUGAACUGCGCCACAAGGCCCAAAAGCUACAAAAAGAUGUCAGUGACAAACAAUAAGGUAAAGCGAAAGGUAAGUAAAAUGUAACUUACUGUAACAUACAGUCUCUACUUAGCAUGAAUUGCAUAUGUAAUAGAGCAACAUUAUCAUGAAUGUACAUGGGUGUGUAUGACAUGCAUAAGCAUAGAAAUGCAACUAAUCCGAUGUCCUCAAUGCAGAAAUAGCAAAGGUGUCAUUGUUUACUAUUCUAGUCCAAGUCCACUUUAAUAGUUUUAAAGUUCACAUAGCACGUUCUGUCACUAAGUCCCAAUCAUAUAAGACCCACCCGAAGGCUGUCUGGCCUGCGCCGUGCCUAAUGGCCCCGUGGUAGUCAACAUCCCCACUCUAGGGAUGAGCCUCCCCCACGGCAAUCCACUUCGGCGCCCAAUCCCGCACGGGCGAGCAUAUGUCGCGAUGGCUAUCUCCGGAGUGCCGGCUUGUAGGGAGCGACCCUCACAAGCAUGUGCGAAUGAGCACAAUGGCAAGCAAGCAAUGAUCCGUCUCAAGAACCAAGUCCUCAUGUCUAACAACAUGGAAUAUAUCAAGUAUCUAAAUGGCCUAUCUCUAUGUCAUCAUGUCUCUAACAUGGAAUGUAGCAGAUAUGUAGUGGCCUAUCAACAUGUCUUUAUGUUGCAGUUUAAUAGUUUACUAGUUUCAAGUGCCCCUUGAUGACACUCUUGUUUUUCUAUGUCAAAGCAUGGCAACUAUAUUUCCAAGUACAUGUUCCAAGUCACGAUCCUCAUAAGAGGUGUACUUUUCACUUGCAAAAUGAACACCUUUCCCGUAUGCAUGCGUUCUACUCAUAUAGCUCUACUAUAUAGUGAAAUUUUUUUCAUAAUACACAAGGCAUGCAAUUUAAGUGCUCUAAAAUUUAUAUAAAUUCUAUUUAGCAUAGGCAUGAACUUAAAAAUAUUUUACAACAAGUAGAAAGAGCAUAGGGGCCAUUUCGCCCCCAUUUCCACGAAGCCAAACCCACCGAUGACAACGAAACUCCUCGUUCGCUCCCACGAGGGUGUCCUCUAGUCUCCUAGUACCCUAGAGGUAUAGAAACAUGUGUCAUACGAGCCAAACGAUCAAAACCUAGCUCAAUCAUUAAGCUAAUCAAGCAUAGGUGAGGAAAACUCACCGCUAGUGCAAAAAUCUCCUCUAAAGCUCCAAAAGAGAGCUUGAGCCCUUCCAAUCCCACCAAAUGGAAGCCUCUAAUCCACUCAAUCUAGCUUCAAAAACCCUAGAUUCAAAAUGCCCAAUUUAAGCCCUAAAACCUCAUUCUAUGGUUUCAUCACAAGGAAGCCAAUAAAAAUCUAAUUUAGAGGAAGAGGAUGAGCUACUAACCUUUAAGAAGCUUCAAACCAAGCUCAAAAUGCUCUAAGUCCAAAGAGCUCAGCUCAAUCAAGCCUCAAACCCAAGCUUCUAGCUCCAACAAUGGUGGAGAAGCAUAAAAGAGAAAAGGAAAAGGAUUAAUCCACCAAAAAUCCAUCUAAAAUGGAGAUCAAAUCCAAGUGGAGCAAGGUGGAGCUCCUCUCACCUUCUCCUCCUCUGGUUCCAGCACAAAAAAAGCCCUAAGGGGCGUGGGUGCUGUUAUAAAAAGCCCACAAUUGCGAAAAACCCCCUGCAGUUCCAUUCUGGGCAAACCUGCCCCCUUGUACCGGUACACGGGCUCCUGUACCGGUACAAAGCCCACGAAAAUGCAAACCCGAGGCUCGGGUCGCGGGGUCUGCGGCUCUGUACCGGUACAAGCCCGAUGGCUGUACCGGUACAACCAUCAACCUUGUACCGGUACAAGACCAUUCUUGUUCCGGUACAAGCUCUGCUGCAGGCUACCCGAGAGCUGACCAAAAAUUCCAGUUUCGGGAUUUUCGUGCCAAGUCUCAAUCCAACAUCCUCGGGAUGCGUGCCAGGGGUCGGAACACUAUCAACAACCCUCCAAAAACAGUGGAAAGGCUCCAAACACAGAUCAAACACUCGAAUCUUGCGAUUUGCAAGAUCCAGUGCAUUACAUUCACCCCUUCUAAAAAGGAGUUUCGUCCGCGAAACUCAAAAUGCGACGUACCUCAAGACUCCACCUGAAAAAGAUGGGGAUAGCGCUCCUGCAGCGCACUCUCUAGCUCCCACGUGGCCUCGCGCUCCGCGUGGUUGCCCCAAAGAACCUUCACAUACGGAAUAUCCCGAUUCCGCAGCUUCUUUACUUCGCGAGCUAAAAUCUUCACAGGUUGCUCCUCGAAGCUCAAAUCCUCGCGCAGCUCCACUGGUAUAGUCUCCAAGACGUGAGCUGGAUCAUGAAUGUACUUCCGAAGGACCGAUACAUAAAAGACGUCGUGCACGCCGGAUAGGUUCGGUGGUAGAGCAAGUCGAUACGCUACCGGACCUACACGCUCCAAGAUCUCAUACGGUCCAAUGAAACGGGGGCUCAACUUUCCCCGAAUCCCGAAUCUUUUGAUUCCUCUAGUCGGCGAGACCUUCAAGAAAACAUGGUCUCCAACUUGGAACUCCAAGUCUCGCCGUCGUCGGUCGGCGUCGCUCCUCUGUCUACUCUGCGCUGUCAAAAGUCGCUCCCGAGCGAUUCGAACCUUGUCCUCAGCUUCCUGGAUUACAUUAGGGCCCAAAGCAAGUCUCUCGCCGACUUCACUCCAAUGAAGUGGCGAUCUACACUUCCGUCCGUAAAGGGCUUCGAAGGGCGCCAUCUUGAUGCUUGCUUAAUAACUGUUGUUAUAAGCAAACUCCGCCAUAGGUAGAUGCUGCGACCAUCCUCCCUGGAAGUCUAUCACGCAUGCUCGGAGCAUAUCCUCUAAGGUCUGAAUAGUGCGCUCCGACUGUCCAUCACUCUGCGGGUGGAAUGCUGUACUGAAAUCCACAAUGCGGGUGCCUAAAGGCUGUCCCCUGUUAGGCCUCCUGUCCAAAAUUGAGACACGAAGCGCGUGUGCGCGUAUCAGAUACAAAUCGAUGUAGGCAACUUCCAUGGAAAAUCCGCAUAGAAAUUCUCAUCAACGGUUAAACAUCUUGAUGCGAGCUUCUCUCUCCCCCGUCCACAAGUCGUAUGAAUAGGUAGAAGUGCCGCCGACUNNNNNNNNNNNNNNNNNNNNNNNNNNNNNNNNNNNNNNNNNNNNNNNNNNNNNNNNNNNNNNNNNNNNNNNNNNNNNNNNNNNNNNNNNNNNNNNNNNNNNNNNNNNNNNNNNNNNNNNNNNNNNNNNNNNNNNNNNNNNNNNNNNNNNNNNNNNNNNNNNNNNNNNNNNNNNNNNNNNNNNNNNNNNNNNNNNNNNNNNNNNNNNNNNNNNNNNNNNNNNNNNNNNNNNNNNNNNNNNNNNNNNNNNNNNNNNNNNNNNNNNNNNNNNNNNNNNNNNNNNNNNNNNNNNNNNNNNNNNNNNNNNNNNNNNNNNNNNNNNNNNNNNNNNNNNNNNNNNNNNNNNNNNNNNNNNNNNNNNNNNNNNNNNNNNNNNNNNNNNNNNNNNNNNNNNNNNNNNNNNNNNNNNNNNNNNNNNNNNNNNNNNNNNNNNNNNNNNNNNNNNNNNNNNNNNNNNNNNNNNNNNNNNNNNNNNNNNNNNNNNNNNNNNNNNNNNNNNNNNNNNNNNNNNNNNNNNNNNNNNNNNNNNNNNNNNNNNNNNNNNNNNNNNNNNNNNNNNNNNNNNNNNNNNNNNNNNNNNNNNNNNNNNNNNNNNNNNNNNNNNNNNNNNNNNNNNNNNNNNNNNNNNNNNNNNNNNNNNNNNNNNNNNNNNNNNNNNNNNNNNNNNNNNNNNNNNNNNNNNNNNNNNNNNNNNNNNNNNNNNNNNNNNNNNNNNNNNNNNNNNNNNNNNNNNNNNNNNNNNNNNNNNNNNNNNNNNNNNNNNNNNNNNNNNNNNNNNNNNNNNNNNNNNNNNNNNNNNNNNNNNNNNNNNNNNNNNNNNNNNNNNNNNNNNNNNNNNNNNNNNNNNNNNNNNNNNNNNNNNNNNNNNNNNNNNNNNNNNNNNNNNNNNNNNNNNNNNNNNNNNNNNNNNNNNNNNNNNNNNNNNNNNNNNNNNNNNNNNNNNNNNNNNNNNNNNNNNNNNNNNNNNNNNNNNNNNNNNNNNNNNNNNNNNNNNNNNNNNNNNNNNNNNNNNNNNNNNNNNNNNNNNNNNNNNNNNNNNNNNNNNNNNNNNNNNNNNCUCCGAGUGCGUGUUUCCUCAGUUCAAGUAAACCUUACUACGCACGCUCUCUUCGAAGGUUCUCAACUUCGUCUCUGACUGCUGGCGGGGCUAGAACUGGGAUGGUCAUCGACCUCGUCCCAUACACCAAAUAUCACUACGAAGUGAAUUGCCUGACCCGGUGAGGGGAGUAGAUAACCUUGCAAAUCCCUCAACGAAUCUCCGGUAGUAACCGGCCAAUCCAAGGAAGCUCCGUAUCUCCGUGACGCUCGUCGGUCCCGGCCAAUCCUUGAUUGCUUCAAUUUUCUUGGGAUCCACUGCUAUACCUGAUCCUGAAAUCAAGUGUCCAAGGAAGACUACCUCUCGAAGCCAAAAUUCACAUUUCUUCAACUUGGUAUAAAGCUCCUUUUCCCGAAGUACUUGGAGUACAAUCCUCAAAUGCUCCUCGUGAUCCACAUCACUCCGUGAGUAGACCAAAAUGUCGUCGAUGAACACCACGACGAACCUGUCUAGAUAAGGCUUAAAAACACGGUUCAUCAGAUCCAUAAAAGCUGCCGGGGCAUUAGUGAGCCCGAACGGCAUAACUGUGAACUCGUAAUGUCCAUACCGUGUUCUGAAAGCCGUCUUUGAUACGUCCUCGGGCUUGAUCUUCAACUGGUGGUAUCCCGACUGCAAGUCGAUCUUGGAAUACACACAUGAUCCCUGAAGCUGAUCAAACAAGUCGUCGAUCCUUGGCAACGGAUACUUGUUCUUGAUCGUGACUUUAUUAAGUUCACGAUAAUCCACGCAAAGGCGAAGUGAUCCGUCUUUCUUCUUGACGAACAAAACUGGUGCUCCCCAAGGUGAAACGCUCGGUCGAAUGAAGCCUUUGUCUAACUGUAGCACACUGGAUCUUUGCAAAUUGCGAGGUUCGAGUGUUCGAUUGGUAUUCCGAACUUUUCCACACUUGGUGGAGGGCCGUUGAUGGUAUACCGGCCUAAAAGUUCGAUCUCGAGAGUUUUGGCAGAGUCCUGAGAGUUUUUACUCUCGGGGUCCGGUCCCUGAUAGGAGAGACCGGUCCCCCAGUGAACAGUACCGCGCAGCAGGCGAGGCAACCGGUCCUUGGCAGUUGAGACCGGUCCCCGAGCCCGUCUGCGCGGGGAGAGACCGGUCCCGCGCAGGGAGAGACCGGUUCCCGAACGCUGGUUUUUCGGGUUCGCAGCGAGAGACCGGUCCCUGCUGGGGAGAGACCGGUCCCUCUGGGCGAAAACUGCCCAGUCCGGGCUGAUGUAAAUUUGAGUUUUUGAGGGGCCUAUGUGGAUUUUGUUACUUUAGAGGCUAUAGGCAGCCUCUCCUCCCCUCUCACUCUCAUUUUCUCUCCCUCACACUCUUCCUACACUUCUAGAGAGAGAAAGGGAAGGAGAAGAAGGAGAAGAAGAGGAGAAGGAGCUUGCAUAGAGGCCUUGGGGCAUCAUCUUCUUCCUCAUUUUCCACCUUUGGAGGCUUGGAGCAUGCGGUUGGAGCCUUGUGGAGGAUCAAACUCCAACCCUACUUGGUUUUGAGCUUGGAUUGGGGCUUCUCUUGAGGUUGGUAGCUUAUAAUCCCCAUUUGAUACUUGUUUUCCUAGGUUUUUCUAGAUGAAACCCUAGAUUUUGGGAUUUAGGGUUUAUUUUGGGGGUUUUUGGAUUUGAGGGUUAUGAGACCUAAUUGAUGGGUUUGGAACCUUUAUAUAGGUUAGAUUGGAAGACCUCUACCUUCCAUUUGAGGAUUUAGAGAGGGUUUUCCACUUGAGGUGAGUUUCUCCCAACCCUAGCUUGAGUUGGGUAAUGUUUGAGCUAUUCGCUCUCCGUUUCGUUCGGGUGACCCUAUUUUUGAUGUUUCUAGGGUACUAGGGAGCUCGUGGAUAUCUUCGUUCGGCGAAACGAAGAAGUCGAUCUUUUUCGGUGGGUUUGACUUCAUGAAAAUGGGGCAAAAUGGCCCCUAUGCCUUCUAAACUUUUUGUAAAGUAUUUUCGAAUGCAAAUUCAUGCUAAACAUGAUUUAUAUGAAUUUUAGAACACCUAAUUUGCACGCUUCAUGUAUCGUAAAAAUUGUACUCCAUAUAGUAGAGCUAUAUGCGUAGAUUGCAUGCAUUGUGGAUAGUGCUUGGUUUUGCAAGUUGAGAACAUGACUCCAUGCUUGAAUUGAGUGAACUAUGCAUCAUGANUGGCCCCUAUGCCUUCUAACCCUUUUGUAAAGUAAUUGUGAAUGUAAAUUCAUGCUAAACAUGAUUUAUAUGAAUUUUAGAACACUUAACAUGCAUGCCUCAUGUAUCGUAAAAUUUGUACUCCAUAUAGUAGAGCUAUAUGUGUAGAUUGCAUGCAUUGUGGAUAGGGCUUGGUUUGCAAGUUGAGAACAUGUCUCCAUGCUAGAAUUGAGUGAACUAUGCAUCAUGAACAUAUUAAUACCAUGCCUUGGACUCGUUGAACAAAGUGUCAUAAAGAGGCACUUAGAAAUAGUAAACUAUGCAAAUGCAACUUAGAGACAUGAUGAUCGGCCAUUGUACAUCUGCUAUAUAUUUCAUGUUAUUAGACAUGAGGACUUGGUACUUGCGACAGAUCGUUUGACUACCUGCCAUUGUGCUCAUUCGCACAUGCUUGUGAGGGUCGCUCCCUACAAGCCGGCACUCCGGAGAUGGCCAUCGCGAUACAUAUUCGCCGUGCGGGAUUGGGCGCCGAAGUGGAUUGCCGUGGGCCAGGCUCAUUCCAAGGGUGGGGAUGAUGACUACCACGGGGCCAUUAGGCUCGGCACCGGCCAGACAGCCUACGGGUGGGUCUCAGGGCCUUAGACAGCCUUCGGGUGGGUCUCUUCAGAUUUGACUUCGAGUAUUCAUGACGACUUAGAGUAUUACUUGGACAUUGACUAGAAUAGUAAAUAUCGGCAUUGUACUAUUUCGCAUUGUGAACAUUAUGUUAGUUGGAGACUAUUACUUCAUGCAUAGUUGCUUUCGUACUCAUGCUAUUUAUGCUAAGUGGAGACUUUAUGCUAUAGUAAGUUAUAUUUUACUUACCGUCUAAUUAUUACAUUGUUAGACGCUGACCUCUUCUUGUAGCUUUUGGGCCUUGUGGCGCAGUUCACUGAAGUCAGUAAUUGCCCACUGGGAACUAUUUUUAAUAGUUCUCACGCCCCUGUUUCUAUGUUCCCUUUUCAGAGCCUUCGGCACCGGCGGAGGCACGGGGUCGCGGCAAGGGUGUCGCGUAGCUAGCCGGGAGAGUUUCUUUUGCGCUAGGUGGUCGCUUCUUCUCCAUUUUAUAUUUUGAGAGAGCGUGAGGCUUUUGGUUUCCAUGUAUAGAGAGACCACCUGUGUACCUACUUUUAGCACUUGUUAUGGGAUCCCUACGGUACUUACUUUAUGUUUUAUUUAGUGGAUUUACAGUUUUAACUUUAUCCCUUGUUGUAGCAAUUAGACAUUUACUAUGCUCUGAUACUCCUAGAUGUAUUGUAUUAUUGCUUUUAUUAUUGUUGCUUUUAGACGCCUUAUAUGUUGUAGACAUAUGGCGGGUCUGGGCACGCGCCGGGCGGGCUUCCGCUGGGUCCCGGGGCGUGACAGAUUAAUUUGGUAUCAGAUCCUAGGGUUGAGUCUUAGGGGACCUAGUAAACCUUAGGCCGGUUGAACUAUAGGAAAUAGGCUCGUGAGAGACGAGGUCUAUUCGACUUGUGAGCGAAAGUAUAAUGAUUGGGUAUUAUGAUAACUCUAAAAGGUUAGAGUUGAUUGGAGUGUUUGGCUUCUAACUUCGCGGAGGGUUACGUUGGCGGCCGACAACGUAACAUCGGGAGUUAGACGUGGAUAACACUUCCUUACUUUCGCAUGAUUUGGUUAUUGUCUUUUGAGUGGGGAUGCGAUAGCGUGAGUAUUUCUAACUUGCGCUUUUAUGUUUUGUAGUGACGAUGCCGAUUACUCGCUCCCAAUCUGCCGGGGCGGACAAUGCGGCAAACUUUGAGGAGGUCGAGACCUCCGCUACCUCCGGAUCCAGCGAGGUCCGUGAGUUGAGGGGCCAGCUUGCGGCCCUCACCGACUUGGUCACUCAGCAGGCAGAGGCGGCCCGACAGCAGACUGAGGCGGCGCGCCGACAGGAGGCGCGGAUGAAGCGUCUGGAGGACCUACUGUUGCAGCAGACGGCAGCUUCUAGGGAGACUCAGGGCCCUACGCCGCCGGCACCAGUUGUGCACGACCCCACGAGGACUUUCAGGUUGGUGGUCGCCAUCCGGAGCGGCAGGUUCACCACUCACCGCUCGGUUUGAGACAGGGAGAGGAGGUGCUUUCACAGCGCUUUCUCGAAGAGGUAUACGUAGUUGGUGAAGAGGUGCUAGGUCACCAGCUGGAAGAGCGGUAGCUUCUGAGCCCCUGACGUGGAGGACUUGAGUAACUCCGCGAGGUANUCAGAUAGAGCGAGGCGGGGGAGUUGGUUUCAUCCCUUUCGACGAGGUUGGCCCCCGGAGACGUGUCCACCGCGGCGGUUUUGGAGGAGGACCCCAUGCCGGCGUCCGCGGCGUACGCUUCUUGACCCGCGCCCCCUGCCGCGAGAGCCACGUUGCAGNCUCUAACUCGGAGUUCAUGUCUCAAUUCAUACAUCUAUAGGGUUCACAAGCAUAAUAUACAUGUCUCAUAACCAACUCAUAUGCAUCUUUAUACUCAAAAGCAUGCAAGAUAUAUCACCAGAUUGCCAUUUAGCCAUUUAAACCCUACAAUGCAUGAAUCAUACACUUACACAUACAUGCUCAAUAGGUGACUUUAGACAUAAAGAGAAAAACAACUGUUUUGAUUAGCACCACCCACCUCGUAGGGUCGUUAAGAUGCUAAAAUCCGAGUCCCACAAUUUAUGGGCGCCAAUCGCCCUCGACCCUCGGCAAACGAAGCCGAAAUAGGGUAUUUCCUUACUUUCUCGGCGUAGACCUAUCGAAAUCUUGAUCCGAGUCUCUCAACGCAUCAGCUUUAUCGUCAAUUAAGGCUACAAGAGAUCAAACCCUAGUUAGAUCUCAUAUUUAGCAAUACCCCAUUUUAACCCUAGGGUUUCCAAUAAUCCACAUAUACUCACUAAAACAUGGUGAUUCAUGAAUAAAAUCCACCCUAACCACUUCUAGAUACCAUAGCUAGAAGAGAUAAACCAAAACCCUAGCUUAACCAUGAGAACUCACCUUGAGCUCAAGCUUUUCUCCUCACACCUCUCGCACAAAAGCCAACCUCACCCUCCAACAAGCCUUCUUCCCCACCAAGCCCCCUCUUAGAGCAACCCUAGUGAGAGAAGGGGGGAGAGAGAAGUGAGAGAAGCACUAGAGAGGGAAAGAGAGAACUUUUCUCUUUAGUUCACUAGUAAGGGAAAUGAAGAGAAGGGUAUAGAACCUUCAAAUAACUUCUCCCCAGCAACAAUUGCAACUAGGCCCCUCACCAAAAUGUUGUACUAAGCAAACCCACGCAUUUGUGUGUACGGGGUCCGGACCUUGCACUUAGGGUCCGGACCCCGAGAGCAUUUUCAGCACAACUCGAGCUGAAAUUCUCCCAGCUUGCUUUCCAAGGUUUCAACACCCAUCUCAUGCACUCCAAAACACUCGGAGUGAUGAACGGACCUCUCUAACAAGCCAGUGACAUGCCUAGUAAGCCGUCGAACCGCGAACAAACUCACACAGGUGCCCAACUCACACAAACUCACCGAAUUACCCAACCAUUACCUCUAUUUCUACAAAACUUGUGCCGAGGCUCUAAAAUUGAUCUCCCAGUGACCCUUAACGGUUUGCUCAAGCACGAAUUCCAACUUCAGAAGGUCCGAGAACAAAAUAGAGGCUAGGAUUUAAUAGCAAUUAAAAAGAGAGAGAAUAAGAGAGAUGGAGAGAAGAUGGAAAAAGAGAUAUAGAGCUUAAAGUUCUCAAGGUAAAAGAGAUUGGAGAAACUUGCUAGGGUCGAGGGAGUAUUGACAGAGUGGUAACAAUUCUAUUAAAUCCCUCAAAUCAAAGAAAUUGCAAUUUAUCUCAUUCUCAUCCCACGAUAGGUUUCGAGCACCCAGAACAUUUUUUAGGUGCCCAAAACAUUUUUCAAUGCCCGAAAGUCCAAAAUUUGAAUUCUAAGGCCAAAACUUUCAGAGGCAACCAUCAUCGUUCGCUCAACUUCGGGUGCUCAAAAGAGGUUCUAGGUACCCGAAUAAUUAAUUUGAAUUAGUAACGCGAGCUCUCAAGUUGAGCAUUCGAAAGUUGGUUUUAGGCGUUCGGUCCAUAGUUUGGAAGGUCUGAGUUGUCACGCCCCGAGACUGCAAAUUUGAUUCGCUUGGACACAUGCAAUAGAACCGCGGAGCAGGUAAGGCUUUUCCUAACGGCAUGAAGCAGAAUCACAUACCAAACUGUACAAUCAUAUACGAUAUGAAUACAUGCAAUAUCAUAGUACACUGCUACUUUAACCAUUCAACUAUAAACAAUUUUGAAGUCUACAACUAUUGAAACUAUUUCACAAAAAUUUAACUACAUUAGACUUUACAUGUUGAGUUUGCGUGUUUUGAUCCUAAAAUGUUACAAUGUUUGAUUGUCCAAAGUAAAGGGUACAUCUAGACCUCACUCUAGGUCCACUACUCCGCGACACUCUUGCCACAGUCACGCGCCUCACCGGUGAUUAUAGGCUCUGAAAACAACAAAGGGGUGAGAACUACAAUUAGUUCCCAGUGGGUGCAACUAACGAAAGUGGCACUCUACACUCACUUGAUCCAAAAGAGGCAUCAGUAAAUAGAUAAUGAUAACAACAAAUAUUUUUAUACUAGAAAUGCGAUAAUUAAAUAUACAACUAUGAUGCCUCAAGUAUAUAAGAUGUCACUGUGUUACCGAUUACAUGUUCACCCAACUAUCUUAUAUCUCUAACCAUCUAGUUGAUUAGUUCUAUUACACAUACACACUUCAUGGAGAGCCGAGGGAGACCGUACUACUCUCUAAUUGAUAGACAUACACCUUAUAGAGAGCCGAGGGAGAUCGUACUACGUUGCUCGACCAACCAAACUCCCUUAAUCUCCAAAGCAAGCCUAAACAAGAAGUGUCUAUACAUCAAAUCUCAGCCAACAACGGACUCUUAACAAAACCACCUCCAAAAUUCUCCCAAUACCAUUAAUUCUAAAGAAAUCUUCCAAAAAUCCUUAGCAUAUGUAUCCAAAAUAGUAAACCUUACCUAUACAAUGUUCUAACUAGUUGGAACUGAAAGAGUUAUUCCUCCAAGAGCUCUCCACAAAAUUCCUGCUCAAAUUUCAACUUUGGAUGGAUUAAAAGCUAUUAGGAGGAAGAAGAAACCAAAAUAGAGCAAAAGUAGCUGAGAGAAAGAAAGUGAGAGAGAUGAAGGAGAUAGAGAUAAAGAGAGGAAAGUCUAGGGUUCACAAGUGAAAGGAAAUGGGAGAGGCAACUGGGGUUGAGGGUAGCAUUAUAGAGUCACAUAAGCCCUUCAAACCCAAGAAAUUACCAUAAAUCACCCUUUUAGCUCACAUUAAGUUUCGAGUGUCCAAAAUAUUUUUGGGUGUCUGAAAGUUUAUAACUUAUGUAGCUGUUGACGGGUUUCGGAUGCUCCUAGAGCCAUUCACAUCAUCCUGAGUGCCCGCAGGGGAUUCUGGGCUCCAUGUAUCAUAGGUUGGCUCUAGCUGGUCGACCUAUCUAUCACAACCUCACACCAUAUCUGUGCCUCACACCCGAGGUACCUAUGGAAAAUGGGAGGUGAGAAACAUGCACGCAUAUCUUCCAGUAGGUAUUGCAAACCACCAAAGGCAACCCAUAUGUCACGCCCCGGGACCCAGCGGAAGCCCGCCCGGCGCGUGUCCAGACCCGCCAUAUGUCUGAAACAUAUAAGGCGUCUAAAACAAAACGAUAAAUAAAGCAAAUAAAGGAGAUCUAGAGAUAUCAGAGCACUAUACAACAUCUAGUAUCUAAAGCAGUGUGAAGAGUAGAGAGCUAAAAUCACUAAAUAAACCAUAAAGUAAAUACAAUAGGAAUCCCAAAUACUAAAGCUAAACAAGUACAUAGGUAGUCUCUCUAUACAAGGUACUCAAAAUCUCUCUCUCACUCUCUAAUACAAUAAAAGAAAGAGUAAACCACCUAAGAUCAAUAGUAGCUCCUUUCUAUCUAGCUAGGCGACACCAUUGCCGUGAUCCCAUGCCUCCGCCGGUGCCGAAGGCUCUGAAAAGGAAACAUAAAACAGAGGGCAUGAGAACUAUUAAAUAAUAGUUCCCAGUGGGCAAUUACUGACUUCAGUGAAAGCACCACUAGGCCCAAAAGAGCUAAACAGGUAAGUAAUAAUAAAAGCAAUAGAAUCGAUAUGUAAGUAAACAUGUAAACUUACUACAACAUGAUAUCUCUACUUAGCAUGAAUUUGCAUAAGUAAAUAAAGGCUAUUCUAACAUGAAUGUACAAAAGUGUCACUAGCAUGAUGUCCACAAGCUAAAUAGUAAAAUAUCUUGUUUACUAUUCUAGUCAAUGUCCAGCCGGUAUGCUAGGUCAUCAAUGAUCAGAUCCUGUAGGACCUACCCGUGGGUAGUCCGGCUUGCGCCAUGCCUAAUGGCCCCGUGGUAGUCAACAUCCCCACUCUAAGAAUGAACAUCCACCACGGCAUCCCAUUUCGGCGCCCAAUCCCGCACGAGCGAGCAUAUGUCGCGAUGGCUAUCUCCGGAGUGCCGGCUUGUAGGGAGCGACCCUCACAAACAUGUGCGAAUGAGCACAAUGGCAAGCAAGCGAAAGAUCUGUCUCAAGUACCAAGUCCUCAUGUCUAAAAAUAUGGAAUAUACAUCGAAUGUCUCAAAGGCCUAUCUCUAUGUCAUCAUGUCUCUAACAUGGAAUAUAGCAGAUGUUCAAUGGCCUAUCACUAUGUCUCUAUGUUGCAGUUUUAUAGUUUACUAUGUCAAGUGCCUCUCUAUGGUAUUUUGUCAACUAAGUCCAAACAUGAGUUGAUUAUUUACAAAUGCAUAAUUUGAGCAAUUUCUAACAUAAAGGACAUGUUUCCAAGUCGCUAACACGAACACUCCUCAUAUACAUGCAAAAUGCUCCGAAUGCCCCACUAUAUAGAGUAAAAUUUUUAUGAUACAUAAGGCAUGCAUUUUAAGUGUUCUAAAAUUCACAUAAAUCUCAUUUAACAUGAAUAUGCAAUCAAAUUGACGUUACGACAAGUAUAGAAUACUUAGAGGCCAUUUCACCCCGAUUUCAUGAAGUCAAACCCACCGAAGUUACCGAAACCCUUCGUAAGCUCCGACGGUGUCCACUAGUCUCCUAGCACCCUAAAGAUGUAGGAACAAGAGUCAAACAAACCUUACGAUCAACCCUAAGCUCAAUCAAUAAGCAACAUAGGCUAAGGUGGAGAAAAACUCACCUAGGUGAAGAAAUCCUCUCUCAAACUCUAAAUGGGAGUUAGAGUUCUUCAAAUCCAACCUAAAUGAAGGUCCUAAACUCAUCAAUUAGGUUUCAAAGCCCUCAAAUCAAAAAUCCCCAAAAAUAAACCCUAAAUCCCAAAAUCUAGGAUUUCAUCUAGUAAAAUCUAGAAAAACUUGUAUUAAAUGGGAAAUAUAAGCUACCAACCUCAAGAGAAGCUCCAAUCUAAGCUCUAAACCAAGUAGGGUUGGAGUUUGAUCCUCCACAAGGCUCCAACCGUAAGUUCCAAGCCACCAAAGGUGAGAAAUGAGGGGAAGAAGAUGAUGUUCCAAGGCCUCCAAGCAAGCUCCUCUCCUUCUCCUUCUUCUUCCUCUUCUUCUCCUUCUCUUUCUCUCUCUAAAGUGAGUGUGAAGGGGAGAAAUGAGAGUGAGAGGAAGAAGAGAAAGCCUCUAAAAGCCUUCUAAUGUAACAAAAUCCAGAUAAGUCCCUCAACAAUCCAAACAGCACACAGCCCGGGUCUAGGCAGUUUUCGCCCAGAGGGACCGGUCUCUCGGUUCGUCCUGCAAAACCAACGUUCGGGAACCGGUCUCUCACUGCCAGGGACCGGUUGCCUCAAGUCUGCCGCAACACUGUUGAGGGGACCGGUCUCUCCCACCAGGGACCGGUCCCCGAGAGUGAAAACUCUCAGGACUAAGCCAAAAUUUCAAAAAUCGAACUUUUAGGUCGGAAUACCAUCUAUGACCUUCCACCAAGUGUGGAAAGGUUUGGAGUCCACAUCAAACACUCCAACCUUGCAAUUUGCACAGGUCCAAUGUGUUACAUUCACCCCUCCUAAAAGGAGUUUCGUCUGCGAAACUCAAAAGCAAACACAUACCUCAAAGCUCCAUCUGGAAAAGAUGGGGAUAACGCUCCCGCAGCGCGCUCUCUAGCUCCCACGUGGCCUCCCGCUCCCCGUGGUUGCUCCAAAGAACCUUUACAUACGGAAUGUCCCGAUUCCGUAGUUUCUUCACCUCGCGAGCCAAGAUCUUCACUGGUUGCUCCUUGAAGCUCAAGUCGUCCCGCAACUCCACAGGUGUAGCAUCCAACAGAUGAGUCGGGUCAAAGACAUACUUCCGAAGGACUGAUACAUGAAAAGCGUUGUGUACACCCGAUAGGUUCGGUGGUAGAGCAAGUCGAUAUGCUACUGGACCUACACGCUCCAAAACCUCAUACAGUCUAAUAAAACGGGGGCUCAACUUACCCCGAAUUCCGAAUCUCCUGAUCCCUCUAGUCGGCGAGACCUUCAAGAAAACAUGGUCUCUAACUUGGAAUUUCAAGUCUUGCCGCCGUCGAUCGGCGUAGCUCCUCUGUCUACUCUGUGCCGUCAAAAGUCGCUCCCGAGUAAUUCGAACCUUGUCUUCAGCUUCCUGGAGCACAUCAGGGCCUAAUGCCAAUCUCUCACCGACUUCACUCCAAUGAAGCGGCGAUUUACACUUCCGUCCAUAAAGAGCUUCAAACGGCGCCAUCUUGAUGCUUGCUUGAUAACUGUUGUUAUAAGCAAACUCUGCCAUCGGUAGAUGCUGCGACCAUCCUCCCUGGAAGUCUAUCACACAUGCCCGGAGCAUAUCCUCUAAAGUCUGAAUGGUGCGCUCCGACUGCCCAUCACUCUGAGGGUGGAAAGCAGUGCUAAAGUCCAAACGAGUGCCCAGGGUGUCCUGUAGGCUCCUCUAAAAGUAAGACACAAAUCGAGUGUCUCGAUCCGAUACAAUCGAUGUAGGCACUCCAUGAAGUCGCACAAUCUCAUCAAGAUAGACUUGUGCUAGUUUCUCUCCGGUCCAAGCAGUAUGGAUAGGUACGAAGCGCGCCGACUUCUUCAACCUAUCCACGAUCACCCAUAUAACAUCAUGCCUGGCCUGAGAGCGAGGCAAUCCUGUCACGAAAUCCAUGGUGAUCUUCUCCCACUUCCACACGGGAAUAGGCAAACUUUGAAGCUUUCCCGCGGGUAAUCGGUGCUCAGCUUUCACUUGUUGGCAAGUUAGACAUCGAGCUACAAACUCACCAACGUCCUUUUUCAUCUCGGGCCACCAAUAGAGCAACUUUAAAUACUUAUACAUCUUGGUGCCACCCGGAUGUAUAGCAUACGGUGCCCGGUGUGCUUCUUGAAGAAUAUCCUCUUUAAUUCCCGAAUCCGCCGGCACACAAAUCCGUCCAUGGAAAUGCAUCAAUCCUUGGUCAUCCACAAGGAAAUCGCCGGUGCAACCAUUGACCAUUUUAUCUCAAACUUCUUGCAAUUCCAAAUCGGAAACUUGCUUUUCUUUAAUUCUAUCCAAAAGUGUAGGUUGCACCACGAAGGUCAUCAAUCUCAAAGGCGUAUCUGGAAUCACCACUUCUAACUCCAACCGCUUCAUCUGCUCAAUCAACUGCGGUUGAGUAACUGCAUCGCUAAGUUUUCCGUUGAUUUCCUACUUAGCGCAUCCGCCACCAUGUUAGCCUUAUCUGGGUGGUAUAGGAUCGUCAAAUCAUAAUCCUUGAGCAGCUCCAGCGAUCUGCGCUGUCUCAAGUUCAACUCCUUCUGAGUGAACAAGUACUUCAAGCUCUUGUGAUGUAGGAAACCCUUCGUAAGCUUCGACGAAGGUGUCCACUAGUCUCCUAGCACCCUAAAGAUGUAGGAACAAGAGUCAAACAAACCUUAUGAUCAACCCUAAGCUCAAUCAAUAAGCAACAUAGGCUAAGGUGGAGAAAAACUCACCUAGGUGAAGAAAUACUCUCUCAAGCUCCAAAUGGGAGUUAGAGUUCUUCAAAUCCAACCUAAAUGAAGGUCUUAAACCCAUCAAUUAGGUUUCAAAGUCAUCAAAUUAAAAAUCUCCAAAAAUAAACCCUAAAUCCCAAAAUCUAGGGUUUCAUCUAGUAAAAUCUAGAAAAACUUGUAUUAAAUGGAAAAUAUAAGCUACCAACCUCAAGAGAAGCUCCAAUCCAAGCUCUAAACCAAGUAGGGUUGGAGUUUGAUCCUUCACAAGGCUCCAACCGCAAGUUCCAAGCCACCAAAGUUGAGAAAUGAGGGAAAGAAGAUGAUGUUUCAAGGCCUCCAAGCAAGCUCCUCUCCUUCUUCUUCUUCCUUUUCCUCUCCUUCUCUUUCUCUCUCUAAAGUGAGUGUGAAGGGGAGAAAUGAGAGUAAGAGGAAGAAGAGAAAGGCUCUAAAAGCCUUCUAAUGUAACAAAAUCUAGAUAAGCCCCUCAACAAUCCAAACAGCACACAGCCCGGGUCUGGGCAGUUUUCGCCCAGAGGGACCGGUCUCUCCCUGCCAGAGACCGGUCUCUUGAUUCGUCCCGCAAAACCAACGUUCGGGAACCAGUCUCUCACUGCCAGGGACCGGUUGCCUCAAGUCUGCCGCAACACUGUUCUGAGGGGACCGGUCUCUCCCACCAGGGACCGGUCUCCGAGAGUGAAAACUCUCAGGACUAAGCCAAAAUUUCAUAAAUCGAACAUUUAGGUCGGAAUACCAUCUACGAUCUUCCACCAAGUGUGGAAAAGUUCGGAGUCCACAUCAAACACUCCAACCUUGCAAUUUGCACAGGUCCAGUGUGUUACAUUCACCCCUCCUAAAAGGAGUUUCGUCCGCGAAACUCAAAAGCAAACACAUACCUCAAAGCUCCAUCUGGAAAAGAUGAGGAUAACGCUCCCGCAGCGCGCUCUCUAGCUCCCACGUGGCCUCCCGCUCCCCGUGGUUGCUCCAAAGAACCUUUACAUACGGAAUGUCCCGAUUCCGUAGUUUAUUCACCUCGCGAGCCAAGAUCUUCACUGGUUGCUCCUCGAAGCUCAAGUCGUCCCGCAACUCCACAGGUGUAACAUCCAACACAUGAGUUGGGUCGAAGACAAUUUUCCGAAUGACUGAUGCAUGAAAAACGUUGUGUACGCCCGAUAGGUUCGGUGGUAGAGCAAGUCGAUACGCUACCGGACCUACACGCUCCAAAACCUUAUACAGUCCAAUGAAACGGGGGCUCAACUUACCCUGAAUUUCGAAUCUCUUGAUCCCUCUAGUCGGCGAGACCUUCAAGAAAACAUGGUCUCCAACUUAGAAUUCUAAGUCUCGCCGCCAUCGAUCGGCGUAGCUCCUCUGUCUACUCUGUGCAGUCAAAAGUCGCUCCUAGCCUAGAGUGCGUUUGGCUCGUACCCUCAGCAGCAGGCCUCUUGGCCUUACCCUUGUCCAAAGCCUCUCGCCACUGCUUGUCGUCUGCCGCGCCGCUCUCCACGAUAAGCGCGCGAUCCACCACCUCCCGGUAGGUUUGGAGGUUAGAGGAUUGCACAAACCGGAAAUCAACGGUCGCAACCCUCGCUCGAAGAUGCGGGUCUUGUCCUCAUCAUCAUGCACGACGAAAGGCACGCAGUGUAGAAGCCGAGAAAACUCCCGCUCGUACUCGGCUACUGUCCUGUUUCCCUGGCGCAAGUUGCGCAAGUCCUGCUCCAUCUUCCUUUUGACGCUGGUCGGAAAGUAGUGCGCCAACAGAAGCUCCUUGAACUUCUUCCACGAGAUAGUCGCCAAAUCAGUGCUGGGGUUGUCCUGGAGAUCCAACCACCAGCGGUAGGCUUCGCCGUCCAAAUGGUGUGUGGCCAGCCAAACUCGAUCUCUCUCCUCCACGAAGGUGUCGCGGAAGAGCUUCUCCAUAUGCAUCAACCACUUCUCCACGAUCCAGUGGUCGACCUUCUCGCCGUCGAAGAUCCGGGGACUGCACCUCCUGAACUCAUUGAAGCGCUUCAUCAAUCGGUCCCGCUCCGCUCUCUCGACCAAUACGGGGAAAACAGCUCCAAUCGAUGGAGCCUGAGCAGGUGGUGCCGCAAUAGCCUCCUCCUGAGGCGCGGCCGCGGGCGCUGCUCGCGAAGAACUGGGCGCGGGGGACGACGCUCUCGGCGCGACGUCCACAACUAGUGCUGGCGGUGUAGGGGCCUGGGUCUCCUGGAAGCUGCCGCCUGCUGCAGAAGAAGGUCCUCUAGGCGCUUCAUCCGCGCCUCCUGCCAACGCGCCGCCUCAGUCUGCUGUCGGGCCGCCUCCACCUGCUGAGUCACUAGGUCGGUGAGGGCCACAAGCUGGUUCUUCAACUCCUGGACCUCGCCAGAUCCGGAGGUAGCGGAGGUCUCGACCUCCUCAAGAUGUGCCGCAUUAUCCGCUCCGAUAGAUUAGGAGCGAGUGAUCGACAUCGCACUACAACAUCAUGAAAGCGUAGGUUAGUAACCCAUGCUAUCGUAUCCCCGCUCGAGCAGAUAAUACCCCAAAUCAUGAGAAAGUAAUGAAGUGUGCUCACUACUAACUCCAGAUGUUACGUUGUCGGCCGCCAACGUAACCCUCCGCGAAGUUAGGAGCUAUACACUUCAAUUUAACUCCACUUUCUAGAGUUAUCAAGAUACCCAAUCAAAAUACUUUCGCUUACAAGUCAAAUAGAUCUCGUCUCUAACGAGCCUAUUUCCUAUAGUCCAACCGGCCUAAGGUUUGCUAGGUCCACUAAGACUCAACCCUAGGCUCUGAUACCAAACUAAUCUGUCACGCCCCGGGACCUAGCGGAAGCCCGCGCGGCGCGUGUCCAGACCCACCAUAUGUCUAAAACAUAUAAGGUGUCUAAAACAAAACGAUAAAUAAAGCAAAUAAAGGAGAUCUAGAGAUAUCAGAACACUAUACAACAUCUAGUAUCUAAAGCAGUGUGAAGAGUAGAGAGCUAAAAUCACUAAAUAAACCAUAAAGUAAAUACAAUAGGAAUCCCAAAUACUAAAGCUAAACAAGUACAUAGGUAGUCUCUCUAUACAAGGUACUCAAAAUCACUCUCUCACUCUCUAAUACAAUAAAAGAAAGAGUAAACCAUCUCAGCUUAAUAGUAGCUCCUUUCUAUCUAGCUAGGCGACACCCUUGCCGUGAUCCCGUGCCUCCGCCGGUGCCGAAGGCUCUGAAAAGGAAACAUAAAAUAGAGGGCGUGAGAACUAUUAAAUUAUAGUUCCCAGUGGGCAAUUACUGACUUCAGUGAAAGCACCACUAGGCCCAAAAGAGCUAAACAAGUAAGUAACAGUAAAAGCAAUAGAAUCGAUGUGUAAGUAAACAUGUAAACUCACUACAACAUGAUAUCUCUACUUAGCAUGAAUUUGCAUAAGUAAAUAAAGGCUAUUCUAACAUGAAUGUACAAAAGUGUCACUAGCAUGAUGUCCACAAGCUAAAUAGUAAAAAUGUCUUGUUUACUAUUCUAGUCAAUGUCCAGCCGGUAUGCUAGGUCAUCAAUGAUCCAAUCCUGUAGGACCUACACGUGGGUAGUCCGGCCUACGCCGUGCCUAAUUGCCCCGUGGUAGUCAACAUCCCCACUCUAGGAAUAAGCAUCCCCUACGGCAUCUCAUUUCGGCGGCCAAUCCCGCACAAGCGAGCAUAUGUCGCGAUGGCUAUCUCUGGAGUGACGGCUUGUAGGGAGCGACCCUCACAAGCAUGUGCGAAUGAGCACAAUGGCAAGCAAGCGAAAGAUCUGUCUCAAGUACCAAGUCCUCAUGUCUAAAAAUAUGGAAUAUACGUCGAAUGUCUCAAAGACCUAUCUCUAUGUCAUCAUGUCUCUAACAUGGUAUAUAGCAGAUGUUCAAUGGCCUAUUACUAUGUCUUUAUAUUGCAGUUUUAUAGUUUACUAUGUCAAGUGCCUCUCUAUGGCAUUUUGUCAACUAAGUCCAAACAUGAGUUGAUUGUUUACAAAUGCAUAAUUUGAGCAAUUUCUAACAUAAAGGACAUGUUUCCAAGUCGCUAACACGAACACUCCUCAUAUACAUGCAAAAUGCUCCGAAUGCCCUACUAUAUAGAGUGAAAUUUUCAUGAUAUAUAAGGCAUGCAUUUUAAGUGUUCUAAAAUUCACAAAAAUCUCAUUUAACAUGAAUAUGCAAUCAAAUUGACGUUACGACAAGUAUAGAAUACUUAGGAGCCAUUUCGCCCCGAUUUCAUGAAGUCAAACCCACCGAAGUUACCGAAACCCUUCGUAAGCUCCGACGAAGGUGUCCACUAGUCUCCUACCACCCUAAAGAUGCAGGAACAAGAGUCAAAUAAACCUUACGAUCAACCCUAAGCUCAAUCAAUAAGCAACAUAGGCUAAGGUGAAGAAAAACUCACCUAGGUGAAGAAAUCCUCUCUCAAGCUCCAAAUAGGAGUUAGAGUUCUUCAAAUCCAACCUAAAUGAAGGUCCUAAACCCAUCAAUUAGGUUUCAAAGCCCUCAAAUCAAAAAUCCCCAAAAAUAAAUCCUAAAUCCGAAAAUCUAGGGUUUCAUCUAGUAAAAUCUAGAAAAACUUGUAUUAAAUGGGAAAUACAAGCUACCAACCUCAAGAGAAGCUCCAAUCCAAGCUCUAAACCAAGUAGGGUUGGAGUUUGAUCCUCCACAAGGCUCCAACCGCAAGUUCCAAGCCACCAAAGGUGAGAAAUGAGGGGAAGAAGAUGAUGUUCCAAGGCCUCCAAGCAAGCUCCUUUUCUUCUCCUUCUUCUUCCUCUUCUUCUCCUUCUCUUUCUCUCUCUAAAGUGAGUGUGAAGGGGAGAAAUGAGAGUGAGAGAAAGAAGAGAAAGGCUCUAAAAGCCUUCUAAUGUAACAAAAUUCAGAUAAGCCCCUCAAUAAUCCAAAUAGCACACAGUCCGGGUCUGGGCAGUUUUCGCCCAGAGGGACCGGUCUCUCCCUGCCAGGGACCGGUCUCUCGGUUCGUCCCGCAAAACCAACGUUCGGGAACCGGUCUCUCACUGCCAGGGACCGGUUGCCUCAAGUCUGCCGUAACACUAUUCUGAGGGGACCGGUCUCUCCGACCAGGGACCAGUCCCCGAGAGUAAAAACUCUCAGGACUAAGCCAAAAUUCCAGAAAUCGAACUUUUAGGUCGGAAUACCAUCUACGACCUUCCACCAAGUGUGGAAAAGUUUGGAGUCCACAUCAAACACUCGAACCUCGCAAUUCGCACAGGUCCAGUGUGUUACACCAUACUUGCUAGUCAACAAGUGGAUAAACAAAAGGCAUAGUAGUAACAGAUAGUAUAGGAACAUGAUAAUUGACUAGAAUGGAAUUUAUGCUACUGUAGUGAUAAUGGAACAAGUAUGACUAACAUAGCGAGGUACAAAUCUACCAAUAUAAACAUGUUAGUUAAGUAUGCAUCAAUAGCUAGAUUCAAUCAAUACCUAAUCAACACCCAUUAUCUCAUAGAUCUGCGGCAAUCUACUAUCUCACAGACUUAGGCAAGCAUGCAGCAGCUGGUAUGAACCCAUCAUACAUAGGUCCAGGCUGGCGGGUUAUACUCGACCACUUUUUCGAAAAAGAAUACUAUUGGCCCACGGAAUGAAUUAGACCUCAAUGCUAGUGUUUGCAAUAUACGCAGUAAGCAACAACGACAGUCAUAUGCAGUAUGGUCAACUAUACUAUCCAACGAUUACAAUCAAUUGAAAGACUCCUAAGAAGUGUCAAUAAGUCCAACCAGGACUACAAAUCAAACAUAUAUAAUCAAUAAUGAAUAAGUACUCGAUACUCUACAUCUCAUAUCCUCAUGCAAGGUGCUAUAUAAAAUAUAAAGCAAAUAAGUAGUAUAUAACUACUAAUGAGAGAUGAAAGCAAAUAAAAGCAAGCAAGAUAGUUGCAAGUAAAAUAAAAAUAAGGUAUGAACAAUUAAGGAAUACUGAGUAAACAGCCACUACAUUGACUUCAAAUCGAACCAACCACAUGAAACCCAAAUCCUUGACCUAACUAGUGCUCUUAUGAAUUGCUCGGACCUAUACAGAGUCCAAAAGGCCUAAAAUCAGCAGCAAAUAUUAACCAACACUAGAAUGUGACUCCACCUUACUAACAAUGCACAUCGGUGUGACCAGAAUAUCGGCCUCGCUACCGAUUUCUGAAGUUUCACCCGAAUGUCACACUGUCUUCCUAGUGCACCAUCUUGACCAGUGAGGUGUCCUAAACCAUGUCAAAGACCUCACCUACCCACAUACUGACCCAGAACACAUCAAUUUAGAUGUAUGGGACAGCCGCAUGCAAAAUGUACCAUCACUCCAAACUACAUCAUAUCUGAUUUCGAGAAGCUGUUUUCGGUGCCGGAACAACCCGCGACCUCUUCAUUGCCACCAAGGGCACAUCUCAGCAAGGAUUGGCCAGCCAAAGAGACUUAGUGUGACAUCGCUAAAAUUUGAAAUAGUCUAUAUAUAUAUAUAUAUAUAUAUAUAUAUAUAUAUAUAUAUAUAUAUAUAUAGGCUAGGUGUACUAUAAACAUAUAAGUAUAUAGUAUUAUAUUAAAAUAAAUUUUUUGCCGUUGGAGAAGCUAUUAGGAUUGGACUUAGAGAAGUAAUACAUAAGUCAGAAAUGACUUAUGCUGAAAUCGGAAUGAAAACAGAAGAUCUAGAAUUUUCUGUUGGAAACGGGACAGAUAAAUUAGCAGAAAAUGCACAGUCUCAGAAAAUUAUGAAAAUUGGAGGAUAAGUCAGAAAUAUAUUUAUGAGGCUAGAUUUAAAGUUUCAUAUUUUUCUGACACCCGUAGAGUGAGAAAUAAAAUUCGAUAGCUAUCUGAUAAAGAUUACAGUUCGGUACAGUUUUCGGUGACCAAAUGGAGUCGAAACUGAAAACUUAAGAUAUAUUCUUACUCAGUACGUUAAACUGAGCCCGCUUGUCAAAUUUGAGCGAAAACGGACAUCCGGAAGGGCUCCAACGAAAUUUAUCAGAUUUCAGGCUGCCCGUAGUGAAUAGUGGUAGUUGAGGGGCAAAAUGGUAAAAUGGGAUUAAAUCCCUUUUUGCUUCUUCUUCCUCCCAGCCGUAGCAGCCCAAACCGCACACAAACACACGCGCAUGGAAGGAAAGAGAGAAGCCUCUCUUUCUCUCUCUAAAUCUCUCCCAAAAAGAAUGGAUUUGGUGGAGAUUGAAGCUUGGAGGUGGAUCACCUUCGUCUUCUUCAUCAUCUCCAUAGUUUGGAGCUCAUUUUGAGGUGAGCUUCUUGAGCCCUUUAAUGGUAGAUCUUUAAUGCUUGGUUUAAAUACCUUAUAAAUGGAUUUAGAGGAGUUCUAGCAUGCUAUCUAGAUGAUUAAUGCUUGAAUCAUGGAUCAAUUUAGUGAUUUCUUGCAUAGUUGAAACCUAGGGCUCCAAAAUGCAAACUUUCAAAAUAUGAGGGUUUGAUCUCAUUUGACCCUUCGUAAACCUAAUUGCUAGAUAACGAAACGCGUUAGCGAAGACGGUUCGGCAAUCCUACAAGCCGUUACAAAGUUAUUAAAGAAAUGGACGUUUAGGCUUCGGGUCUGCCGGGAGGGCCGAGGGGACGUCGUAAAAUCGUGGAAAUGGAUUUGAGGCAUCGCGGCACAUAACCGAAGACCUAUAAUUUUCGGGGCUGCGAAGCGGAGUACGGUUGAAGCGUAGUUGCAGUAUCGGGCGGUGCCGCAUACGGGUGCCGCGGGCGGCCGAUUGCAAGUGUCGACAAGCAAUCGGAAUGCGAAAUUAGGUGGGUUGUGCUUACCGAAGUGACUAGGUCACCCUUUAUGUCUAAGAAAUGAGAUUUCAUAUUGAUGCAUGUUGACAUAUAAUGUGAAAUGCUAGAAAAAUGCAUUUGACAUAAUAUAAGAAUGUGAAAAAAAUGCAUGUUAACAUAUUAUAGAAAUGCUAGAUAAAUACAUGUGAUUAAUGCUUUGAAUGCAUAAGAUAAAGGACAUAUGAAUGUUAACAUUAUAAAUUUACAUGAUAAGCAUGCAUGUGGAUAAUGCUAAGUAAUGGUAUGAUAAGCAUGAUGUAGAAAUAAUAAAUGCAAGCAUGUGGCUAAUACUAAGAUAUACUUAAUGAUCAUGUUGCAGAAAUACUAAUGUUAAGAAAUGGAAAUGUGCGUAUGGACAAUCUAUAUACAUUAGAUCGAGUGGCAUUAAACCUAGAGUCAUGGACAUAGGUUGAACAUGGAUGAUAUGAACCUAGUGUCAAAGAACAUAGGUUGGACAUUAAGUGGCAUUAAACCUAGUGUUAAAAGCAUAGUUUAAAUCAGUGGCAUUAAAUCUAGUGUCUUGAACAUAGGUCGAAAAGUAUAGAACCUAGUGCUACCAUUGACCUAGCAAACACUCAUGGAUGACAUAUUAUUGGAUCAUUAUCCAUCGCAUGAUAGGUAAGACAUUGAACGCUUGUUCUUCAAUAAUCAUGUUUCUAAACGUAAUUGAACAUAGAGAGGUGGAACUCAUAAUGGACAUAUAUUAAGACCUCAUUAUGUGUUGACAUGUGAGAGAUGACUUUUUGGACAUUAAGUAAAACAAAGCGAAUGACAAUAAAGACAUGUUGCAUAAGAGAUAAAGUUGUUCAACAUAAGUUUAUACCAAGAGUGCAUUGACCAAGAACAUAGAAGUGGCCUGAUAAAUAGUAGAAACCUAUAUCAAAUCAUUCGUAACGAUGCUCUAUUAAUCCUCAAGUUUGAUUUGAUCGAUACUCAACACUGAUAAAUCUUGGCUUGAAGGGAGUAGCUCGUCCCACCCCUCGGGCGGGUUUCUCCGAUUGUCACGACUCGGCCGGGUAAAGCCCCCCAGAAGACGGUCGUCCUCCCCAAGAGGUUCGAGUCCCCACGCUAUUAAGAUUCGGUUAAUGAAUUUAUGGGUAACAUGCUAAUCCGGUAAGAUUGGUCAAAAGCCAAGUGAAUGUACACGCCAUUAUGUUAGCGGGUUUGGUAUCUUCCAGUUGAGAGAAUUAGGUGAGAUGUAAUGCUAACUACAUGCCCUAAGUACCUGUUAUUGGUCGCGUAUCCACAGUUGAUUGACUCAGAUCGAUCGGGUGUAGCUUGCUAGGAAGAAGAAAACCUUAAGAGAAAUAACUAAGUAUGUAGAAAUUAUGAAAAGCUAUGAAUAGCAAUGAAUAGAAAGUAAAAUCCUUAUUUACUCGAUACUGUUGCAUGAUCGCAUAUCCCAUAGCAUUAUUGCAUCUGCGUGAUGCAAGCAUGAUUUUUAUUGUUCAUAAUAAAGAAUAUAAUAUCAUGAUUUUAUUGAUACAACACAUGCCUCCCUUGACCUAUUUGGUCGACGCUUUUCCUUGGGUGGCCGUACCCACUGGGAACCAUGGAGUUCGUUCUCACCCCACGUGGUUUUGGGGUGUUACAGGUUCGCACGUGAGCGGCGCGGCGGCGCGAGGCGAAGGCGUAGUUCCAUAGUUAGCGCCCUACCACCGAGACCAGAGAUAGCGGUACCCUAAGUCGGCCUUACUUAGGGAUGCAAUAAAAUGAAAAGGAUGAAGUUGUAAUAAUAUUGUUAAAGCUAGAUUGUAUUUGGAAGCUAAAAAGAAUGUAUUAUGUAAUUGUGAUGUAAAAUGAAUCUAAUGUGAAUGCUUGUAAUAACAUAGGAUGUGUUAUGUUGUUGAUAUCUUUCUUCUGCAAUCUUGCUUGAAUAUUGUUCCUGGUUGAAACUCAUUGUACUUGUAUUGAUUGCUAUGCCUUGAACGUACAGGGGAGACUCUGUCCGCAGUACAGGGGAAACCCUGUCCGUUCGGCGGUCUGUUGCGGCUCCACGACCCGGCCAAAUAGACGGGUGGUCGCGGGGCAUGACAGAUAAGAUGGUAUCAGAGAAUAAAAAGAACAUAAAAAGAAUAAUAGAAAAUGGUUUAGUUCGACCUAGGAGACCCUAGGAUAGCAAACCAUAGGAGAUUAAGGUUCGUGAAAGACGAAGACUUGUGACUAUUGGCGAAAGAUAAAUUGAUUGCGUUAUGUUGUAAACCUCUAAAACGGAUGUUAGAGGUAGACUCAAGGUGAGGUUUAUUCUCGACAGAGGGUGUUCAUGUUGGGUGCACACAACAUGAAGCCAAGUGAUGAGAAUAGACGCCCUUGCGUGACUUUCGCCCGAUUUGAGUCGGUACUAAGUGUCUUGUGUUCGACCUAGAAGGUCGAGGAUUAAUAAAGUUGUCGCGUUUUAGGAAGCGAUAGCACCGCGUAGGCGAUCUUCAUUUAGAUCGGCGCGGGAUGGGCCAAAUGGUGUCCCUGGGCAAUUUGAGGCGAGCGGAGACUUGGAACUUCACGAGCUUUGGCGGCCCUUGUGACCUUUGAGAAGUUAACGGAAUCCUCGUCGUGUUAGAUCACUUUUGGUCAAAUUGACCAAAGUGCGUCGAGAGAAGUAGUUGGACAAAGUCCAAGUGACAUUCCAAUAAUGUUGGAAGGGUUAGAAUUGAGUUCUAAAAGAGUUAGAAUAGUUUUAGCAUUGCUCGACGCGAAUCUGAGUCGAAGUGGUGCAAAACUGAAAUUCUGGAAUAUGUGUUACCAGUUUAACACCAGGGGUGUACUGGUACAGUAUGGUUGUAACGAAGUGACUUCUCGAGAGCCGAGAGUUGGACUUCGUCCAGGAUUGGCUAGUUGUCGAGUGGGUAUGUAAUAUACCGAAACUUCGGUAACCAAGUAUCGAACUUUAGUCAAAAUGACCAAAGAGCGAGGUUGGUAAUCUUUGGAAAGGCCGAAGGCGUCAAAUAAUGCAAAAGUGCAUUACUGGGGAUCUUCGAGAGCCUUGGAAAUGAAAAUCUGUAAACUGCAGGUUUUCUGUUCUCGGAGACCGGUCCCUGUGCGGAGAGACCGGUCCCCGAACGCGCAGGCAGCAAGAGGAGAGAAAAAAAUCGGCUAAGUUCCCGGUGGACAGCUCUCGGGAACCGGUCCUUGCGGGGAGAGCUGGUCCCCAAGAGACAGGUCCCAUCAGGGGAGACCGGUUGCAUUGGGUGUGAGCUCUGCUGAUUGCGGGGAGAAGCUCUCGGAGACCGGUCCCUGGUCGGGGAGACCGGUCCCCGAACCCGAAAAUGGCCCAGUCAGGGCAGUGUAAAAGAAUAAAAGUUGAGGGGCAUGUUUGCACUUAUGCAACAUGUGGGGCUAUGUGAAGGGUAUGAGAGCUCUUUUCUUUUAUUUCUCACCCACACACCCUCUCAUAUCUCUCUUUCUCUCUCUAGAAGACAAGAAGAGGAAGAAGAAAGGAAAGAAAAGAAAGAGAAGAAGAAGGAGGUCUUCCUCAUCUUCCUUAUCUUCUCCUUGGUUGGAGCUUCUUGGAGAGGUAAGCUUCUAAGCUCUCUCAUGGUGGAUUUCUAGAGAUAGGUUUGAUUGCUCUAGAAAUAAAGUUUUGUAUUAUCUGAGGGCGUAGUACCUGCCAGUAUAGGUAUAGAGCCAUAUGGCACUAGCGAAGUGCUAGAAGUAAUCUAUGGCGAGAAGUGAGACUCGCAGUAGAGAUAGAAGUGGCGAAACGACUCUCAGAGCAAUAUGAAUAGUAAAUUGCGAGAGUUGAGCCAUGAUGCUUAUGAGAACACCCGAGAGGUUCGAAAAUUUUGGAUGUCAUUCCAGUAGAUCGAACAGUGAAAGUAGCAUCACCGUUGAGAGAACGGUCGAUUAGUGACCAAGUUUGAGCACGUGGGCCUAGUAGUACCUCAAGGUGAGGUAGGCGGUUGUGCUCGUGCGGCCGGUGUGCAUAGGCAAGAUUGCCUAACGCUGGACUUCGUGUGGAACGCUGUAGAGGCGUAGAGCGCUCGAGUGUAGAUACCCGUAGAGUACGGAUGUGGAUUCAGCCAAAAGAGUGUAUUGGCAGUAGCACUUGAGUAUUGCUAGGUGUGAAGCGUGCCAUGGAUCACUCGUGGGACUGGUGACUCGCACUAGGUGCAUAGGGGUCGAUAUUGGUACAUGUGACUUGGUAGAGUAUGUCGUGUAGGACGACGACGGUGGGUAGUGCUUGGGGACGACCCGUGCCUGGACCAUUUGUGGACUGUGGAGCCUGGGCCCUUUGGGCAGGCGCAGUCAGCUGUGAGUGACAGCGGCCCGGUACCUACGGGUAGGGCAGAGUUCUGGUCAGGACGGUAGUCCGAGCUUAGACCCGGGAGCGUGGAAUGCCACGUGAUAGAUUGUGUGACCGAUGGUACACCGAGUAUGGUUGUGACCCAACCCGAGGACUUGACGUGGUUUGGGGUCUUAGUUGCUCCUGGUUGGAGUGUGUGCGAAUUCCCAAGUGAGAAUUUCGCCCGAUGAUGAUUGGGUCUGCAUUUGCGAGCGAGAGACGCUGCGUGUUGAGACAAGUUUAGACGGUAGGCCUACGUAGGAUUGGUGGCCUUUGGUCCACCUGUGGAGACCGACGAGAGCGAUUUGGCAGAUAGCCUUAUCGAGGAGUUUGACUUGAAUUCACGAACGAAGUGCUCGCGUGUGCUCGUUGCGAGAAUAGUUUGAUGUUGAUCGUGGCAUGUGGUAUCAGAUGAUGAAGUACUCCUUGUGAGACAUCAAUCUAGUGGAAAGCCACGUGAUGUUGGAGACUAUGCUCGUAAGCGAACUGAGACUUGAGAUGUGCCGAAGUGGGCCAUCUCGCGUUAGAGCUGAAGGUCAGUGCGAAAUUAGAGCACUCACGACGGAGCGAUGCAUCGGUGAUAUUGCUUCUAAGCAAUGUCGGUGAUCGAAUCAGAAUGUAUUCCCUGAAGGGAAGGUAAGUGUAAAGAAGAGUUCUUUAUGUAUCGAGAGGCGAGUAAUGUUGGAGCGCGUAGAGUCGUCGAGAAUCGACUUGUGCUGCCUCUAUGACUUGCAAGACCCGUGAUGCACUUUUGUAUCACAUUUUGCAAAUGUGUUUAGGAUUAAACCCACGUCCUUCAGUAAGAGCCGCUUCUGGAAUCACGAUUGUGUGAAGCCGCUUUGGAGUGGGAGAAAGAGUUGGUACCCUCAAUUGCUCACGGAGCUGGAUUGAGGCGUGGUUUGAAUUUCGCGAACGAAAUUCUUUUUAAGGGGUGGAGAAUGUAACAUGCUAGAUUUUGAUAAAAAAAUAAAAGUAUAUAAAAAUAGUGUGAGAAGCUAUUUUUAUUGCACUUAGAGAAGUAGUACAUAAGUCAGAAAUGACUUAUGCUGAAAUCGGAAUGAAAACAGAAGAUCUAGAAUUUUCUGUUGGAAACGGGACAGAUAAAUUAGAAGAAAAUGCACAGUCUUAGAAAAUUAUGAAAAUUGGAAGAUAAGUCAGAAAUAUUUUUAUGAGGCUAGAUUUAAAGUUUCAUAUUUUUCUGACACCCGUAAAGUGAGGAAUAAAAUUCAAUAGCUAUUUGAUAAAGAUUACAGUUCGGUACAGUUUUCGGUGACCAAACGGAGUCGAAACUGAAAACUUAAAAUGUAUUCUUGUUCAGUACGUUAAACUGAGCCCGCCUGUCAAAUUUGAGCGAAAACGGACAUCCGGAAGGGCUCCAACGAAAUUUAUCAGAUUUCAGGCUGCCCGUAGUGAAUAGUGGUAGUUGAGGGGCAAAAUGGUAAAAUGGGAUUAAAUCCCUUUUUGCUUCUUCUUCCUCCCAGCCGUAGCAGCCCAAACCGCACACACACACACGCGCAUGGAAGGAAAGAGAGAAGCCUCUCUUUCUCUCUCUAAAUCUCUCCCAAAAAGAAUGGAUUUGGUGGAGAGUGAAGCUUGGAGGUGGAUCGCCUUCGUCUUCUUCAUCUUCUCCAUGGUUUGGAGCUCAUUUUGAGGUGAGCUUCUUGAGCACUUUAAUGGUAGAUCUUUAAUGCUUGGUUUAAAUACCUUAUAAAUGGAUUUAGAGGAGUCCUAGCAUGCUAUCUAGAUGAUUAAUGCUUGAAUCAUGGAUCAAUUUAGUGAUUUCUUGCAUAGUUGUAACCUAGGGCUCCAAAAUGCAAACUUUCAAAAUAUGAGGGUUUGAUCUCAUUUGACCCUUCGUAAACCUAAUUGCUAGGUAACGAAACGCGUUGGCGAAGACGGUUCGGCAAUCCGACGAGCCGUUACAAAGUUAUUAAAGAAAUGGACGUUUAGGCUUCGGGUCCGCCGGGAGGGCCGAGGCGAUAUCGUAAAUUCAUGAAAAUGGAUUUGAAGCAUCGUGGCACAUAACCGAAGACCUUUAAUUUUCGGAUCGUGAAUUGGAGGCCGUUCGGGUGGUCGCGCGAGAGAUCGGGCCAAACCGGGUGCCGGGUGCCGCGGGAGGCCGAUUGCAAGUGUCGACAAGCAAUCGGAAUGCGAAAUGAGGUGGGUUGUGUUUACCGAAGCGACUAGGUCGCCCUUUAUGUCUAAGAAAUGAGAUUUCAUAUUGAUGCAUGUUGACAUAUAAUGUGAAAUGCUAGAGGAAUGCAUUUGACAUAAUGUAAGAAUGUGAAAAGAAUGCAUGUUAACAUAUUAUAGAAAUGCUAGAUAAAUGCAUGUGAUUAAUGCUUUGAAUGCAUAAGAUAAAGGACAUAUGAAUGUUAACAUUAUAAGUUUACAUGAUAAGCAUGCAUGUGGAUAAUGCUAAGUAAUGGUAUGAUAAGCAUGAUGUAGAAAUAAUAAAUGCAAGCAUGUGGCUAAUGCUAAGAUAUACUUGAUGAUCAUGUUGUAGAGAUACUAAUGUUAAGAAAUGGAAAUGUGCAUAUGGACAAUCUAUAUACAUUAGAUCGAGUGGCAUUAAACCUAGAGUCAUGGACAUAGGUUGAACAUGGAUGAUAUGAACCUAGUGUCAAAGAACAUAGGUUGGACAUUAAGUGGCAUUAAACCUAGUUUGAAAGAACAUAGGUUGGACAUCAAGUGGCAUUAAAUCUAGUGUCUUGAACAUAGGUCGAACAAGUAUAGUGUGAACCUAGUGUCAUGAACCUAGCAAACACUCAUGGUAUUUGAGCAUAUGUAUUUUGGAUCAUUCAUGCAUGAUAGGGCUAAGUACAUGUGAACCUUGGUUGCUUUCAAUGACAUGUUUCUAACGUAAUUGAACAUAGAGAAUGGUGGAACCAUAAUGGACAUGUAUGUUAGAACCCUAUUAUUGUGUGAAUGUGAGAGAUGGACUUGGACAUUAGUAAACAAAGGCGAUAUUGACAAUAGAGACAUUGUUUGGCAUAGAGGAUAUAGUUGUUAAACAUAGUUUAACCAAGAGUGGCAUUGGACCAAGAUGACAUAGAGAGUGGCAUAAUUAAAUAAGUAGAAACCUAUUAUGACAAUGGCAUUGUGACGAGUGGCUAUGAAUCCUCAAGUUGAGGAUUGAUCGAUACUCACGAUAAGUCUUGGCUUGAGGGAGGUAGCUCCCCCUCAGGCGGUGCGCUCCGGAGUUGGUCACCACUGGGCGUGGUAAAGUCCCUCCAGAAGACGAUCCCCAUGGAGGUUCGAGUCCCCCGCUAUUAAGGAAUUUUGGGUUGUGAGUUAUUGGGGUUAAUAUGGUUAACCGGUAAGAUUCGGUCAAAGCCAAGUGAAUGUACAACAUUAUGUGUGACGGGUUUGGUAUCACAGUUGAGAGGAUUUAGGGUUGAGGUUUAUGCGAAACGUCCAUCACCUCGAGCCUGUUAUUGGUGCGGUAUUUCGCAGUUGAUUGACUCGAUAUUGAGUCGGGUGGUUAGCUUGGCUAGGGUAGAGGAAAACCUUAGGAGCAAAUAAACAAGAUGUAUAAAUUAUGGAAAAGCUACGAAUAGCAUGAUAGAAAGUAAAAUCCUUUAUUCUACUUGUAUAGUUGCAUGAUUCGCAUAUAGCAUGGCAUUAUUGCAUUCGUGAGGCAAGGCAUGAUUUUAUUUGUUGCAUAAUAAAGAUAUAUAUCUAUCUGUUUAUUGAACUAACUUGCAGUUGCCUCCCUUGGACCUAUUGGUCGAGCUUUUCCCUUGGGUGGUCGUACCCACUGGGAACCAUAGAGUUGGUUCUCACCCCACGUGGUUUUGGGGUGUUACAGGUUCGCACGUGAGCGGCGCGGCGGCGCGAGGCGAGAGCGUAGUUCCAUAGUNCCUUGAUGCGAGAGCGGAGCGCGGCGGCGCGGCGAGUGCACGCUUGGACAUUGUGGGGUUUUGGUGCACCCCACUCUUGGUUGAGAUACCAAGGGUCACCCAUGCCGGUGGGUUCCCUUUUCGAGCUGGUUAAUAGUUAGCACCCUACCACCGAGACCAGAGAUAGCAGUACCCUGAGUCGGCCUUACUUAGGGAUGCAAGAAAAUGAAAAGGAUCAAGUUGUAAUAAUAUUGUUAAAGCUAGAUUGUAUUUGGAAGCUAAAAAAAAUGUAUUAUGUAAUUGUGAUGUAAAAUGAAUCUAAUGUGAAUGUUUGUAAUAACAUAGGAUGUGUUAUAUUGUUAAUAUCUUUCUUCUGCAAUUUUGUUUGAAUACUGUUCCUGGUUGGAACUCAUUAUACUUGUAUUGAUUGCUAUGCCUUGAACGUACAGGGGAGACUCUGUCCGCAGUACAGGAAAAAUCCUGUCCGUUCGGCGGUCUGUUGCGGCGCCGCGACCCGGCCAAAUAGGCGGGUGGUCACGGGGCGUGACACUAGGGUUACUAUCCUCUUAAGAGGAUAGUAGCACUUGUCCUCUCAAGUGGUUCUUGAUGAUAGAGAUUCUGAAUCGAUGAUCGAAGCCGUUGAAGUUGAUCUAGAAGUUGAAAUAUCUAGAAACUAAGUUUCAUACAUUUUAAAAAUUAUUUACAUGGUGAUCAAAGUGUCGUAAAAUCGACAAUUUUUGACGGCCUAUAUGAGCCGUUUGCUUGUUUAACGGUGUAGAGCAAUCCAAAUUGCUUGAAGUUUUGAUAGAAAAUUCUUUAUAGUAUUUAGAUAAUGUUUGAUAACUUUGAUUAUGAAUUAAGAAAGUUUAACCUCUAUUUUAAGAAGGUUAAUUAUUCAUUUAUGACCGUUCAUUUUUGAACUCUUCGAUGAACUUGUUAAUGAUUUGUAAAUAUUACAAAAUUUUGUUUCUAAACAUUUCGAAUUGUGUAGAUCAAUUUCAACAGUGCCAAUUAUCAAUUUGAAGUUCCGAUCGUUCAAAACGACUUGAUAGGACAAUGUCCUCAAUCCUACUAAUAGGAUAGUAGAUGGACUCUAUAAAUAUAUAUAUACAUAUAUAUAUCUAUUAAUAGGAUAGUAGAUGGACUCUCUCUCUCUCUCUCUCUCUCUCUCUCUCUCUCUCUCUCUCUCUCUAUAUAUAUAUAUAUAUAUAUAUAUAGUAGGGUUACUAUAUUCUUAUGAGUAUAGAAUCCUUCGUACUCAUAAGUCGUUUUCAAUGAUGGAGCUUCCGAAUCGACGAUCCAUCCGUUAAAUAUGAUCUAGAGUAUUUGAAAUUUCUAGAAAAUAAAUUUCGUAACUUUUCGAAAUCAUAAUAAAGUUCAUCAAGCGGGUAUAAAAUAAACGGUCAAAAUUGAACGACGUCUUAAAAAUGGAUGAUUGGAUCCUUCAAUUUAAGAUUGGAGUUAUUAAUCUUUAUUUAGAUUGUGAAUAAAAUUUUCUAUCAAAAAUUCAACCUAUUCCGAUUCUUUUUCACCGUUAAACUAGCAAAUAUCUCAUACCGGCUGUUAAAAAUUGUCAAUUUUGUGAGCUUUUGAUCAUAAGAUAAAUGAUAUUGAAAUAUUAUAAAAUUUAAUUUCUAAAAGUUUUAAAUGCUCUAGAUAAUGUUUAACGGUAUAGAUCGUUAAUUCGAAAGCUCUAUCAUCAAAAACAACUUAUGAGUACGAUGGCGAUCGUACUCAUAAGAGUAUAGUAGCCGGACUCUAUAUAUAUAUAUAUAAAAUAUAAUAUAAUAUAAUAUUUGAGAAGUAGUUACACUCAAGAAUUUAAGAGGGUUAAGUAUGAUAGGGCCAGAGUAGUUUUAGAAUAUGUAAUCCCUUAGAAAGCAGGGCAUCACACUUGGCCUCCAAGGGGGCUCCGAAACUAAAUAGUCAAAUUCGAACUAUAUAGUUCUGAUGAAAACAUUUUUAAUAAUCUAUAAUUAAUUCACAUAAAAUCCUACUAAAUAGUUUAUAUCAACGUGUGUAGAUUUUCGGGACGAAUCUGUAGACGCAAGAAGCAGCCAAAUCUGAUAGCCGAUUUAUGUUUCAGUUCUUAAACGAUUUCCGGAUUAUGAAUCAAUACCAAGAUGUAAUCUCAACAGCUUUUGUAAAACAAUUUUGCGGCCAAUAAUCUAUCUUGUUUGUUCGACAGAGAAGGUUAAUGCAGGUUCAUGUUAUGAAGUCUUGUUUUACCAACUGUUUAUUAAUUUAUGUUGUACAUCAAGGUCGAAUAGUUCCGAUUAAUUAGACCUGCACACGUACAUAUAAAAAAACCAAGCCAAAGUGACUUACAAUAUUGAAAGUCGGAGUUCUAGUAUAUAGUUUAUUAAUGAUAAAAUUAACGUGCGCACAUAUAUUUGUUAACUGACCCAUUGAAUAUCAAGUCCUAACUAGUUUUACAGCAACAACCAGCCGCGGCACGCCGGAAAUAGUGAAGAUGACAAUUGGCAUCCCGCACGAGGAAAGUGUUUAGUCGCUCGCGAUAAUUAAGGAGACAACCCUCUCACCGAAGUACGGAAGAGACAUUUGGUUGGAUGUAGUUAUAAAAUCAGUAUAGUAAAAGGUAUAUGUAUUUGCAAAUGUUGCAGGUAGCUAUACCUAGUUUGUUUGAUUUUAUACAGUUGCAACUGCUGUAGUUAUAUAUAUAUAUUUUUUGAUAGACUACAGUUGAGAUUUGUAUUUGUAAAUUCUAUCAAUUUUAAGAUAGAAAUAUUAGAUUAUUUUUCUAAACAUAACGUAAUCAUUAGAUCUUUUAAUUAUUAACUAAGACUUUUAUAUCUAUAUAUAAUUUUUAUAUUAUAAAAUUAUGUAUGAAUUUAAUGAAUUUUAAAUACAAACAUAUUAUAGAUUUGGUCAAAAUAAAAAUUAAGAUAUUAUUAAACUAGCAGACUGGGAAAAAAGAAGCGUAUGAAAAAAUUUAUUGAACCCAAACAUACAUUAUUAAACCCUAGUAAAUUUCAUGAAUAAGCAUUCUGGGGAAAAAAAGAAAAAUUUAAAAAAGAAGAGUAUGAAAAAAAAUUGUAUUUUAUUUAUUUUUUUAAUGGGUGAGCCGAUUCCGGCCCAACUGCUACGGUUGGUAUACCAGCUGCAGCAGUUGGGCCUUCUCGUGUAGAUGCAACUGUAGUAGUUGGGUCUAACUAUACCAAACUAAAUAAAAAUUUAGGCUUCGUUUGGGAUUGCGCGGGGAGAUUGCUUACGUGCGGUGAGAAAGUACGUUAGAAAAAUACCAUGUUUCCGUACGUAAUAUUGCGUUCCGCAUAUCGCGAUGAGUCAGUUACGAUAUAUUUUCUACGGUCCCACCGGAGAACGCAGAAGCAUAUCCCUAUAUAUUUUUUUCUCAACUCCAUUUUAUCUAAUAACGUUAGAUAGACCUCAACACCAAACAAAGGCUUAAUAGAUGCAUAUAUUUUCAACCGCAGUGUAGUUAGCAAUACAUACAACCAAAUAGCCCCUAAAUAGUGUGGACAUCUUAUAUCUGAAAAAAGGAUUAUAAAAAAAGUAAAUGAAUGGAGGAAAUUAUUCUAUACCUUUCAACAAGGAAGAAUAGCAAAUUAAAAUUUAUCUCCUCUAAAUAAUAAUUCUAAAGCAAUCACGCCCUAGCUUGUUCUGCACAGACCCCUUUUUCUUGAAUCUACGUACACUCGUCGUGCGGCCGUUUGGGUGUUCACCCCGCAGCCUAUUGUCAGGGACUUAGAAAAAUUUCAGGCCGUGACACUAUGCUCUACAUUUAUACACACUUGUCAACCUCCGGGUUUACCUCCCCUUAUUUAAUUCAAUUAAGCUCCAACGUAACUCGGGCCGUACUUGACGUGGAAUGGCACAUGACCAAGUGCAACACGUAUCAUAUAUAUAUAUAUAUCUAUUAUUAAUUAAUCUAUAUGAAUCCCGAAUAUUUAUUGUUACGUGGCAAGUUUUCUUUCACCCUCAUUAAUAUAGACUCUUUUUCUUUUUUUCACCGAACUUUCAAUAUGUAUUUUAACGAUCUCACUAACCAAACUUUCAAUUAGUGCCUUUAAAUGGUCUACUACCAUCUACAAUUCUAUCAUUUCUAUCUAACCCUUUUCCUUCCCUUCAUUAUACUUUCAAUUAAUACAAACAGUUCUAGUACCAAACUUUCAAUUAGUAUAUUUAAAUGGUUCCACUAUUAUCUAUAAUUAUAAUCCCUCUAUCUCUAAUUAUUCAUCAUGACCAUUUUUCUUUUCUCCACCGAACUUUCAAUUCUUUAUUUUCAAUCUAUCAAUUCUCUAUCUCUCUUCUUUUACUAUACACCAUCGCCUUCUCCCCCCGCUCCCUCCCUCUCUCUCACUAAUGCGCGUCCACUCUCCCCCUCCGCUGCGGUAGGAGGGAUCAUCGUCACAGUCACAUCACCAUCGCCGAAGAAGAUAUCGUCGGGUCCAUAUCCGCCACCAACAGUAAGAAAUAUUUGGUGGAUGUAUCAAGUGAGAUACAUAAGAAAAUAUCUAUAUUUUAUUAUUACUAAUUACUACUACGGUUUCUACCCGCUGCUAAGCGCGGACCCCUUCACUAGUUAUUAAUUAUAUCAUUAUGAUACUUCAUUAGGAACGGGCCCAUAUAUAUGUUCAUAAAAAAUUAAGUCCCAUAGGCAACGGAUUUCCUAAUUGGGAUCUAUCUUUUUUUCUUUUUUUUCGAAAUGAAGUAUUGGUCCAUAGGUCUUACUUAGCUAGAUGGUUUAAUUUCAAAAGUAAGUCAAUUUAAACAUGUCCAUCAGCCGAUUCAAUCAUAAUUAAGUAAAAUUUAAUAAAUUCAACGUACUAGGAAUUAUAGGCGACGACCUGUUUGGUGGGUGGUGGGUGGUGAAAUUGUUACAAUUGCAGUUUCACCCCCCAGGUUUUGAGUUUCUGGCUCAAAACUCCCUGACAUAGUGACAUAAGUGUACUUUGCACAGUAAUACCUCCAGUUGAAAAAUCUUGCAAUUUAGCACGUAAAAUGUUGCCCUCUUUGCAUUACACAUACCAGUUUGUCAAUUGUUGUUUCGCCAAAUUUUCUCGCCAAACAUUAUUUUUAUUGUGCGAAAUUGUAGAAAAGUCCCUCUCAUGACUAGUAGCACUGCUAGAUCUCAAGAGAGGCAAUUUUAUUUUAUUGAAAACUAUAAAAUUACAGAGGAAUCCCCCAGUAGCUUGAAAUUUCUUUUAAAAAAACUUGGUUCUUACAUGCACCAUUUUUAAAAUUUCAUGGAUGACAUUCAAAAGAAUGGUUGUCGAUGACAUUCAUAAGAAUGUGUUCAACCAUAGAUGAUACCGAUCAAGCUACCUACCUUCUAGACAUAUUACCUUUCUUCAUGGCUUAGAUUUGCCCAAGAGCUUAGAAGAAUUUAGAGAACUCUUAAAUUUAGGUCUGUAAUCCAAACUAUUAGAAUAGAAGACUAAUACCGCCUCAGGGAGAUUAAACCAACGCACAACGAAUCUAACAGAAACCUGACCGAUAUUUAGAACUAUAGCUAUAAACCUAAAUCUAGAGGUACAAAUUUUAAACUUAAGUAAAUGUUUUAAAAGUAAGAAUCGAAACUUGAACCAUAUUAGAAACCCAAUACUAGCCAGUCUAGUUGGAGUUACAAGAAGAAUUGUUUCUAUUAUGCUUGUGGCCGGGUCAACCAUUUUAUUUCAAAAUGCUUUUAUUGAAAAGAAAAAGAUUGCCUAUAGAAAGGGUCAGAAUAAUAAGAAGAACUAUGCUAAAUCCUAGAUCAACAGUAAUUGAGGGUGACCUUCCAACUCAACUCUAAGGUCAGUCUUCUUUAUACCCAAUGUUAAUGUCAUGCUCCAAGGCCACAGCGAAAGACUCCAGGACAUAUACAGAUCCGCCGAAUAGGUGGAGUAUUUCCAACCCAUAGAAAGCGUUCACAUCCCUGUAUAUUUUAUCCACAUUUGAAUACAAAUAUACAUAAAUUGGAUUUGGUGGGAAUCACAUAAGCUUGAGAAUAAAUCUAAGUAUUACAAUUUUUGUCUACUCAACUUUUACAUCCAUUAUUACAAGUAUAAAUAUCUAUAACUCUAUAUUAAUCCCUAAAAGGAAUCCAUGUGGCAGCCCUACCUUCAAGGUUGGAUGUAGGCUCCUUCUUUAAGUUUGCUUUCCCCAGUCUCUCAUCUUCCUUUAACCGUUUCUCUUCCCCAUGUGACAGUUUAUCUUCCCUAGGNUAUACAAGGCAGGCAGAAAUUUAAAUUACUAUUAAGCAUGCGCUAAAUCAACCGGCUGUGAAUAAUCCUCCAAAUACUACUUAUGAGUAUCAAUCACUGUCACUAAUCUAUUGGUUUGUAUAUAUAUAUAUGUAUAUACAUAUGUAUAUGUAUAUACAUAUGUAUAUGUAUAUACAUAUGUAUAUGUAUAUACAUAUACAUAUGUAUAUGUAUAUACAUAUACAUAUGUAUAUACAUAUAUAUAUGUAUAUACAUAUACAUAUGUAUAUACAUAUAUAUAUAUACAAACCAAUAGAUUAGUGACAGUGAUUGAUACUCAUAAGUAGUAUUUGGAGGAUUAUUCACAGCCGGUUGAUUUAGCGCAUGCUUAAUAGUAAUUUAAAUUUCUGCCUGCCUUGUAUACACAGCAAAAAAAAAUUGAUUAUGUAAAGUGUAUAGUCUAAAGUUCAAUGAAAAAUUUACAAAAGAAGGGUGGUAACGGUGGAUGACUUGUUGAAAAGGGGCCGGCAACGGAGAGGAGGAUUGCGUUUUCUGCAGGGAGGAGCAAGAGAUGAUAGAUCACUGUUGUGGGUUGCAAAAUUGUCAAUUUUUACUGAAGGAUCAGCAACUGAAUAAGAUGUUUAUCCCUAGGGGUCGGGAGUUAGCGACAAUUGCUACUUCUUGGUAAACUAUUUGGUUGGAACGGAACAGAAAAAUUUUCGGAAAGAAAAAGGCCACCACGAGACAACUACUAGCGGACUUCCGCUCACUUUGUAACCUCUGAAACUCUUACCACAUGUAGCUUUUUUUUUUUCCCCUGCGAAGUCCGAAUGUCUCACUUUCCGAAUGUCUCACUUUGUAGUUUAGUUCAUCCACUAAAUAAAUAAAUAAAGCGGUCCCUCUCUCAAAAAAAAAGGAAAAUUUACAAAACAUAUGCAAUAUAAAAAAAUAAAAAUACCUUUAAAAAUUAACAAAUUAUAAUUAAGCCAGAGAAAAAGAAAAUCAUGUGACAACUGAGAGUGGUGUAGAUUGGGUGCGAGAAUUGCAAGUUCUUUUAUUAAGCCUGUGUGGCGCCGGGCUACAAUGGAGGUCUCUAUCGAGCCCAGAUGGUCGGUGCCGCCCACCGCCCACGGCAAGUAAUGCGGCACCACAUGUUCGUACGUUCUUUUCACUAGGGGUGGAAACGAGCCGAGCUCGAGCGAGCUUACCUCGGCUCAAAUUCAGCUUGAAAUUAAUUUCGAGCCUAAAUUUAAGCUCAAGCUUGGAUUGAAAUUAAUUCGAGCCGAGCUCGAGCGAGCCUAAUUUCAAGUCGAGCGAGCUCGAGCCCUAAACGAGCCGCUUGAAAUUCUCAACAUCAUACAAUCAAUAGUUUAAUUUGUAUAGAACAUUAUCUAUAAUUUGAUACAAAAAUAUGUCAAAUAGUUCAAAGUACAAAAUAAUUAUAUGAAAUAUAGUAUAAUAUGAAAAAAAAAAAUUAUGAGUUGAAUAUCUAAUCUUUUCCGUCUCACAUGUCUUUUCUUUCGCCUUCAAUCUCCAUAUUAUUCAUUUUCAUUUAUGCAAUCAAAAAUAAAUAAAUUAUAUAGAUAAAUAUUGGAUUAAACUAUCCAAUCAUAUAUAACUAAAAUUAAAAUUUUAUAUGAAUAAUAAUUUUUUACUUUAAAAAUAUUUUGUAUAUUUUCUAAAGCAUACAAUUAAUUAAUAGCAAGGUAGGCAACGGCGGGUAUAUGCUGUUACUUGGUAACUGGGAGGGCUUCCGGCUUGGUCACUUAGGGUGAGAGACAGAAAAAGGGAAAGAGAGAAAUAUAUUGAAAAUUUAGAGCUCUGUGAAAGAAAGAAAGAAAAGAAAAAUGUAUAAAUUUAGUGAAAUUUUGCUAUUUUAUUUGUCUAUUGGGUUUGUUUUUAUGGGCCAACAACAUUGGCCCAAUUUUAACUAAACUCAGACUCAGCCUAUAUAUAAUUAAAAUAUAAUAUAUUUAUAUAUUUUUUAAUAUAUAUAUAUAUAUAUAUAUAUAUAUAUAUAUUAUAUAGUGCUGAAGUACUAUGCCCUAUCGACCUCAGACAAACCAACACACACCAGACCAAAAAGUAUGAGGAGUGUUGAUGUUUUCGAAUUUUGACCUUUGAUUAAGAAUUGAUAAUGGUUGGGAUGAUUGCGGUUCCCCCCUAGGGAUUAAAUAAUAUCCUAGGAUUUAGUGGGUCCCUAUAAGAUAUAAAGUAUUAUCCAGAUAAAAAAUGAUUAAAGGGGUUAUUAAGAGAUCGAAAAAAUCAAGCCAACAGAUCUCUAUAUUUUGAUAGCAGUAGCUAGGCUCUACAUAACUUAUAUACUAUUAUAUAUAUAUUAUAUAUAUAUAAAUAUGUAUUAUAUAUAUAUAUAUAUAUUCGAGCUUUUCGAGCUUUUCGAGCCUAAUUCGAACGAGCCGAGUAAUACUCAAGCUCGGCUUGAAAUGAAUUUCGAGCCUUUUUUUUGGUUCAAGCUCGGCUCAUUUAAUUUCGAGUCGAGCUCGAGCGAGCCAAAUAUCGAGUCGAACGCGAGUCGAACGCGAGCCGGCUCGCUCAUUUGCCAGCCCUAAUCUUCCCCAUACGACCAUUUCUCUUUUCCAUGCAAUCGUUUCUCUUCCCCAUACGUUGUGGUUCUUCUUCUACUUUCGUCAUUUUCGUUUCCUUUAUUAUCUUGCUUUUUUCAGUGUAGAUUCAUUAAAAGGUGGGGUGGUGACUGAUUGAUCUGAUGCCUUCUUCGGCGGGAUCCGAGUCGAGGGCGCCAAUGCCGUCCGCUCCUCCCACUGCGUCGAUCCCGAUCUCCUCCGCAACACCACUAUCCACGACCUCCUCUCUACACUCCACAUCGCUGUCGUAAACAGCCGCGUCGAGGUCGGCUUCGUUUAAUCGCUUCCUUGUCUCUGAUUUUUUUGUUUUUUUUUUUGUUGGAAAUGAAAGAGAUGGAAGAGUUUUCGAAGAUGCAGAGAAAGAGAGAGGAGAAGAGUUGGCGAAUAUAGUUGGUGGUGUACCGGAAUCCGUGGUUGAGGAUAAGGAUGAGGUUCCCGGCAAUGUCGGUGGUAGUGGCGGCGACUCAGCCUCUUGCGAUUACGGCAACAAAGGGCUCUACCAUUAACAGGGGUUAGAGGUGAGGGUUAGCAUUCCGACACGCCAAUCGUCCCGUCCACGACGCCUUCUUUGUUUCUAUUGAUAAAUACUUUUUAUUUUUUAUUGGCAGCUUCUAUAGUGUCUACUCGCUGCGAAGCGCGGGUCUUUUCACUAGUAUUACAUGAUUCCUUUUCCAAGAUAAAAACCAUGCACAUAUACAGACGGAUUACAUCUAUACCUAUUUCCAAAACAAAUUUUCUAUACAUAUGAUUUCCAAAAAUACAAUUUUUUUUUUGUUCUGCCUGACAAUAUUUAUUUUGCAAUUGUUGACCUUGCUAUCUAUGGUCCGAUGCCCUUCUCUCGGUCCUUUGCUGCUUCGGUCGUUGUUGGAUUUGUACAACCGGGUGGGGGGUAAAAACUACAAAUAGAUUCCAGUGGAUUUGGCUGCUGACCCAAGUGCUUUCCCAUUAGGUGUAAAUAAUGCAUCAGUAAUAAAUAUACAAUUAAUUAAUAUAUAUUGGAAAUAGCCACAAGUGUAUAUAUUGAUAAGAACAAUAAGUGUUAAGUCUUGUGUGUUGGCAAGUUUCGUGAAGAUCUUGAAGGAUCGGUACGUAUCAUCGAAGAUCGAAGAAUCUAAGACUUCGAAGAAAUCAAAAAAUAACUCACGGCGUGAAUCACGAUGCCCAGGUAAGUUUUUAAUUCAUGUUAUGGUGAUUCAUACUUAGUUGUAGGCAUUAGAAUUAGAAAAUCAAUGUUUACUGGAUUAGAAAGUGCAUCGAAACUUUGCGAAACCCGAAACUUUGCAAAAAACUGAAAAUUGCAAAGUGUACCGGCACUGCAUUAAAAGUGUACCGGUACAGAUUGUGUUCCGGUACAACCAGCGACUUGUCACCGAUUACACUGUUUCGCAGAAUUUUUGUUCCGUCAUCGUGUAACCGGUAACAGCUUAAAAGUGUACCGGUACACAAUGUAAAAAAUUCGAAAACUUUCUAAUCCGACUCUAAUUGAUUCUAAAGUCUAUAAAUAAGCUAUUGGAGUUCUCUAACUGAUGAAGCAUCACGAAAAUACAUGUUUGAGAAACCCUAGAGGCUCGGAUUUCAUCUAAAACAUAUUUUCUACAUAUUAGCCUCUUUUAGGUCAAAUCGAGAUUUUGGAAUUUCAUACCUAUAUGUCGAUUUGAUCUUCGCUUCGCUUGGAGUUCUCUUCCCUGGUUUUUAUUGAUACUCUAAGCUAAGGAUCACCAUAGCAUGAUGUUUUUCAUGGAUGGCGUCGUGGAUUUGGCGUGAUUGAAGGCAGUUUGUGGAUUCGAAUCGUGGGCUCGUGGGUUCAAGUGGCGUUCGUGGAUUCGGACGUGUGCAAGGCGUUCGUGGAUUCGAACGUGAGGGCGUGGACAACCCAAAGGAUUGCGCGAGAUUCGUAAGAGGUUAAGAGAGGUCGAGUCCGUGGAGUCGGUAAUCACCUUGUAAUCUUUGCUCUUAGUGAAUUGCUUUUUUUUUCGCGUGUUGGUCUCGUGGGUUUUUCUCCAAGUUAGAGUUUUUCCACGUAAAUCUCGGUGUGAUUUUUAUUUUCUGCAUUUAUUUUUAUCGCAUUGAGAUUUGUGGUUUUUGGCUAUUACACCUAUUCACCCUCCUCUAGGUGUUAGAUACAAUCUAGAUAGAUCUUUGGGCUACCCCAAAACUUACAAUUAGUAUCAGAGCGGGAUCUAGAUAUAUUGCUAUCUAAUGGCCGAAGGCGGUAACAUUAAUCGACCACCGUUCUUCGAUAGCACAAAUUAUGCCUAUUGGAAAGUUCGCAUGAGUGCUUUUCUAAUUGCAAUCGAUGAGCGGGUAUGGCAAUUGAAUUCGGAUGGAAACAUCCAACCAAAGUUGUCGAUAAUGCUACCAUCCCGAAACCGAGAAACAAGUGGACGAAAGAUGAGAAUGAGUCAUCUUCGUUUAACGGCAAGGGCAUAAAUGCUUUAUUUAAUGCAUUGUCUUAAACGGAGUUUACUCGCGUUUCGGCAUGUGAAACCGCAAAGAAAAUUUGGGAUACUCUACAAGUUACGUAUGAAGGAACUAGCUUAGUAAAGAGCCAAACAUGACAAAUGUUAACAAGUAAAUUUGACUCGAUUUUUAUGGAAGAAAACGAGACCUUUACCGAGUACUAUACGCGUCUACAAGACGUUGUUAAUACAUGCGCGAACCUGGGAGAGAAAAUUCUGGAUGCUAAAGUUGUUAGAAAGAUUCUUCGCACUCUUCCGGAACGCUUGCGUGCAAAAGUUGCCGCGAUCGAAACUGUAAAGCAUCCGAACGAGAUAAAAGUCGAUGAGUUAGUAGGUGCUUUGCAAACUUAUGAGAUGACUUUUCCUACUAACCAAUCUUCUUCCAAGUCUUCUUUUAAAAGUGCAGGGGUUGCACUCAAAUCGACAAAGAAAGAAGACGACAAUUCGGAUUCCAACGGAGAUGUUUCGCUUGCUGAUUUCGAACAUCAAUUGGCGCUCUUAACGAAGAAGUUUCGCCAAAAUUUUUGAAAGAAGAAUAAAUUGGACAAGGCUUCAUCGUCUAAGCAACAACCUUUUUCUAAAUCAUCUUCAUCUUCUAAAUCUGAAUUUGAAGGGAAAAUCUAAUGCUACAAAUGUAAAGGCUACGGCCAUAUUGCAACGGAUUGUCCUUCAAAGAAAACAUAUAGACAAAAGGCUAUGCAAGUAAAGACUUGGGAUGAUUCAACUUCUCGUGAAUCAAGUUCAAGUGACGAAGGAAAGAAUGAACUUGCUUUGUUUACUAACACUUAUUUGCCUUCGUCUAAUGUUGUUUGCUUAUCUUCUAUUAUUUCUAAUUCCAAUGUUUCUUCCUUGCAUGGGUCUUCGAGCGACAACGGCGAAAGUGAGGAGGAAUCAAACGACGAGGAUAUAGCAGAAGCAUAUAAUCAACUCCUUAUUGACUCAAAGAAGAUGACAAAACUUAAUAAGAAGUUGAGGCGUCGUUUGUUGGAUCUCGAAGAGGAAAACAACAACUUGAAGACAAUAAAUAAAGCUCUUGAGGAGGAAAGGGAAUUAAUUUCGAAGACUAAUUCGGUCCUCCAAGAGAAGCUUGAUGAAGCGGAAUCAAUGAUCAAAUCCUAUAAAGAUAAAGUUGGAUUUUUGGAGCAUUAAUUUGAAGAAUCGCACAAAUCCAAUCAAUCCUUGACCGAUCAAGUUCGUCAACUCCAAUCCAAUAUUCAAAAAUUUUCUUCGGGAUUGAAGAAAUUGGACCAUAUGCUUGGAUUGGGUCAAACGAGCAAGUUGGGCCUCGGAUAUGAAAGAACGUAUGUUGAGAAGGAUCGAAAGGUAAUACAUAAAGUCUCAACAACUUCGAAAGAGAAGGUGUGCCAUAGAUGUGGCAUCAAAGGACACAUCAAAAAGGGUUGCCGGAACAAGACUAAGAAGAAUCAAUCGGGAACUUCGAAACAUCAAGCGGCACGCUCUACUACUCGACUUCCCCCACGGAAUUCAAAGAAAAAUCAAUUGAGUUGAGCAUCUCGAGGGAAUCGGUUUUCCAAUGCACAACGUCAAUUCCAACCGAAACCUCAAGCAAAUCGAAUCUCUAAGCCUCAACGACAAUUUCAACUAAAGCUUCAAGCAACGAAACGACCAACGGUUGAUCUAAAGUCAAAGCAAACCUUGCCUAACGUCGACAAGCCAAGACAAACAACUAUCCGACAAGUGUGGAUCCGAAAAAGUGAUAUCUUUCCUUGCUCUUUGUCUUAGUUUGUUUUAUUUUUUUUAAAUGCAUUGAGUGGUGCUUAUUGCAUUUUUUUUUUUUCAUUGCAUUACAUGUUUUGAUUGGUGCCUUUUGAUGCUUGGUUUAUGUUUGAAAAUAUGUUUUUUAAAAUCUUUUGAGGAAAAGGUGUUUGGGAAUUAAAAAUUUUCUUUGAGAAAGAAGAUGAUUGAAAAUCAAUACUUUGGGGAGUGUUUUAAAGUACCUCAACCGGAAUUCAAAUUGAAUUAAAUUCAUAUUAAUUACGGGUUUUACUCCACUUUUUAUUAUUUUGACGAUAAUUGAUUAUAUGAAUUCUUAAUACAUAUAUUCAACAAAAUUUUGAAAUAAAUUUUGAUCUCAUGGUGAUUAAUUCAUCUUCGUUGUGAGUGUUGAACAUGAUUGAUGGAUCUUUGCUAAUAGACUAAAAUUUGUCAAAAUUAUUUUUCAAUUGUGAGAUUGUCUAAUUUAGGGGGAGUGUAUAUUAUUUAAAAAAAAGGAAAAAAACUCCUAUGUUUAAAAGAUGUGGAAAGAGUUACAUCCAAAAAGGAGUGUGAAAACUACCACCACAUGUAGGAAAGAGCUACCACCCCGGUCGUCCGGCAAGUGUGUGAAGCUACCACAUGGAGAUUAAUAGAUUAACCGAAAAGGUUGAAAAAAAAAUUGAAUAUGUUAGAUUUUUCGGUGUUAUAAGGUGGUAGGAUGAAAAGAUGCUCAAAGAGCCACCCCCGGUGCCAUAUUAGUUAAAUCUCUAUUUUGAACAAGUUGCGACAAAUUGGUGUCAAUUUUGUUGAAUUUCUAAAAAUCAUUUUUUCAUCAACUUACAUCUUGAUGGUUUUGAAAUAGUAGCUUAUUUUUUAUUUCCAAAUUUUGAUGUUUCAAUGUAUUUUGAAAUCCUAUAAUAUUUUAUCUUCAUCAUAAUGAUUUUUGGAGUACAACUUUUAAUUCUUAUGAAAUUAAUUUAAUUUUGAAGGAUUUUUAAUAAAAAAAUUUAAAAUUUUCAAGUGAAAGUGUACCGGUACAAAAUACCUUGUACCGGUACAAAUUACUGUGCCGCAUUUUUUAUAACCCGUUAUAGGUUUUAUUUCUCACUCAACCCUCAAUCAAAACCUCUCCUCUCUCUCUCUAAAAAUCCCUGGUGCCUUCCUUGUCACGCCCCGGGACCGGCGGAGGCCCUCCCGGUAGCGUGCCCAGACCUGCCAUAUGUCUACACAUAUAAGGCGUCUACGAUAAAAGCGGAAGUAAAAGUAAGUAAUAGAAUAAAUAGAAGAAGUGAAAUAACUAGCAACUAAUGAUAUCAGAGCGAGUAAAGUUUUAACAUCUACACCAAAGUAAAUAAGUAAAGGUAGACAAUAAAAGAAAUCAUAAGUAGUACAACAACUGCCUCUAGUACAAAAAUGGUGGUCUCUAGUACACUGGUAAAACCCUCAACCUCUCGCCAAAAAGAAACACAUCGAGAGGUAGACCACCUAAACUCGUCUCUCGCUGAAGGGCUAACUCGAAGCGACGCCCUUACCACGGUCCCUAGCCUCUCCCGGCGUAGAAGGCUCUGAAAGAAAACAUAAAACAGAGGGCGUGAGAACUAUAAUUUAUAGUUUCCAGUGGGCAAUCACUGACCUCAACUCAUUGCACCACUAGGCCUCAAAAGAAAAGGGUAAGUCUACUAAUAAUAGUAACGAGUAAAUUGCAUAUAAGAAAGCAUAAUUAAGAUGCUAAGCUACGACUUGCAAUUAAACAUGGCAUUCAUAAUGCGACUUUAUCUUGUCAUGGAUAAUAUAUAUAUCUACAUGUUCAUAAGUAAUAUCAUGAUUUACUUUAUACAGAUAUGAAAGUGAUACUUUGUCAUGACUACAGUGCAUAUAAGGAUGCAAUAAACAACAUCUCCUAGCAUACUACAUGUAUGUAUGAAUACCCAAAUGUCCACAACUAUACUAGAAGUAAGUCCAAGUAAUCCUACUACUACUCUCUGUCUAGUAGUGAUCAUAAUAAACUCAACACCGUGUCGAUUUCCAUUUCCAAUUAAGGACCUACCAAAGGUAGUCCAGCUUGUGCCGCCUAAGUGCCUGUGGUAGCCCAACAUCCCUACUCUUGGAAUGUGUCUGUCCCACUCGACCCCGUAGGCUUCUCAAUACCGCACGAGCGAACAUAGGUCGCGUAGGCUAACUCCGGAGUGCCGGCUUGUAGGGAGCGACCCUCACAAGCAUGUGCGAAUGAGCACAAAUGGCAAACAAGCAAGGUCACUGUCUCAAAUACUCUAUCCGCAUGUCUCUAACAUGGCAAGGUCACUAGCAUCCCAAGGAUCUAGCCCAAUGUCUCUAAGUGAUGUCCCAACACUCACUUGCUUAGUGCCUCUUUAUGACACUUAAGCAUCACACUGAUCAAGCUCAAUUCUUGUUCUAUGUUUCAUUUAAACAUUAAUACUAAUGACUACUAUAGCCCGGGCCCAAUGCCUCUUUAUGACAUUGGCCCAAUUCUCAAAUAGUCCAAGUUCUCAAGCCCUCUCUAGGCUUCUAAAAUUCCUAAUGUCCCAAUUGGCAUAUAGGUUAAAUGCAAGAGAGCAAGAUCCGUUUUCAUAAUAGGGAUCAUGGUUCCCAAUCAUAACUAGAAUGCUAAGUCUCACAUGCAUGCACUCUACCACAUAGGGGUCUAAAAUUUCACUAUACAUAAUAUAUGCAUGUUAAGCAUUCUAAAAUUCAUAUUAAAUACAUUUAACAUGGAAAUGCAUGAAUUUCUAUUUUACGAAACAUAUUUGCCAAAUAUGAGCAUUUCUCAUAUCAUAGGCUAGGUCAAACCCACCGAACCGUCGCGUGCUCCUUCGAUUCGCCGAACGGAGUUGUCCACGAGUCUCAAAGUACCCUAAAAGUGAUCAGCGAAGAGAUACGAGGGCAUUACGACCAACCAUAAGAUCAAACAUUAACCUAGAAGCAAAAAGGGCCAAAACUCACCUCAAGAGAAGAAAUCUCUUCCAAAGCUCCAAAAGAGAGCUAGAACCCUUCCAAUCCAAGCCCAAGGAAGGUUCUAAACCAAUCAAUCUAGCCUCAAAAGCCCUAGAUCAAAAAGCCCCAAAAUCAACCCUAAAUCUCAUUUCUAGGGUUCCAUCUACAAAAACUAUCAAAACAAGAUCUAGAGGAGGGAAAUGAGCAACAAACCUCCUUAGAAGCUCCAAUCCUAGCUCCAAGGGUGAAGAUCUCCUCCUAUGCAAGCUCCAAGUCCAAGCCUUCAAGCAUCAACAAGGUGGGAAGAGGAAAAGAGGCAAAGAAAUGCUCCAAGUCCACCAAAACCCUCUCCUUCUCCUUCUUCUCCUCCUUCUUCUUCUCUUUCUCCUUCUCUCUCUAGCAAGGGUGUGGGGAGAGUGUGAGGAGGGAAAUGAGAAGAAGAGAGAGGGGAUGGGUCAUAUAGACCCUCUAUUGUAACAAAAUCCAGCUAGGUCCCUCAAAAAUCCAAAAUUGCAUCAGCCCUAACUGGGCAGUUUUCGCCCAGAGGGACCGGUCUCUCCCCAGCAGGGACCGGUCUCUCGCUGCGAACCCGAAUAACCAACAUUCGGAAACCGGUCUCUCCCUGCGCGGGACCGGUCUCUCACUGCGUAGACGCGCUCGGGGACCGGUCUCGCCCGCCAGGGACCGGUUGCCUCAGGGCUGCCGCAACACUGCUCACUGGGGGACCGGUCUCUCCUUUCAGGGACCGGUCCCCGAGAGUAAAAACUCUCAGGACUGUCCAGAAUUUCAGUUUUCGAACUUUUUAGGUCGAAAAGCAUUCUACAACCCUCCACCAAGUGUGGAAAAGCUCGAAAUACAUCCAAACACUCGAACCUUGCAAUUUGCAAAGGUCCAGUGCGUCACAUUCCUCAUCCAGAUCCAAGUCGUUUCCCCCUAGAUCUGUAAGUUCUUUGUUGGGAUUUAAUCAUUUCAUCCCGGUUUUGCUUAUUUUUCGAAAAUAUUCCGAGUUCAAGCAUGAUCUCUGUUCUUAAUUAUUUUUUAUGCAAUUUUUUGUUGUGAAUUAGUGUUUUGGCAUAUAAUCUUGCUUCUGGGACAUUUAGAUCAUGUUAUAAUGCGUUAUUUUUCGCUGAUCUAUGUUUUGUACCUCUAAAUAUAUGAAAUUUUGGGAUUUCUUGCUGAAUGCCACUUUUACUGAUUAUUCUUGCAUGAAUCUAAUAGAAAUAGUGUUCUUAUGCAUUCUAAUGUUAUUAGAAAUUUUUCCACUAUUUUUACAGAUUUUUUUAGAAUUUUUUCAUGCAAGGUUCAUUUUCUAUGUAGGAAAAAUGGCGUUCUCCCUUUUGUUGCUGCUUUUGGUGCUGAUGGCCGUGGGGAGAGGUCGUGGUCGUGGUAGAGGCCGUCGAGGGGCCUCAAAGAGGACUCGUACUACAGGCGAGUCGACCGGGGCUGAUCCAGAUUACCAAGCGAGCUCUCCAGAGGAUACUGAAGAACUGAUUGCUCCAACUGACAAAGGGAAAGGCAUAGCUGGAGAAUCAUCACGCGGAGGUGGCUCUCAUGCAUGAGAGAGUCGUUCAAAGCAAGCCGCGGAUGUUCCACCGAAGCGGCGGAGGACGUUCUCAAGUAGGUCUUGCAUCGCCGAAAGAUAUGUCAACUUUACCGAACUCAUCCAGGAGGUUCCAGAGUUUGGACGGUUACUACAGAGAGCUCCGAUUGAGCCUGUUGGACGUGUUCUGGCUCAAUCGCCUUUUUGUGUGGAACUCAUCCGAGAGUUCUAUAUGAAUGGAAAGAUUCUUGCUGGAGAUGAGGAGACCGGGACUUAGUUAUUUGAGACCUAUGUGCGGCAGCAGAAGAUCGUCAUCACUCCUCACACGAUUGGAGAGCUUUUGGGCAUGCACGUUGACACCACAGGCCUUCAUCAUACAUUGGGGAUGUAUCAGUCGUCAUCUCACUGGGAGACGGUUAUUCAAGCAAUCUGCAAGGAUGGCGUGAGGACGAAUCAUGCCUACGUGGAAUCCAAGGAUUUGCGACCCGAGUAUCAUUUAUUAUCCUUCGUGAUGUCCUAUAAUGUUCAACCAACAAUUGGGACCAAGAGGAUUCGAUGGGAUCGAUUAGUUCUUCUAUAUCUCCUUGGUCACCCUGAGCAGGCAGAUGGUUUGAACAUCAACAUUCCAUUCCUAAUGUGGCAGCGGAUGGUGCAUGUUAUCCAGUCUUCAGUGCGACGUGAUCUACUUCCUUUUCCAUUGUUGAUCACUCGGAUUUUGUAGGAGAAUGGAGUAGAUGUCUCUUGUGAGAAGUACGACACUGGCCUUGGACCGAUCGAUGCAGUGACUUGGGCCAAGUCGAUUAGCACCUUGAAGACAUUUUAGCAAACCAAAGGAUCUUCCAGAGGAGCUUCGAGUUUAGCACCUCCACCUCGAGCAGAGCGUGAGGGAUCUUCCAGUUCAGGAGGAGUGAUUACUGUAGAAUCACUUUAUCAUGAGGUGCGCUCGUUGAAGAAGAAGGUGGGAGAGCUUGGUAAAAAGUUGGAAGUAGGGAUGAAAAGGAUUUUGGAGAAGCUAGGAUGUAGGCAUGACGACAUAUUUCCUACUCAGCCUACCUACACCACCUACACGAGGUCGACUUCGCGACAUCCGCUUAUUCCACUGCCUACUAGUUCACCGGAUGCAGAAGGAUCUGGAGCUGGGGCAGGCGACGACGAUGAUGAUGAUGAGGAUACCGAGUGAUGUCAUCUUCGAGCUUUGUUUUUCUACUUUACUUUGCUUUUUANUCUCUUUAACUUGAGAAGUGAUCAAAUCAUGAAUCUCUUCUUUAGUCAAAGAGGUAGUCUCUUUAGGAACAGUUGUUUUAGCCUGUUCAUCAAUGACUUGGGGUGCGGGUGCUUCUGUCCGAGCUGGAGUCUUGGUUUGAUGUCGUUGAUUCUCCAACUGCUUCUGUACAUUCAUCAUCAAAUCCAUAACCUCCUCCAUUUUCUUAUAGAGACAUAUAAUAUCUCUAUCUUUUUCAUCAACUUUCUUUUUCAAGGAUGCGAUUAUAGCAUCCUUUGGAUCCUUCGGGAAGAAUACAACCUCUUCUUCCUCCCGUGGAUCAGAUAGAUCACCAGGUAAAUCAUCUUUAUUCCCGGUGUUUUGCGAAGAGCUUGCUUCCUUAGCUCUUGCUUUCUCUUCCGCGGCUUUUCUUGCAGCAGCUCUUGUAAGCAUUUGCUGAAUGGUUUCAGCUUCGUCAACCGGCUCACUUGACGACGUAUGCCCAAUAACUCUUACUGUGUGAAUCUCCAAAUUUUUAGAUUUUUCUUCUUUGAUUUGAGUAAGAGUUUUGGGCUUCCAUUCUGUUUUUCUCCCUUCAUGGGAUGGCGUCGACUUUCGUUGCCAUUUUGGCUUCUCAAUCUUCUUCUCUAUGUUUAUCCUUCCCUUUGCAGCCUUAAAGGCUUUAUAUAUCCGCUUGCAGACAGGAUCCUCGUUAUUGUUUCUCGAACGAGAACAUGCAGGGGAAGGCUUUAAGUGGGCCAUUUCUGACUCUGGGCGCAGAACGGCCGUAGGUGAGUUUUUCGUCACAAACCUCAGGGGUGCAUAUCGGUUUUGGACCAAAACAUCAGGUCCAGCGACAAACCUAGUAAGUUGGGUUUGUCGAGACUUCUGUUCCUUGUUCAUCUCUUGCCGCUUCAAAGUACAGCGAAGAUUUCUUUUGAAUGCCUUUUUCAUAGGAGACACAGCAUUCUUGGGGAACGUCAGCCUAUUGAAGACUGACGCUUUAGGCGCCAUAUCAAGUGGCGAUGUUCCCUCACUUCGAUUUUGGAACACCAGCCUACCUUGUAGCUCCAUUCUCUUUGAAGCACUGAUAGGCGUGAUCCUCUCCCUCACAGGGACACGAGAGGCGUUAAGAGUCAUCCUCUCCUUCAUUGGAACGCGAGGAGGGUUGGGGAUGACGACAUUCGGGCGCCUUCCACGAGAGGGAAGGCGGGGAACCACAGUCUUAACGAUGUCGGUGCUGGUAGCAGCAGUGAAAGGGGCCAUAGCAGCAGCCCUAGCCUCUUCCGGGAUGGUGCCGAAUUGGAUCGUGGCACCGGCAGCUCCGAAAGUGAGGAUGGAUGCUGGCAGGGAAACCUGACCCGCCUUGAUCGUCAUCGAACCCGCAGCAGUGUUCUUAGGUGCCAUUUCUCCCUGCAAGGGAAUAACGAGUGUCGAUUAGAUAUUUAUCAUUCAAUUCUAUUAGCAUAACAUUGGUCUCAAAGAUGGAAGGAGAAGCCAGGUCCCACUGGGCGUGCCAUUUUGUCUGCCACCACGAAUGACGCACCUCGCACGAGAAAUUUUAUUUUGAUUUUACCGUGGGGUAGUAUUCAUGAUGUAGAUUAAAGUAUGUGUAUGUAUGGUUAUCAGGUAUUGUGGAUCCAUGGCUUCCAAUAAACGCAAGCGUUUAUUGUUAAUUAUCCCUACAAAGUGUUAGGGCACCUUCGAUUAAGAGACCUUUGUAAUGCUGUGAUUAAAUAAAACAUAAUUCAGUAUGACGGUCGAUUGACCAAGAUAUUAUUCAUCCUAAGAUGAAAGGUUGGUUAAAUUCCCAGUAUAUACAUUGGAAUCAGAUUUGAUUCAAAUUAAACUCUAAUUAAAUGAAUUAGAGUUUGAUUUAGUUAAUUAAACUUUAAAUGUGAUAAAGUCCAAUGAGAUUUGAUUUAAGCUUUCAUCCUAGAUGUAUAUGUUAGGAUUAGCUCAAAUAUUUUGGAUUAGACUCUAAUUUUAUAUUUUAAAGUCUAGUAUAAUUAAGCUCUAUGCUUAUAUGUUCGAGCUCAAUUAAGUUCACCAUAAAGCCAAAUAUUAACUAAAUCCUAAUUAUAUGUAUUAGGACUAGUCAAAAUUUGAUUUAAAUUAAACUCUAAGUGUAUGUAUUAGAGUCUAAUUUGGUUUCACAUGAACUAAAUCCCAAUUAUAUAUAUUAGGAUUAGUCAAAUAUUUUUAAAUUAAACUCUAAAUGUAUAUAUUAGAGUCCAAUUUAAUUUCAUUUGGGUUCGCCAUAACAUGAAUUUAUGUCCAACAUGUAGCGAGAUGCGGACCAAAUCCUAAUUAUAUGUGUUAGGAUUAGCCGAAAUUAAACUCUAAGUGUAUGUGUUAGAGUCUAAUCAAGAGAUGAAUCAACUAAAUCCUAACUUUAUAAGUUAGGAUUAGUUAAAGUUUAAACUCUAAGUGUAUGUAUUAGAGUUUAAUUUAAUGAACUCUAAGUAUAUAUAUUAGAGCUCAAUUGAUUUGAUCGGGUGAAACCUUGUAUAUGGUUUGAUCAAUUCUAAUUAAAUAUUUUAGAAUUUGAUCGAGUUUGAAUAUGUCAAGAUUUAGCUCUAGUUAUAUAUGCUAGAGAAAAGGUUUGAUAUGGGCUCAUUUGGAUUGGAAUUAAUUGGGUUGGGUUCGGCUUGGAUCAAUUUGGAUAAAUAAUUGGAUUGGGUUUGGUUUAAUUGUGUAGGUUGGCUAUUGGGUUUGGAUUCAGGUUUAACAUGGACUGGUUUCAUUUUGAUUUGGAUUUAGGCUUCAUGUUUUGGUUUGGAUUUGGGCCUCAUAUUUUGAUUUGGAUUUGGGCUUCAUAUGGGCCGAAUUCAUUUUUAGGUUGAGGUUUGGGCUCAAUAUGGCUCAUUUGGUUUGGGUUGAGAUUUGGGCUCAAUAUGGGAUUUGGAUUUGGGCUAAAGUUUAAUUGGAUUGGGUUAUAGGUUAUGGGUUAGAGGUAACGGUUAAUGGAUUUUGAGUGAGGUUAAGGUUAAUGGGUUUGAUUUCAAAUCUUGAUUUUGGUUAAAUAUUUGGAUUUGGUUUUAGUCCAUAUGAGGAAAUCCAUCAUCUGAAUGGGUUUUCAGUGCAAACAUAGUUUGGAUUAGCUUGGAUUCAAACUUGGGUUUGGACUAGGUGUGGCUUCAUGUAAUUCAAGUUAUGAUCCAAUUCUAUUAUGGAUUCAUGGUCCAAAUUUGGGCCCGUGUAGUUGUAUGGUAUGAAUUCAAGUUGAGGCCUGAAUUGGAUGUGGGCUCGGGCUCAAUUUAGGCCCGUGUGGUUUAAGCCUAUAUUUUCCUUUAGGCAAGUUACAGAAUUGGGCCCAGAAAUUUAGGCCUGUAUAAUUGCAUUCAGGCAUGGACUAAUUUUGGGCUUAUGGAUUCGGGUAUGGGCUAUAUUCAGGCCCGUAUAGUAUGGAUUCAAGUUGAGGCCUGUCAUUAAGUUCUGGAUGUGGGCCUAGGCUCAGUUUAGGCCCGUAUGACUUAGGUCCAAGUUUUCUUUGAGCAAGCUACAGAAUUGGGCUCAGAUUCAAGUUUGGGCUGAUUUUGAUUAUGCUGAGCUUGAGUUAUGUAACUUCAGGUGAGUAUGGGCUUAUUCCAGAUAAGAUUUUGAGAAGGAAAUUAUUUAGAAUUUGAGAUCAAAAUAUUUAAAUAUAUGGUUCAUAAUCAAAUUCAUCACAAAUGCACUUUUUUUUUAUUUGUCAAAUUCUCAGUUAUGAAUCACACACAACAUCCAAGGUAAUUAAAUUUUGAUUCGAUCUAAUUCGACCAAAUCGAAAGAUUCGAUCAAAGGGUUCGAUUAUUUUCGAACACGAUCGAAAGAAUAUUAAUCUUUAUUGGAGGAGAGUUAAGAGAAUACAUUUUUUUCUCUUUAUCUCCUUUGAAAAUAUAAGACAACAUAAUUCUUUUUCGUCUUCUUUUUUUUUUACAUUCAUGGGACAACUAAGGUGGGGAAAAAAGAAUCCCUUCCUUGCCUCCCUAACAGUAACAAAGCUCUCUCUCUUUCUCAUUUUCAUAAUUGGAGAAGUAAUAGCACAUCGAUGACGAAGUAUUUCGUCGAAUGAUUGGUUGGUAAAUGAGAGCAUCGCUCUCUUUAUGAUUUGCCACCGAGCAAUUAGCGGGCGAAUUUUGUUUGAGAGGAGAGCACCGCUCUUUCUCUCAGGAUCGCCGUCAAGCGGUUGGUGGGCGGACUCCGGGCACAUCAAGCACUUGGCGGGCGGAACCCGUUUGAGAGGAGAGCACCGCUCUCUCUCUCAGGAUCGUCGUCGAGCAGCUGGUUGGCGGACUCCGGGCACAUCGAGCACUUGGCGGGCGGAACCCGUUUGAGAGGAGAGCACCGCUCUCUCUCUCAGGAUCGUCGUCGAGCAGCUGGCGGGCUUUGUUGAUACCGGAGCUCCGCUGGGGCUGUGACCCGACAGUGGAGCCGCGGAUCUGAGACCGUGACGAAGGAGGGCCGUGACGGCGACACUCUGCAGCGGUGAAGGGCCACGACAGUAGCAGGGCAUCGACGGAGCUGCGGCUUUCGAGGUGGAGCGACGCGGCAUCAGAGGGAUGUCCUCGGGUUCGAGCCAUCAAAGUCGACGACGGCGCGCGGGCGUCGACAGAUCGGCCGAGAUCACGAGCAGAGUCAUGGGCGGCGGUUCGGCAUGGGCAUCGACGAAUUGGCCGCGGGUGGCGCGACUUCGGGCGGAUCGGCCGCGGGUGGCGCGGCUUCAAGUCGAGGGCGGCAGCAGGACUCGGUGGAGCUCGACGGAUUGAGCACCGCGGCUGCCGACGACAAGGGAAGACGAGGCAAAGCUCGGUGAAGCUCGGUAGAGGCGGGGCUGAGACAUGGCGGAGCUCGACGAAUCGAGCACCGCGGCUGUCGACGACACGGGCGUGACAUGGCGGAGCUCGAUGGGUCGAGCACCGAGGCUGCCGAUAAUACGGUAAGACGAAGCGAAGCUCGGUAGAGCUCGGUGGAGACGGGCACGACACGACGGGGUCUAUGGCAGGGUAUUUGGCGUCGCUCUUAAAGAUAUUCUCGGUGGCGGUGAGGUCGGCACCGGAGCGGAAGACGCGGCUGCGUCCGGCGAGGACCACGACGGCUCCAUGGUCGCCGCUUCAUUCGGGCAUUUCGUCGAACACGUGGUGGAUGCCGCUGCAGGUAUUGAUGAGCUCGGCCUCUAUCCGGGCGUGGUAGGUGUGGGUGUCGGCGUAGUCGAGGAGCUCGNNNNNNNNNNNNNNNNNNNNNNNNNNNNNNNNNNNNNNNNNNNNNNNNNNNNNNNNNNNNNNNNNNNNNNNNNNNNNNNNNNNNNNNNNNNNNNNNNNNNUAAUAAAUUAAUAAUAAUAAUUAUCUAAUUAUUAAUAAUUAAUUAUAAAUAAUAAAUUAAUUAAUUAUUUAAUUAUUAAAGUAAUAAAUAAUGAUUUAAAUAUAUUAAUUAGAUUAAUUAAUAAUUUACUGCCAUUAAAAUUAAAUUUAGAUUUUAAUUAAUCUUGUUCUCAUCAAGGAACAAGCUAGUUCCAGGAAACGGGUGGAACAGCAGUUUCAGCCUUAUACCAGCUUAUUCCAGAAACCCGAGAACUACUGUUCUCGGAAACCAAACAUACCGUUUGGGAAUAAAGGUGGGAACAAGGACUUAUUCCCCCCUUGUUCCUGAACCAAACGUUACCUAAGAGAAAAGAUUAUAAGGUGAUUACCGACUCCACUGACUCGACCUCUCUUAACCUCCUAUGAACCUCGCGCAAUCCUCCGGGUUGUCCACGCUCUCACGUUCGAAUCCCCGAACGCCUCGCACACGUCCGAAUCCACGAACGCCACUAGAAUCCACGAGCUCACGAUUCGAAUCCUCGAACCACCUUGAUCACGCCGAAUCCACGACGCCGUCCAUGAAAAACAUCAUGCUAUGGUGAUUCUUCGCUUAAAAUAUUGAUGAAGAACCAGAGACCAAACUUUAAGCGAAGUUUUAGAUCAAUUCAACAUUUAGAUCUCGAAUUACGAUAUCUCGAAUUGACCUACAAGAGGCUAUUUUGUAGAAAAUAGGUUUUGGACGAAAUCCUAGCCUCUAGGGUUUCUCAAACAUGAAUUCUCGUGAUAAUAAUUCAGUUAGAGAACCCUAAUAUCUUAUUUAUAGACCUUAGAAUCAAUUAGAGUCAUAUUAGAAAGUUUUCGGAUUUUUACACUGCGUACCGGUACUAAAUCAAGUUGUUACCGGUUACAAAAGGACGACACAGAAAACCGUCUCAACACUGAUAACCGGUUACAAGGUCAAUGUUGUACCGGAACCAGUUUAGUACCGGUACUCUUUCAAUGCUGUACUGGUACCAUAUACAAAUUUUCCAGCAAAACUUGAUUUCGGGUUUCACAAAGUUCUAAAACACUUUCUAAUCCACUAAACUUUGAUUUUUAUGAUUCUAAUGUCUAUAACUAAAUAUGAAUCACCAUAACAUGAAUUAAAACUUACCUGAGCAUCGUGAUUCACAUCGUGAGUUAUUCCUGAUUUCUUCGAAGUCUUGGAUUCUUCGAUUUUCGACGAUAUGCACCGAUCCUUCAAGACUCUGACUCAAUUCACGAAACUUGCAAACACAUAAUACUUAACAGAUAGAUAGUCAUUUCUAAACAAAUGCAGCUAUUAUGACUGAACAAGAAUGCUCACAAUAUAUGAUGCUCAUGAUGCAUGCCGAUUACCAUUCUCAGUGCCCAAUCCUCUUGGCUAACCCGUAGGUUUCACCCCAAAACUCACCAACCAAAUCCCUACUAUCGAGGAGAAACUCCUACAACCUGACGGGACCGUCCUCUAGGGAAACUACAACCCAGUGAUGACUACUCCGAAGCUCAUCGCUUGAGAGGGAGUUACCGCCCUCAAGCCAAGACUUACAGGUGAGUAUGUUCCAAUCCACAACUCUGAGGAUGCCAUGUUCACUAAGAGGAUGCCAAGAUCACUAAUGCCACAACACACCAAGUGUUCUAUUCUCAAGCAUGCAAUGCCACAAGGCGCUAUUCUACUCAAUUGUCACAAUGUCACAAUGUCGCCAUGUCGCCAUGUUCUCUAUCUCGGCGAACUCAUGUCUCAAAUCAUACAUCUAUAGGGUUCACAAGCAUAAUAAACAUGUUCAUAACCAACUUAUAUGCAUCUUUAUACUCAAAAGCAUGCAAGAUAUAUUACAAUAUUGCCAUUUAGCCAUUUAAACCCUACAAUGCAUGAAUCCUACAUAUACAUACAUGCUCAAUGGGUGACAUUUAGACAUAAAGAGAAAUCCGAUGAUUUUGGAAAGCACCACACACCUCGCAGGGUCGCUAAGAUGCUAGAAUCUGAAUCUCACAAUUUUUGGUCGCCAAUUGCCUCGACCCUUGGCCAACGAAGCCGAAAUGGAAUUUUUCCUCAAUUUCUUGGCGUAGACUCGUCAGAACUUCGAUCCGAGCCUCCCGACACGUCAGCUUACUCGUCAAUUAGGGCUACAAGAGAUCAAACCCUAGUUAGAUCUCAUAUCUACCAAAACCCUAUUUUAACCCUAGGGUUUCUAAUAAUUCUCAUAUACUCACUAAUACAUGGAGAUUCAUAGAUUAAUCUACCAUACAAGUGUAAUAUACUGAAUCUGGGCCUAUUGACAAGUUCAAGGGUUGGAAUGGUUUUUGAAAUUGAGUUACGACGUUUGAUAGACCUUUGAAAGGUUUUGACAAGUUACUGAAGUGAGAAAGUAACUGGAAGUGAAAAAAAUUGCAUCGCAAAUGUAUUAUCAAUUGCAAUGCUUCGGAAUUGGUCAAUUGCGAAGUUCGAAUGCGGGAAAUGGUAAGUGGAACUACCCUACAUAUUCUAAAGGGCUUAGACAAGUUUUUGGACAAGUUAGAGAGUGAUUGGAGGGUUAAGAGCAAGAAAGUGCAUUGAACGGACGAAAACAGCAUUUUUCNUCCCCCACCUAACGCGCAGACGCCCUCAUCGCACGUCGAGUCGCUGCCGGUUCGCAUAGCCUUCCGCGCGGUCCAUCGUGCCUUCGCGCGCAAUCGGCCAUGUGCCUUGCUCCCAAUGUCCGCAUCUAUCCCCGCACCAACACCUAGUGUCUUGCCCCUCUGAGCAAGUGCACCAGCGAGCCUGUUGUGAGAAGAAUUCGCCGGAUGUGCAUGUCCUCCGCGACACACAUGCGCACUCUGCGAAGCUGCAGAACGCCCCCGGUGUGCAUGUCCUCCUCGACACGCACGCGUACUCCACCAAGCCGCUGAACGCCUCGAGUGUGCAUGUCCUCUACGACACGCACACGCAUUCCGCCAAGUUGCAGAACACCUCUUGGUCCUCGCAGGCUUCUUGGCAGAAUGACUUGCACUUUGCUUAGACGGUGGCUGCUCCAGCGCCGCGUGAGACUCGAUACUCUCGCCACUGCUUUGGCCCUCCUCCUCGAGGUCCCCAGCCUUCCCGCGCUUCACCUCCUCGCAAAGCUGCAGGGCUGUCAGAGUUGAACUCUCGUUGCACCCUUUUGCGUCCCCUGGAUCGCGGUGCUCUCCCCCACCUUUGGCCUCGCUCGUCUUUGGUUGUUCACCUCGAUCGCCCUCGGUUCGCUCAGGUAGUGCCUCCCUCGUCUUGAGGUCCUCGACCUCCUUGACCUGGGCACCGAUGUCCUGAAGCAGCACAUCUCGCACAUCCCGGUCGUCGUUGCGAUGGGCAAGAUUCACUUUGAACUGCUCCAGACGAUGGCGGAAUGUUGCCAUAGCUGCAACAAUAUCCUUCUCCAUCAAAUGAAACCCCUCCUCCAACAUCCCCACAUGCUGGGAUAGGUCGGAGUAGCGCUUCUCCGCUCUCGCAGCAGAGUCCUGCAGCAUGCCUACGUGGUCGUCAAGCAAGAUGGACUCUCUCGCCAGAGUCCGCGGCUCCUUGCUCUUGCCGCGCUUGGUCGCCUUGGACUCAGGCACAAUAUCAACAACGACAGCUUCCGAUGAAGACAUGGUUCCUCCUCGAACCGUCUCUGAUACUAACUAUCACGGCCUUAGCGUUUCUGUUCGCAAAGCCCGUGCGGCGCCCACCUUCCUGCUCGAAGAUGGGCAAGCCUUCGUCCCUAUUGCUAGCCCGGACCUUCGCGUCUUAUGGCUAAAUAUGCAAAAGGAAUGAGAGAGAGAGAGAGAAAGGCAGAGGUUCACUCAAAAAAAACUAAGUACUCCACUACUUAGAAAAAGAGAAUUACAACCUACAAACACAAUCUCUCUUGUGUGUUUUGACCUUAGCCAAACCCCACUACUUAUAUAUUCCUAGAUACAAUGAACCUAGACACACACUAACUCUCUCAUUAUGACACACAUUAACUCACCCUCAUAGUGAGCCAAAAGCCCAAGAGUCACCCUAUUAACUCUUGGUAAUUUCAUAACCCUUGAGCUUCCAUCAUUGAUGGAAGAAGUUACAAAACCCUUUGUCUUCCCACAGCGGGUUGGGUUCGGGUCUCUUUAACAACCCGCUCCGCUAGCGAAGUUGGGCCACUGUCAAAGAGAAGUCAGCGGAAAACAUUUUGUCCGUGACAGUAGGCACUAAAUGAUAAAAAGAAUUCGUAACAAAUACUAUUAACAUACUAUCAAUAGCAUGUAUAAUUGAGCUGACAGUAUAUGAAUUGUGUUCACUAUCAAUUUUUUCAUUCUUGAUCAUUAUUCUUCCACCAAACCCCACUAAACCCUAGGCAUUAAAUAAUAAAAAAAUUUGGUAGCAAAUACUAUUUUUAUACUAUCAAUAGUAUAUAUAAUUGAGCUAAUAGUAUAUGAAUAAUGUUCACUAUCAAUUCUUUCACCCUUGAUCAUUAUUACUACACUAACCCCACUAAACCCUAGGCGUUCAAGGAUUAAAAUAAUUAGUAGUAAACAUUAUUCUCGUACAAUCGAUAGCAUUUUAGCCUCAUUAUAUAUGAGAUUUUUUUGCAUUUGGCCCCUUGAAAAAAAUUUAUUUUAAAAAUAGCCCAAACAAAUUUAUAUUUACAAAAAUGACCCUAACCCUGCCACGCAGGCGCCACGUCAACGCCACGUGAGCGGGCUUGGGCCAGUUUGUUAAGUUAAAUACGGUGAACCAUUCACCGUGUCUAAAUACGGUGAAUGGUUCACCGUGUUCCAUACUUAUAUUCCUCUUAUUCCCCAUUUCUCCCUUUUCAAUAUAAGUACCGUGUUUUCAAUAUAAGUACGGAACACGGUGAACCAUUCACCUUGUUUAAACACGGUGAAUGGUUCACCGUGUCUAAAAAAAAAAAUAUGUAUUGCAAAAAAAAAAAUAUAAGUAUUGAAAAUGGAGAAAUGGAGAAUAAGAGGAAUAUAAGUAUGGAACACGGUGAACCAUUCACCGUGUUUGAACACGGUGAAUGAUUCAGUGUGUUCAACUUAAAACCCUUCUGCUUGCGUGGCGUUGAUGUGGCGCCUGCGUGGUGGGAAUAGGGCCUAAUUUGUAAAUAUAAAUUUAAUGGGGUUAUUUGUACAAAUUUUUUUUUGAGAGGGCCAAAUGUAAAAAAAGCCCUUAUAUAUUUUAUAUAGAGAGAGAGAGAGAUGUUAAGGACUUUUCUAAGUUGGCGGAUUUCGUGAAGUUGAAUGGAGUCUUGAAGAGUUGAAGAUGAAGAUUGAAGCGAAGAUUGUGUGAUUCAAGAACUAAAGACUCGUUCGUGAUGCUCUGAAUCUCAGGUAUGUAUGUUAAUAAUAUGUGGUGAGAUUCUAUACAAUUGAUAAGUGUUUGGAAGACUUAUAAGGUUUUUAACUGUAAAAAACUAGACAAAACUGAGCCUUUCGAGGUUCAGGGUCUGGACCUUAAGUGCGGGUCCGGACCCUAAGUGUGGGUCCGGACCCCGUAGGUCCUCUCUGCGUAAAGACUACGAGGGACUGGACCCUGGAGCAAGGGACCGGACCCCGUACGUUGAUUUUUCUAUUACGCAGAGAGGUUCCGGACUCUAGAGUGAGGGACCGGACCCCGUAGCCUAUAAAUUUUGGUACGCAAAGAGGGUUCGGACCCUGGCUUCACGGACCGGACCCCUCGGGAGGUCCGGACCCUGAGACCGUAUUUUGUUUUUAAAAUCGUGUUUUUAAAACCUUAAUCUAUCUAUAAAUCUUUUAAACCUAUAAAUAAGCUAUGGGGAGCAUCCUAUAAAAACAUGCUUAGAAAGAAAACCUUUUUAAAAACCCUAAAACUUGUUUUGAAGAUUUUCGAUCAAUGUUUUAAAAAACAAGCUUUUGUUUUUCGAUCGCCGACUCGAUUCUUUGGUUUCCAUUUCUAUAUUUCUUUGAGAAUCAAACCGGUGAUGGAUUGAAAGGUUUCUCCUCGUAUCUUAUUAUCUUUCUAAGAUUCAAAUCACCACCAAUCACUAUAUUCUUCGAGCUAGCUCCGGAUGGAGUGGUGGCGCGUGUACUUCGCGUGAGGCCGUGGAUUCGGUGGACGCAUCGUGGAGUCGAGGCGUUGUUGCUGCGAGGAUUUGCUAUGUGGUCAAUUGGAGGACUUCGAUCGAUCGAGGACCGGCGAAGAUGAUCUACAACGAGGAUUCGGUAAAAUUGGGUCGUGUGUUUGGUAAAUCACUUGUACUCAUACUUUGUAUAGUGGAUUGUUUUCGUGUGAUCAGUCCCGUGGGUUUUUUACUCCGAGUUGGAGUUUUCCCACAUUAAAAUCUCGGUGUGUUGAUUUUAAUUUUUCGCAAGUAGUUUAAAUUUGCAUCAAGAAUUUUUGUUUUAUCGUUACACCUAUUCACCCCCCUCUAGGUGUUAUUUACCUAUUAGAUCUUUGGGAUCCAUAUCUCACAAGUGGUAUUAGAGCGGGUAUAGGUUGUAAACUAUGGCCGAGGGCGGUAACAUUAAUCGACCCCCACUCUUUGAUAGCACUAAUUACGCUUAUUGAAAAGUUUGUAUGAGAGCGUUUCUUAUUGUCAUUGACCAGCGGGUUUGGUAAUCGAUUGAAUUUGGAUGGAAACAUCCUAAUGAAGUAGUCGAUAAUGUUACUGUCCCUAAACCUAGAAAUAAGUGGACGAAAGAGGAAAACGAAUUAUUUUCGUUCAAUGGAAAAGGUAUCAAUGCUUUGUUUAAUGCUUUAAAUCAAACUGAAUUUUCUCGUGUUUCGGCGUAUGAAACCGCCAAAGAAAUUUGGGACACUUUACAAGUUACACAUGAGGGUACAAGCUUGGUAAAUGUUCAAAAAUUGCAAAUGCUAACUAGUAGAUUUGACUCAAUUCACAUGGAAGAAUAUAAAACCUUUACCGAGUAUUAUACUCGUCUUCAAGAUAUUGUUAAUACUUGUGCUAACUUGGGAGAAAAGAUUUCUGAAUCUAAAGUUGUUCGAAAAAUCUUAAGAACUCUUUCCGAACGAUUUCGUCCAAAGGUUGCGGCCAUAGAAAUGGUAAAACAUCCGGAUGAAUUAAAAGUAGAAGAAUUAGUUGGUACACUUCAAAUUUAUGAAAUGACUUUUCCUUCUAAUUCAUCUUCAUCCAAGUUGUCUACUAAAGCUUCAGGUAUGGCUCUUAAAUCAACAAAAGUAGUUUAAAUUUGCAUCGAGAAUUUUUGUUUUAUCGUUUACACCUAUUCACCCCCCUCUAGGUAUUAUUUACCUAUUAGAUCUUUGGGAUUCAUAUCUCACAAGAGAGACAGUCUCUGAUUAUUGCGCUUUUAAAAGCAUCAAGUACUUAGUACUUGUAAGUUUUCCACCGUUAGAUCUAUCUAUUUUACCAAUUCCACCCUUAGAUUAUACUAUUCCACCAACCACCAACUCGACCCUAGGAGACCACUAUUAUUUUUAUUCGACAAAUCUUCAUCCAAAUGCCGAAAAUCUAUAAACACUAAUGUCUUGAUACUUUUAAAAGUAGAGGAGCUCAAUUCUAUAUAUAUUUCGGGUCAUGUUUAGGAGGAAGACAUUUUAAUAAAUCCAAAUGGCUAAAUUACAUAAAACCCUUAUGUCAAAAUCCGAUUUUUCACUUUUCCCUCCUGUCGUUUAAAAACCUACACUUUGCCCUCUUGUAAAAUGAAAAAUGUUCACUUCGCCCCUUACCGUUAGUAAUACGAUAGGAUUUCGUUUAUAAAAUAUUAUUAUAUAUAUUUUUAUGCUAAAAAUGCCGUCAGCAUUCUCUCCUGUGAAUAUGAUGAUGGGCAAAAUGGUUAUUUUAUCAUCACAGUUUACACCGUACCCCCUGUGAAUAUUUUUUAUUUUAUAAGGGGGCAAAGUGUAGGUUUUUAAAUGACAGGAAAGAAAAGUGAAAAAUUAGAUUUUAAUAGAGGGGUUUUCUGUAAUUUAGCCAAUCCAAAAUGUGAACUUAAAUUAAAAGAACGUAAAUAAUACUAGAAACAUGAUAGAAUUUAAACACCGAACCUCACGGUACGGCGGUACCGAGUCAAGUAAUAUGAAACAAGCCUUAAUCCUUAAUAAGGUAUAGCCGUCGGAGACAGAUCUAACCCAAAAGAAGAAACACCGACCAGCCAAACCAUUGAAAUUUCCAACGGUAAGGCCCUUGCGUGAGCGAAGGGUAAUUAAGUGCGCGAGUGUGAUAAGACACACAGAGGAACACAGGGACUAAGGAUUAGCGUGUAAUUAAUAGGAGGAAGAAAAUACUGGGGAGAACGAAGACAAAGAACAAUACCAAGUCGUGACCAAGAAAGGUAGAUAGCAUAAUCAGGUAAAAACUAAGAACCGUAAAGUUUACGGUUUUACCGCAAACAAUACCGAGUGAAGACCAAGAAAAGUAGAUAACACAAUCAGAUACAUACUAAUAAUCACAAAGUACAGUUUUUCAGUUCCAGCAAAAAUUUCCAAUAGUCAAGAUGUGGUUUCGCACAAAAUUAAAUGCAUCCUAGGGAGGACAAAGACAAAGAACAGUAUCAGGUAAUGACCGAGAAAAGUAGAUAACAUGAUCAGAUACAUUCUAAGAACUGUAGAAUUCGCCAGUUUUUCAGAUUGAUCUGUUGUCAGAGCAAAAAUGUCCAAAAGUCAAGACGCUAUUUAUCACAAACGAAUGUGUCAUAAAGAAACACACAUUUAGCUCUAUCUCACAUAAGGAAAAGGUGGCUCCACAAGAAGUGUUCGACAGAAUAGUUUGAAACUCGGAAAACCAAAAAAAGAAAAAAAAAAUAAUCAAAUUUUCACCAGAUCAAUCAACUUUGAACAAAGAUAUACAGGCAUCAACCGAGAAAGGCACAGUAAACAUAUGAGAAUGAUACGUUUUAUCUAUACAGCCGCACAUGUAUAUCGACGAAUUGAGCAAGCAAAUGCAACUCAUUUACAUCAGGAGCAGAAUAACCUGAUCGUAGUGUACACCCAUUGAUCUGACACGGUAUCGUAAUCAGAUUAUCAGGAGAUUCUGGGAAGGGUCAAACAGGUCAUGUUUGGCCCACACAGUGUGCCACCGCUCAUGAGCAACACCCUCCAUAUGGUUUUGCAUGGUUUUCUUGUUUCUGUUUCAAAAUGUUCCUCUUCCCAACGGCAGAUCCUUCCUCUAAAAGACUUGGUACCUCAAGAAUCUGCACAGGAAACAACAAAUAGAAUGUAAUGUGGAGACAAGAAGGAUAGAAACAAAAACUUUUAACCUAUGAAUAGGUGUUGCAACCCACCAUUAGCAAGGCAAAACACGUUAUAUCAAAGGGGGAACUUCAGAAAAAGGGAAAUAUGGGAUAGCAUAUUUUCACAUCGGUGCCCAGUAGUAUCGUUACUGUCUAAUAGGUAUCCUGAGAUUGCUAUUUUGUUUUGUCCUACGAACCUUACCAUCUGCCCCAUUGGAAUUCAGUUUCGAAUCAGGUUUCACUCAUGUUUGAGUCAGACUUAAUUAGAACCCAUAUACAAACCCAACUGCUAACGGGUUUUUUAUUGGAGCUCAAGUUCAAAACCACACUCAAACAUAAUCCAAACGCACUAAUAUAAAAAACUCAAAUUUUAAUGGGACUGAGUGAAAGGUCCUUACGGAAAACCAUUAGUCAUUAUUGCUUGGCAAAAUGAGCUAUCUCAUUGCCUACAGAUAAGAAACAGAAAAAUAUAACCCGCAAUCUGCGAGCAGAAGGGACCGAUUAAUUUGGGCAUUUCAUUCGUUUAUACUAUGGUUUUCCAUAAGGACCUUUCCCUCAAACAAGAUUCGGAAACAGGAAAAAGAGAGUAGAGCGGAAAAACUCAUGGAAUAAAAAUUAAAGCCGAGAUCAUAAGACAGCCGAGAGUUUUUGAAGCCUUACUAGUUACUCAGAACUUUUGAUCCAAAUAUAUUCUUCACUACAUAUGUGGUCCAAUUUUUAAAGCAAAUCCUGAUUAACCAAUAGAAUGGAUAUAACCUAAUAAGAUAGUACAGGAAAAUAUGGCCAUCAUGCUCUUGGUAAACUAACUCACUAUUACCCUGCAUGACUGUAUACAAGCUCCAUGCAUCACUUGGCUCUAUUAUCAGUAUUUCAAAAGUUAGAAAUCAUUUUUUGGUUAUAAAAUCAUUUUAGGUCCUUGAAAACUUCAAAAGAACAAAUGUAAGCAUAUAGUUUUAAAGAAGCAAAUCAAAAAGCCUAAACUACAGUAAGAAAGUAGAUACUCUACCCUUCAAGUGGCCUUUUAGUUUCAGGACAGUCCAACAACUAGCCCUGUAAACAAUUUCACAUAUUAAAGAACCUAAUUUAAGUAGGAAAACAUGAAGAAAACAUUCCUUAAACCGUCAGAUUUGAGUUGGUUAGAAUAGUAGUAUGCAUCAUAAAAGUAAAGAAAUUUAAAUUAAAUAUGUUACCAUUAAACUAUAAACUAUCUUAAAUCUUUACAAGGCACACCUUUAGCACGAGUUCUUCAAAGCAUUUCUCAACAUUUUCUUGUGUUUUUGCACUGCACUCAAGGAAUAAACAACCAGAUUCUUUUGCAAAAGAAACUCCCUCUUCUCUUGUCACCAUUCUUUCACUCUCCUGUUACAAAAAUGUAAUUGUUAGUGGCAGAAACAUAAACAUCAGACAGCGAUAUAUUAAAAAGAAAAAGGAAAAAUCUUAUCUUCAUAAAGAAAUCUCACAAAUAUAAAAGAAUCACAGUAUCACAUAUAUGAAGGAUAAAUAUGCACAAACCAAUUAUCAAUUUUCGAUUAACUUGUCUACAAGUUAUUUUAUGCAAGGAACAAUACUAAUAGCAGCUCAAAGAAGACUGUAAUAACUCCAUGUAGGUUGAUGAAUUCAUCAAAAAAUAAAGAAUUGCUAUGAGAAGCAUAGGAGAGUUCAUAGACACAACUAAGGUGCUUAUCAAAAGCUUGAGAAGCAUAGGAGAGUUCAUAAGUAGACAACUAAGGUGCUUACCAAAACUCAAUUAGCAAGGUCAACUUAAAAUAAACAAGAAAGCUUGAGCCCAAAAUAUUACUGAAUAGUAGCAUCAGAUUUUACCCGAAAAUUGUUUUUCAUCCAACAGACUACGGACUCUGUUCACAGUGUCUUUCAACUCCUAAACUCCCAUUAUUUGUCUGUAUCAAGAAGUCUUGUGGAGAUAAUUUCACUUGCCAGAAAGUACUUCGACUAUUAGCAUGAGGUCAGCCAACUAAAACUAGGGACCUCAAAUACAAGCAAAAAUUAAAUUCAUAUAGGGUUGUUAACCGAGUUUAGCCCACACAUAUUGAGAAAUCCAUUUUUCAAAACCUUAGGCUGUGAAAAAUUCCUAAGCAUGAAUUUGACAGCUUUAUUUAACUUCAGACUGUCUAAGAAAACUCAAGUUCUGUGGAACAUCCUCACUACAGCAUUUUUUGCUGAUUUUGUGAUAUUAAGGGAUAUUACAAAGAUUAGUAAGUAUCAGUAUUCGUGAAACUGGGAUAAGGAACCGAUAUGUCAAGGACUUAGAAAAAUUCUGCAUGGCCCGAUCCCUGGCCCAACUCCGCAACCAAAGCGGGUUGAACCGAGUUGUCAAGGAGACCUGAAUCCAGUCCGCUGUGGGAAAUUCAAGGGUUGCAAAACUGCCAAGAGUUAUGGAGAGACUCUUGGGCUUAGGGCUCAUUAUGUGUGAGUUAGUGGAUAAGUUGUGUGGCUAGAUUUAUUAUAUCCUUAGGCCUAUAAGUAGUAGGUUUGGCUAAGGCCAAAAUACACAAAAGAGAGUGUGUGUGUGUGUGUUGUAAUCCUCUUUUUCUAAGUAGUGGAGUACUUAAUUUUGUUUGAACCUCUGCCCUCUCUCUCUUUUCUUCCCUUUGCAUACUUCGUCGUAGGACGUGAAGGUCCGAGCUAGCAACAAGGACAAAGGCUUGUCCAUCUCUGUGAAGAAAGGUGGGCACCGCAUGAGGUUUGCGAGCAAAAACGCUAAGUCCGUAACAGUUGGUAUCAGAGCCGGUUCAAGCAAGGAGCCAUGUCGUCAUCCGAUGCGGGAGUUAUCAACGCUGGGGUCGACCCUCCAAGGCAGCCCCCCAAGCGGGGCAAAAGGAAAGAACCGCGAGCAACCACGAGAGAUUCUGCACCGUUAGAGGACCGCCUUACGCUGUUGGAGGACAUAAUGUCGAAAAUGGGUGAAAAGUACACCAAAAUGGUUGAUUCCUUUAACUCUUUUAAUGAUGAAGUCCGCAGUAUGGAGGAAAGCGUCGCUACUGCCAUGGCAACCUUUCGAAGCGAACUCGAAAAGCUUCAGGGCAACAUGACUCGUCGUGACGAGGAGCGAAAGAAGCUGAUUGAAGAACUCAUUGCUCGAGUUGACAAGGUUGAGGACCUCAAGACGAGGGUAACGAUCCUCGAAAAAGAGGUGGCGCGUGGGCAUGAACCACAAGAAGAGUUUUCUUCGAAGGUACAUGUCCCUUAGCCUCAAAGUUUUAGGGAUACCCGCGACGAAAAGGAGAUCGACAACUUUCUGUGUCACAGGGAGCGCUACUUCAAAGCGCUGCGGCUGGACGAUAAGGAGGAAAGAGUCCAGGUUGCGUCCAUGUAUCUUGCUAACGACACAAUGCUGUAGUGGUGUCGGCAUUCUGCAGAGGCCGAGAAGGGCCAAUGCAACUUGAAGACGUGGUGGACUUUGUGCGCAAGCUAAAGAUGCAGUUCUACCCCGAGCACGUCGAAUACCUUACGAGGAGACAACUACGACGGCUUAAACACAUCGGGACGUUCAAGGAUUAUGUCAAGGAAUACUCCAAGUUGAUGUUGUCCAUCACUAAUAUGGUGGAGGAAGAUCGCUUAUUCAUCUUCCUUGACGGACUCCAACCUUCGGCGAAUAAGGAGCUUGUGGGGCAUGACGUCAAGGACGUGGCCUCCGCAAUCGCCUUGGCAGAGAAACUGCCCGAGAAUAAGAGGGCUGAUCCACUCGUAACAUGACACCAAAGCGAGCAAGGCUAAGGGUAGGGGAGACUGACGUGACCAGAAGGAGCGCAGGGCCACGAGAGGGGUCCUAUGCCACCGCCGAAGAAAUUGACGUGCUACGUCGACGGCAAGAACCAUUAGGUGAGGGACUGCCUAAAGAAAAAGUUGGUGAAUGUUGUUCAGACCGAGCAGGGCGAGGGCAAUGCGGAUUCGUCGAAGAUGUGCGCGCUCAAGCUCGUCACUGCGGUUCAAGGGGUGGCAAGCAGUAGCAAGCGCCUCAACAAGGAGAUCUUGUACAUCGAUUUGACCCUUAACGCCCGGGCCACACGAGCGCUGGUGGACACGGAAGCCACUUACAACUUCGUUGCCGAGGUGGAGGCCAAGCGGAUAGGUCUUCCACUUGAGAAGGAUGCAAGCCGGAUCAAGGCCGUCAAUUCUGAGGCGCAGCCUGUUGCAGGCGUGGCCAAAGGCGUGGGCAUUGCGGUGAGACCUUAGAGAGGCACUGCAAACUUCAUCGCCGCACACAUCUACCACUUUCAAGUCAUACUAGGUAUGGACUUCUUGGCUUCGUCGAAGGCGGUUCCGAUGCCACACCUUAGGGCCUUGAGCAUCAUGGACGAAGUGGCCCCAUGCAUGGUCCUAGCCAGCCAGGAGAAAUUAGUAAGCACCCAAACCCUCUCUGCCUUGCAAUUGCGAAGGGGUGUGAACCGUGGCGAGAUGACUUACCUUGCGGCCAUCCGCAAAGUGAGCGACAAGGGCCUGGAGGAGGAGGGCCUUCCAACGGAGAUUGAGGUUGUCACGCCCCGCCCCGAGACCGCUACCAAUUUGGUCUGGUUCGGGCGCGCCGGACGGACGCCGAACGGACAGCAUCUCCCCUGUCCGCCCAAGGCUCAACACAGGAUCAUGUACAAAGAAUUUGCCCAGGGAUAAUUCAAUACAUACACGAUCCAACAAGAAGAGAAGCACAAAGAGUGCAAUACAACAAGAGCAAGUAACACAAGUAUACAUACAAGUGCAUAAAGAGAGAUACAUCUAGCUAUUACAUCACAUUCCACUUUUCCAUCUUUGAUUACAUUUACAUUUUCAUCAUCACCCAAAAUGAAUACAUAAUCAUCUCACAUAUAUAUAAUGCUAGCUAUCCAAAAUACAUCAUGUCAUCUAUAACCAUGCACACGAGGGUGCUCUAGUACAAUAGGAAAGCUCUACUAGCUAGCUAGGGCGCUACGCCCUUACCGCGAUCACCUGCCGGUCCGCUCUCGUGUGUACCUGUACCCCAAAACCACACGGGGUGAGAACUAUAUAAAUAUAGUUCCCAGUGGGUUCGGCCGCCGACUCCGCCGAUCUUCCCACUAGGUCUAAGCUGGCACAAAUAGAUAGAUAGAGAGAUAGAUAGAUAUUGAACUGCAACUAUGAUCUAUUGUGCCAUCAAAUGCAAGCAAUGCAUGAAAUAUCAUCUAGCACUAAGCCUACUAUCAUGAUAAUAUGCUUCAACAAUGUAAUGAAUGCAAAUACAACAUAGUUAUGUAAUCCUCUAACAUAUACUAUGUCUAAUCAUGGUAUGAAUGCAAAUGCACUUAUGCAAUUCAUGUCAUUGCCCAAUCCAUUAGGCUACCCCGCCUAAGAUCUCAAAUCUCAUAGGUACUCACACCACAAUCUAGUAGGUGAAGAGGUGAAGAACUACUCCGCUCUUCGCCCCGACUGAUAUCUCAAAUCUCACAGGUGAGGAGCUACCUCGCUCUUAUCUCACCCGUCUCACAUCUCAAAGGUAAUAGAUGAAGAGCUACCCCGCUCUAAUCUCAUAGAUAUUGAGCUGCCCCGCUCAAUCUCAUAGGGGAAAGGCUACCCCACCCUUCGCCCCAACUCACGUCCCAAUCCAAUGGGUGAGGAGCUACCCCGCUCGUAUCCCACCCGAUGAGCUACCCCGCUCAUGAGCUACCCCGCUCGUGUGACAACUUCGGAGUGCACUGCUUGUGUGAAGCGACCACCACAAGCUCAAAACAGACUAUGUGAGUAUGAUCCAAUCCUCGCCAACUGAGGAUACCCUGUCAACUAGGUUAACAAACACUCGAAAAUCCACCUAUCCCUAGGUCCAUGUCAAGUGUCUCAACCACACUAAUCAAUUCACACUAGGGAAUUGAACUAUCCCUAUGUUUAAUGCCAUAGUGUCUCAAUUACACUAAUUCUUAUGCAAUAUGCCAUGACUAGGGAAACUCACCUAUUCCCUAUGCUCAAUGCCACAAGUGUUUCUAUUACACUAAAUUCCAAUGCUACUCGUCAUGUUGUUAACAUUGUUUACAUGCUACUCGUCCAAGUCAUAGUGUUUUCUAUACACUAGUUCGCAUGUCACUAGUUUUCAUCAUCAAGUCCGAGUUCACCGUUUUCUUAUCACUAUAGGAUCUCAUGUCACAAACCCUAAUCCUCAUGCAUUCUAGAUUUAAGUGUCAAGUCCAUAAUGCUACACAACUAGACAUACAUGCAAGGAAAUAGAAAUGCAACUAUACAUACAUCCUAUAAUGCAUAAGAACAAUAUAUGCAAUAUGACCAAAAAUCUAACUCGGACAUAGAAAGAAGCCCAGUUGCUUCGGGAUGGACACCCCCCACCUUUUAUCGCUAUCACAAGGCUAGGGUUCCGAUUUCGUGAUUUUUGGAAGCUUUCGCCACGAGCUGCGGCAAUCUGUACCUUAACAGCUUCGUUCUUUAAUAUCUUCACGUAGCCUCGUCGUAUCGCCGAACCGACUUCGCCAACGCGUCAGAAAACCUCUCAAACCCAAGCUCUCUUCAAACCAAUGGUGAAGAAAAAGAAAGCUUCACCUCUAAGCAAGCUUUUCUCUACCAAACUCCACACUUUGGAGCCAAUCCUAGAGAGAGAGAGAGAGAGAGAGAGAGAGAGAGAUUUCUCUUAUGUUGGCUUAAGUAGAGGAAUGAGGGAAAUGACAUAACACCCUUAUAUAUAUAUAUAUAUAUAUAUAUAUAGGAGGAAACUUCACCUCCAAGUAAACUCCCCCAAAAUACUAUUCACUUCAGCAGUUUAAAACUGACAUUUUUCGCCGGAGCCCUUCUGAACGUCCGUUUGCGCUCAAAUUUGGCAGGCAGGCUCGAUUUUACUUAAUAAGUCCAAAGAAAUUUUAAUCUUUCAGUUUCGACCAUGUUUGGUCACCGAAAGCUGUACCGAACUGUAAUCUUUAUCAGAUAGCAGUCGGAUUUUAUUUUUUACUUUCCGGGCGUCAGAAUGGUAUGAAACUUUAAAUCUAGCCUCAUAAAAAUAAUUCUGACAUAUCCUCCAGUUUUCAUAAUUUUCUGACACUGUGCAUUUUCUGCUAAUUUAUCUGCCCCGUCUCUCACAGAAAAUUCUAAAUCUUCUGUUUUCGCUCCGAUUUCAGCACAGGUCAUUUUCAACUUAUACUUUACACCCUUAAAUCCAAUAAAAAUAGUAUCUCACACUAUUUUUAUUUAUAUUUAUUUUUAUAUUAAAAAUCCAGCAUACUAUAUCCACCGUAACUGCAUAAUUUUAGAAGUUCGGUACUUUACAACAUAAGUUUGGUACCUUACAGAGGCGGUCUUGACAAAAUUCCAGGAUGUCAGACCAAAGGAGCUGCCUAAGCAACUUCCAGUUAGGCGAAAGGUGGAUCAUGCCAUCAAGCUCGAGCCAAGAGCCAAACCGCCAGCGAAAGCGCCAUAUGGAGCACCAAUCUUGUUCCAGCAGAAGAGCGACGGAAGCCUGCGGCUUUGUAUCGAUUACAAGGCGCUCAACAAGUAACAGUCCAAAACAAGUACCUUAUUCCUUUGGUUGCAGAUCUUUUUGAUCAAAAACAAGUACAGAUUGCAGAAGGAGACGAGGAAAAGACCACGUGCGUGACGAGGUACGGGGCCUAUAAGUUCCUUGUCAUGCCAUUCGACUUGAUGAACGCGCCAGCGACCUUCUGUAUACUCAUGAACAAGCUAUUCUAUCCCUACCUUGAUCGCUUUGUGGUGGUGUACCUCGACAUCGUGGUAUACAGCAACACCUUGGAGGAGCACAUCGAGCACUUGCGGACAGUCUUCCAAGUACUGCAGAAGAACCAGCUGUUCGUCAAGAAAGAGAAGUGCAUAUUCGCGAAGGAAGAGGAGCACUUCCUUCGCCACUAGAUAGGUCAGGGCCUGAUUCGCAUGGACCAGCGGAAGUUCGAGCCAUCUGCAAAUUGGAGACCCCAACGAUGGUGUCCAAGUUGCAGCCUUUCCUUAGGCUCGUCAACUACUAUCGCCGCUUCAUUACGAGCUACUCUACGAGAGCAGCCCUGCUGACGGAUCUGUUGAAGAAAAGCCACUCGUGGGUUUUGACCUCUCAAUGCGCGGAGGCAUUCGAGGACCUCAAGCGGGCGGUGACAGAAGAUCCAGUGCUGCGACUACCCGACUGCAGUUGCACUUUUGAGGUACACGCUGAUGCUUCUGACUUUGCUAUUCGCAGUGUUCUCGUGCAGGAUGGACACCCUAUCGCAAAUGAAAGCCACAAGCUCAACGAUACCGAGCGGCGUUACACCGUCCAGGAGAAGGAAAUAACCGCUGUGGUGCAUUGCUUGCGAAUCUGACGACACUAUUUGCUUAGGAGCAAGUUUGUGGUGUGCACCAACAAUGUCGCCACGAGCUACUUCCAAUCACAAAAGAAGCUGUUGCCUAAGCAAGCUAGUUGGCAGGAUUUUUUGGCGGAGUUCGACAUAAAAAUGCAAUAAAGCCCGGGAAGGAAAACCGCAUGGCUAAUGCUCUCACACGCAAGGCUGAACUUGCAGCCGUGUGGCAGCUUCAAGGGACGCUCCGCGAUCGACUUCGUUCAGGAACCAAUGAGGACCCUAUCGCUCAAAAUUUGGUGCAGCUUGUCAAGAAGGGCAAAACGCGAAGGUUUUGGCUGAGCGACGGGCUGCUCCUCACAAAGGGGCGACGGGUGUACGUGCCCAAGUGGGGCAACCUUCACCGCGAGCUCAUCAAAGACUGCCAUGACUCCAAGUAGGCGGGCCACCCAGGUCAGAAGCGGACCCUGGCGUUGCUCGAGGCCGCCUACUAGUGGCUGCGGAUGCACGAAGAUGUUGAGGCCUACGUGCGAACCUACUUGGUGCGUCAACAAGACAAAGUUGAGCACUGGCGACCUGGUGGACUCCUCGAGCCUUUACCUGUGCCUAGCCGUCCGUGGGAGAGCAUUUCGAUGGACUUCAUCUCCGCCUUGCCAAAGGUGAGGAAAGUUGGGUCCAUUCUGGUAGUGGUUGAUCAUUUUUUAAAGUACGGGACGUUCAUCGUUGCACCGACUAAUUGCACGGCUGAUGAAGCGACACGCCUCUUUGUCAGCCACAUCAUCGAGCUUUAGGGGAUCCCUGCGAGCAUCAUAAGCGACCGCGACCCCACGUUUGCUGGCAACUUUUGGACCGAGGUAUUCAAAAUCUUGGGGUCCAAGUUUUCUUCUCUACCAGUUUUCAUCUGCAGAUAAACGAGCAAAUGGAGUGGGUGAACGCUCUGUUGGAGUACUUGCGGCACUAUGUGAGUGCCAACUAGAAGGAUUGGGUGCAUCACCUUGAUGUCACCCAGUUUUCCUACGAUUUGCGGCGUAGCGAGUCUACAGGCUGCAACCCCUUCGAGUUGGCAAUCGGGCGACAGCCGCUCGCCCCACAUACACCUGUUGUAGGAGAGCAAUUCCGCAGCCCUGUUACUCUUCAGUUUACCACUAACUUGUAAGAAAAAAAGAAAAUUGCGAAGGUAAACUUGAAAAAGGCGGCUCAACGGAUGAAGAAGUGGGCUGACAAAAAGCGGCAACCUCGGGAGUUUGCCGAGGGAGACUGCGUGAUGGUCAAGUUUCAGCCGCAGCAGUUCAAGGCCUUGCAGAAGGUGUAGAAAAGACUGCUACGCAAGUAUGAAGGCCCAUUCACCAUCGUCAAGCGUGUGGGCAAGGUGGCCUAUAAGCUGCAGCUGCCUGCAAACCUCAAGAUCCGCCCCGUCUUUCAUGUCAAUAGGCUGAAGCUGUACUGUGAAGAGACAGAGGAUCCGAGCCGUGGUGUGUUGCAACGAGCACCUGCAACCAUGGUGACUUCGUUCGACGAACAAGCAGAGUGCAUCCUGGACAUCUACUCAUUCGGCGAUGUGGAGUUCCGCCAAGUCCUGAGUACUUAGUGAAAUGGAAAAAUCUCUCCUACGGCGAGGCCUAUUGAGAGAAGGUGGAUACACUUUGGCAAUACCAAGCGCUCAUCGACGAGUUCCAGUAGCAGCGCGCGACAAAGGCGCCUGCACAUUAGGUGGGGAAGAGUGUCAGGGACUUAGAAAAAUUAUGCGUAGCCCGAUCCCUGGCCCAAGUCCACAAGCGAAAACGGAUUGAACCGGAUUGUCAAGGAGACCCGAAUCUAACCUGCUGUGGGAAACUCAAGGGUUGCAAAACUGCCAAGAGUUAUGGAGAGACUCUUAGGCUUGUGCUCAUUAUGUGUGAGUUAGUGGGUGAGUUGUGUAGCUAAGUUCAUUGUAUCCUUAGGCCUAAAAGUAGUGGGUUUGGCUAAGGCCAAAAUACACAAGAGAAAGUGUGUAUGUGUGUGCUGUAAUCAUCUUUUUCUAAGUAGUGGAGUACUUGAUUUUUUGAGAACCUUUGCCUCAUAGUUAGUUAAUUCGGAUUCGGCAAAAAUUCGGUACGUGUAUAAUACGCAUAAAAUUCGUUUUCUAAUUUUUAAAUUCGUUGAAAAAUUCAGCUUAGAAAACGGAUUCGGUAUAAAAUAUAAAAUAUAAGGUAUAAAAUAUAAGAUAAUCCAUAUUUAAACAUCAAAAUUAUAAGUUUUUUAUUCAGAUUUUCAAUAAUUCGGGAAUAAUUCGCAAAUAAUUGGCGAAUUAUUCGACUAGCCCAAAAAUUCGCGAAUAAUUCCCUUUCUUUGGAAAAAAUUCGUAAACGGACCGUUUAAUUUGGAUUUUCAAUAAUUCGCAAAUUAACUAACAUUGCUCUACCUCUCUCUCUUUUCUUCCUUUCGCAUACUUAGCCGUAGGACAUGAAAAUCCAGACAGGGACAAAGGCUUAUCCAUCUCUGCGAAGAAAGGUGGGUGCCGCACGGGCUUUGCGAGCAAAAAUGCUAAGUCCGUGAUCGAUAGCUGUAAAUAACCACUUGUUCAUACUUGUCGCCUAGUACUCCCAUGUGAAAGGCAUACUUAAAUGCUUUGAGAAAAGAAUUUAGGCAAGAUUAAGUAGACACAGAUUUCCUGUGCCAUGUUUUGCCACCCAUGGUAGCCAGCACAUAUUGUGCUGACAUUGUCAUGACCAAUGUACCAUGGCAUAAAAACGAAGGCUUCAGCUGAGAUUUCAAGGCUCAUUGAGCUUCUAUGGUAGCCACAACAUCGAUGGGGCAGCUGAUGUUUUGACUCACAAGCUGUUGGUGAUGGUGCCCUGGGGUGGGGCCACAAAUAGGGAAGAAAGAAAACUGUUAACUCUGAUGACUAGGGCUGGCAAAUGAGCGAGCCGGCUCACGUUCGACUCACGUUCGACUCGAUAUUUGGCUCGCUCGAGCUCGACUCGAAAUUAAAUGAGCCGAGCUUGAACAAAAAAAAAAAGGCUCGAAAUUCUUCAAGCGAGCUUGAGUAUACUCGGCUCGUUCGAAUUAGGCUCGAAAAGCUCGAAAAGCUCGAAUAUAAUAUACUAUAUAUAUAGAGAGAGAGAGAGGAGAAUCUAGUGCUUUCGAUUUUUUGAUUCUUAGAUCAAUCCCUUUAAUCGUUUCUUAUCUUUAGAUUAAUAUUAUUAUUACCUUUUAGGGACCACCCAAUCCUAAUAAGAGUAUUAUUUAAUCCUAGGGAGACCACAAUUAUUCCAACCAUACAAUUUUAAUCAAAGGGUCAAAAUUCAAAAAUAUCAAAUCUCUAUAUUUUCGAUAGCAUAGUAGUUCUACACUAUUAUAUAUAUAUAUAUAUAUAUAUAGAGAAGAGAGAGAGAGAGGAGAGAGAGAGAGAGAGACGAGAGCGGGCUGCUGUGCUCUUAGGAGCACGGAGGACUCGCUGCUCCUGAGCCGUUUUCGAUGAUGGAGUUUCCGAAUCGACGAUCGGCUCCGUUAAACUUGAUCUAGCGCAUUUGAAGUUUCUAGAAAAAUAAUUUUUCCGAUUUUUUGAUAUCAUUUACCUACUGAUCGACGAAGGAUUCAAAAUUCAUAAUUUUUAAUGGUUGAUAUUCUGCCGUUUUCAAGUUUAACGGUGUAGGAAGUAUCAAAUCAGAUGAAAUUUUGAUACAAAUUCUCUUAUACUAUUCUACAACAAAAUCAAUAUUUCUUAUCGAAAAUUUUAGUGGUAUAUCACCACUUAUUAUAGGAUUUUAUUCUCAGCCGUUAAAAAUUAUUAAUUUGAAAUCAUUUCAAUUGCUAGGUAAAUGAUAUCGAAAAAUCGCAAAAAUUAUUUUCUAGAAACUUUAAAUACGCUAGAUCAAGUUUAACGGAGCCGAUCGUCAAUUCGGAAACUUCAUCAUCGAAAAUGACUCAAGGCCACGGAGGCCUCCGUGCUCCUGAGAGCACAGCAGCCCUGCUAUAUAUAUAUAUAUAUAUAUAUAUAUAUAUUAAAAAAUAUAUAAAUAUAAUAUAUUUUAAUUAUAUAUAGGCUGAGUGAAUAAUCUAAGUUUAGUUAAAAUUAGGCCAAUGUUGUUGGCCGAUAAAAACAAACCCAAUAGACAAAUAAAAGAACAAAAUUUUACUAAAUUUAUAUAUUUUUCCUUUAUUUCUUUCUUUCACAGAGCUCUAAAUUUUCAAUAUGUUUCUCUCUUUCUCUUUUUCUAUAUCUCACCCUAAGUGGCCAAGCCGAAAGCCCUCAAAGUUACCAAGUAACAUUAUAUGCCCGCCGUUGCCUACCUUGCUACUAAUUGUAUGUUUGAGAAAAUAUACAGAAUAUUUUUAAAGUAAAAAAUUAUUAUUCAUAUAAAAUUUUAAUUUUAGUUAUAUAUGAUUGGAUAGUUUAAUCCAAUAUUUAUCUAUAUAAUUUAUUUAUUUUUGACUGCAUAAAUAAAAAUGAAUAAUAUAGAGAUUGAAGGCGGAAGAAAAGACAUGUGAGGCUGAAAAAAUUAGAUAUUCAACUCAUAAAUUAUUUUUUUUUAUUAUAAUACUAUAUUUCAUAUAAUUAUUUUGUACUUUGAACUAUUAGACAUAUUUUUGUAUCAAAUUAUAGAUAAUGUUCUAUACAAAUUAAACUAUUGAUCGUAUAAUGUUGAGAAUUUCAAGCGGCUCGUUUAGGGCUUGAGCUCGCUCGACUUGAAAUUAGGCUCGCUCGAGCUCGGCUCGAAUUAAUUUCAAUCCAAGCUUGAGCUUAAAUUUAGGCUCGAAAUUAAUUUCAAGUCGAAUUUGAGCCGAGGUAAGCUCGCUCAAACUCGGCUCGUUUCCACCCCUACUGAUGACUCUUUAUCUAAUGAAAGAUAACUAAGUUACAAGUUCAGGAUAGAGUUUACAGUGCAACUCCAUAUCUGCAACCUGAAUGUACUCUUUUUUACCCCAAAGUACUACAGGUUUAGUGUUUUCGAUUUUGUUUAUCUUCAUUCUCCUUCCUUUGCGUUGGAUCACAACCAAAACAUCAAAGAAGCCUUGACAAAGCAUUAGCAGCCCUGUCAAAGCAUCAAUUGCCUUGUCAAAGACCACUGCCCUGUUGAAGACUAAGCAACCCAGUUGGCAUGAUGCCUUCUUUUGGGCAGCAUGAAUGGCCAUACCAAAACUUAGACAAUAAUGUACUGUAACAUGUACAGCGAAAAGGUUGGACGAAACAGAUAAGUGCCACUGUAAGAAAAUCGUUGAGCAGAUCAAGUACUAUUAAGGCUAUAAAAAAUUCUAGAGGGUGGCAAAGGACAAAAAGGAGUACCAUGUUUACAGAUAGUUCAUCAGUAUUAGUUCUCCAAUUUUGAGCAAGAGAACAUAAGCAUAUUGUGCAGGAAUUUCAGAUGAAUAACAACACCAUCGUGCAGAAACUGAAAUUCGGUCUAGCAAGCUCUAUACAGUUAUUUGAGCAUGCGGGAUGUAUUCAUGGAAUAAUUAAUACGGCUGAAGCAAAUAUCUAUUGCAGUAGAGCUAGUUCAUGUGCCACUCAAUCAAGAGAACAAUAGAAAAGAAAUCUCUAACAGAUUAACAUGUAAGGAAAAGAUUUCCAAAUUGAAAAGACUAGUCGCAGCAGUAAAUACUAACAGCAAUCGAAUGAAACAAAACUUCUACCUUGUCAACUUUAUUUCCAAUGAGUAUUUUGAUACAAUCACGAUUUGUAGAGUACAAUUCUACUUCCUUGGCCCACACAUCAGCCAAAUUUGUAAAUGUCUCACGCCGCGUCACAUCGUAAACUGACCAAAGAAAGAACAAGAAUUAACUCUUUGGGCAGUAACUGAGUAUAGCUGAUAGCAUCAGAAGAUUAAGAUAUAUCAAAAUAAAUAUCAAAUUUCGACAGCUGAAAGAUAUAAAGUAUAUUUUUAAUGUAGCCACAGCAGAAGGCAGUCUUUGAACUAGGCAUCUCAUCAUUUGGCCUUUAACAUUCAGAAUUGCCAAAUAAUCAACAUGUCCUUAAAUAGAUUUACAAGACAUAUUCUCAUUUGACUUUUCAUUCUUUAGUUUCAAGAAAUCUCGCCCUAUUUAUUUCACGUCUUUGUUCAAAUACACUACAAAUUUUUGGAAUGUGGACAUAUUGUUUAGACAUUUGGCAUGGCAGAACUGUUCGAAAAACCUUUAAAGGAUUUAUAUUAUAUGCAGAAAAUAUAGUGACAGAACCAUUUGUCUCAAUAGAAUAUUUUCAUAAUGGUUCUUGCCUGCUCUUCUGAAAAAAAUGUCCUCAGAGUAUCAAGGAACAUGGAUGUCUGGCUUUCUACUUCUUGAUCGUCAGAACAAAAUAUUCCACAUUGAAGUGAAAAUCAUAAGGUAAAAGUCGGCAAUGACCAACUAAGAUGCCAUUCUUAUUUCUCGAGAGAGUGUGUUUGUACUCCUAUUGCAUGAGUGGCUUCUGGAUUCGUCCUCUAAACAGAGGAAAAAUACUUACAAAUGAAAUGGUUAAAUCCUCAACUAUUCAGAACAGAUAUGGCUUAUUAAAUAAGGAAACAACAGUUAACCUCAGCUUUCAAUACUGGCUGGUUGGGGUGUGAGAACUGAGGAUUUUUUUUUCCUAUGUAUGUUUGACAUCUUUUUAAAUGUUGUCGUGUGUAUUUUAAUUUUAAGCUUGCCCGUCAAAUUUCAGCGAAAAAGGAUUUAAAAUAAAGUUUUUACGCGAUUAUUACUUUUCACUUAAAGUGAAAAGUAACCUGCGUUUUCUGACGAGGACCGAGGGGAGAUGGGCUUCGGACGCGAAUCGGACUGCGUUCCAAGCAAUCCAAUAGCUCAUUCUCAAUGGUUUGACUAUGCCGGAGCCAAUGGCGUUGACGGAUUUCAUGUUCAACGCAUGGUUUUUGAGAAAAACAGGUUUUAUCGCUGAGAGGCCAUUUAUUCCGUGUUUUGCUAGCUUUUUAGAAUCAACCGGUGCACCGUUUUGCGUGAAAACUUGUGAGCUAGGACCUUUCUACAAGAGAAUUAUGUUGGAGAGGGACUAGAUCGCAAAUUCAAAGUUUUGGGAGAGUUUUGGACAAUUAUUCAUUUAGAAUAAUGGUUUUAGGUUUUUAAAGUGGGAUUUGGGGAUUUAGGAACCCAAAAACCCUAGACCUAACCCUCCUUCCCUCCUCCUUGGACCCCUGAGAUGAUCUGUGUCGUCGCCGUGGCUAUCGCCAGUCGCUGGAGAAGAAGAAAGCAGUUUCUUCUUCUUUUUCUUCUUCUUCUUCUUCUUCUUCUCUCUCUUUCUCUCUCUCUCCCCUCUAUUGUAAUGUGAAGGGGAGUAACCCGGACCACCUUGUCACCAUGUCGUCGGCCACCGGGACCGCCACCGCCAUCCUCUCGGCCUUCGACAACCCUCCCCCAGCUGUCCUCGGCACCACCGUGCACCAGGGAGUCGCCGCGGCCGAGGUGGAGGUCCACGAGCACUCGCGACCUUGGGAAGCCACCCGGCCACCGCCGCCGUGCCACGCCGCCUCUAGCCGUCACCAGCGGGCCCAGAGGGACCAUCGGCGUCGCCCCUGGCCGCCCCCAAGCCGUCGCCGCGCCACGCUGUUGUGCCCUAGCCGCGGCCCCUUUUUGGCCUUCAUCGUCGCCGCGCCACCGCAACCUCCCAUCCCGGCCAACUCUCCUGGGUGCUACGACCCUCCCCUAGCUGGAGCUCCCCUAUCGUAUCGCCGAUCGCCGAAUUUUUGAUGCCCUGGCCCUUGCCUUGUGGCUACCAGGGGGAUUCCAGGGGCUGAGUUGGCCGAGCUCCCUUUUCCGGUCAUCGGAGACUUCAGCGAGCACCCGAGAGGUGAGCACCGCACUCCUGGGGUCUUGUGGAGACCAGUGCUCACCUUCACUGCAAUCAGUAAAGCCCCGGUGCGCGUGUGGGAUUUGGCCGCUUCCGAGAUCAAGCAAUUGGAAGGAUUUCUCCGCUAUUUCGAUGUCGUCUGGCAAUCAAUCGCGCUCCACACAGCGAGCACGAGCUUCAUCACAUCGAGACAAGUCAAAUCGACUGGCUGGAUGGAUCCGCUGCGAUGGGGAUCGGGGUAACGAGCUUGAAAAAUCGUGUUUCAUGAAUUGUUUUAAUAGUAUUUAAUGCUUUAGUGAGCUAAUUGCAAAUUGUAUGCAAUAGGGACCCCGCGCACAGCCUCGGACAGCAUGUAAUCGCUGUUAGCGCCUCUUGACUAAUUGUCGAAGGUCCGGGAGCCAUUGCGGAGUGGAAACGGGGUCUCACGGCGUCGUUUGGUGGAAAUUCGCCUAUCAAACGCGGUUCGUGUUGCGGUUUUCACACAUUGGCAAUUUGAAUGCCCUAGAUACCCCGCCAAGCCUUGUUGGCUGGUUGCUACCACCACCUUCGAAGUCCAAGAUGGUGGACAAGCGGUGGAAGGGUUUCGGCGCGUUUUUCAGCAAAAUCACCGGUAAAACACAGUUUCGCUUCACGAUGAGUUUCCGACUGUGUGGUCAUCCCGAAAAUCAUCGCCUAGCCCCGUUGGCUGGCCGCCUGGGUCAUCUCGUGUGUUCGGAGGCGACAGGUGAGCGGCGGAGGUUUCCGGUGCCAAAGUGGACACUUCCGGAAGACCGGAGCAAAACGGUCAACCGGCGACGAGCGAGUUGACCUUGGUGCUUGUGUUUGUUGCUCAGACACUCAAAUAGAUGUGUUUUAGGGCAGCGGGUGACUCACGGCAUGAGUCGAUGUGUUUCAGGACGUUUCUUGGGUCCCGCGAGCAUCCCGAUGCGUUUGCGGGAUUCCUAGCAAGUUCGGGAAUCGAUUUUGGGAAACCGAUCCCGCAGGUGGUUUUGGGCUUGUGAGUGAUGUCUUUUGAGUCAGUAGGAUCGAUGGACCUAUCGUAGGUCCGGUCGACGGUCUUGCACACUGUAGGAGCUAGGUGCAACCGCGACAUAGGUGGGUACUCCGAUCAGAAGUCGGUUCAGUGGUGCACGCUCGGUGAUGUUCCCUUCAUCCCUAUCCUUUACUGCUUACAUAUACUUUUCUAUCCAGUGCUCAAGCUUUUCACCACCUGACUUCGACCUUGCUCUACUUAGUGCAUUGUCUCUUUCAUUCAUGACUUAGAGUAGAGCAGUAGUAACAUUGAUAUACACCUUCUAGUUGACCUGAGUGGUCGGUGCCUGUAUACCCCUUGUGACAUUAACAUCAUACCUACUAGUUGACCUGAGUAGUCGGUACUUGCAUCUAUUUGAGAGGAUGUUGAGUUGUUCCAUCCUAGUUGAGUCGGUACUUGUAUGCACUUGAGAAGAUGUUGAGUCGUUCCAUCCUAGUUGACCUGGGUGGUCGGUAUUCGUGUUUCCUUACAGUAUGAUGACCUAUUGGUCGGUGUGCCCCAAGAGGCGGUGAUUGUCAGUUAUUCGCCGACGGUUAGCUAUUGAUCAUAUUCGCAUUGAUCACCACAGCUCAAGAGUAUUUCACGAACACUAGCAGUCUAAUCCCCCGCAGGAGGGUGUUCUCUUUUGAAAAAGUGAUAGGUUGCCAACCUGUGAGCGCAGGAGCUUAUGCUAGGGUUGUAUGUUAGGUGAGCGAGUGGAAAGUGGCUUUUGCCUGAGAUUUUUAGACCGACACUACGAUAUAGAUUUGGUACAUUUGGACUUUUCGUCCGGUUGACACAUAUAGCUAUAGUAGCGGUUGUUGCAUGCUUACUUACAGUUCAUCUCUCUUUAGACUUACAUUGCUACUGUAGACCUUACCUUACCUUACCUAUACCUGGUUACCGGUGAGUAUGCUUGCCUUCGUCGGCUUGCGGUACCCAGUGGGAGACCUUCGUUGGUUUCUUACCCCCUAUUUCUCCACAGAUGAUGCGGGUGGGAUUGGUCAGGACGCAGCGUGAGGCCAUAGCUAGUAGGCGGUCAUAGAGGUCUCGAUCUACGGUAUACGUUCUUGAUUACUUCAUACAUAGCAUUAGACAUAUAGGUGAUAAUAUAGUUCACCCCUAUACCUAAUAGUAGAUGAUACAUGUGGUUCAGUUGGUAGUUUACACUUGCAGUUUUGGAUGAUGUAUAUACAAGUUUUUGGAUACUCAUGGUUUUGGACAUUCGUGGUUUUCAAACACUUGUGGUUUAUGGUUUCGGCUUUCGGAUGUUGGCUUUCUACCGCUCGUGGUAGCGUUUUCAAAAUAAAGGUUCCCGGGUGGGGAACGAUUUUCAAAUGGUUUUUUUGUGGUUUUCGAUGAAAUUAGGAUUUCAAAAUAAAGUCUUCAUGUGGGAGGCAUUUGGAACUAAUAGGUAUGAAUGGGAAUGGAUGUGGCUGAGGACUGUUAGCUGAAUGUUGACAAAUUUUCAACCAUUGUUCAUCUUGUAUCGUUGUAUGUGUGUGAGUAGCGACCUGGUUUUUAAAUUGUACAUGUGCUACGUCGUGUAAAUACAGGAAAAACUCUGUCUGUUUGUUUCGAAAAUUUCUGUAUUUAUGGCAGGUCUGUUGCACCCUUGGGGGGUCAAGGUUUAUAAAAAAGAAAAUGGCAGUUUUCCGCUUACUCUUGAGUUUUAAACAUAGCCCGAUUUCGACUUGGCUUUCAAAAAGGACCAUGGGGCAUGACAUGGGAAUAGGACAAUCUAGUAGGGAUCAAUAAAUUGUCCAAAUUAUCCCUUUAUUUUGGAUACUAAACCCUAAACCCAAUUAUAUUUAGGUGCAAGUUUAAUGGGUAACUUCAGCUACAAGGUUAACUUCAGUAAUUGCAUUUCCAACCGACUAUUUCAGAGAAAAACGAUUAUAGAAGUAGUUUCUUCCAUUUUGUUUGAAUGACUUAACCUAGGGUACGGUACGCACUUUUGUAUUUUUCAAAAUCCCGUUUCAACUUGAUUUUCAUGCAAAAAAAAAAAAGGAUGUUGGUAUUGCUUUGAACAUCAACCUAAGAGUGUGAGACAAGCAUCACUAAUGUAACUGACCACUAAUGAAGCAUAAUAACAAGAGUUAAGCUUCAUCCUUAGCUAACUGUGGGAAACACAAUUACCAGCAAGUUCAUCAUCAUCAUCAUCAUCAUCACUGCCCCCUUCUCAAAUGAUACUGGAUUGACGUUGAGCUAUUGAAGGAAGAGUGACUUUUCAAUUGGUGCAAUACUGAUUACUGCACCAACAUAGACAUUUUAUAAUACUUUUAUCAUGGUAACUAAAACAAAGGAAGCUUAACUGCUGUUUUGGUUGAUGCCCUCAUAAGAUGAGCACAAGACAAAUGAUACAACUCUGAUGCCAAAUGAUGCAUGAAAGAAAUACUUAAAUAGCAGAGCAGAGUCUUAACAAAAUAGAUUAAAAGUUUUUCCUAUGCAAUCGCACUCACGUAGUAAAUAAAUGCCUUACCUAGAAGAAUUCCUUGAGCGCCUCUAUAGUAAGAACUAGUAACUGUCCUAAAUCUCUCCUGGCCAGCUGCAAAAAUAUAUAUAAAUCACAUCAUUACAAAUAUACAAAUUAAUAGAACGGAAAGCAUAAUUUAAGAGAAACACAAGAUGGAAAGAACAUGCCGCACGAUAAUUUAGCAAGCUAUUUAACAAUUCAACCAUUUUAUCGAAUUAAAAUAUUCACACAAUCACAGUCAAAAAUAGAAAUAGUUUUUGAAGAGCAAAUUCGCAUUGUCAGUCUGCAACCUAGUAAAUUCAAGUGCUUGGCCCUAAAUAACACUAUGUCAACUUUUAGGGAUACUAGCAGACAGGCCAAGGUGGCUGCCAUGUAUAAAAAAAAAUUAGCGGCCACUUGGCAACCAAUGCCCCUCCUCUCGCAAAAUUGAUAAUAUCUUUUGAAAUUAGAUAGUAUCUUCUGCAAAAUUUAAUGUAUCUUUUAAUAUCAAGCUAUGCUCCCACACUUGCCUGCAACAAGAACUUCACACAAAUCGGGAUAGUAUCUUUGUAUGAUAAUAAAGUAUGAUCACAAAAUUGAAAUGAAUGGCUUGACGAAUUCAGGGGUGAUGAAAGUUUACCACAAGAUUACAGUCUUAAUAAAUAUAGUAAAAAAAGUGAAGUUUUUAAAUACUGUACAUUGUGUGCCAUAUAAUUUUAAUACAUUUAAUACAAUGGCAUGUACUUUGAACUAUGUGAAGACAUUCUUUUCCGUGGAUUUUUUAUCUAAGAGGUCAAACAUUUUUUUCUGCAAGUUAUAACCAUCUGUUUAUGCAAAAUGAGCCUCAUUACUCUUUUAAAGUAUGGUUAAAACGGUGUGUGAAAUAGAAUAAGCAACUUCUUGAAUGAACAUAUACCAACAAAGAAGCAGCAUAGCGUAAGAAAGGUAAGUCAAUAUAUGAAAAUCUGUACUUGCUUUAACUAUUCCAAUUUGUAUUGCAAUUUACCAGUGUCCCAUAUCGUCAGCUUCAACUUCUUUCCACCAAUCGUAAGAAACUUGACUUUAAAAUCCACCCCUAAUCAUACAUUUCAAGAAAAGUUAGUAGAAGUAUAAAAUGGAGGAAAGGAAACCUUGAAGAACAAAAGAUUGUUUUCUCACCCCUCACCCCCACCCUUCCCGCCCCCCACCACAGAAAACCCAAAAAAAAAAAAACCAAAAUACCCCAACCAGGGGAAAAAAAAUGGAGUGCCUGUACACAAGCAGCAUAUGAUAAGCUUUGACCUUGUGUUUAAGGACAAUUAUUCUCCAUAAAUAGGAAUCAUUAGGUGCUACAUAAAUUUUUAUAAAACAGACUUGAUACUUGAUUAAUACAUAACCAUAGGCAUUCAUACACCUAAACAUAGACAUCCAUACUCCAAGUUCCCCUGGAAGUCCAUUAGACUUACAAAAAUAUUCCAUCAAGCCCCAUUAAAGUCCAAAAGGGAUACAACUAGCGACCACCAUAAGCAAAAACAACAAGCAACAAUAAUCUCAAAAAGUUGCACUUGAUGGUGGUCAUCAGCGUGAAAAUGCAAAAGAGCAAGCAAAAGCUACUCAGGCACUUGCCAAUAGAGUAGAAGCACAUGGAAUAAAUAUGGUAGCCAUAAACCAUGUCUAUGCGUUUUAUAUUAUAUGCAUAUCUGUAGAGUGACUUAUAAUUAUUUGUCACUCGACAGCAAUCAUCAAAAAUGUGCUCUUUCGAACAAAAGCAUAGGCAUGGAUGAGAUAUGCAAAUAACAUGAAGUAUGAGAACUAGUGUGCUGCCACUACUAUGUCCAUUCAAAGCUCCGAAGCUUUCAUAAACUUGAGAAGAUAUAAAGAAAUGGAAAAGAGAACGGGAUCUUAUAUUGGGGGUUCCUAUCCAUUUCUUAAAAAGACAAACAAACGUUUCUCUAAUCUAUCACUCCAAAGGGUACUUGAUUCAAUUUCCUCCCGUUACAUGUCACCGCCCUUCCAAUUUCUCCUUGAUGAACAUCAAAAUAUUUCCCAGAGCCUGUUGCUUUCAUAAUAGCAGAUGUGAACUUGUGAAUAGCACGCUGAAAGCAUACUUUAGGUCUCAAUGUAUGCAAACUAUCGAGUCAGCAAGUGAUUCUCUUGAUACAAUCCACAGCUUGUUGUCAAAUAAAUGUAAACUUUGGGUCAAGACUACCUCAUGUUAUUCUUCCCUUUCGACAAAGCUAUAUAAGAUAAAUUUGUGAGUUAAAUGGUGGCAUAUAUUGCCAGGUCCUUAUUUUAGUUGUAUUUAAGACUGCUUUCCUUCAUGAUAAUCUAGUUGAAAAUUUGCAUGUUUAUCCUCUGGCUUUUUCCCCAGCCAAUUAAUGUUUCCUACAUCAUUUGAACAGCUCAAUUAACUGCUUCGAACUCUGCAGAGAUCUUUCUUAAAUACCAUUAGCUUUUUAUCUUCUAUUUGUAAAGAUAGGCUUCAAUGUUUCGUUCUCUUAUGGUAUUUCUAUCAAAGGAAAAACAAAAAUUCUCCUCUAUUAUGUAAGUCAAAUAGCUCUUAAGAUUUGUUAACAGCAUGUUGCGUUGUGGUCAAACACCAACAGCCUUCUUUUGGCUUAUGUCAACAGAAUUAACUGCAUGCUAAGAAACCUACUCAAAACUUCAAUUUUUCAUUACAUUGGAUGUACAAUAUGUCAUUUGCCAAGAAUUCCAGCAUUGGAAUCUCAUAAAACUCAAAGAAAAUGGACGAUGGCCCAGCACUUUUCCAAUUUACUACCGCAUGCAGCAAGUAGGAUUACUUUGGAAGUCACACAACUUACAUAGUCUCAACUAAAAAGACCUACAAUUACAUAUCCAUUUCAUCAAGCAGUCUCACAAUUCUUUCAUUAGAGUUGCCAAAUUAGAGACUGUAACCAAGGGAGUAAACCCUGCAGCACCUAGGUAUUGCCAGAUACUAACUCAAGAACUCCAAUUAAGCAAGCAUGCGGACCAUAAACGGCAUUGCCAAAGAUGCAGACCGGAAUCAAUCAGCACGAAGCAUAAUCUAGCUGGAGCUGUUUUAAUACUGACCUUAUCAAGUACAUAGUAUCAUGCCAGCUGGAGUGUUUUAAUACUCUGCCUAUCGUGCUUACCCCAUAUUACAAGGCAAUAUUUGAGCCGAUACUAAUCAAUUUAGCAUAGAAAUUUUGCUAAUUAAUGCUGGUUGACACGUACAAUUACAUUUUUAGCUUUCUAGCAACAAGCAAUCUCUCAACAGAUUGCAAAUCAAGCAAACAAAAAAAGAAAAGAACUAAAUGUAACCCAAAUUCACAUAAUAUUUCACACCCAAACACUACCAAGAGGUAAAUCCUAGAAAUUCCACAACCGAGGAUUCGAAUUCCACGGUGCCAUACACAGAAGAACAUCGAUUUAGGCACGGAUCUGAGUCUAACAAACACAUUCCCCACAUUUGCACACUCAAAGAACACUAAAUACAAAGGAAAAACCGCGAAAAUGAAGAUGAUAGAGAGGGAUCAUACCGAUCGUCGGCGAAAGAUCUUCGAGUUGGUUGGAGAUGAAGGUGACGAGGAGGCUACUCUUGCCGACGCCGGAGUCCCCGAUGAGCAGGAUCUUGAAGGAGUAGUCGUAGCUACUCCCCGGACCCGACGACGAACCCAUCAAGAACCAACCUCGAUCGAUCAAACCCUACCUUGACCCUGCACUUCGCCAAUGGCGAAGGCGAGGUGGGUGAGAAGAAGCAACGGAGAGGAGAGAGGGGGAGAGAGGGAGAGAGAGAGGGAGAGUGAAAAUAGGAAUAGAGAUGAUAAGAAAUAAUAAGGAUGAAUAAAUAAAUAAAUAAAUGUGCGAAUAGUAAUAAUAAUAAUAUAAAGAAAAGGAAAGAAAUGGGGGAGAAAGGGAGAGACAGGAGGGAGGGUGGCAUCUGGCAGAAGCAGGCUUGCCCACGCCCGCACCCACGGAGGCGGUUAGCUGACAGCCAAAUGGGAACAGCCGUUUUGCCGGGCAACGGCAUUUGGCGUCCUCCAACUCGCGCUGACGUCAUUUAUUAAUGUCCCAAAAUUUAUUGCUUGCACCGGCUGUACCACGCCGUACACCGUAUUUGGUCCUCUCUGAAAGUCUUGUCUACUAAUUACUUCAGUUUAUUUAAAAGAGCAAGAGCUUUUUUUUUUGUAUUUAGUCCUAUAGAAAAAAAAAAAUUUACAAAUAGGCACACAAAAUUUAUAUUUACAAGAUUAAUUUUAUUCCCAUCAUGCAAGCGUCACACGAAUGCCAUAUGGGCAUGAUGAUAGGUUAAGUUGAACACAGUAAAUCAUUCACGAUAUUUGAAUACUAUGAAUGAUUCACCGUGUCCUUACUAAAUUAUAAAUUCGAAAUAUUACGUAAUAUCAUAGUACGAAAAUAAUAAAACACGGUGAAACAUUCACCGUGUCCAACUUAACUUCCACGCUCGUGUGGUGCUUACGUGGUAGGAAUAAGGUCAAUCUUGCAAAUAUAAAUUUUAGGCUAAACUGCAUAAAACCAUUCUGUCAAAACCCGAAUUUUCACUCCCCCCUCCUGUCAUUUAAAAACCUACAAUUUGCUCCCUUAUAAAAUGAAAAAUGUUCACGGGAGGAUAUGAUGUGUAAAAUGACCAUUUUGCUCCUUACCAUUUUCGUCUCCUCCAUCAUCUUCCUCAACUGCCGCCUCGAUCGGCCGCGAUUUCUUUCAAUUUUCUUCUCCACUUGCUCUCCUUCUCCUCCUACACCCUCGCCACCCCUCAAUUUUGGCGACAGUAGGGAGGAAAUCGAGGUGGGCGUUGAUGGAGAGGUAGGCAAGGGCAACGAGGGCUAAGGCGAGGCGGCGGAAGAGGGAGAAGGGGAUGUGGGCGAGGGCGAGGCAAUGGAGGAGGGUGAGGCGGCGGCGAGGCGGCGAGCCGGAGGGAGGCGAAGCAACAGGAAAGAGGGUGAAGAGGUAUUUUUGGCACAAAAAAAUAUUUUAUAACGGAACCCUAACGGUAGGGGAUGAAGUGCACAUUUUUUAUUUUACAAGGGGGCAAAAUGCAGGUUUAAAUAACAGGGGGGAAAGUGAAAAAUUAGAUUUUGACAGGAGGAUUUCUGUAAUUUAGCCUAAAUUUUAUAAGGCUAUUUAGAUUUUUUUUUUUCGGGAGGCUAAAUGCAAAAAAAGCCCAAUAGCGAGCUUUCUAGUAUACCUCAAAAUAAAGUUAUGCAUUUUAUACUUAUUCCAUUUAAUAAAAGUCAUUAAUUUUUUGCUUAUCAUAUUAAUUUUUUAAUUUUUAUUAAAAAUUAUUUGAAAUUUAAUAUGACGGGGAUGUAGAAUCUACACAUUCCUUUUGGAAUCUACAAAUAGUUUUUUUUCUAAUAAAAUUAACCUUUUCAUAUAUAUUACUAGAACAGAUUUUUUUUAUCGUCUUUUGGCUAAUUUCUUGCCACUUUAAAUUGGUGGAGCCUAAGCAUAGGCAGUUAAUUGCAGAAGAAAUUAAAAUUUGAAAAACAAAUAUAAAGUUCGUAAAGUUUAAAUAAGAAUAAAUUACACUUUUGGCCCUCAAUCUAUAAGACGUGUUAUAUUUUAGUUCUCAAAUUUUAAUUAGUUGUAAUUUUAAACUCAAGUUAUCAGGUAUGUGAUAUUUUAGUGUUUGGACUUUCUAAAUUAUAGCAAUACCCUAUUUGAUGAUGCAACAAUAACUAAAAUGUCACAUUACUUCGAUACAAUUAAUAAUUCAUUAAUACUUAUUCAGAAAAAAUUAUAUUGUGACAUUUAAUUGUUACAAUUUAGAAACUUCGAGAACUAAAGUAUCAUAUAUCUUAUACUUAGAGUCAAAAAUUAUAACAAAUUAAAGUUUGAGAACUAAAGUAUCAUACGUCUCAUAGUUCGAAUAAAAAAUUAUAAUGAAUUAAAAUUAAAGAUUAAAAUGUCAUGCAUGAAUGCCUCGAUCAUGGUUUGAGAAUUAAAAUGUAAUCUAUCUCUUAAAUGAGAGCAAUGCUACUAAUCUAUUUCGAAGUAAGUUUUAUAUUUGGGAUAAUUGGCUAUAUACUCCUCAAAACUUUUAAAAUAUCCCAUUUACCUUUACCUUCUUUUUUUUUUUUCUUUCUAAUAUACCCCUCAUAUGUUUCUCCAUUAUUCCAAAAUACUUAUACAGUUACCACCCGUUUAGUUAACUUGGGUUAAACGUGAGUUAAAUAUCUAAUAGAGUUUAAAAAAAAAAAGUUAAAAUGCCUUUUUUGACCUUUAACUUAAGGGCAAAUAAAAAAUAUUUGUGAUAGUAGAAUGAUAUAUUUAAAAAGACCAAAAGUCAAAAUAUUUUUUAUGCCCCUAACAUAAGGACAAAUAAGAAAAGUCGGUGAUGAUGGAAGAGUAUAUUUAAAAGAAAAAUAAUAAUUUCACACAGAUAACAAGUAUUAAGUAUUGCUAAUAGUUCAUUAAUAACAGAAUUUAAUUAUAGAUGUAUAUUUGAAAUAGAUUGGAACGUUAAAAAAAAAAAGUAUUUUUAAUAUCAGUCUUCUAAAAGAGAUAAAUUAGAAAGUCGAAAAUUUUUCAAAAAUAUAUAAGCAAUUGCCCCUUUAUAUUUUUGUGACACCCCAAUAAUCCCACAUCGGAUGGGAAUGGGGUUGUCAUUGGGUUUAUAAGAGACUUAGACACUAGUAAUAAUAACUGGGCUUAAGCAUUUUGGGCCGGUUGUUUGGCCCAACGAGUUAUUAUUGCUAGUGGGCUAAGACGUUAAAACGAGUUAAAACGGAGAAGUUACGCGAUUAUUAGUUUUCACUUAAAGUGAAUAGUACUUCGGUUUUUCCGGAGAAGCCACGAGUAGAGUUGGCUUUCGACGCGUAUCGGACUCCGAACAUAGGACAUCAAUAGCAGCAAUGAUGCCCUGGUUUGUGGUUAAGUCGCGAUCUUCGCGCUGUGCGCGCAUUUAUCUGAUUUUCACAUCGCUCGUGCGCGCACCGCAGUGCCGGCAGUGCUCCGAAAGGUGAGCACGGCCUCCGACAUGCUGAACCUGGUCAGCGAGUACGACGUCGGAUUAAUCGACCCCUGGUUUGUGCGGCACGGUCCAGAAAAGUCUAGAAUACAUGAAAUGAUGCAAUUUCAUGUAUCGGUAUCGGACUUUUAGGCUUUCUACUUCGUUGUAGAUGCUGUGAGACAGCGUGAUAAAUGCCGAUUUCGGGUAAUCGGGGGCUUUUAUGUAUUUUGAGUUGUUGCGGCUUGCGUUGGCAAGCAUGGCAUGAUUGUGGGUGACCUCUGGACUGUUUGUCCAAGGCCCCGGACCUUGCCAAAGAUCGAAAAUGUAAUUUCCGGUGUGUUUGUCCGCAAAAUCCGCGCGACGAACGCUGGUUUUAGUUCGGAAUUCUUCCGACGGUGCCUCGUGAGGCAUUUGUUGAGACGCUGAGCUUUGUGGCUGGUCACUCGCAUCAUUUCAAGGGUUCAGAAAAUGAGAGUGAGCGACCGGUUGGGUUCCGGUGUCGAAUUUUCGACACUUCCGGAACCGCUAUUCGUACAAUAAUCCGCGCGAUCAAUUGUGUCGUCGGUGUUAUCUUAUGUUUGGCUGCCAAAUCAUUCAAAUGGGUGUUUGUGGGCCAGCGGUGCUGUACUAGAUAGCAUGGGUCGGGUGCGGUCAGGAACAUUUCAGUGGUCCCGACGGAGUCCGGUGCGAUUUUCGGGACUUCGGCGAGAUACGGGAUUCGUUUAUGAGGAAACUGAUCUCCGUGGUGUUUGUUAGAGGGAUUAUGAUUAGUGUUUUCUUAGUUGUAGGUUAGACACUAACCCAGUGGACCCUCUUAGGUAUCUGUUGACGUUCUUUUGCUCAGGAGCUAGGCGACGACAGUUGUAACAGUGUGGUACUUCGAUUCCAUACGUUGGGUACAGUGCGUUGCCGCUCAGGUGACGUUCCUUUACCUGGUUGUCAUAUUUUUACCAUAUAAUACAUGUUGAGCCUUGCACCCAUGCUGUUUCUUAUUACUCUAUUAGUUGUUGGCACUGUACGUAUCAUGAUAGCUUAGGGAGUUAGAAUAGACUUUACGGUAAUUGAUAUUUAAUGACUUUGGUUUGGUCUGAAUCUCUAUGUUGAUAUCCAUGACCCCCUGUUGGUCGACAGUUGCAGUACCCUAUACUUGUGACAUGAUUGGUCGAUGUUCAUAUUCCUAAUACUUGUGAAACAUGACUUUGCGUCAGACAUGUCAUAUCCUAUACUUGUGACAUGACUUGGUCGAGUUUCAUACGCUUAUACUUGUGGACCUGGCUUGCUCGAGUUUGGUAUACAUGAUGACCUGCGCCGGUCGAUGGUUCACAUGUGAUAUCAGGCUUGGAGUAGAGUUCGACUUAUUGUAACUAUCAUCUGUGAUUUGGGUUGGCGGUUCCCUAUUUUUGAUAUCUAUGACCUUCGCGUCGAGUGUACAGUUCUAUCUUGACAACGUUAGCCGGAUUAUUGCCUGAUGGCCUAUACGGAUCGGUUAGCCCUGAGGGCUGGAUUGUCGGCUAGUUGCCGAUGGAAUGUCUUUGAGUCAUACUACUUCAUGAUUCCACUGCAGGUACGUAUUCCAUCCAACCAGCGGUCUGAUCCACCGCAACGAGGGUGUUUCUUUCCGGCAAAAGUGCGUUGGAUUGGCACACCGUGAGCCAGGGCUUUAUUGGCGAGGGUAUAUCUUCUGACCCAGGGGCUUCAUGCGAGGGCAGUACGUGUUCUGACCCAGGGCUUCAUUGCGAGGAGUCAAGUACAGUUGACAGCAGAUGUGAUGGGCCUGAUGCGUCUUCGGGACCAAGUAGGCAGCGAGAUUGGGUUACUUUUGAGGCUUAUCGUAGUUGACGCCCCUUGCAUACAGUAGCUUAGUGUUUAUUUUCAGUCACAUCCUUAUCUGUUUUUAGGCUCUGUUUAUCUUACCUGCAUCUAUACUUGUCAGCUCCUACUUAUCAGCAUUCUUUAUUACCAGCACUACUAUGUUAUCUAGUUCCUCCGUGUUUGUUGUAUAGCCUUUCCUAUCCGAGUGAGUAUCCUCGCUUCUUCGCUUGCCGGUACCACUGGAGGGAGGACAGUUUCAUGUUCUCACCUCCCCCACCAUUGUUCAGGUAUCUGCGGUGCGAUUGAGUUAGUGGGACGAGAGUGAGUACGUGUGUAGCGAUCGAUUAGAGCUUCCGGCACCAGGUUAUUCUGAUUAGUAUUAUCCUUGGUAUUCUGUUGUAUAUUAGUUUAAGCUUCGGUUUAUGUGGUUCAGUAUUUAUUUACAAUUUGAAAAUGUGAAUUUCUGGAUUUUGUAAAAUAAAAAGUUUUCUACCCUCGUGGUAGCGUUUUUAAAGAAUAAGUUCCUGUUGUAGCGGAACAGUUUUCAAAAGAUUUUUAUGGACUUAUGUUUAGACAUGGAAUGCAAUUUGUGAUGUUGAAUGGUGAAUGUAUGAAUGUAUAGUGAUUUUAUAUUCAUUUAGUUGUGGUUGUAUCCUGUUUGUUACUGUUGUACUUGUGCGACGCGUGCAAAUACAGGGGAGACUCUGUCCGUUGUGAACAGUGAUCUCUGUGUUGUGGCGGGUCUGACAUACUCUUGGGGUCAAGGGUUUAAAAAAAAAAAAAAAAAAAAAAAAAAAUUCAGACGCUUUUCUGCUAUCUUCUAAACUCAAAGGGACCCCGGGGCGUGACAAUUUUAUACUCGUUCUAUUGAAAGACCAUUAAUUCUAUGUAUGGGCAAAAGUUUGUCAUUGUUGGUGCAUUUGAGUCUCUAAUUUUUCUAGGAGGCCUCGGUGUACAAACUCCGGUCCACGCAAUAAUUGCGCCUUUAUGCGGGCCGUUGAACUAAGGUUACGUACAGUGUUUUGUGCGACACGUAACGUUGUGUGUACAUGUGGAGGCAUCAUUAAGACGUUCUACAAGAACAUCUGAGAAUUGCUGCACCACAAUUCCUACCCUCUCAUAAGAGGCCAAAUUAGUACUUAAGCUUGCUUAGAAUUGAAGAAUUCCUGUUUGUCACAAUUAUUCAGCAUUGAAAUAUUUAGGCUUAUUCAACUGUCCCUAACACAAAUAGUAAAAAACUUAAUGAUUGAUAUUAGAAAUUUCAAGUUCGCACUUUAAUUAUUUUACAUUUUCAAUUUUGUUCGUUUCUGAAAAAAAAUUUAAUUGCACUAUGAGCAGUGCUAUCUAUAUAUUCCAAAAAAAGUAUAAAUAUUGUAUUCUCUUUAUUUAAGGUCCAAAAGUUGGCUUUUAUCUUCUCAAUAUAUUUUUUUUUAUAAAUACUAGAAUCUCAAAAAAAAAAAAAAAAAAAAAUAAGAAAAAUGGUGUAAAUUAUUACUUUUUUUUUGUGGGAAUGUACAAAGUAGCAUUUGUCAUUGACUUGCACUAUACUUUAUAAGAUUUUUUUCACUUUUUAUAGUAAUAUUACAUUUCUUUUUUUUUCCUCCAAAGACACUAUUUUAACUAUCUUUUAUUUUACUUUUACAAUAAAACAAUAAACCUAUAAUUUUAGAUGAAGUCUAUUAAAAAAACUAGCUGAAAGUAAUCAGAGUAUAUAUUCAGUUCAUUUUUGGCACAAAAAUAGAAUACAUAAAAAAGAAAAAUAGUUUGAAAUAACUAGAUCAAGAUAACUUUUCAAUAGUCUAUCAUUGAAAGAUUUAUUUAUAGUUUUUCGCUACUAUUUAACUACGUGCUCAUUAAUAAAAUUAUUAAAUUUACCUAAAACUGUAAUUUGUUUAACAAUAGAUGAGGAGUUGACGCGAUAAAAAUAGUUUGGCUGAUUCUAUAAAAACGAGAAUAGUAAAAGUAGAAAAAUGAAUAUAUGAUAUAUACAUACUAUAUAAUAUAUAUAUAUAUAUAUAUUGAGUGAGCUACUAUCUAUCGAUAGGCAUGGAGGCCUUCCGUGGCUUCAGCCUCGUUUCACUGUUGCGCACUUUCGAAUCGUCGAUCGCUCCUCCGUUAAACUUGGAUUUAGAGUAUUUGAGUACCUAGAAAAUAAAUUUUAUGAUUUUACGAUAUCCAUUUGCUCUAGUGAACGAAUGGGCUCAAAAUCAAACGGCUGGAAAAUAAAAAUCUUACGAAAACGUAAUAAUAUGACAUAGAAAUUUUUAAAUCAAAGAUAUUUGAUCUGUUUUUAUAUAUAUAAGAAUUUCUAUCAAAAUUGUUACGUGAUUUGGAUAUUUCUAUACGCGUUAAACUGCAAACUGAGGGCUUCACUAUGCAUAUUGAAAUUUGUUGAUUUUGUGAGCCGCAUUCGAUCACUAGCAAAUGAUAUCAAAAAAUAAUAAAUAUUUUAUUUUUAGGUACUCAAAUACUACUAGAUCAAAGUUUAACGAAGCCGAUCGAUCGAUUCGAAAGUCGGGCAACAUCGAAACGAGCUGGAUAAUAACGGUAAGCUUCCGUGGCUUCGUAAUAUAUGCAUAGUUAGCCCUCAAUAUAUAUACUAUAUGAAUAUAUUAUAUAUAUAUAUAUCUAUUAUAUAGUAUAUAUACGAGUCCUGGUACUAGGGCGAGGUGAGAGAGGAGAGAGCACUUGGUGGCUAACCAAGUUUUCGGGGCCGUAGAUCGUGAGUCUUUUUGAUCAUUUUUAUCCGUUAGAUCACGAGACUAUUCAACCAACAUUGCACUGCAUCUUGGGCGCACAUCAAUCCUAUACCGGUACAUGCUCUUAAUCCAAUACCAAAAACAUUGGUAGGCAACUAAAGACUCGGUGCUCAUUAAUAGUAUAUUAGCUCUAGUUCAUAUAUAUUAUAUAUAGUAUAUAUAUGGUGAGGCUACUAACUAUCUAUAGUACCGAGGCUGUCGGUACUAUGGUGUUGGUUUCGAAUCUAGGUCCGUUCAAUCAACGAUCCCAUACCGUUAAAACUGAUACUACGGUAUUUAAGUUUUAAAGAAAUAAAAUUGUUACUAGUUUUUCUGAGCCACUAGUUUACUAUAUGAUCAAAACUAUUUCAAAUUGUCAUUUCAAUCGCUAUUAUACGAGUUUUGGAGUUAACCGGUGUAGAAAAUUUAAAUUUCUUCCAAAUUUUGAUAAAAAAUACUUAAAAUAUUAUAGAUUAAGGGUUCACUUCUUGAUCAUGAAUUAUAGAAGAGCCUAAUGCUCCAAAUUUACAAGAUUAUUUCAAUUUCCACGUCCAUGUUGGAAUAUUAAUUUAUUUACUUAAGUAAACGAUAUCGAAAAAAACUAAAAUUUUAUUCCUACAGAAAUUCAUAUACCCUAGAUCAUAUUUACACGGCUGUGGAUCCGUUGAUUUGAACGCCCUAUAGAUCGAAAACAGAAAUGACUAUAGUACCGAGCCUCAGGAUACUAAUACGAUGGUAAAGUAGCCUAAUUCUACUAUAUAUAUAUAUAUAUAUAUAUAUAUAGAGUUUUGCUAGAAUACUAUUAGUAGUAAAUGGCUCGGUUUACUACCGAUUUGUUUUCGAAAAUAGAGCUUCCAAAUUAAUGAUCGGCACCGUUAAACAUGAUCUAAACUAUUUAAACUAGCUGGAAAUCAAAUUUCACACAUUUUCGAUAUUGUUCUCUUGUCUAUCAAGUGAACAGAAAAAUGAAUGUCUGGAAAUGAAUAUUCUUCAAAAAGUGAUAAUACAAUUUUGGGAUGAUAAACGGUUAGGUUUGAAAUUACCCAAAUAUAAUAAUAUAAUGAUGCCUUUGAAAAAAAAGAAAAACUGUAUAAUACAGCAAAGAAAAAUAACAUUAAAAUACAAUGCAGUAAGGUGUAAUUACACCAAAUGUGAAUAUCUAAUUAAAUAUUUUUAUAUAACAAAAGAAUAUAAAAAAAAUAAAUAUUAUUUGAUAUGAUGUUAUAAUGUUGCUUUUAAUUAGAUUCUCCCCGUGGCAUACAACACAAUAUAAUUGGUUUCUAUAUUGGCUAAUUUGCAUUUUUGGUCCUCAAACUAUGAGGCAGGUGAUACUAGAGUUCUCAAACUAUUAUAAUUUCUAGUUCGAAUUUCUAAAUUGUCGUAACUAAAUUUCACAAUUUAUUAGUUAGCUGAAUGGUGAUGUGUCGCUAAUGCAAUGGUAUUGUACUUGAUAACACGAUAAUGACUAAAAUAGAACAUCGUUGCCGUAUUAGCAGCACAUGAGUAUCUAAUCAAUUAAGAGCUUAUUUGGUACUAAGGCUAAUCUACCGCUAUUAGGUAAAACGAAGCUGAGACUUAAGCAUCUAUGGAUAUGCUUCCUCUUUCUACAAUCAGACUAUAAAAAAUAUGUCAUAACCGACGCACUGUUGUAUAUGCAACGUGAUAUUUUAUAUGGAAAUAAAUGAGGCAUUAUCUGAUUGUAAAUUUUUUUUAUAUCAUGUAACACAAUCUCUCCAUAAUCUCAAACGGAGUCUAAAUUGAAUUGUAGAAUUUGAUUGCUACAAUUUAGCAAGUUAAAGUUUGAAAAUAUGAUAAAUUGAAGUUUAAGGUCCAAAAUGUCAUUGUCUCUUAGUCUAUGGACCAAAGUGUAAUUUAUCCAUCUAUAUAAGUAUAUUUAAUUGGUAAGUGUAUUUUUAUGUCAAGUUUUAGUCUCUCUGUCUGAUCUCUGAUAAUGUAGUUAACAAGUUUGCCCAACCAUGUGUUUCCUGUUAUUGCUUUUUUCUAUAAUAUAUGUAUCAAAUCCUUGAAGAUAUCAAUAAUAUAUAGUUUAGUUUUGUACUUUUUCAGGCAACAAACCUGUCAAAACCCUAGGCUCCUCCAUUGGAGGAAUUCUACACUGUCACACUUGCAAUACGUCAUCAAUAACAAGCCAAUCGCAUUCCUUCUUUUCAAACAAAAGUACAAUAAAAAUACUUUUUUACAAUCAUGAUGGGACAUAUAUUCUUAAAAGGAUUAAUUUGAUUGGUUUGUUACGCCACGUCACUAAUAUACCCGUUGCAUUCUAGAAUUUUUCCCUCCCUUGUCUUCGAUGCCGCGCGCUUCAAGGCCCCGAUGGAUGCCACGAGGGAUGUAUGGUUUCACAUCAUCUCCUCCAACAAAGUGAGGAUCCUUUAUUGUGAUAAUGCACCGUAUCUCUAAAAAAGUUAUAAGGCUAAAUUACAGAAAAACGUCCCGUUAAAAUUCGAUUUUUUACUUUUUUACUCUGUCAUUUGAAAAUCUAUACUUUACAUUUUUAUAAAAUAAAAUAUAUUUAUAUGGGGUUCGGUGUGAACUGUGAUGACAAAAUGAUCAUUUUGUUCCUCAUCAUUUUGCCUCUCACCAUAUUCACAGGAAAGAAGAUUGAAAAUAUUUUUGACAUAAAAAAAAUAUAAUAAUAUUUUAUAAACGAAAUCCUAACGGAUUACUAAUGGUAAGAGGUAAAGUGAAUAUCUUUUAUUUUACAAGGGGGUAAAGUGUAAGAUUUUAAAUGAGAGAGGGGGAAAGUGAAAAAUCAGAUUUUGACACUACAACAAAAACGGUCUAUAGCGACACUUUUAAAUGUUGGUAUAGGUCAAAAAAAGUGCUGCUGGCUAAAUUACCGACACUUUUAAAAAGUGUUGCUAUAUGUGGGGUCGCUAGAUAUAUAGCGACAGUUAAAGAGUGUCGCUAUAACCUAAAAAAGUGCUGCUAAUUUAGCAACACUUAUUUAAGUAUCUAGCAACCGUCGGAACUCUACCUCGUUGGCUGCGGUGGCUGAGGAGGACGAGAGGGAAGGGCCCUUCGUCUAGAAUUUCAGUGGAUUAAGUGAGGGGAGAAGGGGAGAUAGUAAUCGAUUUUUCUUUUUUUUUCCCUUUCAGUUUGGAAUCGGGCCAAAUGGGUUGCGUUGGGUGGGUUGAGUAUAGUGACCUUUUAUUUUUUUGUUGGAUUCGACUUUAUAUUAAGGCAUUAGUAGAUGUUUUUUUAAAUUUUGACAUAAAUGGAACACUUAGACAAAAGUGUCCCAAACAUGUGUCCCUAUAAACUAACUGUUGUAGUGUGAUCGGAGCAUUUUAUGUAUUUUAGCCAAGUUAUAAUGAGAUUAGUAGUUUUAUAAUAUUUGUCCUUUAUAAUGAUGUACUCUGGCCUAAUCACAAAUCUUUUAAACAUUAGACAUUUAAUUAAAUAUUUUUUGUGCAUCUAUAAUUUUUUUUGUAUAUAUAACAUUCAAUAUUUGCAUUGUAUAUUAUUGUGAGUUUUUGUUUAGCCAGAUUAGUUGCUAUAUGAUAUUUUAUUUGAUUAUUAUAUUAUAAAAAUAAUUUUAAUCAUCUAUUUAUAUAAGGGUAAACUUCAAAUACCCCUUUGUGGUUUCACACUUUCUCAUUUUAAUACCAUGUGGUUUAAAGUGUAUCAAGUUAGCCUUGUGGUUUCGCACUUUCUCACUUUAGUACCCUGCGGUUUAAAGUGUAUCAAGUUAAUACCCUGUGGUUUUAUUUUUCUCUUUGUAUUAUCCAUUUCACUAAUUUUUUUCAUUAAAUCAAUAAUAAAGUUAAAAUUAAAGGGUACUAAAGUGAAUAUUCGAUAAACCUUAUGUAUUUGAAGUUUUUUUGCAUAUAAUUUAACAAAAUAUUAACUGAGGAAAAAAAAUUAGCGACAAAGUUAAAACUAAAGGGUACUAAAGUAAAUAUUCGAUAAAACUAUGUAGGGUAUCUAAAGUUUUUUGCAUAUAAUUUAACGAAAUAUUAACAGAGGAGCCAACGAAAAGAGAAAAAUAAAAUCACAUGAUACUAAAUUGAUGCACUUUAAACCAAGGGUACUAAAGUGAGAAAGUGUGAAACAACAGGGUACUAAAUUGAUACACUUUAAACUACAUGGUAUUAAAGUGAAAAAGUACGAAACCACUGGGUAGUAUUUGAAGCUUUCCCUUUAUAUAAUAUAUGUGACUUCUCUUGAAUAAGUUUGAAUAGUUUUGCUGGAACAAUUGAUUCUUUUUUAUUAUAGUUUUAUUUUUUUAAAAGUAUUUAUCUAUAAUAUAGCCUAUAUUUGUUAUUUUGUCCUGCACUGAUACUUUAUUCUCCACAAAUUUUUACUUUAAUAGUAUCUACCUGCCGCAAUGCGCGUGUCACCAUACUAGUUUAGAUGAUUGAAGUAUUCACUUCUAGCUAGCUCAAAAAGUUUCAACUCUAAUUGAAAGUGAAUUUGGUUAGAAUUAAGUUUUAAGGGAGAGAGAUAGGGGUGGUCUUUUUGACCUUGAAGUAAAGAUAGUUCCAAUUUGUGGAUUUUUUCCAAUGCAAUAUAUCCUUCUUGAGUUCCUUCUAAUAUUUGAGCAAUUUAGUGACAAAACUUAAAGAUAAAAGAUCAGUCCAAAUUUCACCAUUAUUUGUUAUCAUCAAAUUUUAAAUGAAGAUUAAAGUCACUAGGCCAACAUCAUGUUCCAAAUUUAAUUGUUCAACUUACUUUUCGAUUACAAAAAAAAGUGUAUGUACCUAAGCUGGUGAGAUCACACGGUUAAGAUAUAAAUUACUUUGUAUAUAUAUAUAUAUAUAUAUAUAUAUAUAUAUAUAUAUAUAUAUAUAUAUAUAUAUAUAUAUAUUUGAGAAGAACUAAAACUUUUAGAAGUAAACUUUAGCAAAUUCUGACGGUAAAACAUCCGAAUUGAUGAUAAUUAAGCACUAUUAAAUUGGAUUUAGGUUAUUUAAAUUUUCGAGGUUUCGAUUCUAGAUUUUCUAAAAUUAUUUGCCUAGAUGGCUAGAUACAGAAAUUUUGAUUGCUGUAAAUCAAGCUUAACAAUGCCAUUCAUUGGAAUCUGAACAUUUUUACUUCCAAAAUUAUUCUAAUUUUAUAUAUUCCUUCUCUACGCAAACGUUUUUUGAGGACCUUUUGCUCAUGUUUGUCCCACAUCCACAUGCAAUAUUAUUAUCUAUAAACAUUAAAAAAGAAAGGGAGGGUCUUGGAAAUUAAAAUAAAACACACCCACAGUGCCUGUAGCUAAAAGCGACUCUUCUUCUUACCCCAAUCAAUGUGUCGGGGGCAAACAUCUAAUUUUUUAUUUUUAUAUUUUAAUUUUAUUUCGGACGAAACAAAGUUGAGCAUCAAUAAAUUUUAUUUAAUUAGUAAUUUAUUCGAAAGAACAAAUAUGUUAAACUAUCUAAUAAAAUUUAGAAUUUUUAAUUGUUAAAAUUAAAAGUUGACCAAUUAUAUUUUAGAUAUUUCAAAAAAUUUUAAAUAUAAAAUUAAUUGCUUAUCAGACUAUAAAUAUGGCAUUAAAAUUUAAUAUUAAAAUCAAAGUAAAAAUAUAUAAAAUUUUUCUAAACUAUAAACCAUUUUGAAUCAGCUAUUUAACCGUUAAAAACUCUAUUUUUAAGGCUAAAUUACAGAAAACCUCAUUGUCGAUAUCUGCUUUUUUAUUUUCCCCCGGUGUCUUUUAAAAACCUACACUUUGCCUCUUUGAAAUAUGAUGAAUGUUCGCUUUAGCCCCCCACCAUCGGUAUUUCGUUAGGAUUCCGUUUAUAUCCGAUUAUCAUAUAUUUUUAUACCCAAAAUAUCCUCAGCCUCCUCCCCGCCGCCUCCUUUAACUCGCCGCCCACGCCGCCUUGCCAACUCCGCCACCUCACGCUCCUUCGCAGCCUAGCCUUGGCCACCCCUCCAUCCGCGCCCACACAUACGCUUUGGCACUCCUUCGCGGUCUCGCCCUUGCCCUCACCCACCUCUCCGUCCAUACCCACCCCAAUAUUCUCCUUAUCGUCGUCGAAAUGGAGGGGGCGACAAGGGUGUAGGAAGGAGCAGGGGAGCAGGUAGAGGAAAUGGAGUCAAAGUUGUAAUUGAGCGAGGCGCGAAGAACGGAAGAGGAGAGGCGACGGCUGAGCAAGAUUGGGGAGAAGAUAAAGAUGGUGAGGGGCAAUAUGGUUAUUUUAUCAUCACAGUUAACACCGUACUUUUCCGUAAAUAUUUUUUAUUUUUCAAGGGGGCAAAAUAUGGGUUUUUAAAUGAUAGGGGGAAAGUUAAAAAAGCGGGUAUUGAUAGAGAAUUUUCUAUAAUUUAGUCUUUUUAUUAUCCAAUCUUUCGACAUGUUAGAUUUGAAUCAGUCAAUGAUAUUUUGACUUUAAAAUUUGAAUAUAUCGUUUAGCUCUACAAAUUUAAUUUUAUAUAUACUUCAUUAAUUCUUGCAACUAAAUUUAUUAAAAUAAGUAUUAACUUAAACUCUAUUAAUUUGUUUUAAAAAUUUUUUUAUUUUACAAUCUAUAUCUAAGUGAUAAAUAUUAUAAAAUUAAAAUUUUAUGUUUAAUUUAUGUAAUCUAAACUAUUUAAAAUUAUGUUUGAAAAAUUAUAUAUUUUAAUUUUUGUAAUGAUAGAGAAGCAAAUUAGAUUGAAUUAAAAAAAGUCCAAUUCUCUUAGUCCCAAUAAAUGUAGAGAGAAAAUAAUUAAAAUAAAAAAAAAAAUCUCCAACCUAAUCCGACCCCCACCCAGCCCCCCUCCAGCUCCACGUGGCUUAAAACAACUGAAAAUUCAUUAUAUAGAAUAUAUCUAUAAUCGAUAUCUAUAAUCUAUAAAUUUCUAUUAUUUUUCAAUAACUGCACACAUGGCAGCGGGAAGCGGAGGCGCGGGCGAGAGCGUGGGGCGGAGGCUCGGGCGCAGGGUGGGCGAGGGCGUAGGCGCGAGGGCAGGCUCCGGCCCUGGCGCGGGGGUGGGCGCGGGGAUGGGUGCGGGCGCUGGCGCGAGCAGGCGCGAGCCGAGAGGCGAAGGGGCAGGGCGUGGGCAUGCGCCGGCGCGGGCUCAGGCACGGGGCGAGCCGGCGCGGCCUUGGCGUGGGCGCGAGUACGAGCGGGCGUGAGUGGGCGGGGGCGAGCGCAAGGGGCAGAGGCGCGGGCUGGGGCGAGCGCCGGCUCAGGCCGGAGCCGGCGCGGAGGCGCCAGCCCAGUGUGGACGGGGCUGGGAGCGGACCGGGGCGCAGCGCAGCGCGGGGGAGCAGGCGCGCGGGCCGAGAGAGCGGCGCGCGCGAUGGUGGGCCCCUGCGGGAGGGGCGGGGAGGGCCCAACGAGGGAAAGGAUUUUUUUUUUUUCUUUAAUUAGGGGAAGUUUUUUUUUUUUCUUUAACCAGGAAGGAUUUUUUUUUUUUUUAAUCAGGGGAAGGAUUUUUUUUUCAUUUCCUAUUUAGAAAAAAAUUAUAAUUUUUAAAAAUUUUAAUCUACUUUUUUUAUUAUAAAAUUUAAAAUAUAUAAAUAAUUACUAAAUAGUUUAGACUAUUGAUAACUUGGUAUUAAAUAUAAAUAUUAAUUUUAUAAUAUUGAGAAUUCAGAUAUAAAUUAUACAUUAAAAAAUAAAAAAAAGAUUAAUAGAGUUUAAGUUAGUUUUAUAUUUUACGAAAGUUAGUUGCGAGAAUUACAUGAAAGAUAGUAACUAAUAAAAGAUUUCUCUUCUUAUUUUAUUAAUUCAUGGGGGAUUAUCAUGACUAUUAAAAAUUUUGAAUAUACUAUUUGCACCAUUUAUUUCUUAAACACAUGACGAUGUUUGGAAUAAUUAGCAUCGGGUAAUUUCAUUUGUACCCCUUAAAAGAUUAGAAAUAACAUAAAUAAUAUUACAAAAUUGGUAAUAUAAAAGUAAACAAAAGAGAAUGAGAUAAGAAAAUAGUUAAUAAAGUUGAAGAAUUAUUUCAAAAUAAUUUAUUGUUGAGAGAGCUCCUUAUAUUUGCUAUGUUAGAGAAGAUAGUUAUAUUUAUUUAAAAUUAUUUCGUAAUUUGUCAGUAGCAUUUCAUAAUUAUUCUAAAAUUAAUUUUUAUAACUAAUUUUAAAGAUUAAAUUUUAAAAUAACUAUUCGCAGUAUCGCAGGUCCUUAACUAAUUUAUAAUGACAGGGAAGAAAAUUAGUUUGAAUUAAAAAAAUUUCAAUUCUCCCGGUCCCAAUAAAUAUAGAGAAAAAAUAAUUAAAAUGAAAAAAAAAUCUCCAACCCAACCCGACCUGCACCUAGCUGGGGCCCACACCCAUCCCCAUCGCCUCCCCAGCUCCACGUGGCUUAAAACAACGGAGAAUUCAUUAUAUAAAAAAGAAAAAACUUCAAAAAACCCCAUAUGGUUUCAUUCAUUCUCACUUUAGUACCCUUUGAUUUAAAGUGUAUCAAUUUGCACCCUGUGGUUUCGUUUUUAUUUUUUCGGUAGCUUUUUCGUUAAUAUUUUAUUAAAUUAUAUACAAAAAACUUUAGAUAACGAUCUAGAUUUAUCAAAUAUUCAUUUUAGUAUUCUUUAAUUUUAACUUUAUCAUUGAUUUAAGAAAAAAAAUUAAUAAAAUUGAUAAGAAAAAGAGAAAAAAGAAACUACGGGGGGCAAAUUGAUACAUUUUAAAUUACAGAGAGGCAAAGUAAGAAACUAUGAAACCAUAGGAGGUUUUUUUUGAAGUUUUUUCUAUAAAAAAAAAUAAAUUUGUCCAUCCGUCGCAUCAAGUCCAAUGCACUGACAAUUAAUUCAACCUUGCACACCACACUAAUCAUUUCUUUUGUUGACGUAAAGACAGAUAUGCUAUCAAACUUUUCUAAACUUUGGAUAAGCCGACACCAAGAUUGAUUCGGAAUAUCGGACGUGAUUGCAAUCUAUAUGAAUAAGCAGGAUUUUAUUGGAGUUUGCGUGACUUAUUCCGUCAAAAUUAAUAAAAUUUUAAAUGGUUAUAACAAAUUUGGAACAAAUUAUAAGGGUUAGGGACCUAAUAGCAAAAAUUAAAAAAAGAAAGUUGGAAACCAAAGUUUAAAAGAGUAAAGAUUAGCAAUCAAUGAUGCAAUUAGCCAUUUUUAUUUCACUAAAAAGUUCAAAGGAUUAAUUGAAAGAAUAGUCCCCAGCCUUUAACCGAUAAUCAAUUUGAUCCCCAACCCUUUUUUUUUCUCGAAGAAGGUUUUUAAACUUUAUUAUUUAUUUUAACUAGUAUAGGAUUCGCCCUUUGCGGCGGAUAGAUAAUAUUUCAUUAUUAAAAUUUUAAAAAUAAAAAAUAUAUUAAAAAAUAUAAGACAAAUUAAAAAAUAGUCUUAUAUAAAUUAUAAAAAAUAGUUUUUUAAUUACUAUUUUCUUAACUUUCAAUAUUUAUAGAGUUGAAUUAUUUUAAUAAUUUUAUUUAAAAUUUUACUAAAACUUUAUAGUUUUGAUGGCAUUCUUUAAGUAAAUUUUUUAAUUAAAAGUUAAAGUUGGAGGAUUUAUUUCAAAUUAAAAAAUAGGUGAGAGUAUCUUUAUCUUACUAANGGCUUCUUAGAAUUUUAUAACAACUAUUUACUCGUAUUAUGUGUAUCAUCGAUUACUAACCAAAUUAAAAAAGCCAAAGUUUGUACAGUUAACAAUUCUGUAAUUGAGAUUUUUCCAUUUGGUUAGUGAUCAACGUUGUAUAUCUUUCGGUUGAAUAGUUCUUGUACGAGACAGACUCUAUGUGUAUUAUUUGAUAAUAUACCAGAGUAAGUUUUUUGAAUCUAUACAUUAUCGUAAUUACAAAUUCACGUACAGUGUACGGUGUAAUUCGAUUAUUCAUGUAGAUUAUGUUUUCAUAUGAGUUGAUCCUAUAUUGACCUUGUAUGGCGCUCCUCGAGCAGUAAGCGCCCGAGGCGAUGAUCCCGAAGCAGCUGACGCCGCUAGCUGCGGGAAACGAGGAGCUCGACAAUGGAUUAUCUUCAACGUACGGUCGUUUUAUCUUAUUUUUAUCGAAGUUUCGUCCUUUUUGUUUUUUUCUUCUUCUUCUGAACGAUAUAUAAUUGUACUUCUUAUAUUUGACCAUCCAAGGUUGUUUCUCAAGUCACAUUCAAGGUUUCUAUUUCUUAACGAGAUUCCUGGUUUUUAACCGAUAGAUAAGGAAGUCUAAUCACUUUCUAUGGAUCUUUUUAAUUAAUAAAGUAAGAUUAUAUUUACAGCGUAGUGGGUUGUUUUUGAAUAGUAAUGUGUUCUUUUGAUAAUAUAAUUGUGAUAACGAUCUUCAACUAUUGAGUUAUGAGUUGGUUUUUAGAGAUAAUAACGUAAAAUUUUUGUCUAGUACUUGUAUAUUUCAAGAACUUAUUGUGUCAUAGCGUUAAGAUAUCCAUUCUUAAAUAGUAUGAAGAUUGUAAUAGUUGUUGUUGGUUUCAUUGAGUGACCUUUCAGAUGCUUUUAUAGCCGGAUAAAUCCGGGUAUAACACUACUAGGUUAUUAAUCUUUGAUCCAGAGUGACCUUAUAGAGGAUUUUUUCACAUAAAUCCAUGGGUUCACAGCCAAUACUCUAGUCUUUAAGCCCGAGGACAUAUACUAAUUUACUUACCAAGUACAAGGAUCCAAGAUUAAUCGUAUACAUAUCCUUAUUUUUUUGGAGUUCCUGUUACCUCAGACGUUUAUUUUAUUUUGGAGUUUUUCUUUUCAUUUAGAUGUUGUAAAGAUUCCUCAAGAGGUACUGUAGUGUUACUCAUGUAUUGAAUUUUUUUGUGCUGGAUCCCUGAAGCUUCUUGCAAACGUAAUAGAGUAAACAGUUGUGUUCUAUAUAGGUAGUAAUCUUCUAUCUUAAAUUAUGACUGUAGGAAGAAUUUGUGUUAUAGAUUGUUGAUGUUGAUCUGUUUUUACAUGUCUACAUGACUUAAUACUUUACAAUUGCUUUGUUUAUUACUUUUAUUUAUAAGUCAUUAAGGGUUAUAUUUUAGUAUUUGAAAGUAAUACUAAGUAAAUUUUUUUAAUUGUACAGGAAUGCGCAAGACAAAUCGACUUUUGGAGAAUAUUUUAAUUGUGCAGGAAGAGGCAAGACAAAUCGACUUUUGCAGGAUUAAGUUUCUUCGGGUCCAUUUCUUUUUGUUUAGAGAUUUCGAAAUGGGCAUGACUAGAAAACUGCUUAUUUUAAAGAUGCAUAUGACAUCGAUCUUUAUGUUUUGAGAGUUAUUACUUGAUGUGAAUUUGUUAUAACAUAUAUUUGAUUUUGUGGUUGUUGGAAAAAUGUUUUGUACAAACUGUUAUAUUUUGGAUAUGUACAAUGCAUUUUUCAUGUAUGGUUUAGAAUCUGGCUAGUACAAGUUAUGUUCUUUUUGUAGUUUCUUAUUAUUUAUGUAAUGCUCUUGUAUAGAAAGUAUAAUGUUUAAUUCAAUGUAUCUUAUAAUACAUACUUUUUGUGAGGAAUUUCAGAAAAUGGCUACAAAAGAUCGACAUUAACACUAGCAAUUUUUAUAUGACCAAAAAACUAUUGUUGCCACAGUAGUAAUAACUUUUUGUGACAAAAUAUAAAGUUUGGACACAAAUAUGCAUAUUUUUGUUACGAUUUUUAAUAUUCCUCACAAAAAGUCAUUAAACUAUUAGAAUUAUUGUAAUAUGAAACACUAUUGUGACGAACUAAAUGGCCACAAAAGUUUAAAAUAUUUUAUGGCGAUUUAUUUUCUCCGUUAAUAACUAUUAUUUCACAAUGUGUAAAAUGGUAUCUGCGACGAAUAUUUUCGUCACAAAUAACAAAUUGUUUUGUGGCGAAUUUUAUUUCCUCACAAUAAUUACUGUUUUUUUACAACAUAUAAAACAGUAUCUGCGACGAACAUUUUCGUCACAAAUAAUAACUUGUUUUGUGGCGAAUGUUUUUUCCUCACAAUAAUUACUAUUUUUUCACAAUAUAUAAAAGAGCAUCUGCGACGAACAUUUUCGUCACAAAUAAUAAUAUAUUUUGUGGCGAAGAUUUUUUCCUCACAAUAAUUUUUAACAGCGGGGUUAUUAUGGCGACGCUGUGGCGGAAUAAAUUUGGCCACAAAAACGUUUUUGUGGCGAAAUAUGUACUUUUUGUGGCGAAAAUGUGCUCCACAAAAUGUUAUAUUUCUUGUAGUGCUUCAAAUGUUUGAUGGUGCAUGUUUCUAUUGUGGCUAGAAAUUUUCUUUUCCACGCCUUAACUUUUAUCUUCUAGAUGGUUGACAAGUUGAAUUUGAUUGUGUAGAUUGAUUAUAUAUAUUUGGAUUAAUUUUUUUCAAUCUUGAUAUGAACUCCUAAUUGUAUUAUUUAGCAAAUAAAUAAUUCUUAAUUUGCUAUAACUUUCUAUGACUCACCUUAUGUAUUUAUUUAAAAAAUUCAUAAAAAUAUAACUUAUUAUUAUUUUAUAUUUUUUUUCUCAUAUUAUCUAUCUGCUGCAUCGCGCGGGUCACUACUCUAGUUAGUUUUAAAAUCUCUAUUAAAGAAUGUUGAGUAGGUGGCACAUUGUACAUAAAUACAUCUGGGUGCAGAUUAUGCUUAGUACAGUGCACAUAUAAUUUCAAAAGAGAUAGCCAAAUAAAAUAAAUGAUUGUUUUGGCAAGACUUUUACAUCUAUACCUUUUUAACAUAUAUGAAGCUGGAUAUACGAAUUUUUUUGAUAAAGGCACGAGUCGAAAUUGGAAACUCCAUUUUAAAGAGAUCAACCUAAAUAAUAACCACUACACUAAACUAAUUGUUAUUCUCGUGAAGCCGCGAGAUACUAAGGUGUGAAAAGUUUUUUUCUUUUAUUUUAGGAAAAAGGUGCGAGGGAUAAGGGUAAGGUGAUUUAUUUUUUUUGUCAGAGAUAAAUAUAUAACAGGCUAUCCGUCUCGUUUAUUUUAUUUUAAAAUAAAUUUAAAUAAAAAUAAAAAUUAAUGAAUAUUCACAUGUGAAAUUUUAAGUACCAGCUAUCAAACCCUUUAUGACUUGCCGUAGGAUGAGUGGGUGAUAAGACAGUUUUGCUGGGAGUUGGUUUUUGUUGUCUCUGCGUGCUGAAAUACGGAAGUUGAACAGAUGCUGCAACCGGCGGCAUUGACACCUCAUGUGCUCCCACGUUGUCGGCCUCCAAAUCCCCCACGGCUGGCCAGAUCUCACGCCUAAAAUUACAAAAGUACCCCUUGUGUUUUGUCCCGUCUCGGUGAGUACUUGUUUGAACAUCGUCUUAGUCUCAGUGGCUGUGUUUGCUUUUUACGUAAAGUGAGUACUAAAUAUUCUUUUUGAUCUGAUUUUACAAUUUUAUCUUCGGUGAAAACUCAAUACUCCCGAAAAUAUAUUUCGAUCCGUACAAAUCAAUAUUAAUUAUGAAAAAAAAAAGAAGAUAGUAAUCCGCCUCUUAUACCUCGACUUUUUGACACGCAAAUGGAAAAACUUAAAAAACGUUCAGAUACACAAUUAUAGGAACAAACUUUCAAAGAAAGAUAAUUUUUAUCUAAAUUCUAUUUAGUUCGAAAGUCUAUUUAAACCUAAAUUUCACCGUCAGUAAAAUCUAAAAGUUUUGAAGGCAAUAAGAUAAAAAGAUAUUUCAUUUAAAUUCAGUUCGACUAGUUGGUUCGUGAAUCAAUAUUUUUAACAGGGACGAAUCAAUUUGGAUGACUAAAAUAUUAUGUUGAAUCGUUCAAACCACAGUUCGACCAAUAAAUGGAAGAACUGUUCUGGUAUUUGCGGAAUUGGCCAGAUGGUUUUUGUUUUUUCCUUGUAGAUUUUUGGUUGGAUGGUCCAAAUAUUAGGAGCUUGAUUGGUUCUUUCAUUUUAGACUAUAAAAUCGAUAUGGAAUUCAUUGAUUCCGACAAAUGUUAUUUACUUUACAAAAAUCAGAUUUUGACUUCGGUUCCACCCUAAAAUUGGAAUCGCCCAAUCCAUUUAUGGCCCAGUCUGGCUUUGAAUUUCGAAUCGGCCCCGUCCAAAAUUAAUACCACUCAAAUCCUUCUCUCAUAUAUACUACCUACUCCUUUUCCUUCAUCACUCUCCUCUCUUUUAACCAAAUUCCUCUCGCAUAAAUUUAAAUUUUCAUUCACAUUUCUAUUCCAAUAAUGAGUUAAUCAAACAUUUUUCACUGACGCGUCAUUUUAUUUUUCAUUCUAACGCAAUCCAUUUUUUUUUUAUAACUAUUCUCAUCAUGAACCAAACAUGCAUGCUUUGAGAGAAUGAGUUUUGAAAAGUUACCCUGAUAAAAUUUUCAUUUCUUUUACAUUUUAUUAUUUUAUAAUAAAUUGGAAAUAUAUUUUGACUUAUUUUAAUAUAUUAAACUAACAAUUAAUAGUUUAUGACACUCUGCUUGUCAAAGAAUAUGGUUAUUUUUUGAAUUACUUUCCAUGUAUAGAAUUUCCAUAUAUUGUAUUUCCAUUCUUUUGUUAAUUGUAUAUUAUAAAUCAAGAUGAAUAAUAUUGUUCAGUAGAAUAGAUCUGAACUUUACAAUAUCUCUUCUCAAAUUUCUACUCUUUGAAUAAAGUUCACAUGGUAUCAGAGAAAGGUUUAUCCUUCGCAUUUUGCUAUUGUAUUUUGCCUUGGUAAGCAAUAGCAUAUUCAGUGCAGAUUCUGCACGUAUUGAUUGUUGAGUUCUCGAAGGCCGUAGCAAAUGGCAUCGACUCCACCUAGCGGAGGUAGUGCUGUAACCAUGGGAGAAGUUCAAGGUACGCCUGGAAAUCCACCUAGCAGAGGUAGUGUUGUAACCAUGCGAGAAGUUCAAGGUACGCCUGAAAAUCCAUGCUUGCAAAUCACACCCUUCAAAUUAAAUGGAAACAAUUUCUUGCCAUGGUCUCAAUCAGCUACACUUUUUUUGAGUGGAAAAUUCAAACUUGGCUACGUGAAUGGUAAAAUUCAAGAACCUCCCAUUGAUGAAACAAAAUAUGAUGAAUGGAAAUCAAAUAAUGAUUUGGUUAUGUCAUGGUUAUUUAAUUCCAUGGAAUCUCAUGUCAGAGAUGGUCUUCUUUUUCUUAAAACUGCUCAUGAAGUUUGGAAGACAUUAAGUGAAAUAUACUCUGAAAAAAAUAACAUUGCCCGUGCUUAUCAGUUAAAACAGGAAAUUGCGCAUUUUCGCAAAGGAGAUAAGACAUUUAACGAAUAUCUUGGGACCCUUCGUGGUAUGUGGCAAGAACUAAGUUAUUAUGUUCCCAUUUCCACUGAUCCCCAAGUUAUUCGAAAAAGGAUUGAACAAGAUCAAAUUUUUGAAAUGCUCGCGGGACUUGACUCUGAUUAUGAAGCAAUUCGAAGUCAGAUCCUUAUGCAAUCUGAACUACCUUCUCUCAAUGAUGUGUGCGCACUUCUCCAAAGAGAAGAAAAGAGAAGAGCUGUUAUGAAGCCGACUGAGCAAUCUAAUAUGGAGCACUCAGCCUUUUUUUCCAACACCGCUACUAAUAGAGGUCGUGGAGACCGUGGACGCGGCCGUGGCAGAGGACGUGGAUUUGGUGAUCGCCCUCGAUGUUCUCAUUGUAACAAAUUGGGUCAUGUGAAAGAAAGGUGUUGGGAAUUAUAUGGUCGUCCUACGGAGCUACCGGAGGCCAACGUUGCUAAUGCUUCAAAGGAAUCAAAUGUUCCGACAUCAUUGGAGAAAUUAGCUGAACUUCUUGAUGCAUACACAAAGCAAAAGUCAUCCUCUGCACAUGUUUCACUUCACUCAGAAAUAGGUAAGACUGCCUCAGCACAUCUAGUAGAGUCAUCUCCAGCAACAUGGAUUGUUGACACCGGUGCAACAGACCAUAUGACAGGAACCUCUAAAAAUCUUUCUUCUAUGCAACCAGCUCUCGGUAAGAAUUUUGUAACCUUAGCCGAUGGUUCACAUGCUCCAAUUCAUGGAAUUGGAUGUGUUGAUGCAUCUCCUUCUAUCAACUUAUCAUCUGUUUUAUUUGUUCCAUCAUUUCCUUCUAACUUGCUAUCUGUUAGCAAGUUAACAAAAUCUCACAACUGUUCGGUAACCUUUUACCCUCAUCACUGUGUUUUUCAGAACUUGACAACGAGGAAGACGAUUGGUGAGGGGCGUGAAAAGGAUGGACUUUACUUACUGGAUCAAAGUGCUUAUGCUCUAAUUAGUCAUAAUGAAGAUAAUCAUGAAGAUACAUGGCACUCUCGAUUAGGUCACCCAUCUGAUCGCAUUCUUCGUGUUAUUUUUCCUAGCCUAAAAUCUUCAUUUAAUAAUUGUGAAACUUGUUUCUUUUCUAAGCAACAUCGUUUACCUUAUCAUAGAAGUGAUAGUAAAUGUGAUUCCCCUUUUCAUUUAAUUCACUCGGAUGUUUGGGGUUAUGCACCUGUUGACUCAUAUUCUGGUCAUAAGUAUUUCAUUAGCUUUAUUGAUGAUUAUUCACGUAUGCUUUGGGUGUACCUAUUGAAAUCGAAAGGUGAAGUUUUUGAUGCUUUCAAAACUUUUCAUAAAAUGGUUAUAACUCAGUUUGAUGCAAAAAUUAAGAUUUUUAGAUCUGAUAAUGGAACUGAAUAUAUGAACAAAACUUUUAGUAGUUACUUACGUGAAAAUGGUAUUUUGCAUCAAACGACAUGCCCUGGUAGUUCACAACAAAAUGGCAUCGCUGAACGCAAAAAUCGACACAUUUUGGAAGUAGCAAGAUCUUUACUCUUUCAAAUGAAUGUUCCAAAGAUUUUUUGGUCUGAUGCUGUUUUGACAGCCUGUUACAUUAUAAAUAGAUUGCCAACUGUUGUGCUUAAAGAUAUUUCUCCAAUUGAAUGCUUAACUAAUAAAAAACCAUCAGUUGCUCAUCUUCGUGUUUUUGGGUGCUCAUGCUUUGUUCAUGUCUCUGAACAUCAUAGAGAUAAACUUGAUCAUAAAUCCAUCAAAUGCAUUUUUCUUGGUUAUUCUGCAACUCAAAAAGGUUUUAAAUGUUAUGAUCCCAAAAGAAAGAAAACUCAUAUUUCUCGUGACGUACAAUUUUCCGAGUCCACCCCUUAUUAUGUUGACAAGCAAGAUAGUUCCUUUAAUUCUGCUACAUCUCAGGGGGAGUCGUUAAAUUAUUCCGAAUAUUUUCCUUUAUACUCUAGUUUAGAAACAUCUAACAAUCAUUCUGCUGCUCCCAAUUUCGAAGAUCAUGAUUCUUCUAGAUUAUCUCUACCUCACAUUGACAAUCAAAGCAUAAAUACUGAUCAAGCAAGUCAGAGCUCACCAAAAUCACCUCCUCACCAGCCGGCAUCCUUGGAGUUGGGCUCUGAUGGCAAUUCCAAUUCAGGUAGUCAAAGUCCUUUAGUUCUGGAACAUGAUUCUUUGCCUAUUGCUCUACGUAAGGGAAAACGAAAUGCACCUAAAGUUACCUAUCCUAUUGAAAAUUAUAUUUCCUAUCAUACUUAUUCUAACAAAUUCAAAUCCUUUGUUGCAUCCAUUGAUGGAAAUAAUGAACCUACUAGUUAUGCAGAGGCAAUUACUCAACCUGAGUGGAGAAAAGCAAUGAAAGAGGAGCUGAAUGCUCUUGAAAAAAAUCAUACAUGGGACUUAGCCUUGCUCCCUAAGGGUAAAAAACCUGUUGGUUGCCGAUGGGUUUAUAAAAUUAAGUAUCAUCCGGAUGGGCGUAUUGAACGCUACAAGGCACGUCUUGUAGCCAAGGGAUUCACUCAGAUAUAUGGUGUUGACUAUAAGGAAACUUUUGCACCUGUAGCAAAAAUGAGUUCGGUUAGAGUGCUUCUUUCAGUUGCCAUUAAUUUAGAUUGGCCUCUUUACCAACUCGACGUAAAAAAUGCUUUUUUGUAUGGAGAACUACAAGAAGAAGUCUACAUGUCAAUACCUCCCGGACAUCCAAGAGAGGGGGAGCGAGACUUAGUUUGCCGAUUAAGAAAAUCAAUUUACGGAUUAAAGCAAUCUCCAAGAGCAUGGUUUGAAAAAUUAAGUUCAACUAUAACAAGUAUUGGCUUUGUAAGAAAUUCUGCUGAUUAUUCAAUGUUUGUUAAGAAGGAAGGGACGAGCACGACCAUUAUACUUGUUUACGUGGAUGAUAUCAUUCUCACAGGUGAUAAUCAAAAGGUAAUAGAGGAUGUUAAGAAAUGGUUAAAAAUUAUGUUUGAUAUCAAGGACCUUGGCGAAUUGAGAUACUUCCUUGGCAUCGAAGUCGCAAGAUCAAAGAAAGGAAUUUUUCUCUCUCAAAGGAAGUACACUUUGGACUUACUAAAAGAAACAGGUAAACUUGCUUCUAAACCCUUAGGGACUCCUGUUGAUAUUCAUCCUGACCUUAAAAAGGGCGAGUUGAUUGACAAUGUUGGAUUGUAUCAAAGGCUUGUUGGACGUUUGAUUUAUCUAACAAUCACUAGACCCGAUAUCUCUUAUGCUGUCAGCUUAGUUAGUAAAUUCAUGCAUUCUCCUCAAACAUCACACAUGAAUUCUGUGAAUAGAAUACUACGUUACUUAAAAUCUGAUCCAGGAAAAGGAAUUUUGAUGCGAAAGAAUGGCAAUUUAAAUAUUGUGGGCUACUCAGAUGCUGAUUGGGCAGGUUGUCCGAUUGAUAGGCAUUCUACUACAGGAUAUUGCACUCUACUUGGUGGUAACUUGGUAACCUGGAAAAGUAAAAAACAGAAUGUUGUUUCUCGUUCAAGUGCAGAAGCGGAAUACAGAGCCAUGGCAUCAACAGCUUGUGAGUUAGUAUGGUUGAAAGCUUUAUUGAAGGAUAUGGGAUUCAAUCAUGAUGGUCCGAUUCAGAUGAAAUGUGAUAAUCAAGCUGCUAUACAUAUUUCUACAAAUCCUGUUUUUCAUGAAAGAACAAAGCACAUCGAGGUAGACUGCCACUUUGUACGCGAAAAGGUACAAGCAAAAGUGAUUUCUACUCCAUACGUUGCCUCUGAAGAUCAAUUGGCUGAUAUGUUUACCAAGGCUGUUGGGAAAAAUCGGUUGCAGAAUCUGUUGAUCAAGUUGGGCGUGAUAAAUAUCCACGCGCCAACUUGAGGGGGAGUGUUAGAAUUCCUGAUUGAUUGGUCACCAUAGAAAGAAGAUCCUGAUUAUUUGAUCGCCGUAGAAGGAAGAAAAAUAUUUGAUUGGCAUAUCACCAAGGAAGAAUGUCAAAGAAUAUGGUUAUUUUUUGAAUUACUUUCCAUGUAUAGAAUUUCCAUAUAUUGUAAUUGUAUAUUAUAAAUCAAGAUGAAUAAUAUUGUUCAGUAGAAUAGAUCUGAACUUUACAAUAUCUCUUCUCAAAUUUCUACUCUUUGAAUAAAGUUCACACUGCUAAUACUAGCUGUUGAACAUGUUUAAUAACUAGUUGGAUCAUUGAACCUUAAACCAGCAACAUUUUUAGUUCAGUCGCUAGACCGAUUAAUUUAAUUUACUGAUCUCAAUUAGUCCUAUUUAGAAGUUGUCCAAUUCAAGUCUGAUUAUACGCCUAUAUAUAUGCUUUCUGAAAGAUGAGAAAAGUGUGAUAAAAAAGUAUUUUAUUUGUUUUCGUAAAUCAUUAUAGGUCGUAAGAUUACAUUUAUCCAUUUAAGAUAUAAGUUUUACUGUCCGGUGAAAACCGAAAAGGCUUAUUUUUAUAUACUUUAAAUCUUUACUUUUCGGAUCUAACAUUGUUAGCUAUGUAACCCUCACAACUAAAUGUGGCCUAAGUUAGAUAUUUCUAAAAAUUAAGAGUGCUAUUAAUUUCGAAUGCAUGCAGGAUUUCAUAAAAACACUAAAAAAUAUUGGUUACUAGUGUAAUGACCCGCGCGCGCUUUGCGGCGGGAGGUCGUAACGUUGAGAGCUAAUAAUAUGAUUUUCAUUAUAUUUAUUUAUCACGAAACAUACAGAUAUAUAUAACAUUCACAUUAUGUAAGAUAACUAAAUAUAUAAUAUAUAUAGAUUAUCUAAUACGAUGUGAUGUCUUCGAUAAUACAAAUAUAAUUGAUAAAACAGUUCUUAGAUCUGUAGAACGCAGCGGAAGUAUUCGUUCGUACCUUUUUGUGGAAGCGAUUCGCGCUACAACGCGAUGAGCCCGGAUCGUCGAGGUUGAUUCACGUGUCCUUUGAUCGUCCUUGAUUAAAUCUUCUCACGUUCCAAACCCGCGAUGGAUCGAACUACAAACGAGCACGAUCACAAAUCCACCGUUCAAGUCCCUCUUAGAAUAAUAGGUUGAUGGAGGAUAUGGUUUCUCUCUUUCGUUUUCUUAUUCUCUUUUCUUUUUUCGUUCGUGUUCGUUUUAUGUAGGAUCGCCCGUCUAUUUAUAAGGAAUUCUAAAAUCCUAAUAGCGUUAGAGAUAAGGCCAAAUCGGUUAUUAUUUGUUAUCUUAAUAUGAUUAGAUUUAUCUCUAAUUAGCUUUUCAAUUUGAAAGCGAGAUUAAUCAUAAUCCAAUUAGAUAACAUAAUAUCCGUCGGAUCGAACCCGCUUAUGGGCGUACCCAAUUCGAUUUAACCGAAUGCCAACAAGAUCAUUAUGGCCUAUCGGUUCCACUUGAUUUCUUGCGGGUGUUAACUUUCCUUGGUCCUUUUCCAGUCUUUGAACUGCAUACGUUUAAACAAUAUCUCAUAUAUAUAUAUAUAUGGUGGAAUAAGAAAUACAAAAAAUAUUUUAAAAAUAUUAAUACUUACAAACGUGAUUUUUUCGCUACAGCAGAUGUUUCAAUAGGCAAAUCACUAUCAUUGUUGUCGAGCAUCUUCAUUAAUUGAAUUGGUAUGCAACCACUCAGUCAACAUUGUUUUUUCAAUGCUUGGUCUACGCAAAAGACUUUCUAAAUUUUCAGUAUUGUGGAAAAUAAUAUUAUUCAUUGAAGGAAGAUGUACUCGUAGUCUCUCAACCGAUGGUUCUCUAAAAUGGAUAUCAAAUUGGAGCAAACGGCAAGUUGCUUCAUAUGCAGAUAAAUAUUUGCAAUCUAUAUAUGUUUUGAUUUCAUCAAUCUCUUGUUUUUUCUUUUGGUGAACGGCAAUGCUAUAUAUGAAAAAAAUUGGAGGGAGGAUGCAUGCACUCUCAUGAUUAGAAAGAUAGCAAAAGGACAAGACAAUAUUCUAUGUACUAUGGAUUUUUUUAUUUUAUGCACCCUGUGUAUGUAGUAUGAAAAAUUUUGUAAGAAAAAGGGUUAUCUUUUGGGUGAGAUAUUAUUUCUAUUGAACUUAAAAAAGUAAAAGACAAUUUACAAAUAAUCCAUGGUGAAAUUGGAAUGAAAACAGGAGAUUUAGAAUUUUCUGUAAGGAAUAUAAUUUUUUUUAGAAGAAAAUAUACAGUGUAAAAAAAAUAUUAAACAUUGAAUAUAUGCCAGAAUUAUUUUUUUUAGGCUAGAUUUAAAAUUUCGUGCCAUUCUGACACUCCAAAAGUGAGAACGGAAAAUAGUAGUAAUAUGAUAAAGAUUUUAGUUGGUAGACCUUUCGGCGAUAAAGAAAAUUAAGGUUUAGAACUGUAAAAUUAAGAUGACGUUCUUCUGGUUGAUUUUAACUAAGCUUGACUUUAAAAUCAUUAUUGUUUAACAUGAUACAGAGGGUGCAUGGAGCAAAAUUUUUCAUAGUACAUGCCCCUUUAACAUAGCCUCUUGCCUUUAAAAUCAUUAUUGUUUAACAUGAUACAGAGGGUGCAUGAAACAAAAUUUUGCACAGUAUAUGCCCAUUUAACAUAGCCCAUGUGAGUCUAUGUGAGGGAGGGAGAGCAUGUGAGGGAGAGAGGGAAAACCCAUAUAAAAAGAAGGCCACGUGGCUCGAUGGAGGAACGGCAUUUGGUUUCAACUUUAGUAUAGAGUUUAAUGAGUAAGAGGCUGUUUGGUUCCACAAAAAAGCAUUGAAUAAUUUUCCAGAAAAAGAUUUUUUCUUUAUGGGAAACUCGUUUUUAAGUUUUGCUCCUUCGGUUAUAAGAAAAAUUAGCUACCGAUUGGAUGAUCAUUUUAUAGUACUAGGGCAAGUUUUAAACUGCUUCUAAUUUUUUUUUUUGUGGCUCUUCUUUUGGUAGCAUUUUUUUUAGAAAUAAAUUCAGCUAGAAAUGUGAAUCAACUAAGUUUCGAAUUUAGAAUCUCAGACAUCGAUCAACUGUCAAGCCUUUAGCCGGCUAUGCUAGGUACGGUCAAUAUUAAAGUUUUCGCUCUUCAUAAUGUAUCAAAAUGACUGAAUCACAUUCCCAAACUAGGCCUUAGUGGGCAUGCCCACUAGAUUUGGAUUUGGCCCGCCCGAUUGAUGGACAUGCUUUGCUCAUUUGCAUUCUUCUAUAGACCAACUUACGAGCCUGAGCAUCUGUCCGCUCGAUUCAAUUUUUCAGGUUUCUUUUUUAUCCUCACAAUUGGUGUCUGUGGAAUCAAAAGAGAAAAUAAUAAUAAUAAUAACUUGAACCAGAAUGAAGUAGGGGUGGCAACCCAGCUCGCUGUUCGUGAGCCAGCUCGUGUUCGGCUCGAAAUGAGCUUGAGAUCGAAUCGCUCGUUUAAUAAACGAGCCGAACACGAGCCGACCCCAGCUUGCUCAUGUUCGGCUCAUUAAUAAACGAGCCGAACACGAGCUGAAUUUUUUGGCUCGAUAUUUUAACGAGCCAGCAAGCCGAACACGAGCCGACCCCAGCUUGCUCGUGUUCGGCUCGUUUACACCCCUAGAAUGAAGUAAUCCUAUCGGUUCGGUGUCUAUUCAGUUUGAAUAGAAAUUUUUUUGAAUUAAAAACAUAUUAAACCACUAAAAAUUUAUAAAAUAUAGUUAGUUUUAUCUAUCUGAAUAUUUUAAAUUAAAAAAUAAAUCUCUAAUUAUUUAAUCAUAAUUUAACAUUGAUGUAUAUUAAAUUAUUGAAAGUUCGUUAAUUUUCUUUUCGGUUUACUAACAUUUUAAACUGAGCAUAUAAAACCACAUUGCAAAAUCAAUUCAGUUUCUUACUUCGCUUUUUACCACAUAGUGCUCACCAUUACUUACGAAUCAUGCAUGUACAAAGCUGGAAAAGGGGAUCCUUCAGGUUCCCAUGCAUUUCCUAGCUUUGGAAAGUUCCAUCAGUUGCAAUAACAACAUACAAUAGGAAUUAUUACUCUAAACAGUGGAUCAAAUAUUAAUUAAGCUGCGAAUAAUUUGUCUAUUUGGUUUUUUGAGGGGUCAAAGCAUAUAAGACUCUAGAUGGGAAUUUAAAAAAGUUAACAUUAAUUUUCUUCAUGUGAUUUACCGUAAUUUUACUUUGCUACUCUAUGAUUCAAAAAGAAAUUACUUAACUAUCUUGUAAUUUUAAUUUUAGGGUUAAUUACACUAUUAGUCUCCACCUUCUCUUAGAUCUCCACAGGAGAGGCUCCUUAAUUUCUCAAGAUCUUCAAAAAUAUUCCUAAAUGGAGUUCUAACAAAGUUAGAACCUCAAAAAUCUUAAAAUAGCAACUCACAUUUUCUCCUCUAACAAGAAAAACGUGGAGGAGAUGGCUUCUCCUCCCUCCUAGAGUUUUCUUUUGAAGCAUUUGAUCUUUUUAAAGCCCUCUAAGAGAUGGAUCAUCAAGCCCCUCAAUGGAAAAAAAAAAAAAAAAAUCUAGGGUUUCUCUUUGUAGUGAGAGAAAGAAGGCAGAGGAAGCGAAAGAGUAAAAGAGAGGAAAGGUUAGGGUUUUGACUAUUGUUUGGAUUUAUAUAGAGGUGCUAUAAUUUCAUCUAAACCCCCAAUCAAUUCUAAUUACAAUCAGCCAAAUCAGUUAUCUGCAGUGUUGAGUAUCGGCACGCAAGUUAUAGUAUUGGUAUACAAUACUAGGGUUUUGGGACUCCAGGCCAGUUCUACAUGAGCUUGUUUUAGUACUCGUACGUAUGUCACGCCCCGGGCCUUUUUGGAAAGUUAAAUUUAAGAAAUCCCUCUAAUUUAAAAAUAGAGUUUGCGGAAAAGCAUAUAUAUAUUUUUUCUUUUUGUUUUUUUUUUUUUUUUAAANGUCCGAGACAUGCACAGACCCGCCGUACGCAUAAGGUAUCUUUUUCCAUACGGACAGAGUCUCCCAUAUACAUGCUCGAUGCAGGAAUACAAAUAAGUAACCACGAGUAAUCAUAACAAGAUAAUUUCAUUAUGCAACUACUAAUACAUCCAAAGUCAUAACCCAGAAUCCACUAAACCACUACAAUAAGAAAAAUUUAACAUAUCAACUAAACUCAAACCAUAAUAGUGAAGUACGAACAUCUCCAACAAUAUCAAAUGAUAAAGAAAAGUAAAUCAAAGACUACGAUAAGGUCUAAAGCACGAACUGUCUAGGCGAUAACAAACCACAUCCUCACACUGCGCCCCGACCUGCACUGUCAGCAAUACCUGUAAAAAUAAUAGGGUGAGAAACAUAUAAAUAUGUUUCCUAGUGGGGGCAACCAGUCAACUAGGGCAAGCCUCACUCAUUGGCAAAAAAGGGAGUACAAUAAACAGAUAAGAGUAGAAAUGAAAUAGUUAACUACAGUAGCAUCACGGAUAAAUAGAUAAAUGUCAUGAACCAGAAUACAAAUAAUACCACUACUGUAACAUGAAUCAAGAUACUAACCAUGAGGUACCCAGUCAACCACCGUAGCAAGAAAAAUCAGUGAAUAACUGUCAUAAAUAAACAUACAAGGGAUAUCGCUACUGUAAACAAACUCAUAUGCCAACAUAAUAGGAACACCAAUAGUGAGUUGAUGAAUAACAAAUAUCAUAACUCACUAAACGAUGGAUGCCGCUACUAUAAGUUAGACAGCUUCUAACAAAAUUGCUUAUAGUUCUGGCAGGAUAACUCGAACCAAACGCCCCGAAAAUUAACACUACAACAGAAUUAAAUUAUAAAGACACUUUUGUGUAAGUAUCCCAUUUAUGCCAAAUUUUUUUUAAAAAAUCUACUUAGGCCUAAAUAUAAAACCCAAUCAAAUCAAAAAUAAAAAAUUUCUCUAAUCAACCAACCCCACCCAGCCCACUCAGCCCGAUUACAAAUAGAAAAGGAAAAAAAAAAUAAUCACCAUCUUCCCUUCUCAUCUUCUGCCGCCGUAACCAACGAGGUACAGUUCUGGUGGCUAGAGUUCGGCUACGAGGAUCUCACAGUGACCGUAGAGAGCUACGAUCGCUACGUAUUCCUCCGCCACAUGUCGCUGGAUGAGUGAGUGCCAAAUAUUAAGUUUGCCCUACAUAGAGCGGCCCACAUAUAGCAACAUUUUUAGAAAGUGUCGGUAAUUUAGCCAGUAGCACUUUUUUUGAUUUGUAAUCACAUUUAAAAAUGUUACUAUAUAUUGUUUUUGUUGUAGUGUAAUGUGUAAUUUUUAAGUUUAUAGGUUUCGACUUAGCAUACACUACAGUACAUACCGAUCUUCUUAGUUCUCAAACAAUAAUUAUAUGUAAUAAAUUUUUUAAAAAAAUAUAAUAUAAUUUGUCAACAAAAAAAAUUAAAGUCUAGAAGACUAGCUUAUUUAAAAAUUGUUUUUAGGCGAUGGGAUUUCUACAGGUAUUUUGUUUGUAUAUUACAGAAAUUGAUAUAUGUUUGUAGAUAACCAACCUAUAUAUAAAUGAGCAAAUAGAAAUUUUCGAUUUGCUAAGUUUUCUUCCAAAAAUACCUUUUAUAUUUUCAUAGUGUAUCUAUACUUUAAAUAAUUGUUAUAAAUAAUUUUAAUUUAUCAAACCAUAUGAUUUAACUUUUGAACUAAGUUAAGUUUUAAUAAACCGAAACUUAAUUAGUCUACUUUCUUUCUUAUUUUUCAAUCAAAAUAGCUGAAUAUAAUCAAAUAAAAUUUUUACUUAAACAAUAUAAAUUUCUUGAUCUAAUUAAAUUUAGUAAAUAACCUUGAUUUAGUAAAUCCUCCACCAUUAUUCCUAUUUUCACGCCAAAUUAAUUGAUUAUAACUGACGAAUAAAAUAUAUUUAUUUUACUUACACUACUAAAUUCUACAAAAUACAUAAAUAAAAUUAUUUUUAAAAUUUUAUUUUUUUAUGUGAAACAUAUGUCGGAUCGUUGGCGUUAACCACUAAUUCUAAAAGUUUGAGCUGUUAAAACUAUAUAACCAUUUCACUUAAAGCGUACAAAUAUAGCAUCUAAGGUCUCAACAUGUGACUUGGCUAGCUCAACCAGUCUUAUGCCAUUUCGAAAAUGACUCGGUCCAAUUUGACUGGUCUCACGUCAUUUAAUUUGAACAAAACUAGGCCCAACUUAGCCACCUGUCGCAGAGGAAUAUGCUGGCUUCUUUAAGCUAACAAUAUGUAUAUAUAUAUUCAAAAAGCUGAAAAAGAAGAAGAAGAAGAAAGUCCUUGCCAUUCUCCUUUAUAGAUAAUAGUUCGACGAGAGCGUCAAAGUAAGAUUUAUUGGUGGAAAAUCCAACACUCUAGAAACCUAUGAUAGGCCAUUUCUUUUCACAAAUCGACUGUGUCCAACCCACUGAUCAAUUUCUUAAUUACAAAAGUUAAUCAAAAGUUAAACCACCCACUCGAUCGCACGUAACUUUAACGAACUUCGAAUCCAAUUAAUGACUUUAUGUAAUUUGAUACACCGGAGAAUUUUAGUUGUUUUUUUUGUUAUUAAUUGUUAUAUAUGAUUAGGUAGAUUGUAAAGUACACUAACUAAAUAACCACUAGUGGCUCUUACACUUUUUUAUAUAUAAAAAAAAUCUAAUAUUUAAAGAAUAGUAUCAAAUGCAGAAGCUUUUGUUUGAUGUUUCUUAAUUAUUUUGCAAUAUUGCCACUGAAUCAAACACACGUACUAAAAGCAUUAAUUGCUUAGUUUAUAACUUUGCAAAUAUGUACAGCCAAGUUUGUUCAUACGAUGGAUAAAAAUAUAUAUUUUUUUAUACUGUAAAAUUACGAUGCCAACUACAACCAGAAAAACAUGUAUAGGGCAAAAAAUGAUAAAAAAUUUGAAAAUGGUUGCUUUAAAAUUUUAAAUCUUUUAAAAUAUAAAGUAAAUGUUUUUAACCAUCACAAUAUUACCAAACUAGUUGUGGCUACAACUCACUCAGCUAGUGACUUGACAUACAUAUUAAACCAGUUGCGUGUAGACACAUAUAUGGAUUUAAAAAGAAGUAUAUAUAGCGACAAAUAGAAAAGAGUAAUAGUACGUAGCACCACAUAUAUACGAAUCCUAAUCCUAAUCACUUUGACCCAAGCAUCUGCUAAAGCGAAAAGCUAGUGAGAAGAGAUAAUGCCAGCUUAGUCAACACAACGCACUAGCUCGCUCCAAAGUAGUCUCAUAUUUCACACCAUGCAAAAGCAAUAAACACCAUGCAUGCAACUAAAGCCCUAUAAAUAUCCAUAUCCUAUCUCAUCUCACUCCGCAAGGUAGCCUGAUCGCUUUACAACAAUGGCUCACAACACUAAUAUUGUAGCUCUUUGCUUCGUAGUUUUGCUCGCCGUUGGCUUGUCCGAUGCGAUGAGGCUCGGGACAAAAGCCGGUGGUGGAGGUGGCGGCAGCGGUAGCGGAGGCGGUGGUGGCGGUGGCUUGGGGAUUGGCUCGGGCUCCGGUUAUGGUUCAGGCUCCGGGUAUGGCGAAGGAGGCGGAGUCGGAGGCAAUGGUGGUGGUGGUUAUGGAAGAGGAGGCGGCGGCGGUGGCGGUGGUGGAGAAGGUGGUGGUAGCGGGUCGGGUUACGGCUCGGGGAGCGGGUACGGGUCGGGGUCCGGAUACGGUGAGGGUGGUGCGCAUGGCGGAGGGUAUGGAAGUGGCGGAGGCGGCGGCGGCGGCAGUGGCGGCGGUGGCGGGAAUGGCAGCGGUAGCGGGUCGGGUUAUGGGUCUGGUAGUGGGUCCGGAUACGGUGAGGGUGGCGCGAAUGGANGGGUGGUGCGCAUGGCGGAGGGUAUGGAAGUGGCGAGGGUGGCGGCGGCGGCGGCGGCGGCGGUGAAGGGUCUGGAUUUGGGCAUGGAUCCGGGUAUGGAUCAGGGUAUGGUUCUGGGUACGGGAGUGGUGGUGGAGGAAACCCUUAAGUGAGUCAUGAUCAAGAAGAGAAAUAGCUAGUUUUAUGGAAUCCCAGGCACUUGCAUGCAACGUUCGUGCUAUAUUCGAACGUAGUACACGUCACACAGCAACUACUAUGUUAAUUACUUGCCUUUUGGACGAAUAAAAAUGGGGUUUCUAUAUUAUAAAUAUAGUGUAUUGUGUCAAUAUAUAUUUCUCCGUCUGUUUUUACUUGAUCAAUCUUUAUAGUAAUAUGAUAUCAUAGUUAACUUUAAACCAAUUCUAAACUCUCCUCCAUUACGUAAAGUAGAACAAAAUUUAAGGAAUUUAUAUUUCCCUAAUUUUGGUAUAAUAGGUUAUAUCCCCAUUUUCUGUCUCAUCUAUUAAUUUAAUGUAUCUUUUAUAUCUAUUAUGCACGUGAAUGACAAUGUUAAUAUACUUCAGGAUUUGUUUUCUCUAGAUCGAUCUUUUGGAGUAAUAUAUUGGACUGAUAUUAUUUAAAGAGUUUGACGGUUCAAUCUAAGAUUACAUAAGGGGAGCGGAAGAGUAAAGGCUAUCCUCAUGCACAGCUGUACACAAGAGCACAAGUGAAAAUACAUGAAAUUAUUGUUCUUUUCGGAAAACUCGAGAUAAGUGUUUUUAAUAUAAUCUCGAGUUUUUAAUAUUUUAUAUUUAACAACACUUUAUCACACUCACAACCACUUACUCUAAUUUUAUGUUAAAUAAUGUGAAAUAAUCGCGUAUCUUCAAAAGCGUAAACUACCAAAAAAUGAUGAGUCUUAAGUUUGUAAAUAAUGAAAGUAAUGUGUUUUAAGUUUUUAAAACUAAAAUAAUUUAAAUUAAUUAACUCUAAAUUUUUAUAAAUUAAAUUAAUAAUAAUAUAUGAGAUAAUUUUUAUGGUAUAAUAUAAAAUUUAUAAAUUUACGAAUCUGAAAAUAUUAAAUAUAUACAUAUGCAAAUUUAAAAAUAAAAACAGGAUCAAAUCUUAUAUGUUAAAUUUGAGGUAUUAUAAAUUUAUAGAUUUUGAAUAAUCUAAAUUUAUAGAGCUUAAAUCAUAAAAUAAAAUAAAUUUGAAAAAUAUAAAAUAUAUUAUUCCAUGACUAGUCAAAUAAAAAAUAAGAGUAAAAAAAAUGAAGAAAAAUAUUCUAACUUCUUCCUCUCAUCCGUAACAUUCAUUAAUGAUUCAAAUUAUGCUACCCUCUUUGUAAGAAAAUUUUUUAAUUUAAGUUUGAGUUAUUAAAAAAAGCUCCAUUUUUUUUUUUUUGCCCUUUUCACAACUUCUAUUCUGUAACAUUCAUUUGAUUUCUCUUUUAUUCUCUUGCAUUUUAGUAAUUAAAAUAUAUUUGAUAUUUAAUUCCCUAUGUUAAGCUCUGCUUCCUUCACGAUUUCUAAACAUCUUCCUCUUACAGAUGAGGAAAUAACACCCCUAAUCAACUAAAAAAAUAGAGAAAGAGGUAAUUAAUUAAUUUUUUACAUCUAAAUUUAAUUAUUUCUCCUUUCCUAUAUAUUAUAAUUAUGCAUUCUCUUAUAUGUACAUUUUUUAAGAUAAAUUUCAAUUUGUUCGCCCAAUAGUUCAGCUCAUUUUCAUAUUGUUUCUCCGUAUUCAAAAAGUAGCAUUUAAUUAUCCUAUAGUUUUAUCAUUAUUUUUACAAAAAAAAAUCUACUAUCAAAUAAGUUAGCAAAGCAAAAUUUUUUUAUAACCACAGAAUAGUUAAGUGUAAUUUUUUGGACGACAGAAUAAUAAUAAAAUGAAAAUAAACUAAAUCACAAGAUAGCUAAGUGCAUCUUUUUAAAUCACAAAAUGACAAAGUAAAAAUGAGCUGGAUUACAUGAGAGCAAAUUAAUUGUUAUUUUUUUUUUUUUUUUUUCUCUUCGAAGAUUAAUCCUAUAUGGAGAAAUGUAAACAAAAGUAGAAGAUAAUAAUCACGUAGGAAAAGGUGAAAGAAUAUGACCUACAUGCUUAUCACUAUGUUUAUUCUCUCCUAUUUUUUGGUCAACCUUUUUACGUCGGUGCGGUUGUUGAAGCAAUUGAAAUUAAAACAUCGUGUAUUAGUUUCCACUAAGUAAUUAAAUUAUUUUUUCCUUGUUUGUUCUAAAAUAUCCUUAAGAAAAUGAGAAAUAAUUCGGUACUUUUAAAAAAAAAAAUUAAAAAAGAUCUCAACCGUUGAUUAAUUGAGGGUAAAAAUGUAACUUUAAUACUUAGCAGGUAAAAUGAUUAUUUUAUUCAAAGUUAGUCUGGUAAUUAAAUAAUAUAAUAUUUAAAGAAACUUUUAAUUGAGGUCCUAAAUUUAUGCAUUAAUUAGCACUAAUUUAGAAAAUUAAUUGAUUAACCAAAUUUAUGCAAUUAUUAGGCAUUAAUUUAGGAAUCUACUUUAAACAUUUUAGUGUUUCUCAAAUUAUGCAUUAAUUUAAAUUAUAGAAAUUUUAGAAAUAGUUUUAUUUCUAAAUACGAUGAAUUUAAAUUUUAAAAAUUAAAUACUUAAAAUUUAAAAGUAAAAUUUAAAUUAGAGGAAUUUCAUAUUACUAUUUAAAAACUAAAUUUCUACCAAGAUUUAAAAUAUAGUUUAUUCGCACCAGUUUAAAACGUAACGCAUAAAAAACUUAGAGAGUAAGAUUUCUACAACUAGAUUUCUCUAGAGGAAUUUCAUAUUACUAUUUAAAUUUUAAAUUCAAUGAUUUAAAAACUAGAUUGAACCGAUUGAUUUGACUGAUCAGACUUUGACCUAUUCUAUCAAGAAUCUGAUUUUAACCUAUUGAACCGAAUAACAUUAAGAACAAUUUGGAACCGGUAAAGAUAAUAAAUAUUUUAAACAGAAUGAUAAUUUAACUGUUAGAGCUAAUAAAUAUUUUAAAUAUAAUUUUAAACAUAUAAAUUAAAAAGAUUAGAAUUAUUGGUGAGAAAAAAAAUAGUUAGGAAUUUGAAUUCGAAUCUGACUAACAAUCACAAAACUUAUUUCCGAACUCGACGGAUUUCAAAAAUCCAUAUCCAAAUUCAAAACUGACCAAUUUUUCGAAACCCAAAACCAAACCUAAACCAGAAGACUAGAAUUCAAACAAUUAUUUUUAUUUACCAUAUUUCAAAGUAUUUAUAUGAAAAUUAAAAUUUUAAAAUAUAAAUUUGGAUAUAAUAUUAAAAUUUAAAUUUAAAAGUGAAAUUUAAAUUAGAGGAAUUUAUAUUACUAUUUAAAAUUUAAAUUUAAUGAUCAUAUUGUCAAAUCAUUUGAAAUUUUCUUUACAUAAAAUGCCAAAUUAUGAAAGGAAAGAUAGAGAGAGAAAAAGGAAACAAAGAAAAAAUAAAAAUUUUGAACAUAUUGUCAAAUCAUUUGAAAUUUUCUUUACAUGAAAUGCCAAAUUAUGAAAGGAAAGAUAGAGAGAGAAAAAGGAAACAAAGAAAAAAUAAAAAUUUUGAAAAUAUAGUAGAUGUAAAAUGACUAAAUUGCCCAUGUAUUAAAAGACAAAAAUAUCUUUUUUUGAGGUACCUGGUAACCGGUAUCUCUCCCAAAGUAACCUGCUAUUGCAGGUCACAAUUUUAAAAAAACUAAAUUUGAGCCAUUGAAUACGCGUGAAUGAACGGUAACAAAAAAAAAAAAAGUAUAGAAGUAUUACUCUAAGAAAAUUAUUUUGAUAUAUAGGUAAUCAAAUUAUACUGAAAAAAAAAAUAAUAGUGGUAACUACAAUCAAUGUUUGUUUCUUUUUAUGUUUUAUUGUAGGAAAGAAAACGUAGAAAGUUACAAUCAAAGCAUCGAAAAGAAUUCACAGCUGCCCGCAUCUAUAAUCUACACUUUGUCAUAUACGAAGUGCACGAAGUUUGAACAAAUACUAUUACUAAUUACACCAGUAAUUCUCCAUUGAUGAGGUGUUUAGUACUCGUCGAAUGUCAAGAGUCUCACCCUCGUCGCCAUAGAUAAUGUCUUUGUUUUAUUGCGCAUCUUCGUCAUAUAAUUGUGCAGUUUUCUCGAAAUUUUUAUUAUUUUCGAGCUCGUCCAUGAGUGUAACGAUUCUCUUACUUAGGCAUUCCCAUGCAAAGCGCCCAAAUUCUUGGCACUUGUAGUACCCUUUUUUAUUGGAGUUAGAAGAACUCGGUCAAGUCGAUGUUGCCGUUGUAUCUUGCUUCGUUGGGGGCUUUUGGGUUGAUGCUUUUCGUUGGUACAAAAGAAUGAAAAUUAUCGACGAGUCAAUUAAGCCGAGACACGAAAAUAUCGUUCUUUUUAAAAAGAUUCAAACCUUCUGCGGUUGACACAACCUUUGAAUUGAUACAGCAGAACACUGACUUGUGUCCUCCAGAAUAUAAUGACUUGACCUUCAUCGUUUGACUUCAUCAACUCUGCACAAAUUGAUAAGCCCAAAACUUUACAAAAAAAAAAGCCUUUUUUUAGCAACCCUCUCUCUCUCUCUCUCUCUCUCUCUCUAAUAUAACAGAAAUAGCUUUUUUUUUUUUGUUGUUUUUCAUUGUGUCUCCAAAGUUAUAAAGAAGCACAAUAUAUAGGCAUUCAAUGCGUUGUUUUUCAUUGUGUCUCCAAAGUUAUAAAGAAGCACAAUAUAUAGGCACCAUAGGCCUAGGGUUACUAGUAUUAAAUGCUGAAAGGUUAUAAUUACAAGACAUAAGUUGUCACAGGUUAUAAGUAUUUAGUGGCAAACCUAAACACUAGAGUUAUAGGAUUAAGAUUAGUAGUAAAUGUACUUACAUUAAAUCUCUUUUAAUUACAAGUAUAGAAGUUAGAACUUGAAGUGCAGAGUUAUAGGAAUUUUACCAUGUAUACAAGAGUAAGGCCCCGUUUGGAUACCACUAAAAACGUAGCAUAGUUAAACUAUGCUACGCUGGUAGGAAAAUAAUCCUAUGAAGCGUUUGGAAGAAAAAGAAAUGACGUAAUUUUUGGAGUAUAGUUAUACUAUACUCCAAAAAAUAGAGUAAACUUACAAUCCACUUUAACCAAAGGAAAAAAUUCCUCCAUUUUGGACUCCCAAAAAUGUAUCAAUUUUUAAAUUUUAAAUUUCAACAUAAAAUUUUAGAUUUCAAAUUUUAAAAUUUUAAAAUUCAAAUUUAAUUUUGAUUUUAAAUUUUAAAUUUUAAAUUUCAAAUUUCAAAUUUCAAAAACUUCAAAUUUUAAAUUUUAAAUUUCAAAUUUCAAAUUUCAAAUUUCAAAAAAAGUUCAAUUUCAAAUUUCAAAUUUCAAAUUUCAAAAAGUUCAAUUUCAAAUUUCAACUUUCAACUUUCAACUUUCAAAUUUCAAAUUUCAAUUUCAAAUUUCAAAAAGUUCAAAUUUCAAAUUCAAAAUUCAAAAUUCAAAAAUUCAAAAUUCAAAAUCAAAAUUCAAAAUUCAAAUUUGAACUUUCAAAUUUCAACUUUCAAAUUUCAAAUUUCAAUUUCAAAAAGUUCAAAUUUCAAAUUUCAAAUUUCAAAAAGUUCAAAUUUCAAAUUUUAAAUUUCAAAUUUUAAUUUUAUUUUUAAUUUUUAUUUUCAAUCUUCAAAAUUUAAAUUUAAACUUAAAUUUAAAUUUAAAUUUAUAAAUAUGUAAAUUUAUAAAUUAUUAAAUUGAAAUUUAUUUUAAUUAUAGAUUUUUUAAAUUUCAAAAUUUAAAGUUUAAAUGGUAUACUUUAAGUUUUAAAUUUUAAAGUUUCAAAUUUCAAAUUUGAAAUUUCAAAUUCCAAAUAUCAAAUUUCAAAUUUAAAACAUAAAAUCUAAUUUACUUUUUAAUUUUUAAUUUUAAAUUUUAAUUUUAUAUUUUUGAAUUUUGAAUUUUAAUUUUUAAAAUUUUAUUUUUAAAUUUUGAAUUUGAAUUGAUUUAGUUAAUUUGAAUUUUAAAAUUUUAGAAAUUUAAUUGUUAUAAAUACUGUGGAAUUGUAUGAUAUGUAUCCAAACAGCUUAAAAAUGAAGCUGUGAAAUUUUUUUGUAGUUACAGGAUUUCGUAUUUCAUUUAGACCAAAAUCAUAGAAUAAAAAUUUCAUGGAGUUUUUUAACUAUGCAUCCAAAAAGGGCCUAAAGGAAUUGUAACUUCACCAUGGAUGCAUAAGUUAUCAAAGAAAAGGAAUUAAUAGUUUAUUUAAUAAUAAAAUGUUAUAACAUUUUUCCAGUCAUAUUAUUAUUAAAAUAUAUGAGACUAUGAUGGUUAAAGAGGGAUCGUUAUAAAUAAUAAAGGUGUGCUCUACAUUGAACCUUCACUUCGUCAAAUAAUAAUCUCUAUUCCAACCAACCGUCCCUAGUGCAAGUGGCAAAGGGCAACAAAAGGCUGGUUGGUUGGUACCUGAGGUUUCAAGUUCGAAUACUAAUUGAUUACAUUUUCAGCUAAGUUUUUUUCUAAAAUAAAUAAAUGAAGCGGUAGUAUGCUACCUUUCUCUAAAAAAAAAAUAACAAUCUCUAUUCCAGAGCCAGAGUGAUCUUAGACUUAAAGUUCAGCUACUUAGGAAAAAUAAAGUGUCACUGCUCAUAUAUAACAAUUCAGGUGCCGACGUGAGUUUUAUUAGCUAGUACGUUACAGGCCUUAUACUUAUGUUUGAGAAAAAGCUCAUUCUCAUAGGAAAUUACCCCACUUCCAUGCUUACAUAACUGAAAUAGCCGUCAAAGGUACUCCUAUAAUUCUAAUACCUUGCUUAUAAGAGAUACAGAUUUCAUUAAGAAUGUAAUAACUCAAACUUCAUUCCAUUACAGAAUGAAUGCGCUCACAUCAUAGGAAUAGGUAAAUAUGUGAUCAUACAAAUCUAGAUAUUGUGUAUUCUUUACAAUCAUCAUAUGAUUCAUUUUUUUCCAUUGAAUCUGAUUUUCAGAAUAUCUAAUCAUCAGGUUGCGUAUCCUCAUAAAUGGCUCAUGAUGUUAUGGGCUCUAACACUAUCUCUCUUGAUGUGCUCCAAAUCCUGUCUCUUUUCGAGUCCUUUGUUAAGAAAUCUACUAGAUCAUCAGUAGAUUUAAUACAAUCUACAUUUAUAAUACCAUUGUUCACAUAUAAUUUCAUAGUACUAUAUUUUCAUUUUACGGAUCUGAACCAUUAUAAUAACAGUUUCUUAUUCUACCAAUAGCAGCGAUGCUAUUACAAUGUAUUAAUACAAAUAUAUAGAAUUAGUUUUUCAGAAAUGGAAUAUCAAACAAUAUAAGUCUCUCAACCAACUAGCUUCCUCGCUAGUUGAAACUAAAACAAUAAGCUCGACUUUCAUAAUUGAAUCAACAAUGAUAGUAUGUUUUUUAAAAUUUCAAUAUAUAGCCCCACCUGCGAAAAUAAAAAUAUAACUAGUAGCAGAGAGAAUCAUCUGAUAGGGUAUUCCAGUCAGCAUCACUGUAAUCCUUAAUUACAACAGGAUACUUUCCUUAUUUAUAAAAAUAUUUAUAGUACUUUUUAGUUUUACAAGGUUAUAAAUGAAAUUAAUUCUUAUAUUUUUGCCUAUUUUAUUCUAAUGAAGAAUGCUCAAAAAUAGGGGUAAAAUGGUAAAAUUCUAUUUUAAAAUGUAUAGAAAUUGAUAUUUAAUUGAGAAGGGCGCAUUCAUGAAACAUAUUUGACAUUUAAAAGAUUGUUCAUAAAAUUUCAAAACUUGAAAGGGGAUUUAUGAAAUUUCAAAACUUUAGGAGGGCGUAAGUGAAAUCGCCCCUUAUAAAAAUUACAAAGAAAUAUGAAUAAAAAUUAAAAAAAUGUAGUACAAUCCAUGAAUAGUUUAGUAACUAUUGGACAACUAGGGGUGUAAACGAGCCGAACACGAGCGAGCUGGAGUCGACUCGUGUUCGCUCCGUUUAUUAAACGAGCCGAACAUGAGCUGGCUCGUUAAAGUAUUGAGCCAAAAAAUUCAGCUCGUGUUCGGCUCAUUUAUUAACGAGCCGAAUACGAGCUGGCCAACGAACAAUAAACUAAAAAUAAUUAGAUUAAAUAUAUAUAUAUAUAAUAAAUUUAUAAAAUCACAUCCAUUAGACUUUAAUCUAAUAGUUGAAACUUUACAUAUAAAUGAGUUUUUUUAUAAUUAAACUCGCAUUUAUAUUUUUAUUUUUCUAAAUAUUAAACGAGCUGAAAAUUUCAGCUCAUGUUCGGCUCGUUUACUAAACAAGCGAUUUGAUCUUGAGCUCAUUUCGGGCCGAACACGAGCUGGCUCACGAACAGUGAGCUGGAUUGCCACCCCUACGGACAACCAUCUAUCUCUAAAAGUUUAAAUUAUUAGUGAACAUUAUGAUUAAAUUUACCUCUUUUUCUCACAUAUCACUGUGAUUUUUUUUUCUAUCAUGGCCAUCAUUGCGAUCCAUAUAUUGCUUAAUAAACAAGGAGUCCAACAAGCUUUGAUUUGAUAUAGACCACUAAAGAUCAAGUUGUGACCUGGCAGUUGAAGUGCCUCCAACGCGGGGUAUAUGAAUACGAGGCUGCACAUCAAAGAGAAACAAAACGCGGUUACGGCUGAAAAAGGCCGGUGCCGACGGAUGACACGUGUAACUUUUUAGCAAAUGACUUGUUUGAAAAUUUUAGAAUUUAAUUCAGGAAUCCAGCUAAUAUCCUUUUAAGAGAAUAAGAAUUUUUGUUCUAUCAAGUUAAUUAGAUGAUCAAAAUUUUGAAUUGAUGAUCGGCACUGUUGUUGAAAUUGAUCUACAGCACUAAUUAAAGAAAUAUAUAGAAACAGAAUAUUGUAAUUUUAGAAAAUUAUUAUCAAGUAUAUCAAAAAGUCAAAAAAUAAAUGGUCAAAAACGAAUAAUCUUACGAAAAUAGAGGUUAGGUUUUCUAAAUUCAUAAACGGAGUUAUCAAAUGUUGUCUAAAUAGUAUAAAAAAAUUAUAAUAAAAUUCAAAUGGUAUGAAUUGCUCUGUAUUGUUAAACAAGUAAACAGCUUAUAUAGGCCGCCAAAAACUGUCAAUUUUGUAAUCCAUUGAUCACAACAUAAAUAAUUUUUAAAAUUUAUGAAAUUUGAUUUAUAAAUACUUUAAAUACCAGAUGAACUUUAACGAUUCCGAUCAUCGAUUCAUAAUCCAUAUCAUCUAAAACGACUUGAUAUAAUAAAGUCUUCCGUCCUCCUAAAAGGAUAGUAGCUGAAUUCUUUAAUUCAAAAUAUUUUUUAGGAGUAUUAUACAUGCUCUCAGAAUUUAUAACUUUAUAUUAAAAAACAUUUAUAUUUAAGAUGUUUUGAUCACUUCAAAUUAUUCUGAAUUUUAUAAAUAAUAACUUGGCCUGGAUGUAUUAAUUGAACUCACAUUACUUCAAAAUUUUAUAUGUUUGAGCUCCUUUUCAUUUUUUUUUUUCUAAAUUGUAUAGAAACAAAAUUAUGUUGUUGUAUUUUGUAAUCCUCCAAGCUAUCUAAAUAUCUCUUUUGGAAAAAAAUAACAGUGCGCGCCAAUCAAAAUACCCUGAUGACAGUGUGGAAAUGUAGUGUUUAGAAGUAUUAUUUCUGUACAGACUCAAAAAAUUUAAAAUCGCUUUCAUCUUUCCUCAUGUUAUGUUAACGGUGGUGGCCGCCAUCACAAAGCUCCUCACCGAUCUGACUACACCGCACUUUCGUAGUGUCGAAAAUGAAGAUAUUAAUAGUAUUCCAAGGGCUGAAAGCUCCUCACCGAUAUGACUACACCAAUCUGACUACAUCACACAUCUUUUAGUCCAAGAACAGAAAAUUUAAUAGCACCAAAUCAUUAAUUGAUGCUAUUAAUAGUAUUCCAGCCUAGUUCUAUAUAUAUAUAGAGUUGAGCUGGAAUGCUAUCGGUAGCAAACGGAUUCCGUUGCCACCCAUUUGUUUUCGAUGAUGGAGCAUUCAAAUCGACGAUCGGCACCGUUGAACAUGACCUAUAUUACUUGAAGUAUCUAGAAAUCAAAUUUUAAAUCUUUUCAACAUCAUUGACCUAAUGAUCAAAAGGUUUUAAAAUUUGUAAUUUUAAUGGUCGAUAUAAGGCGUUUUCUCGUUUAACGGUGUAAAGCUAUCUAAAUCAAUUGAAUUUGGGUUAAAAAAUUCUUUAAACUAUUUAGAACAAUAUCUAUAAUCUCGAUCUUGAUUACAAAAUUCCUAUCAUCAUUUUUUAAAGGAUAUUCAUUUUCAGCCGUUCAUUUUUACGCCCACUUGAUGAACAAGAGAACAAUAUUGGAAAAGCAUGAAAUUUGAUUUCUAGAUACUUCAAGUGGUAUAGAUCAUUUUCAACGGCACCGAUCAUCGAUUUUGAGGCUCCAUCAUCGAAAACAAAUGGGUGACAAUGGAACCUAUUUGCUACCGAUAGUAUUCCAGCUCAACUCUCUCUCUCUCUCUCUCUCUCUCUCUCUCUCUCUCUCUCUCUCUCUCUCUAUAUAUAUAUAUAUAUAUAUAUAUAUAUAUAUAUAUAUAUAUAUGGCUAAAUUACAGAAACCCUCCCUAUCAAUACCCGCUUUUUCACUUUCCCCCCUAUAAUUUAAAAACCUACACUUUGCCCUCUUGAAAAAUAAGAAAUGUUUCCAGCUGGGGGGUACAUUGUGACAAAAUAACCAAAAUGCCCCUCACCAUCUUUGUCUUCUCCCCCAACCUUGCUCAACAGUUGCCUCUCCUCUUCCGUUCUUCACGCCUCGCUCAACCGCAGCUCCGACUCCAUUUUCCUCCACCUGUUCCCCGGCACUUCCUGCACUCGCGUCGCCUCUCCAUUUCGGCAACGAUAGAAAUUAAGGAGAUCGAGGUGGGCAUGGACGGAGAAGUGUGCGAGGGCGAGGGCGAGACUACGAAGGAGCCCGAGAGCAUAUGUGUGGGCGCAAAUGGAGAGGUGGGCGAAGCGAGGUGACGGAGGAGGCCAGCGGCGGUGUAGGGUGAGGCGGCGAGGAAGGAGGCGGCAAGGAGGAGAGGGUAUCUUGGGUAUAAAAAAUAUAUAAUAAUAGAAUAUAAACGGAAGCCUAACGGAAUACUGAUGGCAAGGGGCCAAAGUGAACAUUUCUCAUUUUUAAGGGGGCAAAGUGUAGGUUUUUAAAUAACAAUGAGGAAAGUGAAAAAGCAGGUAUUGACAGGGGGUUUUCUAUAAUUUAGCUUAUAUAUAUAUAUAUAUGCGGGGAAAAGGAAAUAAGGGAAGAGAAGGGGCGCGCGCACGCCGCU
rnacentral:lncRNA from 1 species